rnacentral:lncRNA from 1 species
AGCACACGCUGUGCAACAGCAAUUUUAGUUAGACCAGGAACAAAAAUACAAAACUCCAAGCAUAAAAAACAUUUUACUUGUCGAUUAGAUCUGGAGAAAGUAGUCAACACAAUAGCAAAACAUAUGCUCCAUAGUCCAUAGGGUUAUAACCAGAAUAUUAAAGAUAAUACAUUCUUCUUGUGAGAAGUUCUGGCACAACAUUCUAAACAUAACGGUGAUAUCAUCAGAUUAGAAGAGAGAUGUUCCCUUGCCCUUCUUGUCUCCACCGAUUUCAAAGUGCUUGCACCUCUGUAGCAACCAAGAAACUAUGGUGUCAGAUACUUAAACAUAACAGAACAUAGCAAGGAAAUGGUAUGGCAGAUAAGAGGGAUGUGCGGACCUUGAUGGCACGCUGUGAGUAAUGCUUGCAGCUCUGGCACUGCAGCUUCAGCACAAUCUUCUUUGUUGUCUUGGCCUGAAUCAAACAGAAUAAUAAACAUCCAGAUGCAAAGAAGCAACAGAAGAGGAAAGGCCAACAUUUCCAAAGUAACUUGAGUUGUACAUCAAAGAAGAUAUAUGCCCCCAGAAAUGAGUAACAUACCUUCUUGUGGAAAACAGGCUUUGUCUGGCCACCAUAUCCAGACUGCUUGCGGUCAUAACGACGCUUCCCCUGAGCAGAAAGGCUGUCCUUGCCUUUCUUGUACUGGGUAACCUUGUGGAGGGUGUGCUUCUUGCACUCCUUGUUCUUGCAGUAGGUCUUCUUGGUCUUCGGAACGUUCACCUACAAAAAUUGUCAUACCAUACUUAGCCAACAGGAAUAAACAACCAGGAAUUUUACAUCACACAACAAACAAAAAUAACUUCAUAGCUAUACUCAUAACCAUGUUUUUUAGUUUAAGAUGUGGAGAAGGGCGUGUUUGAUUCCAAGGGGCAUGGAAAAUUCCCAGUGAAUCACGAGGGUCCAAAAAUACAGAGGGCAGAAUUUCCAAUUUUCAAUUACACACAUAACAAAAAGACAAUUCAAGUCAAAGAUGUAAUGCAGAACUAGAAAAGCACCCAGCUGGCAUGAAAAAGAGUAACAUCACAUGCUCCAAAACAGAACACAUCGAGUUAGCUCGUGGUAUAGCAGCCUUAGUCCAUAGAGAGAUAGGCUGUACGAGGGAUACAUCAUGUCACUGGUUGCUUAUAGCCAUAGGUUUCAGUAGUACACAAGCUGAUUAACUGCAGCUGAAUGACAGCAUACUGUGCACACAAACCAUUAGGCUAUGAUCUGACCUUGCAAGCAUAAGCAUAUAACUAGAAUAAAAGUGCAUAUUUGGAUCAAUCACUAGUCAUGACACAUCGACCAACAAGACAGACUCGAGACCAAUGUAUUUUCUAGCUUCACACCCCAAUGGGGUCAGAAAAUGACCAUUCUAUCCAACCCAUUCGUCAUUCAAGCAAGUGAACUUAAUACAGCCAAGGCCCAGGGCUGCGCAGUGAUUGCCUGGUUGAUAUCAAGUGUCUCCAACCCCAACAUCCCAAUCACCUCCCCUUCUUCCCGACAUGCUCGACAUCCACUAGCAUCCAACACGGCACAAUUUAAGAGGAAUGCGCAAUUCCUACCGAAGUUUCAUCCGAUUAACAGCACUAUAUUACGAAAUCCCGCUCACGAAUUGCCUCCGCGCUCGCAAAUCAUUCUAGAGAGCUGAGCAGCUGUUGUGAAUCUACCGAAUCUGGGCUCUUUCGGGAACCGGAAAGAGUCGCUACGACGAACCGCAGCUACCUAGAUCAGGGGGAGGAUACUCACCAUGGCUGCGGAAGCGGCGGUGGAUCGGAGACGACGACGGCGAGGAGGAGGAGUGCUCGCCUGGUUGAGGUCACAAGUGCACCGCCGCCGCCGAGAGCUGAAAGGGCCGGGGUGCGAAGGGGUGCGCGGUUAUAUACUAGGGCGCCGGCAGCUAGGGUUUUGCCCUCACGCACGUCUCACUGCCAGUGAGUCCCAGUGUAAAUAGGCCACGCGGGCCGGUAAUUGGGCCCGAUGGAAUGGUUUCUCUAGGCCCAUGUGACACCGAAGGUCUAAAUGGGUCGAGGGUGGGAAUUUUCGUCUCCUCCGCGUUGCAUCUUGGUGGACUCCGGCCAGCGAUUAGAAAUGACCACCAAUGGACUAAUCUUUGCCUCAAAAAGAAAAAACCAAUGGACUAAUCUGAAUCUUUUUUUUUGAACUGGAACACCUUGCAUUCCAAAAUCACCGUGGACCAGCCAAGUCGGCAGUCACUGCAUCGGUUAAAACUCUAGGAAGGUUUACCAACCACGCGUCAUGGUCAGCAUUGUCGUCCCGCCUACCAAUAGCCGCAAGUUCAUGGACAGGAACAUUACACAAGCGUGGGCAGAAAGACACAUUCCACUCAAUAAAACCUAGCUGAAGGAGGAAUUUGAUCUCACGAAAUAGAGUGCCAAGUGGGGAGCGGUCCAAGGCUGGUGUUGUUACUGCCUGCUGGAGCCCGACGCAGUCCGUCUCAAAGACGACCAGCCCCAUGCCAUGCUCCUCGGCCAUCUUAAUCGCAUGCAUCAAAGCACAGUCUUCCGCGUGUAGGGCUUCUCUCAUGUUAACAAGGUUCCCCGCAGCGGCAAAGAAGAUCUCACCCUGUGAUCUCGAGCGAUGCAGCCCCAUCCCGCCCAGGGCGAACUGGGUUCGAAGGAUCCAUCGAUGUUGAUCUUGACGGCGUCCAUAACAGGGUUGGACCAAGUAGGCUUUGGCUUUGCUGGGCUUCUGUCUUGCUUUGCAAAGUAUAGUCGCCAUUCUGCAAUGUGCUUGGCCAACAUGAAACUAAAUUCCUGGACCGUAGCUCUUUGGACCUGGUGAUUUGCCUUGUUUCGUUCCGUCCACCAUAGCCAAAGAAGGCAGAUGGUGUGUAGCUUCUCGUCUUCCGGCAGGGACACAAUGAGGUGCAGGAGUUGGCGUGGCGACUGACACGGUAAUAGUUUUUGUCGGGACUCCUCUAAACCACAUGCACGCCACAUCUUCCUCACUUCCUUGCACCAUAAGAAAAGGUGGCCUCCAUCUUCCUGUAGGCAAUGGCAUACCACGCAGUCGGUCUCCAGCUCAACCCCAAUGCGCUCCACAUUCCUCAAGAGAGGGUGGCUAUUAUGGGCCAGCCGCCAUAGGAAAUGAUGUAUCUUCCCCGGGCAAUGCACCUUCCACAACUGUUGCCACAUCGUCUUAUCCUCCUCCUCCCCCGACGAGCUUUCCCCACGCCGACGGGUGCGCUGUCUUUGGAGCAUUUCAGUGUGGACCCUAUAGGCUGACCGGACAGAGAAUAAACCCUUGCUGUCAAAUUACCAUGCAACAAAGUCCUCAUGAUGCUCGAAAAAUGGAAUCUUCAGGACCAUCCAGGCAUCUAUCGCACUGAAGGUUUGCUCAACUAGUUGUUCAUCCCAGGUAUGAGUAAGAGGAUCGAUGAGUUCAAGAACCCUGGUUAGCAAGGUGGCCCCCAGGGGGUCCUGGGGAAAUGGACUUGCCCUGCUGGGAGCCAAGGGUCCUACCAGAUGCAUACUAGUUGAUCUGGCCAUUUUCGAAAUGUCAUGAAAUAAAAUGUUGGAGUGGGAUAUAAUUGCCAUAAGUUGGGCUGAUGUGGAGUUCAGGAUCUCACUACUCCCCCACCACCACCACCUCAAUAUGGAAUUUCCUGUAAUUACCAGGCACUACCUUCAACUGGUUGUGCGUUUUCCAACAAAUGGUAGGCAUUGGCUCUGUGUUUCAUCAUGUCAAUUCCUCCAAGUCUAAAUUGAACAUGUUUUGGUCUGCUUAUUAUUUGUUUGCAGGCUGCCUUUCAAGGGACAGUUCCAAGUCCAUUCAAGGUCUUUUGGCAAUGCAUGCACUCAAAACCUGGGUAUCCGCUACUUCUCACGAUCCCUGUGUUUAAUGCUUUUGUUGGAAUAAUUAUAAUCAUUGUGAACAAUCUAAAUAUGUUCUUAAUUAGGUUUGUCCACAACAAUUUGAUAAGAUGAAUAAGCAGUAUCUGAGGAAAAUGUUAAGUUAGUGGUUGCUAAGUAUGCUCAUAUUAAACUAUUUCUUUUUCUUUAGUGGUUGCUUGCUUUUUCAGCAACUUAAAUGCUUAUUGUCUAGUUGCUACAUAUGGAUGCUCAUUAAAAAGUAAUCUCUUCAGUGUGGUUUUAUGUUCUUAUAUAUGGGAAAGCCUAAUAUCAGCCUAUCUGUGAAGUCUUCUUUUUCUCUUUAUACUAAAUAAAAUGGGAGUUGGUCAGAUCCGGUUACCCCCCCCACCCCCACCCCCACCCCACCCCCACACACACUACAAACUAGCUAAUGACUUCCUACAAGAAUUAAAUAUGGAACAUGACACGAAACAUGUAGUUGCUCGGGCACGGUUCUCCAUGUAGUUGCAAAUCCCUAAAAUUUAUGAGGUGGCUACCUUCCUACCUCUGUGCCAAGUAUGAUGUUUCACAUCUGUUAGAAAGGUAGUUCGGUAGGUUGGUUGGGUAACAUGGAUGGUGCAAGCUUUCUGAACAAUAUCUGGUCUGGCUGGCUGGGCUAGAAACUAAGGGCGUUGUUGGGAGCAACUAGUUCCAACAUAGUGGAGUAGAAGCAAUCAUUAUCCACCAAAAAUGAACAAAAUAAAGUACAUGGUGACAUGGCUUUCUCCUAAAAAAGGGUAAGUGCUUCAAGAAACUAUUGUACUGAAAUGCAUAUUUUGGAAGGACUCCAUAUGUGUGUGAAACUGUGAACUUUAGAAUUCUAAUGUUGAAUUUGCCCUCAGAGAGCUAGCGAGUAUCCACUAUAGUUUCUGGUGCACAUGCAUUUCACAUUGAUAAUUCACUAGAACGUGAUACAAUCACUGGUACGCGUCGGUGCUAUACAAACGGUUUUUGACCGCCUUUCCGCGAGGACAUUAGGAACCGUUGCCUAGUGAGUGACGGCGAUAGGAGGGUCUUUCCCACACGACCCAGAAACCGUCGGGGUAUGCCCUCCUGGCACACAUGCUCGGCAAAAUGAGGUUGUGUGCGACCGGCGAGCGCUCAAAUACGAAAAUACGUACAGUAGAGCUAAAAAAAUACAAUUAUAUAGGUGAAACUGUUUCUAGUCGCAAGUACACCCCACACAGUCAGUCCCCGCUAAAUGUUUCCGUUUGUAUGUACAUCCCACACAGUCGCUCCAAGGAAAACGUUUCCGUUCACAGGUAUAUCACACACAAUUUUCCCUGUUAAAUUGUUUGUGACAGCGUCUGUUGGGGAAUGGAGCAUUUAAAAAAAAUUCCUACGAUCACGCAAGAUCUAUCCAGGAGAAGCAUAGCAAUGAGCGGGGAGAGUGUCCACGUACCUUUGUAGGCCGAAAGCGGAAGCGUUUACACUACAAAAAAAUACACUUCCGUGAUGAUACGUGUUUGUCACAGUAGGUCGCGUUUUCUGUCAUGCAUGUACAUCCAUGACAAAUUUAUGACAGAAUCAAGAUAGUCAUACCUGUGCUGUCGUAGAAGUGUUCCAUGACAUUGCCAAAAUUAUCAUCACGGAAGUGUCCACUUCCAUGACGAUAAAUCGCGCAUCACAAAAGUGCUUUCGUCAAGGUUAACCGACACGUGGCAUCCACCGUAACGGAACGCUGUUAAGCUAUCGGGUCGGAUUUUGAAUCCGAUAACCCGUUAACAGCCACGACCAAUGCCGAUUUUCCACGUGUAAAAUUCUCAUUGGCUGACGGAUCCAUGCGUCAACUCCGCGUUGGCACAGGUGUCACUCAUCCAACAGUCGAGAUGAGCCUAUGAUAUGUUGACAUGUGGACCAGCCCAAAAGUGGCCCACAAAGAUUAAAUGGGCCGGCCCAACCGAAGGCCCAUAAGAUUUAGCGGACCAUAAUGGGCCAGCCCAGCUAAAGGCCCACAAGAUUUUGCGGACCACAAUGGGCCGCCCAGCUAAAGGCCCACUAGAUUUUGCCGACCAUAAUGGGCCUCCCCAGCUAAAGGCCCAACAUUCUCUAUCAAAUUGGCCCGUCAAUGGCCUGUCCUAAACUUGUCAUCAACGCGGCCCAUGGUCACUUCUGGCCCGUUAACAGUCCGCUAAGUAAUUGGGCCGAAUUACGGCCCGGUGUAUUUCCGGCCUGUUAAAGGUCCGGCUUCAUUUGGGCCCAUUUACAGGCCAUCAAAACUUUCGGCCCAUAAACGACCGUGAAGGAUUUGGGUCAUAUUCGGCCAUGUCUGACAUUCGGCCUGUUAGAGGCCCACUAUAGCUUUGGGCCACUUUCGGCCUAUUGUCAUUUUCGGCCUAUUAAUGCCGGACCUAAACCAUGGGCCAUAUGUGGCCCAAUGUCAUAUCGGGCCCAUUAACGGCCCAUAUAAAAAUGACGAUAAUCUAGCCCGACCGAAGUUCCGGCCUGUUAAAGGCCCGUGUAUUAGGUCGGCGCAUUUACGGCCCGUCCGAAUUUCGGCCUGUUAAAGUCCAGUGGGUUAUUUGGCACAAUCAGGGCCCAAUCUCACUUUUGGUCUAUUAAAGGCCCAUGUAUUUUAUGGGCUCGAGAUAAAUGGCCUAUUUUUACUGAGGGCCCAAAUUAUGUUUAGGCCUGUUAAAGGCCCACUAUGGGCAUAGGCCUACCAGAAAAAUAUGAAAGCUUAUGCUGAUUUAGGCCCAGAUAUUUUUAGUGGGCUACAUGCCAAUUUCGGCCCAUAAUCGUUUUUAGCCCAAUUGGAAUGGGCCCGACGAAUGUUGACAUGUUGGGCUCCUACGAAGCUUUAGGCCGAAUACAUUACUAAGAUAAACCUACACUACAAAAAUAGCGUUGUAAUUACUGCAGCCUGAGGCAGCAUCAUAAAUGUUGUAUCACAACAAAAUAAAUUCCAACCAUACAACAAAAGGCCUGUUGGCAUAAAGUUUACAGUCCUUCCAGAUAAAAGCACCAUCAGAUGUAUAGAAGCACAGAUCAUUUGACCUGAGUACUAAUGUUUUAGGCUGUAGAAUCUGAUGGAACAGCACGAUCUCCACCUUUUUUCCGCCAUUGCUCUUGAACAACGAAGCGAAUGUCUAAUAGUCUGGUUUCAAAACCAUUCAUAUCUUGACGACAUUUCUCAACCACUAUUCUUGUUUCCGAAACAACGUCCACUAGGGAUUGGACUUGUGUCUGGAGCACAGAUAUAUCACUCUGUCUAGCAGGAAGAUUUUGUUCAGUAGGUGAUUUGGACGAGGUUACCUUGACAACCAACCCAGAAUUACGCAGGAAGGUGCUUUUUGCACUGUUAGUGGAGAGAUACUGAUGCACUGCAGCAAGAGGUGACAUUGUGCCUGUAGUAGCCUCGUCACCUUCAGGUGGUUGUGGCUGUUCAAUCAUUUGUUCCAUAGCUUCCUGAAAGUUUGAACUUGGAGAUUAGUGUACCAGAUAAGUUACUAAUGAGACAAAAACAAACAAAGUAGGUUAAACGUUUAUACAUAACUUAUUUUGGUGAACUACUAUAAUACAUUAGCAUGUAUUGUAGUGCCAACUACAUAAUAAAAUCACUUUCGGAACAUAUGUCCAUGUAGCAUGCCUACUGUAUUGUCUAUUUCCUCACAUUCGUUGACAUCUAAGGAUAAAGAGACAUGGUUUAAAGUAGGAUGAACAUAGUAUGGCAUCAUUCAUAUCAUGGGCAAACAGAUAUAAAACAAACAGGCUUAUCAUUGUGUGCGCACGUGAACAUAACAACUAGAUUACAGAUCAAGACCAAAAGAAUAUCCUUCAUCUCUUUUAAACCAUGUAAGGUGAAAUGAUACGUUAAGACAACUGUGAAUAAAAGUGAACAGAGUAACUGACAUUGGCUGCAAACUAAGUAGUUAAAUGAACACAUCACAGUACCAACCAGUUCAAGGCAGGAGGAGUAAGGACUUACAACAGCGGCUUGAACUGAUGUGCUCAUGCCCUUCAUCUUGCUGGUGUGGCAAUCCUUGAAGAUUUGCACUGCAUUCGGUUCAGGUUCUUUUUGGUCCGCAUGGGAUUUCCUCUGUAAUUGGAACAAGUCAAUAUAGAUACGAUAAUAUGGCACACAAAAAAGAAGGAAGUAGCAGCUAUUUACAAGAGCCUCGUAGUGUGCAAUAUAGCUACGAGUUCCUGUGGUCUGUUGGAAUUUCACUUUAGAACAGUUGGUUUUGUUCUUCAAACAGUUAGCCUAGAAGAAGAUACACUUGUAAGGCACAUACAUAAAUGCAAGUUCAAUAUGUGGUCUGAUCAAAUACAUAUAGCCUACCUGAUACUUUGGAUCAGACCAGUGUUUAACGAGGGCUGUCCAGUCUUCAUCUGUAAUAUAUUCCACUGGAGAUGUUUGGGCGAUUUCAUUGUUAGACUUGCCUUCAAAGUGAGAUUUUCUAAGGUGGUACCGAUACUGUCGUAGAGCAGACUGAAAAACAUGAGUGCAUGCUUGUCUAGUUGCAUCAUCUUUCGGAUCCAACUUGAACCUCAUCUGUUGAAAAAAGAAUGUAAGUCUUAUUAGGAGGAAGCUGGAAAGUAUGGGACAGAGCAAGACAAUGUUACUAAUUGCGAUGAAUAACAUUACUUACGGAUAAAUGGUCAAGGAAGGUGUUAAACUGGGUAUUGUCUUUCUCAUUCCUGUACUGGGUCUACGUUGGGAGGAUACGUGCAUGACACCUAACGGCAACGGUUGCCUCUGAUACUAACUUGGCUGACUCUGUAGCGUCACGUGACCUUUUUAAACCUGCCUCAAAAUGGAUCUCCAUUCUUCCUCCUUUAGAUUUUGUUAAUCUGUCAAGCAUUAUCCCUGAUGUCUGUUUCUGCUUGCGUCAUGGUGCUAGUUCAAUAACGAAUAUGGAAAGUGUUAGUGUACAUCAAACUGUGAGAGUACAUAUAAAGGAGCAUGCAACUGCAACUUGACUCGGACAGGUACCGUCUUGGUGUUGAUGUUCAUGAGGUUCAUCUGAUCUUGCCAAGUCCUGUUGUGUCAGCAGUGCUUUGGAAGUAGUGUUAGGUGUGAAGGCAGCUUGGGAACUGGCCAGUUCUGGAGCAAAUGAACGAGUAACUGGUUGAGAUGCUGGUACAGUUGAAGCGGAUGCUGCAGCUGGUGGAGCAGGUGAUACUGUGUUUGUAGAUUUAGUCGGUGGACUUGGACCUUCUACUCCACUAUAAGUACCAGCAGAAUCUCAAUGGCAGAACCUUUUCCGUUUCACCUGACGAGUAACAACACUCCCUACUAUAUUAUUUUCCUUGCUCUUUUUUGACUUUGCCAUGUCAAGUUGUACCCACAACACAAAAGAAUAAAAUCACUCUUCAGAACUCAUUGAUGCAUGAUACAGACAAGCAAUACUUUGAUGUAAGACAACCGUAUGAGGAUGGAAUAUGUAAGAAAAACAUGACGGCAUGACAUAUUCACAGCUAUGAUGUGCAAACUAAGCAGAAGGAUUUUCAAGAAAAUAGAAGUAAUGCAAGCUAGACACCAUAUGAAAGAUGCAACCAAUAUUACUCUGCCAAGUUAAAAGUGUCUUGUCAUAAGUGGCAAUUCGAAAAAUUAGAAGCAGUACAACGUAGAAAUCAAUGCAAGAUGCAACCACUAUCAAACUGCCAUGUUAGAAGCAUCCAAUCAUGAGUGACUGAUGCAGGAUACACAACAUCAGUACUUUGAUGUAAGAACAUGGUAUGAUAGAUGGAUGCAGUGUAUUCUAGACACAGAAAGCCAUGUCAUAUGCACAUGUAUAACGUAUAAACUCAGCAGGUGAAAUUUAAUCAAAAUAGAAGAAAUACAGGCUAGACAACAUAUGCAACAUGAAACUAAUUAUCACACUGUCAACUUAGAGCAAGCACCUGCGAUGGUGGAGUACGGGAGAUGAACUCAUCAUGUAGACUUGGGACUUCAACUUCAUUAGCAGUAGCAGUGGCAAAUCUAGAGAGUCUCUGUUUGCAUCGAUGCAGAGGACCACCAACAUCCCCUAACUUACUCUUUUCCUUCCUAUUUUUUGAUAUUGCCUUAUGAAGUCAAAACCACAAGAAGAUGAAUAAAAUUAGCUCUGCAUAACUGGUUGAUGCAUGAUACAGACGAACACUACUUUGAUGUAAGGCAAGUGCAGGAUAGGAGGAUGGAAUAUAUACAAAAAAAUACAUCGUUUCAUAUUCACACAUACGAUAGGAGGAUGGAAUAUGUAUGAAAAAACAGUAAGCGGAAGGCAUUUCAACAAAAUUAGAAGAAAUGAAAGCUAGGCACCAUAUGAACAUGCAACCAAUAUCACUCUAUCAGGUAAAAAGUGUCUCGUUGUAAGAGCCAUUUCAAGAAAUUAGAAGCAGUACAAGCUAGAAGACAAUGCAAGAUGCAACCUACAUCACAGUCCCAAGUUAAAUGUGUCUUAUGGGCAAGUGAUCGUUGCAGGUAUAAGUUGUAAGCUACGCAGAUGCAAUUCAACAUAAUCAGAAGCAAUACAAACUAGACAUCAUACGGAAAACACAACCACGUAUAACAGUUCCAAGUAAGAGCAAGCACCUGUGAUGGUGGAGUAGGGGAGAUGUGCUCAUCAUGUACACGUAUGUUCUAGAAACAGGAACACAUGUCAUAUUCACAGGCAAUAUGUGUAAAGUAAGAAGAUGCAAUUCAAGUUAGAAGCAAUACAAGCUAGACAUCAUACGCAACAUGCAACCACAUAUAAUAGUGUCAAGUUAGAGCAAGCACCUGUGAUGGUGGAGUAGGGGAGAUGUGCUCAUCAUCUACACAGCUACGUUGACUGUCCAGCCUUGUGUUGUCUUGCGAAUCUUGUUGGGAGGAUGGCGGAGUAGAAUCUGUAGAGACUCCCUGUUUGAGUUGCUCCGAAGGACCACCAUCAUCCACUGCCGGACUAAUUUCCUUCAGCUGUAAUGAUUUUGCAUUGUGAAGUCAAACCAAUAAGAAAAAAGAAUAAAAUUCGCUCUUCAGAACUCAUUCAUGCAUGAUACUGACGAACACUACUCGGAUGAAAGGCAAACACAUGAUGCGAGGAUGGAAUAUGUAUGAAAAAUAGGAUGGUGUGACAUAUUCACACCUAUGAUGUGGUAACUAAGCAGAAGGCAUUUCAACAAAUUAGAAGCACUGCAAGGUAGACACCAUAUGAAAGAUGCAACCAAUAUCACUCUGCCAAGUUCAAACUGUAUGGCGUUUCAACAAAUUAGAAGCAGUACAUGCUAGAAAUCAUAUGCAAGACACAACCAAUAUCACAGUGGCGACUUAAAGGUGCCUUAUCAUAAGUGACUGAUGCGGGAUAUGCAAGAAUAGUAGUCUGAUGUAGAAAUAGGAACACAUGUCAUAUUCACAGGCAUUAUGUGUAAAGUAAGCAGAUGCAAUUCAACAAAGUUAGAAGCAAUACAAGCUAGACAUCAUACGCAACAUGCAACCACAUAUAAUAGUGCCAAGUUAGAGCAAGCAUCUGUGAUGGUGGAGUAGGGGAGAUGUGCUCAUCAUCUACACAGCUACGUUGACUAUCUAGCCUUGCGUUGUCUUGCGAAUCUUGUUGGGAGGAUGGCGGAGUAGAAUCUGUAGAGAACCUCCAUUUUAGUUGCUCGGAAGGACCACCAUCAUCCAAUGCCUUGCCAAUUUCCUUCAGCUUUAUUGAUUUUGCAUUGUGAGGUCAUACCGAUAAGAAAAAGGAAUAUCAUUCGCUCUUCAGAACUCAUUCAUGCAUGAUACUGACGAACACUACUGUGAUGAAAGGCAAAGUCAUGACACGAGGAUGGAAUAUGUACGAAAAAAUGGACGGCUUGACAUAUUCACACCUAUGGAUAUGGUAACUAAGUAGAAGGCACUUCAACAAAUUAGAAACACUGCAAGACACCAUAUGGAAGGUGCAGUCAAUAUCACUCUGCCAAGUUAAAACUGUCUCGUCAUAGGUGGCGUUCAUCAAACUAGAAGCAAUACAUGCUAGAAAUCAUAUCCAAGACGCAAACCAAUAUCACACUGCCAACUUAAAGGUGUCCCAUCAUAAGUGACUGAUGUAGGAUACACAAGAAGAGUAGUUCCAUGUAAGAACAUGGUGUGAUAGACAGAUAUAGUAUGUACCAAAAACAGGAAAGCGUGUCAUAUUCACAUGUAUCAUGUGCAAGCUAAGCAGAUGCAGUUUACACUAAUUAGGAGCAAUAAGAGCUAGACACCAUAUGCAACAUGCAACCAGAUAUCACACUGCCAAGUUAGAGCAAGCACCUUGGAUGGUGGAGUAGGGGAGCGGAGACUUGGACCUUGUAGUGCACUAUCAGUACAAGGAGAAUCGGUACAGAUGCUCCGUUUACGUUGCUGCAGAGGACCACCAUCAUCGCCUUCCUUACUCUUUUCCUUCCUCUUUCUUAAUUUUGCCUUGUCAAGUCAAACCCACAAGAAAAAGGAAUAAAAUUUGCUCUUCAGAACUCAUUGAUGCAUGAUACUGACGAACACUACUUUCAUGUAAGACGAACACUACAUAUCACACUGCCAAGUAAGAGCAAGCACCUGCGAUGGUGGUGUGGGGGAAUUGCGGUGAUCAACUAGAGAGCUACGUUGACUAUCUUCAUUUAGCCUUGCUGUUUCUUGAGAAUCAUGUGGCGAGGAUGACACUGCACUCUUUAAACGAGUAUGGCGUCUCACAGAAACCCAUCCGGGUGACUGUCUCAUCAUAAGUGAUUGACGAGGGAUACAAAAGAGCAUUAGUUUGAUGUACAAACAUGGUUAAUAGACAUAUGUAGUAUGUAUCAAAAACAGGAAGGCAUGUCAUUAUCAAAGGUAUAAUGUGUAAAGUAAGCAGAUGCAAUUUAACCAAAUUGGAAGCAAUACAAGCUAGACACCAUAUGCAACAUGCAACCACAUUUGAUAGCGCGAAGUUAAAGCAAGCACCUGGGAUGGUUGUGUGUGGAAAUUGAGAUCAUCAACUGCAGAGCUAAGUUUACUGUCUCCAACUGCUGACACUGCACCCGUUAGAGUGCUGGAACGCUUAGUGCUUACCUUUGAAUUACACUGGAGCAACUUCUGUCUUUUCUUUUCUGCAUUCAUCAACACUGCGUCAGAGUCUGAAAUACCCAUGCAUAAAAAAACAAUAGUGUGAGUAUGGGUGAAGUGUGUGCACAAUUAGUACAGUGUAAAGGUAGAAGAUAGCAGGUCAGUGAGAAAUAAAUGACAUAAGACAUAUGAUAGCUCUACAACAUGCAUGGCACACUAAAUUACUACAGGAUUCUAUGAAAAUAACAGUCGACUGAAAGCAAAUAGGCCAGUCCAUUUUUUCUGCACCGUCUGAUGUACAAAGAACGGGAAGAUCGCCUUCAUCUAGCUCCAGCGAGUCAGUGUUGACGAUCUUCCUCGAAACGCCAACGACCACCGGCCCAGUAUUCCUCCCCUGCCUGCGCCCUCCCCUCGACCUCACCGCACCGCCGUGCUUGGCACCGCCCCCCAGCCAUCCAUUCAAGCCCCGCCGACCUCCAGAUCGGGCGCAAGCAGCUCCUGUGCCCCACACCCCUAUGAUAGACACCGAUGCGCCGCGUCCCCGGGGAACAAGCGGACUAGGUGCUCCGCGCGCCUAAGCGGGUGUUGCUUCUUUUAAUUGUGGUUCGACUGACCCUGAAUUGAAAUCCAGGCGGGCUACUGACCUCUAGCAAAGGUGAAAUAGUAAAAGGAAGGAAACAUUAUGCAUUUAGUAUCACAAAGAAGAUGCAGUAAGAAGCGCUCAACUAGUUUCUUUCGUGGGAUGAAUACGGUGUGAGCGGAGACGUAAGAUUUGCACGAAUAAGGGAAGAGGAGUACCUCUUUCUGCUGGCAGUGUUGUGUCCUCCUUCUGUUUUUCCGACGAUCUUCUUGUUGUUCGCCAGAAACCAGAAGUUUUGGAGGACGGUGCAACCUUGGACGAACCCAUGGCCAAGUUGUUGAGUGUGGUGCGGUGGCCGUCUAUCGGCGGCGGGGAAGCAGAUCCGAGGCGGCGAACAACGGCGUAGCGGGAAUAGCUCCGGCGCGGUGGACGGUUGCGACAGUGGAGCAGUGAGGCGCAGGACGGCAUGGUCGGAGUGGUUCUGGUACGGCGCACGUCGGCGUCGACGUCGUGGAGGCAGCUCUGCCUCGGCUUCAACUGCUAAGUCCUGAGGGCGUUGCGGUUGCGGUUGCGUUGGACGACGACGUCGGGGUAUCGGCUCCGGCAUGAUGGAGGAGGGAGGCGGUGGAUUGGCCGCUAUGGGGUGGAGGACGGAGGAGGCUAGGGUUUCGCGGCUGGUGGAGAGGGCGUUUUCGCGCCCACGGAGUAUGAAUGGGGAAACGAAGGGAGGCGGGGAACUAAGGGGGGACAAUGUUUCGGUUUGAGACGUGCUUGUUUGAAAUUUGGGGAAAGUUACAAACUUUCCCCCCAUCUAAAAUUUCGGACAUAUUGCGGGUUGGGGGUAGGACAGUCAUGUCAGGUGUCCCAAAUGUGGGCGGGAUAGAUUUCGGCCGAGCGCAUGGUAGGCGCCCAUGGCGUAUGAAUGCUUCUCUAGCGUCUUGGUGAAGUUACAAACCUACCCCGGUUUAGACCUUUGGACAUCGGGCCGAUAGGCUACACGGGCCAGAGUCAGGACAGUAGUUUCCUACCACCAAAACAUUAGUCUCGCACGGUUUCGGGUGACCAGAGGCCUAUUUGGCACUUCGUUCAGGGCCUCUUUGAUUCACAGGAUUGUCAAAAUGAAGGAAUAGGAAAAAUGCAGGAAUAGGGUGACAUGUCCCAUAGUAUCCUACAGGAUUUGAAAGAAUGUUUGAUAGCAUAGGAAAAACAAAGGAAUUCUACAAAGAGGUUUGAGUGGAUGGAAAUUUUCCUCCAAAAUGUAGUACAAAUGGAUCAUAUGGAAAAAUUCCUAAGGAUGCCAAUCCUACGAAUCAAACGAGCAUCACAGGAAAAAUUCCUAAGGGUUUAAAUCCUCCAAAAAUCCUAUGCAAUUCCUUUGAAUCAAAGGAGCCCUUAAUAUUUGGGAGCAGAAGCAUUUAACUUUUUCGGUUCUCUUGAAUUGAACUUUCAGGAUUUGUCAAACUUCACAAAUCUUUACUCUUGAAAAUCCUAAAGCUACAAUUAUUUUGGAAUGGAGGGGGUACAUUUGAAUAUACAUUAUACAUGAGUAUAUAUUAAAAAAAUAUGCAACUUACCUCAGUUCAUGCAUGGUUCCAAAUAUAAUCUCCUUGGUUGCAAAAAAAGUUAGAUAUGCUUAUGAAUAUAUAUAGCAUGUUCAAACUCUCAACAAACAUUGAUGCCCCCUUUUACAUAUGAUUUACAAAUGCCAUUAUCUCGGGUUCAAAUAGAUGAAUGCACUUCCUAUGAAUUCGAAUCUUCGAAACCCCCUUUAUGUUGAAUUCGACAUGUAUUCUAUUUCAUAGCUAGCAAUUUGGAAUGUAUCCAUGCAAGUGACAAAUGUAUAAAGUGCUUCACACUAACAACAUGGAGUGAACUAAUUAAUGUUUAUAUAUGAGUUGCAAAAGCAUCCAUUGCCUGUAUUUCAAACCGCUCUCACUCCAUGGAUCGAUAAUAUGAAAUAAACACAUGCACAUGCUAGAAUUCAAUUGCAGUUGACGAAAGAUCCUACUCCUGGUACUGUAUAUUAGUGAUAGGGGUGUGUACAAAGUACACGUGAAUACCAGGCAUUGUGCGUGUGUGUAUACUAUCGACGAACUAGCCCCCAAGCUUGUAUAACAUACUAAGGGCCUAGGGUUACAAAUCAUAUAUAGUCGGCUUAUCACCAGUGGGGAUAGAGUCCUCCGUGACUCUGGUAGCUUCGUGUUUUACGCCGAGUCCUCCACAUGGGUCUUCGUAUAACACGUCUCGGUCCAACCUAUAUGUGGCGCAGGAUGGAACCGACCCAUGAGUCUUCAUGUUGACCCACCACAACUAGAACUGAUGUGCCCACCACACCACACACGCAAUCUGCCACUAAGAAAAUAAGCAUAUACAAUAGUACAACGGUAUCUAGCUCACGAUACGUCUCCAUAUUUUGUUGAUAACACUGACGGACUUUGCAUUUGAUGCGUGCUCCGUAUUUUGUUGACGACACUUACGGUCAUUGUAUUUGAAGCGAAAGCACGGUAUGGUCACUGGACUUCAGAAUAAGCUCAUCACGGUCACCACAUACAUUUUGUCGUGCUAACCAACAUGUGGUUGGAUGGUUAGAGGACAAUGGUUUCUCGAGCCCACCAAGGUUAAAGUCCCGGUGCUCGCAUUUAUCUUGUGUUAAUUUCAGUAUUUUCCGGUGACGUACGUUCAGUGGGAGGAGACGUUCCACUCGACUACGAGGCACCUAUGGUGACUUCGUAAAAUCUCAAGAUCAUAUAUGCUGGCCCACUCUCUCGAAGGUGCUCAUGGGGGUAGGGUUCGCGUGUGUGCGCUUAUAGCGGUGAGUGCUUGCGCGUAUAUAUGAGCCCUUGCGUCUGUACCGUGUUAAACAAAUACAUAUCAUGAUUAUACGGUCACUAGCUCACCCGUACAACUCCGUAUUUUGUUGAUGACACAAUCAAUUGACCAGUUAAACAUUCCACACGGCGCAACUAGUGUUGCACCAUCGGGGCACGUAACCGUGGGGCCCACCUGUCAGCCCGUAUAUGAAAGAAAGAAAUGAUAGUUUGAGUCUGUACUGUGUUAAUAAAACAAGAGCACAUUUUAGGGUGAUCAUACGGUCACUGGCUCACCAUACAGCUCCGUAAUUUGUUGAUAACACGAUCAAUUGACCAGUCAAACGGUCCACAUUCAGCAGCGUACAUUACCAUAGGGCCCACCCAUCAGCGCGUAUAUGAAGGACAAAAAUGGUAAUAAAUGAGUGGUUUCGGGGAGGGCGGGCCGGCCGCGGGCGGCGGGGGCUGGCGGUUCGGCCGGUGGUGGCUGGCGGCUCAGGGGGGGGGGUGGAGUUUGAUGAUAAACUGGAGGCCCUUGAUUUCGUAUCCAACGGUUGGAAAAAUCUAAUGACCAGAGAUGAAAAAGUCAGUCGACUGACGUGUAGCCUCACCCCGCAUGUACACAUGCACGCACGCAAGACACGCGCGCAUGUAGGCGUGCAACACUGCCACGUACACACACACGCAUGCUGUCGUGCAACACUGACACGUACACAUGCACUCACGAACACACGUACGUACGCACCCAUGCAUGCAACACUAAAACGUACCCUUGCACACACGCAACACUCGCAUGCCUACAUGCACAUAGCACACGACGCAAGACACACGUUCAACCUAUACGUGCAUGCACCCUUUGUUAAGGACAUGGAUUGUUACGGGUAUUAAUCUCUUAUCUGUGAUAAGCAGAACAUUGAUGUUUGCAGCGGUCUUUAUGAAUCACAACGUAUCUAACGGGCUAUCAACAUAGUAGGCUUAUCUACAUGAAAAAGAUGACGUCACACUCAAUGAACAAUCAUCGGUUUAUGAAAUGCCCGCUUCUGACAGCCCUAGCCCACCAAAGGUUCCUCUACUGUGCGCUGCCUGCGUUGGCUCACUGACAUGCAUGCCAUGCACCCAAAGAGCCCACAUGUCAGUGGAAGAAUAGCGCGGUGUCCUAGGUCAGAGUCGAGGGCGCCACUCGCGGCACGCCCGGCUGAACACGCCUCCGUGCCGCAUUCAAACGCCUCCAUGAAACCCGCCCGUGUGGAAGCCGAGAAACCCACUCUGGACACACGUCCGUUCAUGACCGGGCCGCUCCCCUAUCUCGUCCACCAUUUUGUCCACUCUUACAAUGGCUUACGAAGAGUACACUAGUAGAAAAAGGGUCAAAUGUGAAGCACAUUAGUGCCAGUUUGAAUUUGAGCCGGCACUAAUGUGUACAUUAGUGCCGGUUCCAACGGCUAGCCGGGCCGCUCUCAUUAGUACCGGUUCGUGGCGAACCUUUAGCACCAGUUCGUGCCACGAACCGGUACUAAAGUGAGUGGUGGCAGGAUGUUGUCAGUCCGGGGCCCCUCCAGCACCUUUAGUACCGGGUCGUAUCACGAACCGGUACUAAAGGUCAUCGUACAUAGACCCUUUGUCCACCCGAUCUCGCUCUCUUCUUCCCCUUUCCCCUCUCCUCUCUGUUCUUUUCCUUCUUCCUCUUAAGCUCAUCACACAUUUUGCCCAAGAUUUGAAGGCCCCCAUCCAUUCAAAUGAUCACAAAGGUUAGCAACUCUUUCCUUUCAUCUCUCGUUGCUAGAUUAGCUCGUGCAAUGCUUUAUAUAGUGAUUGAUUUUUGAGUUUAGUAAUUUGGGAGGAAUUAUAUAUAUGUGCUAGUAUUUGAUUUAUAUGCAAUUUGAGGUCAAAAAUAACACUUAGUUUUGCAUAUGUAGGUGUGGUUUACUUAGUACCUUCUAAAUCUCCGUCGUAACCACCGUCGAUCGCUCGCAACGUCCCGUCGCCGGCACCACCUUGUGGUGAGCCUCUUGUUCAUGAAGUUUUAUAUAAAAAAAUGAUGUUUGUGUGAUUUGGAUAUAUAGUUACUCGUAUAAUUAUCUUACCCAUACGUUGUUUGUUAUGCAUGGUGCCAUGGUUUUGAUAUCCGUCCCCGUCGGCCCUCGUCCGAGUUAUGAUUCAGAUGUGGUAUAUUCUCUUUUAAAACUAUUCAUUGCAUUUUGUGUUUAUGACAAAUUAUGCCCAUCAAGUUGACAUAGAUAUUUGUAUGUAGGAGGUAGUUGAACCCGAAAUUCCAACCGACCCUAUUGUCGAGAGGUUAUAUUUAGUUGAAAGAGAAAACGAGGAUUUGAAGGAAAAAUUGAAAAGAAUUGAGGGGGAGAAGAUGGAAUUGGAGUUGCAUGUUGCCGAUGUCGUCGAUGAUCACAAGAUUAAGAUGGAGAAAAUGCGCUUGAAGAUUAGAAAGAUUAGAAAAUAUGCCAUUCAUAGUGAGGCUUGGUAUCAUUAUGCUGUUGGAUCAAUUGUUACCUUAGUUGCGAUCUUGAUCGCAUUUGUUGUUGCAUUUAAAUUCUUUAGCUAGAGAGUUAUUUGUUUGUUGCAUUGUGUUGUAUGCUCUUUAUGUAUGAACUUUACGUAUGAACUUUAUGUAUUGUAUUAAUUCGAUGUUUUCGGUGCUGUGUAUUGAAGAUGAGCCGGCAAUGGAUCUAUGAUGAUCGAUGCUCUCCCGAGUUCAUUAAUGACGUGCAUACUUUUCUGCUUGCGGCUGAGGCAAACAAGCGAGCGGAUGGUUUUAUGUAUUGUCCAUGUGCUGGCUGUAAGAAUGGUCGCAAUUACUCUACGUCAAGAACCAUUCACGUCCACUUGUUUGAGUCCGGUUUCAUGCCCCACUAUAAUGUUUAGACCAAGCAUGGAGAAAGAGGGGUUAUGAUGGAAGACAAUGAAGAAGAAGAGGACGACGACAACUAUCCUGGCCAUGGGUUCCCUGAAUACAAUGAUACAACAAUGAGGGAAGAAGCUGAGCCGGUAAUGCGGGAAGAAGCUGAGCUGGCAAUGCGGGAAGAAGCUGAAGAAGAGGCAUCGGAUGAGCCCGUUGAUGAUCUAGGUCGGGCCAUUGCCGAUGCAAAGAGAAACUGCGCAAGUGAUUUGGAGAAGAAGAAGUUGCAGCGCAUGUUAGAGGAUCACAAAAAUUGUUGUACCCGAAUUGCGUAGGUGACAAGAAAAAGCUGGGCACCACACUGGAAUUGCUGCAAUGGAAGGCAGAGAAUGGUGUAUCUGACAAGGGAUUUGGAAAGUUGCUGGUAAUGAUAAAGGAUAUGCUUCCAAAGGACAACGAAUUGCCCGAGAGUAUGUACCAAGCAAAGAAGGCUGUCUACCCUCUAGGGUUAGAGGUGCAGAAGAUACAUGCAUGCCCUAAUGAUUGCAUCCUCUACCGCGGUGAGUACGAGGAUUUGAACGCUUGCCCGGUAUGCGGUGCAUUGCGCUAUAAGAUCAGCCGCGAUGACCCUGGUGAUGUCGAGGGCGAGCGCCCCAGGAAGAAGAUUCCUGCCAAGGUGAUGUGGUAUGCUCCUAUAAUACCACGGUUGAAACGUUUGUUCCAAAACAAAGAGCAUGCCAAGGCGAUGCGAUGGCAUAGAGAAGACCGUAAGAAAGACGGAAAGUUGAGAGUACCCGCUGACGGGUCGCAGUGGAGAAAAAUCGAAAGAAAGUAUGGGAAGGAGUUUGCAGAUGACGCAAGGAACGUAUGGUUUGGUCUAAGCGCAGAUGGCAUUAAUCCUUUUGGGGAGCAGAGCAUCAACCAUAGCACCUGGCCUGUGACUCUAUGUUUGUAUAACCUUCCUCCUUGGUUGUGCAUGAAGCGGAAGUUCAUUAUGAUGCCAGUGCUCAUCCAAGGCCCUAAGCAACCCGACAACGACAUUGAUGUGUACCUAAGGCCAUUAGUUGAAGAACUCUUACAAAUGUGGAAUGGAACAGGUGUACGUGCAUGGGAUGAGCACAUGGGGGAAGAAUUUGACCUAAAGGCAUUGCUGUUCGUGACAAUCAAUGAUUGGCCUGCUCUCAGUAACCUUUUAGGACAGACAAACAAGGGAUACCACGCAUGCACGCACUGUUUGGACGAUACCGACAGUAUAUAUUUGGCUAAUUGUAAGAAGAAUGUGUACCUAGGACAACGUCGAUUUCUUCCGAGCAGGCAUCCCGUAAGAAAGAAAGGCAAGCAUUUCAAAGGUGAGGCGGAUCACCGGACGAAGCCUCGCCACCGUACUGGUGCUGAUGUACAUGAUAUGGUCAAGGAUUUGAAGGUGGUCUUUGGAAAGGGUCCUGGUGGACAACCUGUUCCGAAUGACGCUGAGGGACGCGCACCCAUGUGGAAGAAGAAACCUAUAUUUUAGGACCUGCCCUAUUGGAAAGACCUAGGGGUCCGCUCCGCAAUCGACGUGAUGCACGUGACGAAGAAUCUUUGUGUGACCCUGCUUGGCUUCUUGGGCGUGUAUGGGAAGACAAAAGAUACACCUGAGGCACGGGAGGACCAGCAACGUAUGCACAGAAAAGACGGCAUACAUCAGGGUCAUGCAAGCUACGCUCUUACCAAAGAAGAGAAGGAAAUCUUCUUUGAAUGCAUGCUUAGUAUUAAGGUACCGUCUGGCUUCUCGUCGAAUAUAAAGGGAAUAAUAAACAUGGUAGAGAAAAAGUUCCAGAACCUAAAGUCUCAUGACUGCCACAUGAUUAUGACGCAACUGCUUCCGGUUGCAUUGAGGGGGCUUCUACCGGAAAACGUUCGAUUAGCCAUUGUGAAGCUAUGUGCAUUUCUCAAUGCAAUCUCUUAGAAGGUAAUCGAUCCAAAAAUCAUACCAAGGUUAGAGAAUGAUUUGGUGCAAUGUCUUGUCAGUUUCGAGUUGGUGUUCCCACCAUCCUUCUUCAACAUCAUGACGCACGUCCUAGUUCACCUAUGCGAAGAGAUUAACGUUUUGGGUCCUGUAUUUCUACACAAUAUGUUCCCCUUUGAGAGAUUCAUGGGAGUCUUAAAGAAAUAUGUCCAUAACCAUGCUAGGCAAGAAGGAAGCAUCUCCAAGGGCCAUGAAAAUGAGGAGGUCAUUGAGUUUUGUAUUGACUUUAUUCCUGACCUUAAGCCGAUUGGUGUUCCUGAAUCGCGGCAUAAGGGCAGACUGGAUGGAAAAGGCACGCUAGGAGGGGAACAAAUAAUAUGUAUGGACGGACAUUCUCUCACUGAAGCACACUACAUAGUUCUACAUAAUUCCGCCUUGGUGGCUCCGUAUAUGGAUGAACACAAGAAUUUGCUACGCUCCAAACACCUGGAGCGGUCUGAUGACUGGAUUACACGUGAACAAACCAGGAGUUUUGCUAGCUGGUUGCAGACACGUACCAUGCACGACACCUCUAUUGAAGAUGACCUGUACUUGCUGUCCCAGUUACCAUCUUCGAAUAUAAUGACUUUCAAAGGGUACGAGAUAAAUGGUAAUACAUUUUACACGAUCGCCCAAGAUAAGAAGAGCACCAACCAAAACAGUGGUGUCCGCUUUGAUGCAGAAACCAAGACAGAAAAGGAAACAUAUUAUGGUUAUAUACAGGACAUAUGGGAACUUGACUAUCGACGUGGUUUGAAGGUCCCUUUGUUUCGGUGCAAAUGGGUCAAUAUGACACGAGGCGGGGUAACGGAAGACCCACAGUACGGAAUGACAACAGUGGAUCUCAACAAUCUUGCGUAUGCAGACGAACCAUUCGUCCUAGCCAAUGAUGUGGCACAGGUUUUCUAUGUGAAGGACAUGUCUACCAAGCCAAGAAAAAGAAAAGAUAAGGAAGCGAAUGCAUCAUACGAUGAGCCAAAGCGGCACAUAGUUCUUUCUGGGAAGAGAAACAUCGUGGGAGUGGAUGACAAGACAGACAUGUCAGAAAAUUAUGAAAAGUUUGAUGAAAUUGCUCCAUUCACAGUGAAUAUUGACCCGAGCAUCCCGUUAGAUGAUGAAGAUUUUCCAUGGUUACGGCGCAAAGGUACACACGCGAAGAAAAAGUUCCACACCCAAAGAUUUGGGAUGUGAUCGGCUUCACUAUCAUCACUUUCUUUUGUGUUUCACACCCAGGAGGGAAUCUCUGUAAUAGUUAGGUAGUUAUGUGUUUUGGCAUUUGAAACGCGAAGAAAUUUUAUGUGCAAACAAAUUCUUUCAUGCCUUUACUGAUUUCUAAAGUUAAGUUAUUCACAAACUAGUGAUUCACACUAAUUUCAAAUAAUUCAAAAUUUAAACUAUUCAAAUUUGAAAACUACGGGCACUAACAGAAAGUUUGUAAUUUUUUGUACCUAAAGCAAAAAUAUUCACAAAGAAACUCUAAAUACACAAAAAAACAACUAAAAAUAAAUAAAGCAAAAAAAUAAAAAAGCCCGCCUACUGGGCCAGAGCGGCCUGCAUACGACUAGAAACCCAACCUGUUGUUGGGCCAGGAUGCAGGCCCACAAAGGCCCGGUAGGCCCACAAGGCAGCAUAGAACAUGUAGGCCCAGUAGGCCUGCUUUGGAGAGGAGCUCGAGAGAGCUACCGCACGGGGGUUUAUAAACCAGUGCGGACGCCCCUCGGCUAGCGAGGUGGGACUAAACUUGCCGCACAGCACCUUGCCAGCGCACCCCCUUUAGUACCGGGUGGUGGCUCCAACCGGUACUAAAGGCCCCCCCUUUAGUACCGGUUGGAGCCACCACCCGGUACUAAUGGGUGUGCGGUUCCCGCUGCUUGGCCUGGCCAAAACAAGCCUUUAGUACCGGUUGGUGGCUCCAACCGGUACUAAAGGUCCAUCCUAUAUAACUAAAUACUUCAAAAAUUUCAGUUUCUCAUCUGCUUCUUCUCCUCUGCCCCGUCGCCCGCCGCCCCCAUCUCCAUAUCCCUCGCCGCCGCCCCGUCCCAGUCGUCCCCGUCGUCACCGCCGCGCCGUCCCGGCCCGUCCCGCGCGUCGUCCCCGUCCCCGUCAUCGCCGCCCCGUCCCCGUCGUCGCCGCCCCGGCCCGUCCCCGUCAUCACCGCCCCUUCCCUGUCCCCAUCAUCGCCAUCCCCGUCGUCGCCGCGCCCGUUGCCGUCCCCGUCGCCUCUCGCCUCGCCGGUNNNNNNNNNNNNNNNNNNNNNNNNNNNNNNNNNNNNNNNNNNNNNNNNNNNNNNNNNNNNNNNNNNNNNNNNNNNNNNNNNNNNNNNNNNNNNNNNNNNNNNNNNNNNNNNNNNNNNNNNNNNNNNNNNNNNNNNNNNNNNNNNNNNNNNNNNNNNNNNNNNNNNNNNNNNNNNNNNNNNNNNNNNNNNNNNNNNNNNNNNNNNNNNNNNNNNNNNNNNNNNNNNNNNNNNNNNNNNNNNNNNNNNNNNNNNNNNNNNGAAAUGUUAUACAAAUGUUAGUUAUAUAUAUAGAAAUGUUAUAACUUUUUUUUUUCUGUUUUUUAGUUAUAGAAGUAUCAGAAAUGUUAUAGAAAUGUUAGUUAUAUAGCAUUGAUAGAAAUGUUAUAGGAAUGUUAGUUAUAUAGAAAUGUUAGAAAUUUUAGUUAUCAAAAUCCAAUCAUUAAAAAAAUGUUACUUUUUGCGGGCAUAUAGCUAGUAUUUGUUCUCGACGAUGCCCGGCCCGCAUCCUCGCCGUCGACCCGUCCGCGACGACAUCCGGGUGACCCAUGUCCGGGACUGGGCUCCGCCGGGCUGGCACUGGGAGGUGCUGCCUGGAGGGGCGCGCCGCUUGAUGAGGAACCCGGCCCCGGUCGUCCACCCUGAUCUCGUUUGGUGGCGUUCGCGUGGGCCAGUUUUGGUGCGGAAGGAGCCGGCCCCGCCGGAGGUGGUACGUCGCCGUGUCAGGGAGGAGGACGAGCACGUCCAUCGCUACAUGGUUGCGUUAGAGGGCGGCAGGUUCUCCAAUACCUGGCAGUUUCUUCAGGGAUCUCACUUCAGCUAUGAUCAUGUGAGGGUUCCUUCUCUUUGGGUGUCCACCGCCCGCGCCGCAUGAUCCGACGAUGUAUUCGAGAUUAUAUCUAUUAUUCAAGACGAUGUAUUCGAGAUUAUAUCUAUUAUUCCAGACGAUGUAUUCGAGAUUAUAUCUAUUAGUCAAGACGAUGUAUUCGAGAUUAUAUCUAUUAUUUGAGACGACGUAUUCGAGAUUAUAUUCGAUGAUGCUUAUUAUGUACUAUGAUUGAUUCAGUUUUUCCUUAUUAAUUGAUUGCAUCCAUGCAUUGUAAUUUGAAUAUAUUUCUUUUGGAUUUGUUAAACAAAACCUAUGGCGGACAAUACCGACAGAGAGGGAGAAGAGGCCCUGUUCAAUAUCAUACGCAAUCCUCGCGGGCCAGAUGAUGAUCAGAAUGAAGAAGAUUAUGACGGCUCCGGAUAUCUAAACAACACCGGGGAGGGUGAUAUGAUAUUCGAUCGCGACGACCGAAUUGAUGAAGUCAUGAACUAUGAACAUGACGAAGAAAAUGUUGAUCUUGAAACAACAAAGACCGGCGAGGUAUAUAUAUUUAUAUAAGUAGGCAUCUGGUGAUCAUCACAUGUUUUAAAUGACUUGAAGAUAUAUUAACGAAUCGAUCUUUCUUCUUUCAGCCAUCUGGAUCGAGCAAAUCUUCAGGCAACAGGACGAAACGAGGCCCGAACAAAAAGUUGAAUUCAUCAGUGCGGAGUUCUUGUGAAGGACCAACUCCCGAUCUCCCUUCAAGAAUGGAGAGAGCCAGCAAAGCCAUGUCCAGGAGUUACUUUUGUCAACGACAGGCAAAAACAUUUGCUUUGGGAAACGCUCAUGGAACAUUUCACCCUACGAGAUCAUUUCAUAGAUGCAGAUGUGGAGAAAGUCAAGGACGCUGCUCUUAGGAAGAUGGCGGUUGCAUUCAAGAACCACAAGAUUCGUGAAUGGGCCAAGUACGUCAAUGGAGGAAGGAAGACUCCAGUAUUCGAGGGAACACUAGAGAACCAAAGUGCUCAUUGGGACGAUUUCAUGAAAUUCAAGGAUUCGGAAUUAUCUAAGGAACGGUCGAGAAUAAACAAGGCCAAUGCCACAAAAAAGGAUAAGUUCCAUAAGCUGGGGCCAGGUGGCUAUGCGGUGGGAAUGCCUAAGUGGGAUAAGUCUGAGAAAGAGAUGCUCGAUGCAGGUGUCACUCUAGAAACAUUGAGCUGGCCCCCAGGUGCAGGACUUGGUUCUAUGCGCAUGGGGGGGAGUUGGACCCGAAGACAGGCAAAGUUUCGAAGAAGGCAUGUCUGGACGGAGCCGAAGAUAAGCUACUUGUUGCAAUGGAAGAGGCUCGAUCCGGGUUGUUCGAUCCCAACAGAGAGAACGACGAGCUUACGCGUGCCCUGGGAAAUCCUGAACACCCGGGAAGAACACGAGGCAUGGGCGCUAUUCCGUGGUAUGAGGGGUUUUCAGACUAGAACACCGACUACAGAACCCGUGUGAGAAAGAAGAUUGCGGAGGAGAGGAAGAUGGAGGAGGAGCAGAGGAAGCUAGACUAUGAACGCCUUCAAGGCCUAGAAUCAGCGCACGCGGACUUGGCAAUCAAAUUCCAACGGCAGUAGGAGCAGAUUGACUCACUUAGCCAGCAAAGGGGGUCUCAGCAGCUAGCGGAUGAUCCACCAAUGGAUAGCACCGUCCCAUCCAUGCCGAGAAGCAACAUGGGUUCCGCCCCGGGCGACGCAUUGCUGGAUAGCUACCCAGUGGAUGACAUCAUGGAGAACACUAACUGCGAGCUACACUUCAAAAUGAAGAACAUAUCCAUGAAGGUGGCGGACGCCCUUGCUUUUACAAAUCCCCCCGAGGCAACCUUCCAUUGCAACCCGAUUCCAGCGGGCUAUGCUCGUGUCUUGGUUGAUGAGGUGGUGGACCAAUAUUCGAGGCUAGAGCUUGACAUUCCUGGAGGUGACGAUGAGCACACACUAGGAGAGGCCAACCAUCAUAUCAUCCUAUGGAGAAAGGAUUGCAUCAUCUUUCGAAGGCCACCGACACCGCGUCAUCCGACUCCUCGUCGCAGUCCGCCACCGAGUCAGCAGACUCCCGCUCCUCCAAGUCCACCAACGCGUCAGGCCACUCCUCCUCCAAGUCCGGCACAGCUUCAGGCCACUCCUCCUCCAAGUGCGGCAAAGCGUCAGGCCACUCCUCCUCCAAGUCCGGCACAGCUUCAGGCCACUCCUCCUCCAAGUCCGGCACAGCUUCAGGCCACUCCUCCUCCUCCAACUCAGCCACGUCAGCCGUCUUUGCCGCCUCAGCAAUCACGGAAGAGAGCCGCCUCAGCUAUGGUGCGUAGCGGUACAAGUCGAGGUAGUACUGCAGGUACAGGUGGAGGCAAGCGAUUUCAAUAUGGUCCAAGCCUCGCGCCUCUUCCGCAGGGGCCUUACGACAAGUCCGAGGAGGAAAACGUAGCCAUAUCAAAGGCUGAGGUGGAAGCCCAUUUUGCACCGAAACCGCCACCGCCGCCAAGGGAGAAAGUGCCUGUGGAAAAGAGUGACCACUUCAUUCGUAUGGCUAGACCACCAGCUCCCAAGCCUGUUGACACAGACUAUGAGCGCCACCUCAGGAAGUUAAAUCGAGCACGUCUACAGAAAGAGGCGAGCUCGAGCUCAAGCAAAUCAGCUGGCAAAAAAUGCGGUAAAAUCGUUCCCCAGCUGGGAGAACAGGCGGCGCAAUCAAUCCCCUCGCUUGUUGUGCCAACAACACAUGAGAGUAGGCGCGCCCAAUAUUAUUGUGGGCAAACUGUUAACGUUCCCGGGCUGGGCGAUGUGCUAAUAACUGAGGAGCAUAUUGCGCAGGCUGAAUCGAUCGGGAUCACAGUUGGACAACUCCUCGAUAUCGAGCCCAUGUCUCCGACUAGAGAGGAGGAAAUAAAACGGAAAUAUGCCCGGGGCCAACCUUUGGUCAAGCCAGAGGAGGUCAAUAAGCUCCCAACGAGAAUGUAUGAAUUGCAUCAAUGGUACAUGGACAUUACCAAGAUUUCCAAUCGAGAGUCCCUCAUGGUGAAUGUCAACGAGGAGCAUUACUACCAUAAGAAAGCUGUGACCGUUGAGUAUUCAGAACUUUUUCAGCUAUACAAUAAAGACGCACUCGACAAAUCUAUUAUCAGUUGCUAUUGUCUGUAAGUGAUUUCUUUCUGUAAUUUAAGUCUCAAGCUAGCUGAUCAUUUUGAUCAAUCAUUACCUAUAAUUAUCCUCACUAUAUUCUUUUCUGUGGUAUUAUGCAGGAUGAAGAUUUAUGAAAUGAAAAAAGGUGGACGCUAUGGCAUUGGGUUCGUUGACCCAAAUACCAUUAAUGAAUACACAUGGAAAAUAGAUCCAUAUCACGCAAAAUGUGUAGAGGAAAGCAUGCUACGGUUCUUCAAGGAACUCAAAUACAAUGAAGAUAUACUACUUCCUUACAACUUCCAGUGAGUCACACUGUCUUGUACUACAAAUUCUGUUUUUCCCUACUAGCUAUAGCUACAUGUUUUUGCUUACAUAUGCCCUCUUAAUUAAGACAUGCAAACGUGUGUGCAUGCAUAUUUCACUAGAUCUUGUUAAUAAUUAAAGUUGAUGAAGGAACAGUUGAAGUACUAGACUCGCUACUUAAGAAAGCAAGUGACUACACCAUCGUGAAGGGGAUAGUCAACAGGUAAAUCAUUAUUAACUAUAUCUCGGCCUAUUUAAUUAGUUCGUCAUUUCCUGAUAAGAACUAUUUAAUAACCCAUUUAUUCAUUUUCUUUGUCGGCGGGCAGGGCUUGGGCAAAGUUCAUCAGGGCCACUCCAGUCCCAUGGAAACAAAGUCUGAAAUGGUAUCGACCCAAGGUAAGUAAUUAAGUAGUACUAGCUAGCUGCCAUCUCUUUAAUUAUCAUGCUUGAUUAAUUAUUAUCUGAUCAAAAUUCCAUUCUCGUAAAGGCCCUGAAGCAGGCGCCGGGGAAUGAUCUAUGUGCAUACUACGUUUGCGAGAACAUUCGCAUGAUGGCGUCCGAAAGGAGCAAAUCUCAAAGACAGGAGUGGGACGAUAUCGAUUGUCAGAACACUAUUCACAAUUUUAACACCAUUAUCGAUAUCUAGUCACACAACUAAUACACAUGCAUAUUGAUCUCCUUCUUAACAGUUCAAAGAGGUGCGGGACAAGCUCCUAGCACAGGACCACAUAGAAGCAAUUCAAGAGGAAAUAGCGGGAUUUUUGCUCGACCAGGUCAUAGAUCCCAAAGGAGAAUACUAUUACCCGCUACCGCCCCCAUGAACCACUUCCAAUUGUUAUCGUGCUCCGAAGGCACCAAUUAGCUAGGCUAAUGCCACUGGCUCCGAAGGCACCAAUUAGGAGAAAUUGUAUAUAUAUACAUGUGUGUAUAUAUGUGUGAAUUAAUUAAUGGUGGUUGUGAGACAUUCGAUGAUAUAUAUAUAUUAUGAUCGGUUCUACUAGAAAUUCUAUUUAUAUAUAUGCAUAACGUGUACAAUAUGUAGUAUCGUAAAAUACCAGCAAACGAAAAAGAAUUAAAUGGAAAACACAAAAUUAAAUGAAAAAGAAAUCAUAAACCCAACCCCCCCAACAUUUUAAUACCGGUUGGUGACACCAACUGGUACUAAAGGGCUCCCUGCCCCCGAAGCUGGCUCGUGCCACGUGGUUGCCCUUUAGCACCGGUUCGUGCUGAACCGGUACUAAAGUGGGGGGGCUUUAGUGCCUACAUUUUAGCGCCGGUUACCAAACCGGCACUAAAGGGCCUUACGAACCGGUGCUAUUGCCCGGUUCUGCACUAGUGGUAGUUAUUCCGCAUCUAAGCCGGCUGGGUAGCCCGCCGGAUAUGAGCUAUGCAGCUCGCUGAUCCACCUCCCUCCCCUCGCCCGACGGAGCCAGUUGCCGCCCCAAGCCGUGGAAUUUUGCCAUGUGUUGUUUUCAUGGACUAGCAAGAUGCCCGUGCAUUGCACGGAACAUCAAGAUGCAUUUUUUUACAAACUCCCGCAUGCAUGCAAGGGAUAAUUAAUGUCCUCCUUUGCUAGUACGACGAGGCAAACACCAUUAAAAUUACAUCGAUUAGUGUUAGUGGCCUUGUAUAUCUGCAAAUUGUAAUUUUGAUAGUGGCCCCUUGUAUAUAAAAAUGGAGGGAGAAAGAUGAGAGAUAAGGUGAGGAGGAGUGGGGCGUGGUGGUGACUGGUGGUCGGACUGGGCGGAGGCAUGGGGAUGGACGGCGCAUUAUGUCUAGGUUUGUAUCUCUCACACACACACCCACGUAGGUGGGGGACGUGCACGAAGAGAAGAGGUGCACGCACGACGCACGUACUCCCGUCUCUUUCCCAACCACACCCGCGCGGGUACAUAGUGGAGCUCAUUUCUGUACGAAAAAGGCAGCCCACGUGGUAAUUUGGCAUGUGUACUGGUUGUCCACUUGGUGGAGGGAGGAUCGUCUACCACGGGUGAACAAACAAAUUGUGACUUGACGCAUUAUGUUAAAUUAAAAAAAAGAGGCAAACCAUGUGGGGUCUACCUUAGAGGCAAGGCUCUAUACACUGGAGUACUUUUGAUGUGUCCCGUUAACUCGCAGAACAAGGAGAAGCUUGAUUAGUACACCGUCUCCCCCGCCCACAGGCGCGGUGGCUCACAGGAUGAGGUGAAGCUUGCUUACUAGUACACCUUACGCCCGCUCCCUCGCCCACGCGCGCGGUGGCUCGCAGCACGAGGAGAAAUUUUUACUACUCCCUCCGUUUACUCCUCGUCCCUACUACGUACUUUGGUUAGUACUCCCUCCAUUUACUUAUACAAGGCCACUAUAAAAAAUACAUUUUGCAUCUAUACAAGGCCACAAAUAGUAAUCGAGACAAAAGUUACUACUCCUCCUUUCCAGUUUAUGGCUCAAUUUCAAAAUCUCUCCAACCAAGGUAGACGGUGAGUGGUCGAAUUAUUUUCGUAUUUUGCACAAGUAAUUAGUACGCUUGUUUUUCUCAAGAAGUUAUGUUUACCGAGGCAUUAAUUAGAACGAAUGCAUGAAUGACCACUAAAUUUCCAUGAACUUGUACAUGCAUUGGUUAGUUUCCUCUUGACACUGCUUGCGUCGGGUGAUCUAAUGCACCUCGAAAUCCAACAUGUAAUGGUACUACUACUAGUAUAGUAGAAUUGAGACUUAUCAAACGGAAAAACGAAUGUUUUUUUAGAUGAGCCCUAUAAACUCUAGUGGGUACGUACUCCGUAAAAACAGAUUUUCCAAAACUAAGUCGCUCCCUUUCAUGAAUUCUGUAGUAUACUCCUCCGUCGAUGCUCCCUUUCAUGAAUUAUGUACUUCCUGUCGCCGACAUGUGGGGCAUAUUGCAACCGGGUUGACGUGUCAAGCACCAAAUAACAGUGCAGAACAGCAGGGGGGACGCACCCCACUCAUACCGGCCCAGUAGUAGUAAUGAGCAAUGAGACGUCAAAUCACAAUGCCGCACUUUCCCAGACGGACGAAGCAACCAUUAUUUCACACUUCGGUUCGCCAUCAUCUCAAACCAUGUACUAGUAUUGCUUCUGCCUCAAGAGGGACACGCACAUCGCCUUGGUACAUCAUGACACGUGGGACCGCAUGACAGGCCAUGCUCCCCCGCCGAUCGCUCGGUAAAAUCACCUCAUUUUUACUAUACUUCCUCCGUAUCGGUUUACUACAUGGCAUGCACGUCGUUCUAGGUUGAGAAUUUAACUGGCUAUAUGUGUGAUGAACAGUACUCUAGCCUUUUAAAAAAUGUAUACUUUUGUACAACAGUACUAUCGAUGGAUUGCGCCAUGGAGCAAAAAAUUGAAAUUAAAAAAGGUGGUACAUAUAGAGAGCGCUCGUCGCCAAAUUAUGCAUAUAGUACUAUUAAAAAGCCUAGUCACAAUAAUGGUGUCCAGCACAACCCACCCCUCAAAUAAAACUAAGAGGGUGCUUGGAUACGUUUUAGUCCCAUGACUAAAAGUAGUGGGACUAAAACAUGCUAGCCUCACCCAUGCUUGGAUCCAAAUACUAAAAAGGCUAAAGUCAAGUUAAUGAGCAUUUAUUAUCCUCCAAACCCUCCAAUCCAGAACUCGCCUGUGUUAAAGGAGAGGAGUUAAAUGAGUAGAGAGAGGACUAAUCCACAUUUUAGUAGGGGUACCCCUGACUAAAUUUUUUUAGUCUCAAGACUAGUUUUAGCCCCUCUUUAGGCUGGUCGUAAUGGUAGUAUCAUAACUAGUAUCAUGCAUGCCAACUAGGCAAUUUUGAUGAGGUGUCAUAGUAUUAAAUGAAGAAAGAGAGGGUGGAGUAUCAUAUCAUGAUACUGUAUCAUAAUAAAUGCUAUGCUACUUUGUGUCAUGCAUGGCAAUAAAUAGAGUACUACAUGAUACAAAUAUGUGAUACUAUGCAUUAGGGAGGUAGUAUCAUACACUAGUAUCAUAUGCAUGAUACUAGUAUAUGAUACUCCCCAUUACAACCAGCCUUAGUCAGGGGUGCUUGGAACUUUAGCCUCUUAAAGAGACUAUUUUUAGUCGGACUAAAAUAAGUCCCUUGGAUCCAAGCACCCUCUAAGCAUCCUGGAAUUCUUUGACAAAACUAAGCACCCUGAAAUUCUUUGACAACUAAACUGCUGGCUAUAUGAUGUUGGCCAUAUAUAUUAUACGUAUAUAAUGUGAAGAAACGAGUGGUAGUACUAUACCAACUAAAAGAUGAAAUGUAAGAAAUACUAGUAUGUACGUACUGAAGAGUUAAAGUAACAAGAAGAAACAUAACAUAGUUCUGCUGGGGGCUCAACACAACACACCCCUCAAAUUAAAUUAAGCACACCUGAAAUUAAACUUUGCAACUAUUCCGGUAGACACUACAUUAGAACCACCAUGAGCAACGACACUGCCACCUUACUCGGAGUCCUUGUCCACGUCCUCGACUUCGUCCUUGUCCCUCUUCCUCUUGGCCGAUACUUCUUUGCUUGAACCGCACACUUGGCUGUUGCUCUUCAUCCAACCCUUGUAGAUAUUGAAGCAAAGGUAGCCAUCCAUUGCAGCGUAGUGGAUGUGGUCUAUAUCUAGUACAUUCCGCUGCCAUGCAUGACGAUGAAACGUGUAAUGAGGCUUCUCUAGUUUACCGUACGAAGGAUGAACCAUGGCUCCUGCCAGGGUCAGCAUUGAAGGCUGACGAGAGGACACCAGCCGAUUCUUCUGGAGGUCGAAGGUGUUGCCUACAACGAGGCCUAUCCGAUGCAGGACUUCUUUGUCAUUACCAAAGUCUACAGUAACGAAUUUGACUAGGUUGCUCUCGAGGAAGUCCUUAAAAUCCUGGCAUUCAACAUCGGCAUGGCAUAUGUGGUAGACCAAGCAUAAGUCAUGCACGCAAACCUGGAUCACGGCGGGCUUCUUCCUCUCUUCGUCCUUUAGAUCCUUCUCUCGUCCCAGGACUGUGGUGUACUCAACAUCUAGCCCAGCGACCCACUCAUCAUCUGAGUCUUCGAACAUGCGUCUGAAGCGAGAAAGGCAUCCUUUCACCGUCGCGGAAGAAUGGGUGUAGAUGACAUCGAACUCAUCGCCGGUGAUGGUUCUAACCUUGUACUCACCGCCGAUCGUGGAGAUUUGGGACGCCAUGGAUUUGGGAGGAGGGUUAGGAUUAGUGGAACUGCCAUAAUGUGAAUGGACGGGACGACUAGGAGCGAACCGCCGUAGUAUUGAAGGACGUGCGGGGAUGAGUAGGAGCGAACUGCCAACGUGCGAACGGCAGGGUAGUGGCUUUCCAUUCUCCCAUGAUACGGGCUUCUGAGAGCCCUUGGAUCUGAGAUCGAACGGUUGCAUGGCGUGAUUCUAGACCUAUGGGUGAAUAUCCUAUCCUGGAGGAUUAUUCUGCAAAUUUUCAGCAACUUAGCAUGCGACCGUUUGAUCUCAGAUCCAAGGGCUGCCAGCAGCCCGUAUCAUGGUCGCGCCUACCAUGACCGUCGCGUCGCUCGCGCGGUCGCGCCCUUGGAGAUUUAACACGGUGCGUUAGGCUAUCUAAUGUUGGCAUGUCAUACUUAGUCAUCACUUAGUCACUCAUACUACACCAUGGUUGGCUAUAAGUGUAUUUUUUACUCCUCUCUAUCUCUUUCUUCAUACUCAAGGAAGAAACGGUGCUAAGCGCGUGUAUUUAUUGCAUUUGCCAAGGAGUGACCUCUUCCAAUGAAAUGGUGUUGCUAAGUUUGCUUCAUUUAAUUAGCUACAGACUCAAAAUUGUCUUUUCACCUAGGUACACGCGCUUAGCAUCAUUUCUUCCUUGGGUCACCAAACUAGUCUCUCUCUUCUUGAUUAACUUGCCACAUCAGACUUUAUGCUUAUGUGGCAAGCUUAAGCACCUAUAGGAGCAAGUAAAAGUAAGUACAAUAGUGUGCUUUGCAUGGCACUUUUGCAUAUGUGGAGGAAAGAGAGGCAAGGAAAAAGUGGAGAAGUGGGCUCUCAUGCAAGAGGCAGCCUCUACUACAUGGUGGAGCAUUGGGAGAGGCACCUGUAUGGAGGUGGUCAGGAAUCUGGGAGACUCACGCCGGUCGUAGCGCCACAGUUAAAAUGAUAAUGGCAAGUCAAAUCACGGGGCCCCACCUAUCCAGCAGUAACUCGCUGUCAAAUCACACAGCCCUAGGUUUGCAGCAGCCUACUCCCUCGUCUUCUCGCGUCUCUGUCGAACCGACUAGGCGGAACUGCCCCGCCGCCUACCGCGUAGGAAAAGCCCCGCCCUCGACUUUUAAAUACAACUACAUCCGCUUAAGAAUCCAAUGAUAUACUUUUUGUGACAUAGUAACUCAUAUUUAGUUAGUCAAAUGGAUGACCUAGAACUAUGUGCAGGCCCUAUAAACCGAGACGCCUAAAAAUAAAAAAAACGAGACGAAGAGGGUAGUUCAGCACGUAUCUUUUUAGAUCAAUAUAGUCGGGAUUCACCAAGGAGAAAAACCAAGUGGUAGGCUGCUCCUGUCGUGUUGGCAUAGCAACUCAAGCAGGGUCAGUACACACACGAAAUGGCGACACACUUAACAGGACCCCUUUGGCCAACAUGUGGCUCAUCCACCGUCUUGUUCCACGUGCGAUGCACCAAAUUACAGUUUGGAGCAGCGGUUGGAAUUGGAGGCACCCCGGUCGUAGCGCCGCAGUAGUAGAAAAUGAGCGACGAGGGGUCAAAUCACAAAGCCCCACCUUUCUCGCAUUAAGCUGGAUGGACGAAGCAACCAUCAUUUCACUCUAGGGUGCAAGAGCAUAAAGAAAAGAGAAAACAAUGAUGCGUGCGGCAGCUACCUAGGGCACCCUAGGGUAGGGGGUCUCCACUACAGAUCCUUUUUUUGAAAGCGCCUCCACUACAAAUCGGCUUCUCCCUCGUCCUCUUGAAGAAAACCGAUGAUGAGUGCGGCGGUAGGGUUUGUAGGAGCACUACGGCGUGCGGGGCCACGCCGUAGUAAACGGGUUCAAGCCGACGCCUUAAAUAUGUGUGGGCCGCUUGGUUUUAUAGGAAUGAGGCAACAUUUUGGGUUCGGGGACCAGUGGAGAUAUAGCACGUACAAAAAAUUGUGGACGUAGGUUCGACCGAAAGGAAAUGAUGCAUGGGCCCUGCAUUUUGAUAUACCCAGGGCCGCGUGAAAUUUGCUACUCUACUCAAAACUAGUAAGGUACACAUGUAUUGAACGCAUGAGAUUUCGAAACCAAAUUAUGAAUAAAUACACACUAUAGGAUGUAAAGCUUUGAGUCAUAUAUGCAUGAUGUAGAUGUUUGUUUAGUUCUUAUAGUUCAUCACAUUCAAAAUCAAUAAGUUUUAUAAAAAUGUUAAGAUUCAUGGGGUUGUGCAUUGUACUCCCUCCGUUCCAAAAUAGAUGACCCAACUUUGCACUAACUUUGUACAAAGUUAGUGCAAAGUUGGUUCAUCUAUUUUGGAACGGAGGGAGUAAAUCAUAAAGUAAAAAACAAAUAAUGGCAAUUCAUUUAGAAAAUAAUAAUCAAUUAUGAUACAGAAGAUUCUAGAACAAAGGAGAAGUGCUUGUGUUUUGAGGUUUGUGCAUUAUGCUUAAGUUCAACCAUGGAGUCUUCUAAAUUGUACAUGUGGCAGAUCUGGUGGAAUGUUGAUGAUAUCCAACGGCCAGCACUGCUCGGAUUUGCCUAUCUCUGCACUGUCGGGUUAGCUUCAUCCAGCGACCAUCUUUCAAAGUUAUUGGCACACUAUAUAGUUCUUGUGCCAUAGUUGCAUGUUUUGGAAAAAAGCUACUAGUGGGUUGUACUAUCUAUUUAGGAAUAGAAGAUGUAUACAUGGAAGUUGUAGGGAAAGAGAUGACAUGGAGCAUCUCAAUUCCUAUGAGUAGGGAUUGAAAAAGAGAUGUCAUUUGGUUCACAUCAUAGGAACUUUUCUAUUGAAUAUAGAGAUGACAUGUUUCUCAAUUCCUAUGAGGAGGGAUUAGAAAAGAGAUGUAAUUUGGUUCAUAUCAUAGGAACUUUUCUAUUGAAUAUAUGCUAAUGUUUAUUUUCCUUUGAAAUUAAGGGAGUAUAGGAAUCCAUUCAUAUGAACCCAGUGGCUCUAAAGCUAUAGAAAUGAUAUCAUGUUUAUUUCCUUUGAAAUGUGGAGUAUAUGAAUCUAUUCCUAUGAACCAAUUGGCUCUAAAGGAAAAAAUCCUAUAAAAAUCAUAUCAUAUAGAGUUCCUAUGAUAUUCCUCGACACUAAAGGAUGCUUGAAAUUGCUGCGGGUGAUACGAUGGUCUUUCUUUGUAGACUCCUCACCCAACUUUAUAGUUACCUCUCGAAGAUGAAUGAAAUGAUAUAUACAUGGUAUUCUACAUGUGCAAUUUGGUACACGAAGACUCGGUAAAAGUUUGCGAGGUUCGAAUUUUCAAUAAAGCUAUAUGCACUGCAUCUCGGAACGGAGGGAGCAUACAACAGUUGCUAACACUCACGUGGAAGAUUUAUGUGUAGGAGGAGUGGUUGUUCUAUUAAAUGACAUGGCAAAACUGACACUGUCGGAUGCCGAUCUAACGGUCCUUACGGCGUUCGUCAGGAAAAGGCUUGUGGCGAACGUUUGUCGGAUAAUGAUUUAUGGACACAUGCAUUGCAUUGAUACGUGCCCCCCUCUCUCUCACGCACAUGCACCCUCACGAGUCACGACUCUCCCGAGUCCUCUCGCAGACUCGCACGUCGCACCCACCAUCUAUCUGCAGGUAGACGUCACGCACAUAUGUGCUCUUCACACCCUACCCUGAGAACUUCUAAAAACAAAAGACGGCGCGCACAUUUUAUUUUAGCUCACACAUCACACACUUGUACUAUUAUUCUUGCGGUGAACGUUCUUUGGGCAUAGUAUAUUGUACUCUCACGAAGAGAAGCGGUGCACGCACGCACUAGUUCUCUCACACCCACUCGCGGGUACACGUAGGAGCGCAUUUUUUGAAGCUGGUACAACAAAAUCACUCCACUAUAUAUAAAAGCAGGAGCCAUAGUGCUUGCUUUACUAGGGUUCCUCUCGUUCACUCUCUCAUGCUCUCCAGAUCUAAGCAACACAUAGGUGGCCACACUCUUUCUCAGCUCACGACUGGUCACAAAUCCGGCCGGACAACCUCGACCGGGGUAGGGGUGUAGGUGCAUCGUUCACACUGUCGUCAGCGGCGAGGGAGGAGACCAACGGCUGCCAGCGUGUCCCGAUCGGCGGCCGUGUCGUUCUCUCCGAGAGAGCGCCGGCUCGGGAGGGCCUCCGACCCCUUCUUCCUUCCUGCAGUAUUGUGGCCAAGAUGCGGCCUCCCGACGCCAUCUUUGUGACAUGCCGACGACCCUCAGGUAUAUAUUCCUUCGAAACCUGCCUUGCUCUACUACCCCAGCUCCCUUCGUGUGGAUCCUUUUCUACUUUCGUCCGCUGUUCCAAAGCCACCUAGACUUCUACUAAGGCACGUGCUUUGCACGUAUGUUCUGUAUGAUAGAUACUCAUAUACCUUAUUUUUAGAGAGAGAAAUGAGUACUCAUAUCUUGAGUAGAUAUCAUAGUGUGUUUGUUUGCAUGAUCUAAGGACUAUUAUGAAAUAAGAAGCAAAUCACUUGCACAAAUCAAAGUGAGUUCCAAGUAAGAAUUUGAUUACAAGAUAAAAUUUGUAGUUUUAUUAUAUGUUGUUUCCUGGGUUCCACUAAUGUAUAGUUCCAGAGUUGUUUGAUGGUUUACAUGCAUGUUUAUGGACUAUUUUGUGCAACUAAAUAAGUCAUUUAGGUCUGAAAGACACUCAUGUCCUAUAUUAGCUUGAGGUAUAGCUUAUGUAUGACUGAAAUAAAAUAUUACACUUUUUCUGUGAAUAAUAAAAAUAUUACAUUUCUCGAUGAAGCAGAAUAAAACUUUAGCUAGCAUCAGCCAUGCAAUGUUAUGUUAUGUGAACAAUGUAAACUUUGCAGUAUAGCGGCAUCUAAAAAAUCCAUUUUUACAGUAAUCUAAAAAAAUUAGUUAGUAGUAGAGUGUUUAUUUCCCAGGUGACAAUGGGGAACAAAAAUGUGCUAGCUAUUUGCCAACUUGUCGUACUUGCAUGUGAGGAGGUGGCAGCAGUUUCUAGACAUUUCUCAACUUCAGUAGGUGCAAUCCAGAUUCAACGGGGACUUCUUUAUUUGUUUACUUGGAGAGCAGAGUCGGCCAUGUGCACAAGGAGCGGGAGCGAAUCCGGUAGCUCUUAGCCGUCAGAUCAUGUCAUCCUUUGUUUGAUGGACGGUAGUGAUAUGCAUGAGAGGGGAAAUGAACGGUGGAUUUUGAGCCAAUGCUUGUUGGGGCGGGAGAACCGAAGAUGGAGUGGUAAAUCCAAUUUCAAAACUGUCGCAUUAUAGUAGUAGUAGAUUAGAAGUAAAGCUAUUUCAUACAGUCGACUCAAAGCGUUGGUUCAAAUAGGGAAGAAAGUGGGAAAGCUGUAGCAUGAAUCUAGGACUUGGUUCUAAGAGGAAACGGGGGAAAGUAGUAAUAUCUGUCACUGUUUAAAUAACCGUAUAUCUUAUUUGCACAAACAGGGAUAUCUGUCUCCAUAUCGUUUCGGGAUGUCUGUCUCCGUAUCGUUUCUAUCCGCGCAAUCAAAAGCACACACCUCAGUUUUAGUACAACUGCGCAAAAUGAGAUGGCUAUCCCUCGCUGCCGUCGUCUAACCUCCCGUCUUCAAAGUAUCCCUACAUUGGUGGUAACUAAGGUAGAAUGACCAACGCAAUCUAAAAGAAGCUGAUUCGUACGUUUUACUUGCUGAUUGCAGUGCAGGGACGAGUGAAAACAACUGCAUCCUAGUCCGGAAUGCACUUUCUACCAGUUCAUCCAUGGACCAAGGACUAGCUGGCACGGCUGCACGACGGUUUUUUGGACAGGUGCGCGGACAAGAGGCAUUGUGGUAUGCUUAUUUCUGCAAAUAGCGGUGCUUAAAUUUAGUGGAAUGCACAAGCAUUUUAGCUGGUCAGUACACUGCAUGGUUCAGUUCAGCAUUCCAGCUGAUACCACAAUUAUAAUUGGUUAUUCUGGAAUGAGAGAACCUAACCCUGAAUGGUGGCAACAAGAAAAAACCAGAGUGAACUCCAGGAAAUUUAAGCCUACCAGGAGGCCCUUUGCUCAGAGAGAAGCCUUGCUUGUUUUUUUCCUGAUUUGUAAACCUUCUCACAACUUUGUCUUUUGCUGUGAACUAGUAUAUGUUUGUUAUGUUCUAUGAAUCAUUGAGAUGUAUAAAAUUGCUUAACUUAUGCUUUUCAAGUUUUUUAUGAAGACGAGUUUAACGUGAGUGUUCCACAUGAGCACUAGACUAGCAUGUGAACGUUUGGAAUUUAUUACAUUGUGGCCUCAAUUAACUGCAUGAACCACUGUAACAAGAUACAUAGUUGCUUAUAUGUCAGAGAGCAGAUUGUUGAUUGUUAGCUGGUCGAUAGCCUAGUGUUGAAGCGAGCUGAGCCAAUGUGCCGUGUUUUGCACAACUGCUUACAAGUGGGGUAGCACCAACAGUGUUUACAAGUACUUAUGUAUACGUCGGCGCACGGUUCUCGAACGAGUGCUCUAUUUCAUCAAAACACACACUGCUCGUAUGAUAAACCGUGACAACUUAUGUCUUACCAUGCCAUAUUCAUGAAAAAACUAGUGAGGACGCAUCUGUUUCGGCAACAAUUACGAUGGUUCUCACAUGAUUCACGAGCACACAAAAAUAGCAUCAGUUCCCAUAGACGGAUUCAAACAGAGUACUAGCCCCAGAGGGGUCGAUAACAGGCAAGGUUCGGAUAGUUAGACACAAUCCAAACUACUAUUAAACACUAGCUGGGGCAACUAUUUCAUGCCUCAAUCUAAUUUGGGCUGGACACAAGACGGUCCUUCCUAUGAACAUCAUCGAGGACGUCCCGCAGCAGCUCAAUCCUGUGAACCUUCAUGAAGACAACCUUGUGGCCUUGCCACUGAUAAACUUGUUUGUGGAGGCAUGCCACAUCAUCUUCCUAUGUAAGCUUGACAAGAACAGUAUUCCUCACAAACGAAGGAGUAGCUUUGAACUUCUUGUGCUUCAGUACACCCUGGACAACACGCCUGACAACAGUGAGGCUGGAAUACAACUCUUCAUUGGUAUAACCGUAAAUGGCUUCCAGGAUCCAACAGCCUAAGAACUCUAUUUUCCCAGUGCGUAUAUUUAGGUCGUCCGCCUCAUAGCGAGUGACAUGUACAACCACACAAUCCUUGUAUGCAUUAGGGCUCUAAUUGAAACAGAAACACAUUCUGAAUUACUUUUCAGUAUAAGAAACACAAGUUAUUUAAACCACUACGUAUACCAUGGCAUCGAAGCUAAUAAAAUUGUGCGUUAUUAAUCACCACACACUUCCUUUUCUAAAAAAAUCACCACAUACUUAGAUGAAAAACCACAAUCAAGAUCGACAAAGAAGGAAAUCACCUUGNNNNNNNNNNNNNNNNNNNNNNNNNNNNNNNNNNNNNNNNNNNNNNNNNNNNNNNNNNNNNNNNNNNNNNNNNNNNNNNNNNNNNNNNNNNNNNNNNNNNNNNNNNNNNNNNNNNNNNNNNNNNNNNNNNNNNNNNNNNNNNNNNNNNNNNNNNNNNNNNNNNNNNNNNNNNNNNNNNNNNNNNNNNNNNNNNNNNNNNNNNNNNNNNNNNNNNNNNNNNNNNNNNNNNNNNNNNNNNNNNNNNNNNNNNNNNNNNNNNNNNNNNNNNNNNNNNNNNNNNNNNNNNNNNNNACAUCCUCGAAGGGGGAAAACUGCUCCUGAAGUGCCACGGGGGCUGUAACCUCAAACGGGGCGUUGACCAUCUCAGUAUCUGGGGUCGCCUUGGUGGUUGCCUCCAUCUUCUUGGAGCUCUCUGUCUCGUGGGGAUCAGCCUCCCGCGUCUGCUCCAAUAUCAGCAAAUCUUUGCCUGGUUCUCCUUGGUCCAUCAUGAAACUGACGAAUACUAGGAGUCCACUGAAAGGAAAACACAAUCGCAAUGACAAUGAAACAAAAAAGAGAGUGAGGAUCGGUUACUGCUUUGCAAAAGUUCUUUUUUUCCUCUGAACGAAAAUAUACCAACAUCACGGAUCCUCUUACCUUCCCUUCGUUCGGAGAGAAGAACAGUGGCAGAUGCAAGUGUUGCCUUUCUUGAAGACGGUGAGGGAGAAGGGGAUUCAGCGAAGAGUGAAAUGAUGGUUGCUUCGUCCGUCAAACUUAGACUACGGGGAGGUGGGGUUUUGUGAUACGACGGCUCGUUACUGCCGCGCUACGACCGGGGUGACUCUCCGUCUGCAUACUGCCUUCUAAUUUGGUGGAUGGCAUUUGGGCCCGCGCGCUGCAUGGCCCGCAUGUCGGUGAACAAAAGUAUAACGACAUUCAGUAGAGGGAGACGUUUCAAUGACCUAGGAGGAGCCAGAAGCGGUAGAGUGUCUCCACUGUACUAGUAGUAUUUGUUUUUCUGGGUAGCUGUAGAGUGUCUCCACUGUACUAGUAGUAAUUGUUUCUCGGGUCCCAAGACAAAACAUCCCAUCCACACUAGUAAAUAGUAAAAUCAAUUCAAAAACCUGGGUGCUCUUCUUCCUCCUCGCUCCCACCCACCUCAUGUCAGCUCGCUCCACUCGUACCCCCAAAUUCCUCACCUCACUCCUAUAGAAAACCCCAGCUCCCCUUCUUCCUCACUCCAACAGAAAACCCCCAGCUCCCCUUCUUCUUCGCUCGCACUACAACUAGGCUCGUCAUUCGUUACUCUGCUCAAAUCCAUGAGCGCGACACGACGCCCUUGAGGAAAAUGGAGUCGGCUGACCCCAACGCCAAGAAGAUGAGGCUCCUGCCAGCGGCAACGCCUGUUGUAGAUCCCGCACCCGGCAACGCGGGGAGAAGCAGCGACCCCGCCCCACCGGAUCCCAGGAACCCGUAGAAUCUCGGGUGGACCGCAUCAGCGAUCUCCCGGACGCCAUCCUUGGGGAGAUCAUCUCGCUUCUCCCCACCAAGGAUUGUUGCCGCACCCAAGUCCUCUCAAUUCGGUGGCGCCCUCUAUGGCACGCCGUUCCCCUUAAUCUCGACUGUCGUCAGCUAUCUCUCUUCAAUGAUUUUGAAAUCCCCAAAGCCAUCAUCUCCUCCCACUAGGGCUCCGUUUAAAGCCUCUGCAUCCCAUCAUGCUACCUGAGCAAGCAUACCAUGCCCUGCACGGUGAACGCCUGGCUGGAAUCCCCUGAAUUCACAGAACUACAACUGCUUGAGUUCUACUAUUCCCCUGGAAAUCACAUACCACAUACCGAACGCCAUGAACUUGUGCCCUCAGCACCGAUGUCCAUCUCGGGGUUUUCGUCCUCUCUCCACACCGCCACCUUUGCGUAGUGCUACCUACCAGACAAUCUGGUACUAAACCUUCGACUCCAAUUUCUCAAGAAACUUUCACUUGUGCGGGUUCGUAUAUCGGAGGCCUCAUUGCACAUCAUCAUCCACUCCAGUUGCCUUGCGCUGGAGUGCUUGGUGCUUGUUUUCACAGUUAGAAUCAGUUGUCUCCAAAUAAAGUCGCCUAACCUUGUAAGAAUUGGAAUUUCUUUUGACGGAAGGCAGCUCAUCAUCCAAGAUGCCCCUUCACUUCAAAGGUUGUUCCUUGAUUCUAGCUAUUCACCGUUGCAAAUAACCGCCCUCUCUGCGCCUAAACUGGAGACCUUGGGUGUAAUACAUGAUCUCUGUGCUCAUUUCAAUAUGGUGUUUGGCUCCAUAGUUCUUCAAGUACUUUAUAUUAUCAUCUACACUUGUAACCAUAAGCUGCAUUUUAAAUUUCUGCGCAUAAUUUAUAUAUCAUCUUGGAGUACACAUUUUGUACUAAUAUUAUGUUCUAUGCUCAAUGAAGAGUUUCUCCAUGGAUGGCCUAUCAAUGGUGCUGGAUUCUGUUAAGAUAUUAUAUAUCCAAAUGAAUAGUUUUGAUCUGAUUAUUGGCUUGCUGCAAUGCUUUCCAUGUCUGGAGAAGUUGUAUAUAAAGGUGAUAAUUUCACGCACAUUGGAAGCCCGCAUAUAGUGUACUAGAAUUAACCAUUCAGCUGUUGCUCUUUUGACACUCUUCUUUUAGACCUUAACUGUUUUCAAUCUUCAUGUCUAUUUAGGCAACAUGACGGGGUAAGAAAGUUAUAACCAAUCGGUGGAUUCGUAAGCAUCGGGAUUUUCUCACUUCUCAUGAGAUUCGAUUGAAGACAAUAACGCUAGAACGAUAUGUAGCCAACCGUGCAAACACAAGAUUUGUCACAUUCUUCCUGCUGAAUGCGAGGUUACUAUUGUCCAUCAGGCUUAAGUUUAUCAACAGCAUGGUUUUGACGGAUGGGUAUGUCGAAGAGCAAAAAAAGGAGUUUCAGGUGGGCAAAAGAGCUUUUGAACGUGUCGGGCUUCUAUUUACAACAUAUUGUGGUCAUAAUCCAGUAAAUUUUAUGACCCAAGAUGUUCAUUCUAUGGACCUGACCGAUCCAUUUGACUGUGACUUCUGAAAAUAGUGCUGGAGUUAGAUGUUGUUGCCCUUUUCAAUCUGUUUUUUGUAAACCUGAUGAACAAUUAACCCUCGUGCUUUUGUAUAGUUUGUAAGCUGGAGUUAGAUAUUCCUGCCCUUUUCAACUCGGCUGUGACUGUCAUAUUUUCUUUGAAACAAGGCAAAUGGCUUGCCAUUCGUUUAAUUUAGAGUGAAAUACUUUAACAAAUCCAAACCAAGGGAAAUAACAUCACUCUCGCCGGCUGCUUGAGCUCACUGUGCAUUACAGAAGCCAAGUGAUUAGCCCCCACCCGCACCCACAAACUUAUUUAGAACUAGCACAUCAAAUGGGCUGUAAAUUUUCAUAGGAAAGGCUGCAUGACCGUGAUAGAUUUGGAUUCUGACAUUUGGGACCCGCGAGGAAAUAGCCUAUCCAAGGUGGUGUCGACUUACUAGCCAGUCAACAAACGAUUCUGCCUACCAGCCGUUGGAUUGACAUCCAACAUCUGUCGUGUAUCUUCUAUCUCUUGUCUUCUUCUUCCUCCAAUCGCCCAAACCAAACAACCCGUCGGCUCCGCCUGCUCCCGCCUCCCAUGGCUGGCUGCGCCUCCGCCGCCCUACCGUAUGUACCCUCCAACGUUGGACAGUCCCUCCAUCUAUUCCCCCACACAUCCUGUUAUUCUCCGGUGACGUCAGCCCCAACACGCACCCGCGCUCGAACCAGUCAACCCUCGUACUCCCCUCCGCCUGCGACUAGACCGACGCAUUUUCAACGGCUCCUGUUCGUUCCGUCCGAGGCCUCGCCGUCGUCCUCCGCCUUGCGGCCUUGGUUCGCUCGCCGUGCGCAGUGCGCCGCCCUCUUGCAUUGUCAACGUCGUCAACAACCAAGAGGAACAAGGAGAUGACUGUACGUGGAGAGGAUGACAGUAGGGACCCACCAGCGUCAUGGCAGUAUGCAAGCAAGUGCCUCUAUAGUACAAGCCCAAAAAUAUGGUUCCUCCUAAUGGUUGGACAUCUGGGGCUCACGCCAUUGUCAACAUAGUCAAUAAACGAGAGAAUUACACUACGAGCGGCUGACACCAGGGACCCAUCAAGUCGCGCAGUUUUUUUGAGGAACAAGCAGUUGUUAUUUAUACUAGUUUUAGCGAUGGACCAGGGUAACAACGAGGCUGUGCGGGGGCUGUGGCCCGUCUAGCCAGGGUUUUAUUUAUGUUUACCACAUCAUGAGCCCAGUUGUGUUUUUUUCUUGCUGAAAAUGGCUAGCUAAAGAAAUACCCAAACAAGGCCUACUUGCUUUAUCGGCCCUACUGGGCUGCAAAUCUUUCAAGACGAGGAGAGUUUCAUUUGGUUUGCCCAGAAAUGGGCUGUACAUUUUUAAAACACAUCAAACCGGGAAUUAGUUUCAAUUUUUUUUCAUUACAAGAUCUUAAAUUCCAUUGAUUUUUAUGCGUGGACAAUUAUUUGGAUUUUAUAUUUAUAUAAAUUAUUUUUCAAAAUAGUUUGAAUGUGAAUCGAUAUUUCUGGAUUAAAAACAGUUGACCGCACGGAAAUAUGCAAAAUUUCGUAUACUUUUUAACCGUGGCCACAAUAUGGGGUGUGAUGCUAACAAAAAGAAGAUGGGCUCCAAAAAAAAUUCUUACGAAUUAGCAAAUGGGCUGUACAUUAUUAGGAAUAAUGGCAGAUGGGCUGUAUGCUGUUUUCCACAGAUUUGAGGCUGACUUGUGUGCCUACUACAGGUUGACGCGUAUGCUUUCAUAAAAAAAGGUUGACGCACACGCAACGCCCUAUCAACUUAGUCAACACACGAGAGCAGUGACUGUUGGAUGUCCAUCCAACGGCUGUCGUGCUUCUUCAAUCUCUGCUCUUCAUGCUCAAGCCGCUCAAACAAGCGCCAGCGGGACUGCCUGCUCCCUCCUCCCGCGGCCGGCUAUGCUGCCGCGCAGGCCUCACGGCCCCACCGUACUCCCAUCGCUGGCCUAGCCAUCCCUCUACUCACCCACACCUGCUGUUAUUCUCCGGCGACGGCAGACGAACCAAUAAACCCUCGUACUCCUCCGCGUGGGAAAUAACUGCCGAGUAUUCCCUGGCUCCGUGUCGUUCCGUUCCUAGGCCUCGCCGUCGUCCACCGCCCUGGUGCUCUCGGCGCGGCCUGGUCAACAUGGUCAAUGAACGACAUCCAUCGGAACUGGACUGUACGUGGAGAGGCUGACAACUGGGUCCACGGCCGCACGCAAGGAAAUGGCUCCUUGUUACGCACAAAAUAACGAUUCCUCCACCUGACAGCUAGGACCCACAGGAAGAGCCUCUGUAUUUCAUGAAAAAACAUUCGCCCCGCUGACAGGUCGGACCCACCAGCUAUAUCUUCGCACGCAAGGAAGUGCCUCCUUAUUACGCCCAAAAAAUGAAUACCCCCUGCUAGCUGGGACCCACCAUAUUGUUGGGCUGACUUGUGGGCCUACUAAGUUGACAGGGACGGAGAGCUUCGUCAACUUAGUCAAUACUCCAGUGACCGUAUGAUGUCCAUCCAACAGCCAUAGUGCUUCUUCAACCUCUGGUCUUCUUGCUCCAGCCGCCCAAAGCAGCGCCGGUUGUGCCGCCUGCUCCUGCCUCCCGUGGCCGGCUGUGCUACCGCGGAGGCCUCACCGCCCCAUACUACUCCCAUGUGACGCCCGGAUAAUCAAGCUACAGUAACCCUCUAGUAAUGAUGCCUUGUCACCACUGUUACUGUUGUUAAUCUCGCGUUAGAUCGAAACCGGUUCGAAUUCAAAAUUCAAAAUCAGGGAAACAAUAAAAGUUUUCAAACGUUAAAACUAAAAUUGUUAAAAAUGGGACAACUAAAUCCUAGGUAAUAAUGGUGGAGAAACCACACUUGUAUAAAAUGCGUAAAUACUCAAAAAUGAAUAAAACAACAGCAAAAUAAAUUAAUUAAAUGCCUUUGUAUUUUGUAAAAUACUAAACUAUUUUAUUUAGCUGUCCAAAUUAAUGUGGCAGUGGUAUAUUUAACAUACUACAUUUAGGUGUUGUUCUCACAUUCUAUAAAGUUGAAAUAAAUUAAAAAUUUAAUAAAACAGAAAAGAAGAAAUAAAAGAAAAGAGAAAAUAGAAAACAAUAACUAAACUAAAACAAAAAAAAGGACCCUCCCCCCCCCACGCUGGGCCUCAACCCAGCUGGCCAUCCAACCGGGCCGGCCCACCUAACCCCUUCAUAACCCCCCCACCGACGGAAACACUAGCCCGGUCGACCCCCACUGCUCCCNNNNNNNNNNNNNNNNNNNNNNNNNNNNNNNNNNNNNNNNNNNNNNNNNNNNNNNNNNNNNNNNNNNNNNNNNNNNNNNNNNNNNNNNNNNNNNNNNNNNNNNNNNNNNNNNNNNNNNNNNNNNNNNNNNNNNNNNNNNNNNNNNNNNNNNNNNNNNNNNNNNNNNNNNNNNNNNNNNNNNNNNNNNNNNNNNNNNNNNNNNNNNNNNNNNNNNNNNNNNNNNNNNNNNNNNNNNNNNNNNNNNNNNNNNNNNNNNNNNNNNNNNNNNNNNNNNNNNNNNNNNNNNNNNNNNNNNNNNNNNNNNNNNNNNNNNNNNNNNNNNNNNNNNNNNNNNNNNNNNNNNNNNNNNNNNNNNNNNNNNNNNNNNNNNNNNNNNNNNNNNNNNNNNNNNNNNNNNNNNNNNNNNNNNNNNNNNNNNNNNNNNNNNNNNNNNNNNNNNNNNNNNNNNNNNNNNNNNNNNNNNNNNNNNNNNNNNNNNNNNNNNNNNNNNNNNNNNNNNNNNNNNNNNNNNNNNNNNNNNNNNNNNNNNNNNNNNNNNNNNNNNNNNNNNNNNNNNNNNNNNNNNNNNNNNNNNNNNNNNNNNNNNNNNNNNNNNNNNNNNNNNNNNNNNNNNNNNNNNNNNNNNNNNNNNNNNNNNNNNNNNNNNNNNNNNNNNNNNNNNNNNNNNNNNNNNNNNNNNNNNNNNNNNNNNNNNNNNNNNNNNNNNNNNNNNNNNNNNNNNNNNNNNNNNNNNNNNNNNNNNNNNNNNNNNNNNNNNNNNNNNNNNNNNNNNNNNNNNNNNNNNNNNNNNNNNNNNNNNNNNNNNNNNNNNNNNNNNNNNNNNNNNNNNNNNNNNNNNNNNNNNNNNNNNNNNNNNNNNNNNNNNNNNNNNNNNNNNNNNNNNNNNNNNNNNNNNNNNNNNNNNNNNNNNNNNNNNNNNNNNNNNNNNNNNNNNNNNNNNNNNNNNNNNNNNNNNNNNNNNNNNNNNNNNNNNNNNNNNNNNNNNNNNNNNNNNNNNNNNNNNNNNNNNNNNNNNNNNNNNNNNNNNNNNNNNNNNNNNNNNNNNNNNCCUCCGCCGCCUAGCCUCACCGCGCGGCCCUGCUCCGGCUGUGGUCACGGCUGCCGGCGCCAGGCCGCGCCCCCCCUUCGCUUGCUGCCCCGUAGCGCCCCGCCGGGCGGGCAGGCGCUCAUCGCCCGGCUCCGCCCAUAGCCGUAUCCGCUGCCCGUCGCCCGCUAUGGCCCUGGGCCACUGGACAACAGGGCCCACACCCUUUAGAACAGAAAAAAAAGAAAUUAAAAAAUAAAUAAAUAAUAAUAAUAAAAAAAAUAAAGUAAAAAUAAAUAUAUUAAAUAAAUAAAUAACAACUAAGAUAAUUAAAAUAUUAAUUAAUUAAUUAAUUAAGUAAUUAAUUAAGUUAAUUAAUCCUCAUUAGAUUAACCUAAUCACUAAUUAAACUAACUAAUCUGUAAUUAAACUAAACAGAGAAUGACAGGUGGGUCCCACUGGACCCACACGUCAGGUUGACCAGGUCAAUGGUCAACGUUGACUGCUGACAUCACCCUGAUGUCAUGCUGACGUCAGCAUUUACUAUUCUGAAUAAUGUUGGAUUAAAUAAUUAAUUAAAUUCCAGAAAUUAAUAAAAUCUUUAGAAAAUCAUAUCUUUUAAUCCGUAACUCGGAUUAAAAUAUUUUCAACAUGAAAGUUGCUCAGAACGACGAACCGAAUCCGGAUACGCAGUCCGUUCAUCCGCCACACACCCCUAACCUAUCGAACCCGCAACUUUCCCCCUCCGGUUCAUCUGUCUGAAAACACGAAACACCGGGAAUACUUUCCCGGAUGUUUUCCCCCUUCGUCGGUAUCACCGACUACCGCGAUUGGGCACACCUAGCAUUGUUACUUGUCAUGUCAUGCAUCGAUAUGCAUUUGUUUGCAUUGUAUUCAUUGUUCCUUCCCCCUCUUCUCUCCGGUAGACUACGAGACCGACGCUGCUGCUGACCAGUUCGACUACGGAGUUGACGACCUCUCUCUCUUGCCAGAGCAACCAGGCAAGCCCCCCCUUUGAUCACCAGAUAUCGCCUAUUCUCCUCUAUACUGCUUGCAUUAGAGUAGUGUAGCAUGUUACUGCUUUCAUUAAUCCUAUUCUGAUGCAUAGCCUGACAUUGUCGCUACAUCUGUUGAUACCUUACCUGCAAUCCUAAAUACUUAGUAUAGGAUGCUAGUUUAUCAUUGUUGGCCCUACCUUCGUGUCAGUCUGCCUUGCUAUAAUAUUGGGCCGUGAUCACUCGGGAGGUGAUCACGGGUAUAUACUAUACAUACAUACAUACUAUACAGAUGGUGACUAAAGUCGGGUCAGCUCGAAGAGUACCCGCGAGUGAUUCACGGAUUGGGGGCUGAAAGGACCUUUGUCCCGACGGCCCUCUGUGUGGAUCUUUGUGGCGGAGCGGCAGGGCAGGUUGAGACCUCCUAGGAGACAGGUGGGCCUGGCCCUGUUCGGCGUUCGCGGAUACUUAACACGCUUAACGAGAUCUUGGUAUUUGAUCUGAGUCUGGCUACGAGCCUAUACGCACUAACCAUCUACGUGGGAGUAGUUAUGGGUAUCCCGACGUCGUGGUAUCAGCCGAAGCACUUCAGACGUCAGCGACGGAGCGGCGCGCGCCGGAUUGGAACGUAAGCCUGCUCUUGUAUUAAGGGGGCUAGUUCUGCUUUCGGCCGCGUACGCAACGUGCAGGUGUGCUAUGGGCGAUGGGCCCAGACCCCUGUGCGCUUAGGUUUAGACCGGCGUGCUGGCCUCUCUGUUUUGCCUAGGUGGGGCUGCGACGUGUUGAUCUUCCGAGGCCGGGCAUGACCCAGGAAAGUGUGUCCGGCCAAAUGGGAUCGAGCGUGUUGGGUUAUGUGGUGCACCCCUGCAGGGAAGUUAAUCUAUUCGAAUAGCCGUGAUCUUCGGUAACAGGACGACUUGGAGUUGUACCUUGACCUUAUGACAACUAGAACCGGAUACUUAAUAAAACACACCCUUCCAAGUGCCAGAUACAACCGGUGGUCGCUCUACCUCAGGGAUAUGAGGAGGGGAUCGCCGGGUAGGAUUAUGCUAUGAGAUGCUACUUGGAGAUUCUACUUGGAGGACUUCAAUCUACUCUCUUCUACUUGAUGCAAGACGGUGGCUGCGAGAAGCGUAGUCUUCGACAGGAUUAGCUAUCCCCCUCUUAUUCUAGCAUUCUGCAGUUUAGUCCACUGAUAUGGCCUCCUUACACAUAUACCCAUGCAUAUGUAGUGUAGUUCCUUGCUUGCGAGUACUUUGGAUGAGUACUCACGGUUGCUUUCUUUCCUCUUUUCCCCUUUCCUUUCUUUCUGGUUGUCGCAACCAGAGGCUGGAGUCCAGGAGCCAGAUGCCACCGUCGACGACGACCCCUACUACACCGGAGGUGCCUACUACUACGUGCAGCCCGCUGACGACGACCGGGAGUAGUUUAGGAGGAUCCCAGGCAGGAGGCCUGCGCCUCUUUCGAUCUGUAUCCCAGUUUGUGCUAGCCUUCUUAAGGCAAACUUGUUUAACUUAUGUCUGUACUCAGAUAUUGUUGCUUCCGCUGACUCGUCUAUGAUCGAGCACUUGUAUUCGAGCCCUCGAGGCCCCUGGCUUGUAUUAUGAUGCUUGUAUGACUUAUUUUAUUUGUAGAGUUGUGUUGUGAUAUCUUCCCGUGAGUCCCUGAUCUUGAUCGUACACAUUUGCGUGCAUGAUUAGUGUACGAUUGAAUCGGGGGCGUCACAAGUUGGUAUCAGAGCCGACUGCCUGUAGGAAUCCCCCUUCCAACUCCUUGGCCGAAGUCGAGUCUAGACAUUGCGAAACUUUUACUAACAUGGCUGUGUGUCUUAUGGACACACGUCGCCAUUGGGUGGUAGUAGGAUCUUUUACUCCUCGACCUUUACUCUGGGACUCUGAUCUCUCCUCUAUUCGGGUUAAAUGAAGUUUACUAAAUCUAACAUUAGGAUCUCGUUAUCACUUUCACCCGGAGAGCCCCUUAUUACAAAUGAUCGUCUGCUGCACCAGAAGACCCUGAAGAUACUCUCCGCUGUUAACCCGAGAACUUGUGUUCAUCACGUUCGCAAUUCACCUUCCACCGCAAACCCUUAUGGAUAACUACUUGCAUUUGUUAUUCUUACCUUCAUCCCCAGUGGUCUUGUUAUUACAAGAUACCCUGAAAAACUCGUCGUUGUGUCGAUAAUCCCUUGAGCUUACUGCCUUGCUGUUCUUUGUCGCCUGAAUACCCCUACGGUUAAUUGUUGCACUUAUCGAGUAUCCGCUCAUCCCCAGUUGUUCAUGAGUUUCACAAAAGUCUUCAAAAUACUAUUCGAUCUUCCGAAAAUCCUCUGGAGCCUUUGGCUCUUGAAAUUCUUGCUUGACUCGCAUUAUGGUUAAUCCCAUAAGUCUCGUAGUCUUAUUGACAUUCCUCGUCAUUAUCAUUUUGGGUCUAUUGACUCAAUAUGUUGCGAAUGCACGCAAUCAUCAGUCGGAUCCUAGAAUUCAUCCUUCCGGCUCAGACGUCGUUUUAAUCAUGAGCUGGUUCUCGCCAAUUAAAUUGUCGUCGAUUUUGCCCCUAAGUCUAUUGAACUUAUCCAUCCUUGAUCAGAGCGUCUGCUUCUGAUUCUUCGCUUUGUAAACCAUAACCCCUUAGCAAUUGAGCUCUAAGUUAUUCAGUUGUUUCGAUAAUCCAAUGUCUUUGUCUGGCUUCUUCCUCUGGUUGUGUGUCGAUACUCACCCCAGAUCCUUUGCUGGAUUUUAUCCGACAAUGUCCUUCAUAUUCAAUAACCUUGAGCCUUUCCUAGGAUAUAUACCGCGUUUGGUAAAUUGUAUCCUCUACUUUGCCAACCAUGCUCUGCUAUCGAGCUUGUGUUAUUUACUCCUGAAGUUUGUGGUAUAUGUUCCUAGGAGGCCCUGAUGGGUUGGACAUAUGCUUUUCUUUAAACUGUGUGAACCCGGAAACCACUACGGGUCAUACUCUACUAGUGUUAUGUCAGAUAAAAUUUCAACACACAAUUUCAUUGAAGGCGAGAAGUGAAUGAAAGGUUAUGCAUUAAAGAAGUGGGAGUCGACCUUGAACUUUGUGUUCAUGCCCAUGGACACGAUGUAGAUCUUAUCAUUAAAGCUUCUUUUAAAUAAAUUAUUCCUUUGGUAUAAGUUCAUCUUAUAUCUAGGAUCUGGCCCUUUGCAACCGUGGUUCCGACCAUGAUUGUUCUUCUUUGAUCUCAUUUCUCGGACAAGUUAAAACAAUUGUCUUCUAUGGAUCAAUACACUAGUCCCACCUUUACUUUGAUCUUGUGUCGAGUAUUACCCCCCUGGUAUCUCGAGAUUAUCAUGGAACUGCAUAACUCCUUAUGAGUUCUUCAUCAAGUGCUACCUUCCCACUGAUUCAAAUUUUUCGCGGGCUCUGAGUUAUUGAACACUCAAAGACACCGAUAACUAAAUCGAGACCGCUCUUCAGUUCAACAACUCUUCAGUAAGCUUCUAUAAGUACGAGUUUGUACCCGAUCACGCCAUUCCUAGCCUGUUUGGCUAUAUCAUUGUCGUGACGAUUCUAACUCUGCUACCUGGUCCUUAUUCUCGGAGCACCAAUUUUCGACGAUGAGCUAACCUUACGUCGAAUCUCAUCGUCAUAUCAUUUCGCCUUGAACAACAAGCUUGGUUUCGAGUUUGUGUCGUACCCUUGGUUCCAAUAACCUUUCACUUCAUCAUUACUUGACUUGAUGUCGUUACCGAUCGAUUACAUCUUCAUGAACUCUCGCGACAAAGGUGUCGUGAUCAUCAACAUUCUGAGCUCAUCUAGGAUAUCAAUUGAAUUCAUGAUGAGAAAUAACAUCCUUGCCCUCGAUGAAUUGUAUUAUCAUCGACCACUUUAUUGCCUUCCCACCAACACAAGCCUGUUCAUGCUUGGUGUUAUACCUUGAGUUCCUUGCUACCCAGCAUUUGAUCUUCCUUACCUCGGAAGUAUUACCAUCUCUUUUUGUCAAGAAUGUGGUGGGAAUUUCACCACCUCUUAAUAAUUCUUGAUAUCAUAAUACUACUUGCCAUCUUCGUUCAUUCCUUGGUCCCCGUAUUGUUUUCAACCGGAAUACCGACAAUGGAGCUAUGACGUGUGAAUUCAAAACUUCUAGCAACCCUAUUGCUUUGAAGUGAAUGGGCGAUAGUUCAUUCUAAGUCCUUCGCUAAUUGAGUCACCAUUCUGACAUUGGUCGUGCAACCCAACCCAUAUUUCGGGCGCACCUUUCAACCAAUGUUUAAUUGUGUAUGUUUUCCUCGAGCAUACUUCCUUAUAUCAUUUGAUCUGACAAAUGUUAUCUCCUUGUUCACUUAAUGGUGGAAAUCCAUCUUUUGGGAAUCUCGGUGAAUUGCCGCUGAGUUCACCAGACACCUCCUUGUCCUCUCCUUGGGUUAAUGAUGAACUCUUGUUAACGGAAGUCACUUCAUAGUUCAUUUCCCGAGAAUCUUACAGUGUCAUCCCGUCAAUUGGUGUUGCACCUUUCUUCUCAGGCAUCCUGAGCCUGAGGUAUCCUGACACCAAUCAUACCUGAAUCUCCGUCAGAUAUGAUGGUUAGGACAACUUUCCAAGAGUUAUGAUAUUGAUCCUUUGAUGACCCGGUAANNNNNNNNNNCCUCAUUUCGCUGUCGGCGCCGUCCGUACGCCGCUCGCCUCCCGCGCCGCUACCCCGCUGCUGCGCGCUUGCUCUGCUCCCGUCGCUCGCUCGCCCGGGGCACGCUCCGGCCUCCCCGGCCACGCGCCCGCCUGGGCCUCGGCUGCCCAGGGCCGUGGCUCCGCAGCCCGCGCUAGGCCAUGCCCCGUCCGCUGUCGUGCUCCUUCCCCCUCCCCCUCGUGCGCCGCCACCACUACCUCCCGCUCCUCGCGGCCACCUCCGCCGCCUAGCCUCACCGCGCGGCCCUGCUCCGGCUGUGGUCACGGCUGCCGGCGCCAGGCCGCGCCCCCCCCUUCGCUUGCUACCCCGUAGCGCCCCGCCGGGCGGGCAGGCGCUCGUCGCCCGGCUCCGCCCAUAGCCGUAUCCGCUGCCCGUCGCCCGCUAUGGCCCUGGGCCACUGGACAACAGGGCCCACGCCCUUUAGAACAGAAAAAAAAGAAAUUAAAAAAUAAAUAAAUAAUAAUAAUAAAAAAAAUAAAGUAAAAAUAAAUAUAUUAAAUAAAUAAAUAACAACUAAGAUAAUUAAAACAUUAAUUAAUUAAUUAAUUAAGUAAUUAAUUAAGUUAAUUAAUCCUGAUUAGAUUAACCUAAUCACUAAUUAAACUAACUAAUCUGUAAUUAAACUAAACAGAGAAUGACAGGUGGGUCCCACUGGACCCAGACGUCAGGUUGACCAGGUCAAUGGUCAACGUUGACUGCUGACAUCACCCUGAUGUCAUGCUGACGUCAGCAUUUACUAUUCUGGAUAAUGUUGGAUUAAAUAAUUAAUUAAAUUCCAGAAAUUAAUAAAAUCUUUAGAAAAUCAUAUCUUUUAAUCCGUAACUCGGAUUAAAAUAUUUUCAACAUGAAAGUUGCUCAGAACGACGAGACGAAUCCGGAUACGCAGUCCGUUCAUCCGCCACACACCCCUAACCUAUCGAACCCGCAACUUUCCCCCUCCGGUUCAUCUGUCCGAAAACACGAAAAACCGGGAAUACUUUCCCGGAUGUUUCCCCCCUUCGUCGGUAUCACCGACUACCGCGAUUGGGCACACCUAGCAUUGUUACUUGUCAUGUCAUGCAUCGAUAUGCAUUUGUUUGCAUUGUAUUCAUUGUUCCUUCCCCCUCUUCUCUCCGGUAGACUACGAGACCAACGCUGCUGCUGACCAGUUCGACUACGGAGUUGACGACCUCUCUCUCUUGCCAGAGCAACCAGGCAAGCCCCCCCCUUUGAUCACCAGAUAUCGCCUAUUCUCCUCUAUACUGCUUGCAUUAGAGUAGUGUAGCAUGUUACUGCUUUCAUUAAUCCUAUUCUGAUGCAUAGCCUGACAUUGUCGCUACAUCUGUUGAUACCUUACCUGCAAUCCUAAAUACUUAGUAUAGGAUGCUAGUUUAUCAUUGUUGGCCCUACCUUCGUGUCAGUCUGCCUUGCUAUAAUAUUGGGCCGUGAUCACUCGGGAGGUGAUCACGGGUAUAUACUAUACAUACAUACAUACUAUACAGAUGGUGACUAAAGUCGGGUCAGCUCGAAGAGUACCCGCGAGUGAUUCACGGAUUGGGGGCUGAAAGGACCUUUGUCCCGACGGCCCUCUGUGUGGAUCUUUGUGGCGGAGCGACAGGACAGGUUGAGACCGCCUAGGAGAGAGGUGGGCCUGGCCCUGUUCGGCGUUCGCAGACACUUAACACGCUUAACGAGAUCUUGGUAUUUGAUCUGAGUCUGGCUACGAGCCUAUACGCACUAACCAUCUACGUGGGAGUAGUUAUGGGUAUCCCGACGUCGUGGUAUCAGCCGAAGCACUUCAGACGUCAGCGACGGAGCGGCGCGCGCCGGAUUGGAACGUAAGCCUGCUCUUGUAUUAAGGGGGCUAGUUCUGCUUUCGGCCGCCCUCGCAACGUGCAGGUGUGCUAUGGGCGAUGGGCCCAGACCCCUGUGCGCUUAGGUUUAGACCGGCGUGCUGGCCUCUCUGUUUUGCCUAGGUGGGGCUGCGACGUGUUGAUCUUCCGAGGCCGGGCAUGACCCAGGAAAGUGUGUCCGGCCAAAUGGGAUCGAGCGUGUUGGGUUAUGUGGUGCACCCCUGCAGGGAAGUUAAUCUAUUCGAAUAGCCGUGAUCUUCGGUAACAGGACGACUUGGAGUUGUACCUUGACCUUAUGACAACUAGAACCGGAUACUUAAUAAAACACACCCUUCCAAGUGCCAGAUACAACCGGUGGUCGCUCUACCUCAGGGAUAUGAGGAGGGGAUCGCCGGGUAGGAUUAUGCUAUGAGAUGCUACUUGGAGAUUCUACUUGGAGGACUUCAAUCUACUCUCUUCUACUUGAUGCAAGACGGUGGCUGCGAGAAGCGUAGUCUUCGACAAGAUUAGCUAUCCCCCUCUUAUUCUGGCAUUCUGCAGUUCAGUCCACUGAUAUGGCCUCCUUACACAUAUACCCAUGCAUAUGUAGUGUAGUUCCUUGCUUGCGAGUACUUUGGAUGAGUACUCACGGUUGCUUUCUUUCCUCUUUUCCCCUUUCCUUUCUUUCUGGUUGUCGCAACCAGAGGCUGGAGUCCAGGAGCCAGAUGCCACCGUCGACGACGACCCCUACUACACCGGAGGUGCCUACUACUACGUGCAGCCCGCUGACGACGACCGGGAGUAGUUUAGGAGGAUCCCAGGCAGGAGGCCUGCGCCUCUUUCGAUCUGUAUCCCAGUUUGUGCUAGCCUUCUUAAGGCAAACUUGUUUAACUUAUGUCUGUACUCAGGUAUUGUUGCUUCCGCUGACUCGUCUAUGAUCGAGCACUUGUAUUCGAGCCCUCGAGGCCCCUGGCUUGUAUUAUGAUGCUUGUAUGACUUAUUUUAUUUGUAGAGUUGUGUUGUGAUAUCUUCCCGUGAGUCCCUGAUCUUGAUCGUACACAUUUGCGUGCAUGAUUAGUGUACGAUUGAAUUGGGGGCGUCACAUCCCACCACUGGCCAGGCCAAUCCCUCCACUCACCCACACCCCAUGUUAUUCUGCGGCGACGGCAGCCUCACACCACAGCCGAACAAGUGAACGCUCGUACUCCUCUCCGCGUGGGCAUCCACUUCCGCAUCUUGCACGGCUCCGCGUCGUCCCCUUCCUAGGCCUCACCGUCGUCCACCGCCAUGGUCAAUGUGGUCAACGACCGACUUCCAUCGGAAGAGUACUGUACGUGGAGUGGCUGACAGCUGGGUCCACGACAGCCGCAAGGAAGUGCCUCCUUAUUACGCGGAAAAUAUUUAUUCCUCCACCUGACAGCGGGGACCCACCGGACGGGCCACCAGUAUUUUGCGAAAAAAAUCGUUUCCCCCUGACUACUGGGACCCACCGGAUGGGCCACCGUAUUUCGCGAAAAAAUGUCCCCCCCGCUGUCAGCUCGGACCCACUGGAAGUGCCUCCUUAUUACGCACAAAAAAAUGAAUACUCCCCCGGCUAGCUGGGAGGCUGACUUGUGGGCAUACUAAGUUGACAGGGACGAAGGGCUUUGUCAACUUAGUCAAUAUGAAUGAUUCUAGCUCCAGUGACCGUACGAUGUCCAUCCAACGGCCGUAGUGCUUCUUCAACCUCUGGUCUUCUUGCUCCAGCCGCCCAAAGCAGCGCCGGUCGUGCCGCAUGCUCCUGCCUCCCAUGGCCGGCUGUGCUGCCGCAGAGGCCUCGCCGCCCCCUACUAUUCCCACCGCUGGCCAGGCCCUGCAGCGACGGCAGCCUCACACCGCAGCCGAACCAGUGAACCCUCGUAGUCCUCUCCGCGCGGGCUUCCACUGCCGUGUCGUCCCCUUCCUAGGCCUCGCCGUCGUCCACCGCCGUGGUGCUCUCCGCGUGGCAUGGUCAACGUGGUCAAGGAACGACUUCCAUCGGAAGAGUACUGUACGUGGAGAGGCUGACAGCUGGGUCCACGGCCACAUCCCAUUUUUUUGUGGUUUGCCAAGUAAGUCGCUUUGUUAGGCCUGUUGGGCUGCAAUUCUUUCAAGACGGGGAGAGCUUUCAUUCGGCUAGCCAAGAAAAUGGUCCAUCAAUAAUGAGAAAUGGGUUGUACAUUUUUAAAACACAUCAAACCAACAAUUAGUUUCAAAUAUCUUUUUUUUCAUUUCAAGAUUUUAAAUUACAUUAAUUUUUAUGCGUGGAGAAUUUGUUGGAUUUUAUAUUGAUAUACAUUUAUUUUUAAAAUCAGUUUGAAUGUGAGUCGAAAUUUCGGGAUUAAAAACAGUUCGGACCACACCGAAAUAUGCAAAAAUUCGCAUAAUUUUUUAACAGUUGCCACAAUAUGGGCUGUAAUGCUAACAAAAAGAAUACGGGCUCCAAAAAAACCUUAAGAAUUAGCAAAUGGGCUGUAAAUUAUUAGAAAUAAUGACAGAUGGGCUGUAUGCUGUUUUCCACAGAUUUGAGGCUUUCCUAAAAAAAGGUUGACGCACAAGCACUGACUGUUGGAUGUCCAUCCAACGGCCGUUUGCUUCUUCAAUCUCUGCUCUUCCUGCUCCAGCCGCUCAAACAAGCGCCGACGGGACUGCCUGCUCCCUCCUCCUCGCGGCCGGCUGUGCUGCCGCGCAUGCCUCACCGCCCGACCGUACUCCCAUCGCUGGCCUAGCCAUCCCUCUACUCACCCACACCUGCUGUUAUUCUUCGGCGACGGUAGACGAACCAGUAAACCCUCGUACAGUCGUACUCCCCUCCGCGUGGGAAACAACUGCCGAGUCUUCCCUGCCUCCGUGUCGUCCCCUUCCUAGGCCUUGCCGUCGUCCACCGCCCUGGUGCUCUCGGCGCGGCCUAGUCAACGUGGUCAACGACCGACAUGCAUCUGAAGUGGACUUUACAAGGAGAGGCCGACAGCUGGGUCCACGGCCGCACGCAAGGAAAUGCCUCCUUAUUAUGCGCAAAAUAAUGAUUCCUCCACCUGACAUCAGGGACCCACCGAAAGGGCCUCUGUAUUUCACGAAAAAACGUUACGGCCGCUGACAGCUCGGACCCACCAGCUAUAUCUACGCACGCAAGGAAGUGCCUCCUUAUUACGCACAAAAAAAUGAAUACCCCCCUGUUUGCUGGGACCCAGUAUAGUGGCAGGCUGACUUGUGGGCCUACUAAGUUGACGGGGACGGAGGGCUUUGUCAACUUAGUCAAUAUGCACGAUUCUAGCUCCAGUGACCGUACGUUGUCCAUCCAACGGUUGUAGUGCUUCUUCAACCUCUGGUCUUCUUGCUCCAGCCGCCCAAACCAGCGUCGGUUGUGCCUCGUGCUCCUGCCUCCCGUGGCCGGCUGCAAUGCAGCGGAGGCCUCACCGCCCCCUACUACUCCCACUGCUGGCCAGGCCAUCCCUCUACUCACCCACACCCCCUAUUAUUCUACGGUGAUGGCAGCCUCACACCGCAGCGAACCAGUGAACCCUCGUACUCCUCUACGCGUGGGCAUCCACUGCCGCGUCUUCCCCGGCUCUGCAUUAUCCCCUUCCUAGGCCUCGUCGUCGUCCACCACCCUGGUGCUCUCAGCGCGGAGUGGUCAACGUGGUCAAGGAACAGCUUCCAUCGGACAUGGACUGUACGUGGAGAGGCUGACAGCUGGGUCCACGACCGUAGCAAGGAAGUGCCUCCUUAUUACGUGCAAAAUAAUUAUUCCUCCACCUGACAGCGGGACCCAUCGGACGGGCCACCGUAUUUCGCCCCCCUGACUGCUGGGACCCACCAGCUACAUCUUCACACACAAGGAAGUGCCUGACAGUCGGGACCCACCUGGUCGAAGCGUACGUAGCGUUGUCAUUCUGGUCGCGAACGUGUAUGUACAUAUAUACUGGUCGAUGUAGAGGCACGCACGUGUCGUAGUAGAGGCGGCCAGGGUGCAAGAAAGAAAAUAAGGCCACGUAUGUGUACAUACGGGCGGGGUCUCGAACGCCUACUUGCGCAUACGUACGGCCAGGGCUCGUGUACAUGGCUGGGUCGAAACGGAGAAACAGCGUCAUCGUCGUGUUCAUGGGGAGGCAACGGAAUGCGUCGUGUUCAUAGGGAGGCAACGGAAUGUGUCAUGUUCAUGGGGAGGAAACGGAAUGCGUCGUGUUCAUCGGGAGGGCUUGGAUGGAACAUGCGAUGGAAACGAGGCCUGGCGUACCACAGAAUGGAGGAAACGACCUUGUGUUUGACUGGCCACGUUCGAAAUGGGAUCCUGUUCAUCGGGAGGGGUCUGGCGUACCGCAAAACGGAGGAAACAGACCUCCUACGGCCGAAAUGGGGGUCCUGUUGAUCGGGAGGGGUGUGGCGUACCGCAAAACAGACGAAACGGACUUGUGUUGGAGCGCUAUGGUCGAAACGGGGGUCCUGUUCAUCGGGAGGGGUGUGGCGUACCGCAAAACGGGACUCCACGGGAUACUGUUCAUCUCCACCGUCGACCCCCUCCAGCCUCCACGAGCUACUGUUCAUCCACCGUUGACCUCCUCCAGCCUCCACCUGCGACUGAUCAUCCACGGGCUCCUGUUCAUCCAGCCUCCACCGCGCGCAACUCCACCGGCUACUGUUCAACCAGCCCUCUCCAUGGGCUCCUGUUCAACCACCCCUCCAUGGGCUACUGUUCAUCCCGCCCUCCACCUUCUAUUGUUCAUCCUGCCCUCCACGGGGUGGUCCUGUUCAUCCAGCCCUCCAUGGGGUCCUGUUCAUCCAGCCCCAACCAGCUCGAUUGAUCGAGGUCCUGUUCAUCCAGAGGCAACACCACGGGGUCUUGUUCAUCCACCCCUACCGGCAACUGUUCAUCCAAACCCCCCGCAACGCUCACUGUUCAUCCAGAGGCAGCAUCAAUCGGCUUCAGUUAGCAGCAGUAGCGAAGGAAUCGCUCGAUCGGGUUCAGUUAACAGCCAUCGAUCGAUCGCUCGGGUUCAGUAACACGUAGCCUGCAGUGCAAUCGCUCGGGUUCAGUUAGAGCCCAACGCCUCACUCGGGUUCAGUUAGAGCGUACGUGUACGAGAGAAACGCGCAUCGCUCGGCCCCCGACCUCCCACCGUAACCGGGAACUCCCCAAAAUUUUUGUCCCCCUCGCUUCUACCAUAGUUUUUUCUGUCAUGGACGGCCCAUAGAAUGUCAUGCAGCUGCGUCUCCGGCCCGCCCAGGACGAAAAGCCCAUUUUCUGUCAUAGAAGUAGGAGCUCACCACAUCUAUGAUGAUACCGGGUUUUGUCACAAUUAUCGUCAUAGAAGUGUCACAUGUAUGACAGAAAAAAAUUUCGUUCGGCCCAAAAUGUCACGGAUGUGUCUUUUUUUGUAGUGUUAGUAACACGGGUGAUGUAAUCGAAUGUCUUUGUGAUCUAACUGAUCCAAACAUCGAACGUACGGCACCUCCAUGUUCAUCACAUGUUCAGCUCAAUGACGUCCCUUGAUCUCUUGAUCCAGUUGAGGACGAGGGAGAGUUCCGUUAGCACAACGGCGUGGUGACGGUGAUGAUGAAGUUACCGACGCAGGGCUUCGCCUAAGCACUACGACGAUAUGACCGAGGUGUGUAACUAUGGAGGGGGGCACCACACACGGCCAAGAGAAGUCUUGGUGUGUCUUUGGGGUGCCUCCUCCCACGUAUAUAAAGGGGGGAGGAGAGGUGGUCGGCCCAANNNNNNNNNNNNNNNNNNNNNNNNNNNNNNNNNNNNNNNNNNNNNNNNNNNNNNNNNNNNNNNNNNNNNNNNNNNNNNNNNNNNNNNNNNNNNNNNNNNNNNNNNNNNNNNNNNNNNNNNNNNNNNNNNNNNNNNNNNNNNNNNNNNNNNNNNNNNNNNNNNNNNNNNNNNNNNNNNNNNNNNNNNNNNNNNNNNNNNNNNNNNNNNNNNNNNNNNNNNNNNNNNNNNNNNNNNNNNNNNNNNNNNNNNNNNNNNNNNNNNNNNNNNNNNNNNNNNNNNNNNNNNNNNNNNNNNNNNNNNNNNNNNNNNNNNNNNNNNNNNNNNNNNNNNNNNNNNNNNNNNNNNNNNNNNNNNNNNNNNNNNNNNNNNNNNNNNNNNNNNNNNNNNNNNNNNNNNGUACUCCAGAAAAUGCCCGAACCUUUUCAAAACCAUUCCGGUGUCCAAACAUAACCUUCCAAUAUAUCAAUCUUUAUGUCUCGACCAUUUCGAGACUCCUCGUCAUGUCUGUGAUCUCAUCCGGGGCUCCGAACAAACUCCGGUUCAUCAAAUCACAUAACUCAUAAUACAAAUCAUCAUUGAAUGUUAAGCGUGCGGACCCUACGGGUUCGAGAACUAUGUAGACAUGACUGAGACACAUCUCCGGUCAAUAACCAAUAGCGGAACUUGGAUGCUUGAUAACCCACAAGUAUAGGGGAUUGCAACAGUUUUCGAGGGUAAAGUAUUCAACCCAAAUUUAUAGAUUCGACACAAGGGGAGCCAAAGAAUACUCUCAAGUAUUAGCAGCUGAGUUGUCAAUUCAACCACACCUGGAAAAUUAGUAUGUGCAGCAAAGUAUUUAGUAGCAAAGUAAUAUGAUAGUAGUGGUAACGGUAGCAAAAGGUAACAGUAGUAAAAGUAAUGUUUUUGGAAUUUCGUAGUGAUGAUAGCAAUAGCAACAGGAAAGUAAAUAAGCGCAGAACAAUAUAUGGAAAGCUCGUAGGUAAUGGAUCGAUGAUGGAGAAUUACGCCAGAUGCGGUUCAUCAUGUAACAGUCAUAACCUAGGGUGACACAGAACUAGCUCCAGUUCAUCAAUGAAUGUAGGCAUGUAUUCCGAAUAUAGUCAUACGUGCUUAUGGAAAAGAACUUGCAUGACAUCUUUUGUCCUACCCUCCCAUGGCAGCGGGGUGAUAACCCACAAGUAUAGGGGAUCACAACAGCUUUCGAGGGUAGAGUAUUCAACCCAAAUUUAUUGAUUCGACACAAGGGGAGCCAAAGAAUAUUAUCAAGUAUUAGCAGCUGAGUUGUCAAUUCAACAACACUUGGAAAACUUAGUAUCUGCAGGAAAGUGUUUACUAGCAAAAUAAUAUGAUAGUGGUGGUAGCGGCAACAAAAGUAAAGACAUCAAAAGUAAUGUUUUUGGUAUUUUGUAGUGAUUGUAACAGUAACAGCGGGAAAGUAAAUAAGCGAGAACCAGUAUAUGGCAAACUCAUAGGCACCGGAUCAGUGAUGGAUAAUUAUGCCGGAUGCGGUUCAUCAUGUAACAGUCAUAACAUAGGGUGACACAGAACUAGCUCCAAUUCAUCAAUGUAAUGUAGGCUUGUAUUCCGUAUAUAGUCAUACGUGCUUAUGGAAAAGAACUUGCAUGCCAUCUUUUGUCCUACCCUCCCGUGGCAGCGGGGUCCUAUUGGAAACUAAGGGAUAUUAAGGCCUCCUUUUAAUAGAGAACCGGAACAAAGCAUUAGCACAUAGUGAAUACAUGAACUCCUCAAACUAUGGUCAUCACCGGGAGUGGUCCCGAUUAUUGUCACUUCAGGGUUGCCGGAUCAUAACACAUAGCAGGUGACUAUAGACUUGCAAGAUAGGAUAAAGAACUCACAUAUAUUCAUGAAAACAUAAUAGGUUCAGAUCUGGAAUAAUGGCACUCGGGCCCUAGUGACAAGCAUUAAGCAUAGCAAAGUCAUAGCAACAUCAAUCUCAGAACAUAAUGAAUACUAGGGAUCAAACCCUAACAAAACUAACUUGAUUACAUGAUAAAUCUCAUCCAACCCAUCUCCGUCCAGCAAGCCUACGAUGCAAUUACUCACACACGGCAGUGAGCAUCAUGAAAUUGGUGAUGGAGGAUGGUUGAUGAUGACGACGGCAACGAAUCCCCCUCUCCGGAGCCCCGAAUGGACUCCAGAUCAGCCCUCCCGAGAGGUUUUAGGGCUUGGCGGCGGCUCCGUAUCGUAAAACGCGAUGAAUUCUUCUCUCUGAUUUUUUCUCCCCGAAACACAAUAUAUAGAGUUGGAGUUGGAGUCGGAGGAGCUCCAGGGGGCCCACGAGGUAGGGGGCGCGCCCUAGGGGGGCAGGCGCACCUCCCACCCUCGUGGACAGGUGGUGGGCCCCUUGGCCUUCAUCUUUUGCAGGUAUUUUUUAUAUUUUCCAAGAAGUUGCUCCGUGAAGUUUCAGGUCAUUCCGAGAACGUUUGUUUCUGCACAUAAAUAACAUCAUGGUAAUUCUGCUGAAAACAACAUCAGUCUGGGUUAGUUCCAUUCAAAUCAUGUAAGUUAGAGUUCAAAACAAGGGCAAAAGUGUUUGGAAAAGUAGAUACGAUGGAGACGUAUCAACUCCCCCAAGCUUAAACCUUUGAUUGUCCUCAAGCAAUUCAGUUGACAAACUGAAAGUGAUAAAGAAAAAGUUUUACAAACUCUGUUUGCUCUUGUUGUUGUAAAUAUGUAAAGCCAACAUUCAAGUUUUCAGCAAAGAUUAUAACUAACAACAUUUGCAAUAACGCUCAGGUCUCAAGUUUACUCAUAUCAACAACAUAAUCAACUAGCGAGCAAUAAUAAUAAAUCUCGGAUGACAACACUUUCUCAAAACAAUCAUAAUAUGAUAUAACAAGAUGGUAUCUCGCUAGCCCUUUCUGAGACCGCAAAACAUAAAUGCAGAGCACCUUUAAAGACCAAGCACCGACUAGACAUUGUAAUUCAUGGUAAAAGAACUUGAUAACACAUAGCAGGUGACUAUAGACUUGCAAGAUAGGAUCAAGAACUCACAUAUAUUCAUGAAAACAUAAUAGGUUCAGAUCUGGAAUAAUGGCACUCGGGCCCUAGUGACAAGCAUUAAGCAUAGCAAAGUCAUAGCAACAUCAAUCUCAGAACAUAAUGAAUACUAGGGAUCAAACCCUAACAAAACUAACUUGAUUACAUGAUAAAUCUCAUCCAACCCAUCUCCGUCCAGCAAGCCUACGAUGCAAUUACUCACACACGGCAGUGAGCAUCAUGAAAUUGGUGAUGGAGGAUGGUUGAUGAUGACAACGGCAACGAAUCCCCCUCUCUGGAGCCCCGAAUGGACUCCAGAUCAGCCCUCCCGAGAGGUUUUAGGGCUUGGCGGCGGCUCCUAUCGUAAAACAUGAUGAUUUCUUCUCUCUUAUUUUUUUCUCUCCGAAAGCAAAUAUAUAGAGUUGGAGUUGGCAUCAGAGGGUUUCCAAGGGGCCCACAAGGUAGGGGGCGUGCCCUAGGGGGGGGGUGCCCCCCACCCUCGUGAGAAGGGUGUGGGCCCCCUGGUCUUCAUCUUUGGUGAGGAUUUUUUAUUGUUUUUUCUAAGAUGUUCCGUGGAGUUUCAGGUCAUUCCAAGAAUAUUUGUUUUCUGCACAUAAAACAACACCAUGGCAAUUCUGCUGAAAACAGCGUCAGUCCGGGUUAGUUCCAUUCAAAUCAUACAAGUUAGAGUCCAAAACAAGGGCAAAAGUGUUUGGAAAAGUAGAUACAACGGAGACGUAUCAACUCCCCGAAGCUUAAACCCUUGCUUGUCCUCAAGCAAUUCAGUUAACAAACUAAAAGAAAGAAAGAAAAACUUUUACAAACUCUGUUUGCUCUUGUUGUUGUAACUAUGUCAAGCCAGCAUUCAAGUUUUCAUCAUAGAUCAUAACUAACCACAUUUGCAAUAAUUCUCAGGUCUCGCAAUUACUCAUAUCAAUAGCAUAAUCAACUAGCAAGUCAUAAUAAUAAAUCUCGGAUGACAACACUUUCUCAAAACAGUCAUAAUAUGAUAUAACAAGAUGGUAUCUCGCUAGCCCUUUCUGAGACCGCAAAACAUAAAUGCAGAGCACCUUUAAAUAUCAAGGACUGACUAGACAUUGUAAUUCAUGGUAAAAGAGAUCCAAUCAUAGUAAUACCCAAUAUAAAUUAACAGUGAUGAAUGCAAAUGACGGAUGCGCUCUCCAGCUAGUGCUUUUUAAUAAGAGGGUGAUGACUCAAUAUAAAAUUAAAUGGAUAGGCCCUUCGCAGAGGGAAGCAGGGAUUUCUAGAGGUGCCAGAGCUCGGUUUUGAAAUAGAGAUAAAUUGUAUUUUGAGCGGUAUACUUUCAUUGUCAACGUAACAACUAAGAGAUGGCGAUAUCUUCCAUGAUAAGCACAUUAUAGGCGGUUCCCAAACAGAAUGGUAAAGUUUAUACUCCCCCUCCACCAACAAGCAUCAAUCCAUGGCUUGCUCGAAACAAUGAGUGCCUCCAACAUACAUCAGGUCCCAGGGGGAGUUUUAUUUGCAAUUAAUUUUGAUUUAGUUUGCAUAAAGCAUGGGACUGGGCAUCCCGGUGACCAGCCAUUUUCUCGUGAGUGAGGAGCGGAGUCCACUCCUCUUGAGAAUAACCCGCCUAAAACAGAAGAUAAGAACAACAUUUGUUGAUACAUGAGCUAUUCGAGCAUACAAAACAGAAUGUUUAUUUGAAGGUUUAGAGUUUGGCACAGACAAAUUUACUUGGAACGGCAGGUAGAUACCGCAUAUAGGAAGGUAUGGUGGACUCAUCUGGAAUAACUUUGGGGUUUAAGGGAUUGGAUGCACAAGCAGUAUUCCUGCUUAGUACAAGUGAAGGCUAGCAAAAGACUGGGAAGCGACCAACUAGAGAGCGACAACAACCAUGUACAUGUAUUAAAAUUAAUAAACAUUGGAUGCAAGCAUGAGUAGGAUAUAAUCCACCAUGAACAUAAAUAUUGUGAAGGCUAUGUUGAUUUGUUUCAACAACAUGCGUGAACAUGUGCCAAGUCAAGUCACUUAAAUCAUUCAAAGGAGGAUACCACCCCAUCAUACCACAUCAUAAUCAUCUCAAUAGCAUGUUGGCACACAAGGUAGACCAUUAUAACUCAUAGCUAAUCAAGCAUGGCACAAUCAACUAUGAUCUCUAAUUGUCAUUGCAAACAUGUUUAUUCAUAAUAAGGUGAAUCAAGAAUGAGGGACUCAUCAUAUUUACAAAAACAAAAGAGGUCGAGUUCAUACCAGCUUUUCUCAUCUCAGUCAGUCCAUCAUAUAUCAUCAUAAUUGCCUUUCACUUGCACGACCGAACGGUGUGAAUAAUAAUAAGAGUGCACGUGCAUUGGACUAAGCUGGAAUCUGCGAGCAUUCAAUAAACGUGAGAAGACAAGGCAAUAUGGGCUCUUGGUUAAAUCAACAAUAAUGCGUAUAAGAGCCACUUCAACAAUUUAAUUAUGGUCUUCUCCUACUGACCCCCAAAUAAAAGAAAAGAAAUAAAACUAUUUACAUGGGAAAUCUCCCAAGAAGCAAAAAGAAGAACGGGAAAUAUUUUUGGGUUUUCUUUUUAAUUAUUACUACUACAGCAGAAAAAAAUAAACUACUACUAAUAUUUUUUUGUUUUUCUUAAGGUUUAACAAACACACAAGAAGAAAGCAGGAAAAAGAAAAUAAACUAGCAUGGAUAUUACAUUGAAAAAGUAUGAGCACCGACAUCUAGCAAUGAGUGUGUGAACAUAAAUGUAAUGUUGGUGAGAAAUACGUACUCCCCCAAGCUUAGGCUUUUGGCCUAAGUUGGUCUAUGGCCAUGGCUGGCCUGGCGGAUAUCCAUAAUAAUAGUUAUUGGGGUCGUACUGUGAUGAGAAAGAAUAGUUGGGAUCAUACUGUGAUGAAUAAGAAGACUCUGACUGCCACUGGCUGACAGUCAUCUCUGGAUCCCAAGAGUAAACAGAUUGUCGUGGAGGUUCAUCUUGUGGUUCCUGUUCCGGGGCUGGUGCAGGAUUCUUGUAAGCUUGGACGGCAGCCCACGUAACGAGGUAGGGUCCUACAAAAUUAAACAAAGAAGGAGCGGGCAAUGUAAUAGUUUCAGGAUGAUGUUUGUUAAAGAACAAUUGAUACUUAAGCUCUCCUGCCCUAUUCUUAACAAUAAAAUCAUGUGCCACCAUACUUUUAUGAUCUAGAUAAACACGGGGCAGCACCUUUUCUUCCUUCUCAGCAUGCCUAAUAGGUAUGUUAAAAUGUGCAGCUAGGCUUGUGGCAUAGACGCCUCCAAAGAUGGGACCCUUAGUAUAGUUCAUACUUAACUGUCUAGCAAUAAUACCGCCCAUACUAAAAGUGUUAUCACUAUAUAAAUCGUGGUGCAGAAUAAUUAUAUCAGGGAUACUAAGGUUUCCACUGUUUCCGCGUGCAAUUAAACAACGACUAGCAAAUAAUGCAAAGUAGCGUAAAACAGAAAAAUGUAUGCUAGUGAUUCGUGCAUCGGAAACCUUUCUAGUUUCUCCUACAGUGAUAGUAUCAAUAAACCCAGCCACAUCAUCAUGAUGUGGUUCUUCUGUCUUGCCCUCAAAAGGGAUUAAACAAAUCCGACAGAAAUCAUAAAGUGACAUCUCCUUAUGCUCAUCAUAUAAAUGAAACUCCACCGUAGGUGGUGAGUUUCUAGAAUGAAAAUGAAAGUUUUGCACAAAAGUAUUUGUGAGUAAGAGAUACUGAUCGCAUUGGUUGUGGAGGAAAGCGGUGAGGCUUGUGUUGUGAGCCAAUUCAUGAAAAUCUUCAUAGAUACCGGCUGCUCUCAAGAAAUCUUCAGAAGGCCAUUCACACGCCCGAAUCUCCGUGGUGCGCGGCAAAUUAUACUUAGGCUUCGGUGCCUUUUCCUUCGAGCUUUGGCUCGAUGAGCCCCUCAAAAAUCUCCUCAUUAUUUUUCUGAAAUAAUCUGAAAUUUUUAGUAACUUCAAACAAAAAUGAACCAACUUCAAUAAUAUUGAUAGCAACUACUCCUACAAGUGCCUAGAGCCUAUAUCAAGCAUUAGAACUACCUGGAACCAUAUAAAUUUGACAUGCAAGCUCAAGAACAUGGUCACCUAUGCAGCACAAAUUUGCAAAGAAUAAAGCACUAGAACAAAAACUAAUUGGAGCAAUCGAGGAGCCACAUACUAAGGAACAAUCUCCCCAAGCAGUUUUGCGAGAGGUGCUUUGAGCAAGGAGAUCGAAAAUCACAGCAAAAGUGGCUGGAACUCGUGCUUGGGUUGGUUUUUCGGGUUUGUGUGAGACAGAGGAAGAAGAUGGGUGCUGGGAUAACUGGAGGACGGCCACCAUGGGCCCACGAGGCAGGGGGGCGCACCCUAGGGGAGGGGGCGCGCCCACCACCCUCGUGGCCAGGUGGCAUCUCCUCCCGCGGUAAUUUUUGCACAUUAAAUCCUCAAAUAUUCCCGAAAAAUCAUAUUAAAUUGGCAUGUCAUUCUGAGGACUUUUAUUUUCGGGAUAUUUUUAUAUUGCACGGAUAAGUCAGGAAACAGACAGAAAAUACUAUUUUUACUUUAUUUAAUAUAAAUAACAGAAAGUAAAAGUGGGGUACAGGAGGUUGUGCUUCUAGUUUCAUCCAUCUCAUGCUCAUCAAAAAGAAUCCACUAACAAGGUUGAUCAAGUCUUGUUAACAAACUUGUUCCGAUAAUCACGAAACCGGAGAAAUUUCAAAUAACACUAAGUUACCUCAAAGGGGAUAUGCACAUCCCCUAUAAUAAGUAUAUCAUAUUUCUUCUUGACAGUAGGAAGAGGAAAUUCAAAACCUCCAAAUAUAAUCGAUGGAAUUUUUCCAAUAGAGUUGAUACUAUGAACUUGAGGUUGUUUCCUCGGAAAGUGUACCGUAUGCUCAUUACCAUUAACAUGAAAAGUGACAUUGCCUUUGUUGCAAUCAAUAACAGCACCUGCAGUAUUAAGAAAAGGUCUUCCAAGAAUAAUAGACAUACUAUCAUCCUCGGGAAUAUCAAGUAUAACAAAGUCCGUUAAAAUAGUAACGUUUGCAACCACAACAGGCACAUCCUCACAAAUACCGACAUGUAUAGCAGUUGAUUUAUCAGCCAUUUGCAAAGAUAUUUCAGUAGGUGUCAACUUAUUCAAGUCAAGUCUACGAUAUAAAGAGAGAGGCAUAACACUAACACCGGCUCCAAGAUCACAUAAAGCAGUUUCAAUAUAAUUUCUUUUAAUGGAGCAAGGUAUAGUAGGUACUCCGGGGUCUCCAAGUUUCUUUGGUAUUCCACCCUUAAAAGUAUAAUUAGCAAGCAUGGUGGAAAUCCCAGCUUUCGGUAUUUUUCUUUUAUUAGUAAUGAUAUCCUUCAUAUAUUUAGCAUAAGGAUUUUUUGAGCACAUCAGUUAACCGCAUACGCAAAAAGAUAGGCCUAAUCAUUUCAGCAAAGCGCUCAAAAUCCUCAUCAUCCUUUUUCUUGGAUGGUUUCGGAGGAAAAGGCAUGGGUUUCUGAACCCAAGGUUCCCUUUCUUUACCAUGUUUCCUAGCAACAAAGUCUCUUUUAUCAUAACGUUGAUUCUUUGAUUGUGGGUUAUCAAGAUCAACAGCAGGUUCAAUUUCUACAUCAUUAUCAUUACUAGGUUGAGCAUCAUCAUGAACAUCAUCAUUAAUAUUUUUACUAGGUUCAUGUUCAUUACCAGAUUGUGUUAUAGUAUCAAACAUAGAUAUAUCAUUUGGAUUAUCAGGUGGUUCAGCAAUAGGUUCACUAGAAGUUUGCACAGUUCUAUCAUUUUUCUUCUUCUUCUUUUUAGAAGAACUAGGAACAUCAAUAUUAUUUCUUUGAGAAUCUUGCUCGAUUCUCUUAGGGUGGCCUUCAGGAUACAAAGGUUCCUGAGUCAUUCUACCAGUUCUAGUAGCCACUCUAACAGCAUAAUCAUUUUUCUUAUUAUUCAUUUCAUCAAGCACUUCUUUUUGAGCCUUAAGUACUUGUUCUACUUGAAUGGUAACCAUAGAAGCAUGUUUGCUAACAAGUUUAAGUUCACCUUUAAUAUUAGCCAUAUAAUCACCCAAGCGUCUAUAUAAGCAUUUUCUUUUAAUUGUCUACCAAAAUAAGCAUUGAAGUCGUCUUGCUUAAACAUAAAGUUAUCAAACUCAUCCAAGCACUGACUAGCAAUUUUAGUAGGAGAAACUUUAGUUUUAUCAUAUAUGUAGAGAGAAUUUACCUUUACUACCUGUGUCGGGAUAUCGGGAUCAGAAGGUUCUUUAGUAAAUAAAGAAUUGAGAUCAUAUGUUUCUUCAACAGGCGGUAUAUUAAGACCAUGUAUUUCUUCAAUAGGAGGUAAAUUCUUAACGUCUUCAGCUUUAAUACCUUUUUUCUUUCAUAGAUUUCUUUGCCUCUUGCAUAUCUUCGGGACUGAGAAAUAGAACACCUCUCUUCUUCGGAGUUAGUUUAGGAAUAGACUCAAUAAUUGGAGCAGGAGAUGGCUCAGGAGCUGGCUCAGGAGGUGGCUCAGGAGGUGCCCAAUUAUUUUCAUUUGUCAACAUAUUAUUCAAUAGAAUUUCAGAUUCAUCCGGUGUUCCUUCCCUGAAAAGAGAACCAGCACAACUAUCCAGGUAAUCUCUGGAAGCAUCGGUUAGUCCAUUAUAAAAGAUAUCAAGUAUUUCAGGUUUCUUAAGAGGAUGAUCAGGCAAAGCAUUAAGUAACUUGAGAAGCCUCCCCCAAGCUUGUGGGAGACUCUCUUCUUUAAUUUGCACGAAGUUAUAUAUUUCGCUCAAAGCAGCUUGUUUCUUAUGAGCAGGGAAAUAUUUAGCAGAGAAGUAAUAAAUCAUAUCCUGGGGACUACGCACACAACCAGGAUCAAGAGAAUUAAACCAUAUCUUAGCAUCACCCUUUAAUGAGAACGGAAAUAUUUUGAGUAUAUAAAAGUAACGCGAUCUCUCAUCAUUAGUGAACAGGUCAGCUAUAUCAUUUAACUUAGUAAGAUGUGCCACAACAGUUUCAGAUUCAUAGCCAUAAAACGGAUCAGAUUCAACCAAAGUAAUUAUAUCAGGAUCAACAGAGAAUUCAUAAUCCUUAUCAGGAACACAUAUAGGUGAAGUAGCAAAAGCAGGAUCGGGUUUCAUUUUAUCUCUAAGUGAUUCUUUAUUCCAUUUAAUUAAUAACCUCUUAAGCUCAUAUCUAUCUCUGCAAGCUAAAAUAGUGGCAGAAGAUUCCAUAUCAAAAAGAUAGCCCUCAGGAAUAACACACAUAUUUUCAUCAUCACUAUCAUCAUCGUAUUCAGAUUCAAUAAUUUCUUUUUCUCUAGCCCUAGCAAUUUGUUCAUCAAGAAAUUCACUAAGGGGCACAGUAGUAUCAGGCAUAGAAGCAGUUUCAUCAUAAGUAUCAUGCAUAGCAGAAGUGGCAUCAUCAAUAACAUGCGACAUAUCAGAACGAAUAGCAGAAGUAGGUGUAGGUGUCGCAAAAUUACUCAUAACAGAAGGUGAAUCAAGUGCAGAGCUAGAUGGCAGUUCCUUACCUCCCCUCGUAGUUGAGGGAUAGAUCUUGGUUUUUGGAUCUCUCAAGUUCUUCAUAGUGUCCAGCAGAUAUAAAUCCCAAGUGACUCAAAGAAUAGAGCUAUUCUCCCCGGCAACGGCGCCAGAAAUUAGUCUUGAUAACCCACACGUAUAGGGGAUCGCAAUAGCUUUCGAGGGUAGAGUAUUCAACCCAAAUUUAUUGAUUCCACACAAGGGGAGCCAAAGAAUAUUCUCAAGUAUUAGCAGCUGAGUUGUCAAUUCAACCACACCUGGAAACUUAGUAUCUGCAGCAAAGUGUUUAGUAGCAAAGUAAUAUGAUAGUGGUGGUAGGGGCAACAAAAGUAAAGACAACAAAACUAAUGUUUUUGGUAUUUUGUACUGAUUGUAACAGUAGCAGCGGGAAUGUAAAUAAGCGAGAACCAGUAUACGGCAAACUCGUAGGCACCGGAUCAGUGAUGGAUAAUUAUGCCGGAUGCGGUUCAUCAUGUAACAGUCAUAACAUAGGGUGACACAGAACUAGCUCCAAUUCAUCAAUGUAAUGUAGGCAUGUAUUCCGUAUAUAGUCAUACGUGCUUAUGGAAAAGAACUUGCAUGACAUCUUUUGUCCUACCUUCCCGUGGUAGUAGGGUCCUAUUGGAAACUAAGGGAUAUUAAGGCCUCCUUUUAAUAGAGAACCGGAACAAAUCAUUAGCACAUACUGAAUACAUGAACUCCUCAAACUAUGGUCAACUCCGGGAGUGGUCCCAAUUAUUGUCACUUCGGGGUUGCCGGAUCAUAAAACAUAGUAGGUGACUAUAGACUUGCAAGAUAGGAUCAAUAACUCACAUAUAUUCAUGAAAAGAAAAUAGGUUCAGAUCUGAAAUAAUGGCACUCGGGCUCUAGUGACAAGCAUUAAGCAUAGAAAAUCAUGGCAACAUCAAUCUCAGAACAUAAUGGAUACUAGGGAUCAAACCCUAACAAAACUAACUUGAUUACAUGAUAAAUCUCAUCCAACCCAUCAUCAUCCAGCAAGCCUACGAUGCAAUUACUCACGCACGGCGGUGAGCAUCAUGAAAUUGGUGAUGGAGGAUGGUUGAUGAUGACGACAGCGACGAACCCCCCUCUCCGGAGCCCCGAACGGACUCCAGAUCAGUCCUCCCGAGAGGUUUUAGGUCUUGGCGGCAGCUCCGUAUCGUAAAACGCGAUGAAUUCUUCUCUCUGAUUUUUCUCCCCGAAACACAAUAUAUAGAGUUGGAGUUGGAGUCGGAGGAGCUCCAGGGGGCCCACGAGGUAGGGGGGCACGCCCUAGGGGGGCAGGCACGGCUCCGUAUCGUGAAACGCGAUGAUUUCUUCUCUCUUAUUUUUUUCUCUCUGAAAGCAAAUAUAUAGAGUUGGAGUUGGCGUCAGAGGGUUUCUAGGGGGCCCACNNNNNNNNNNNNNNNNNNNNNNNNNNNNNNNNNNNNNNNNNNNNNNNNNNNNNNNNNNNNNNNNNNNNNNNNNNNNNNNNNNNNNNNNNNNNNNNNNNNNNNNNNNNNNNNNNNNNNNNNNNNNNNNNNNNNNNNNNNNNNNNNNNNNNNNNNNNNNNNNNNNNNNNNNNNNNNNNNNNNNNNNNNNNNNNNNNNNNNNNNNNNNNNNNNNNNNNNNNNNNNNNNNNCACCCUCGUGAGAAGGGUGUGAGCCCCCUGGUCUUCAUCUUUGGCGAGGAUUUUUUAUUUUUUUUCUAAGAUGUUCCGUGGAGUUUCAGGUCAUUUCGAGAAUAUUUGUUUUCUGCACAUAAAACAACACCAUGGCAAUUCUGCUGAAAACAGCGUCAGUCCAGGUUAGUUCCAUUCAAAUCAUACAAGUUAGAGUCCAAAACAAGGGCAAAAGUGUUUGGAAAAGUAGAUACGACGGAGACGUAUCACGGGGUCCUUACGGAAACUAGGGGAUAUUAAGGCCUCCUUUUAAUAGAGUACCAGAACAAAGCAUUAACACAUAGUGAAUACAUGAACUCCUCAAACUGCGGUCACCACCGGUAAGUAUCCCGAUUAUUGUCACUUCGGGGUUAAUGGAUCAUAACACAUAAUAGGUGACUAUAGACUUGCAAGAUAGGAUCAAGAACACUUGUCGGUGUCAAAACCGUCGGAUCUCGUGUAGGGGGUCCCGAACUGUGCGUCUAAGGCGGAUGGUAACAGGAGGCAGGGGACACGAUGUUUUACCCAGGUUCGGGCCCUCUUGAUGGAGGUAAAACCCUACAUCCUGCUUGAUUAUUCUUGAUAAUAUGAGUAGUACAAGAGUUGAUCUACCAUGAGAUCGGAGAGGCUAAACCCUAGAAGCUAGCCUAUGGUAUGAUUGUAUGUUGUCCUAUGGACUAAAACCCUCCGGUUUAUAUAGACACCGGAGGGGGCUAGGGUUACACAAGGUCGGUUACAAAGGAGGAGAUAUACAUAUCCGUAUUGCCUAGCUUGCCUUCCACGCCAAGUAGAGUCCCAUCCGGACACGGGACGAAGUCUUCAAUCUUGUAUCUUCAUAGUCCAACAGUCCGGCCAAAGGAUAUAGUCCGGCUGUCCGAAGACCCCCUAAUCCAGGACUCCCUAAGUAGCCCCUGAACCAGGCUUCAAUGACGAUGAGUCGGUCGCGCAAUGUUGUCUUCGGCAUUGCAAGGCGGGUUCCUCCUCCGAAUACACCACGGAAGAAUUUGAAUACAAGGAUAGUGUCCGACCCUGCAAAAUAAGUUCCACAUACCACCGUAGAGAGAAUAAUAUUUCCACAAAUCCAGUCUGCUGACACGCUUUGGCAGCAUGACAUCAUGCCAUGGCCCGGUAAUUAUUCGAACCAUUUUUCCUUAACCAGCCCCGCACAUAACGCGAGGCGGUUUCUUGACACGUCUUGUCAAAGCAGAGAUCGUGUUCCCCUUAUUACGGGAUUCUCAUCAAUACGGACAUGGGUAACCCAACCGCGCCAUCAAUUACGGCGCUUGGGGGAUAAGCGAGUUUUACCAGGCUAGUGGGGGCGCAUAGUUUAGUCCGCCCUUAUAAAGGGAUAAGAUCUUAGCUUUUUAUAAUCACGCCUUCUUCCUCCUUGCUCAUCCAUUCUCGCGCACUCGAGCUCCAGCGCCAAGUCCGCAUCCUCCUCCUCAACUCUCUCCAAAACAUGUCCAAAGCGGGAGGCAAGUGGAUGGCCUCCUCCGUCACGGAGGGGCACAUCAAAAAGUUGCGCGGAGCCGGAUACUUAGCCGCGGACAUCGCGCACCGGCUGCCAGCCGCGGGGCAGGUCAUCCCUACCCCAGAACCUCACGAGAGGGUGGUCUUCCUCCCCCACUUCGUCUGCGGACUAGGGUUUCCCCUCCAUCCAUUUGUCAGCGGCCUCAUGUUCUAUUAUGGGCUGGACUUUCAUGACCUGGCCCCGAACUUCAUCCUCAACAUCUCGGCGUUCAUCGUCAUGUGCGAGGCUUUCCUCCGCAUCCGGCCCCACUUCGGCCUAUGGUUGAAGACCUUCAAUAUCAAGCCAAGGGUUGUAGGUGGACAACAAGCGGAAUGCGGCGGAGCCAUGGUGGGCAAAAUGCCCAACGUUGCAUGGCUCGAGGGCUCCUUCGUGGAGACCGUAAAGGGGUGGCAAUUGGGGUGGUUCUACAUCACCGAGCCACGCGACACCAACUGGGUGGCGGACCCCGAGUUUCGAUCCGGAAUCCCCACGCGUCUCACUUCCUGGAAGGAGAAGGGCCUGUCCUGGGGUUCAUCGGUGGAGCUGGACGGACUCCAGAAGUGUAUCCGGAACAUGACAAGCAAGAAACUUAAGCUUGUAAACAUAGUCCAAGUCAUGCUCUUCCGCCGGAUCCUCCCGUGUCAAUAACAGGAUUUCAACUUAUGGGAGUUCGACCCGGCCCGGCACCAGACUCUAAGCGAGCUCUUCGACACGAUGCACAAAGACGUCUGGAGGGUGCUGUUCAAGGGCGCCGAGGUCCCUCCGUCUCUCACCGAGGACCGCGGGCUAAGCGUGAAGCGCCCUGCAAAUCCGGUAAGUUCUGUACAUUUGGUAGGAUAUUUAUUUCCCAUAUCUUAACCAUGUGAGGGGUCUAAACUCCCAUGCCUUUAACAGGACUGGGUGGAGGCAUCGGAGCAGAUUGCCUGUCUGCUCCCCCUGGAAGGAGCUCGGGCAGUUCGAUCUGCUCCAGAUGGCGAAGCGAGUUGGCCCGCAGUGCGAAGCCGCCGAAUACAAAGAUCUGUCUGGGGACAAAAGUCUCACCCUGGACAGCAUCGCUAUCGAUGAUCGAAGGAGCCAUCAAGCCUAACGGCGACGACACAGAGGAACUCCCUGAACACUCAUAUAUUGAUGCAAACAUAAUAGGUUCAGAUGUGAAAUCAUGGCACUCGGGCCCUAGUGACAAGCAUUAAGCAUAGCAACAUCAAUCUCAGAACAUAGUGGGUACUAGGGAUCAAACCCUAACAAAACUAACUCAAUUACAUGAUAGAUCUCAUCCAACCCAUCACCGUCCAGCAGGCCUACGAUGGAAUUACUCACGCACGGUGGUGAGCAUCAUGAAAUUGGUGAUGGAGGAUGGUUGAUGAUGAUGAUGGCGAUGGAUUCCCCUCUCUGGAGCCCCGAACGAACUCCAGAUCAGCCCUCCCGAGAGGUUUUAGGGCUUGGCGGCGGCUCCGUAUCGUAAAACGCGAUGAAUUCUUCUCUCUGAUUUUUUCUCCCCGAAACACAAUAUAUAGAGUUGGAGUUGGAGUCGGAGGAGCUCCAGGGGGCCCACGAGGUAGGGGGCACGCCCUAGGGGGGCAGGCGCACCUCCCACCCUCGUGGACAGGUGGUGGGCCCCUUGGCCUUCAUCUUUUGCAGGUAUUUUUUAUAUUUUCCAAGAAGUUGCUCCGUGAAGUUUCAGGUCAUUCCGAGAACGUUUGUUUCUGCACAUAAAUAACAUCAUGGUAAUUCUGCUGAAAACAACAUCAGUCUGGGUUAGUUCCAUUCAAAUCAUGUAAGUUAGAGUUCAAAACAAGGGCAAAAGUGUUUGGAAAAGUAGAUACGACGGAGACGUAUCAACUCCCCCAAGCUUAAACCUUUGAUUGUCCUCAAGCAAUUCAGUUGACAAACUGAAAGUGAUAAAGAAAAACUUUUACAAACUCUGUUUGCUCUUGUUGUUGUAAAUAUGUAAAGCCAACAUUCAAGUUUUCAGCAAAGAUUAUAACUAACAACAUUUGCAAUAAUGCUCAGGUCUCAAGUUUACUCAUAUCAACAGCAUAAUCAACUAGCGAGCAAUAAUAAUAAAUCUCGGAUGACAACACUUUCUCAAAACAAUCAUAAUAUGAUAUAACAAGAUGGUAUCUCGCUAGCCCUUUCUGAGACCGCAAAACAUAAAUGCAGAGCACCUUUAAAGACCAAGCACCGACUAGACAUUGUAAUUCAUGGUAAAAGAGAUCCAGUCGAGUCAUACUCAAUGUAAACUAAUAGUAAUGAAUGCAAAUGACAGCGGUGCUCUCCAACUGGUGCUUUUUAAUAAGAGGAUGAUGACUCAGCAUAAAAGUAAAUAGAUAGGCCCUUCGCAGAGGGAAGCAGGGAUUUGUAGAGGUGCCAGAGCUCAGUUUUGAAAUAGAGAUGAAUAAUAUUUUGAGCGGUAUACUUUCAUUGUCAACAUAACAACCAAGAGAUGGCAAUAUCUUCCAUGCUACACACAUUAUAGGCGGUUCCCAAACAGAAUGUAAAGUUUAUACUCCCCCUUCCACCAACAAGCAUCAAUCCAUGGCUUUCUCGAAACAACGAGUGCCUCCAACUAAUAAGAGUCCCAGGGGGAGUUUUGUUUGCAAUUAUUUUGAUUUAGUUUGCAUAAAGCAUGGGACUGGGCAUCCAGGUGACAAGCCAUUUAUCUCGUGAGUGAGGAGCGGAGUCCACUCCUCUUGAGAAUAACCUGCCUAACAUGGAAGAUACAGACAACCCUAGUUGAUACAUGAGCUAUUCGAGCAUACAAAACAGGAUAUUUAUUUGAAGGUUUAGAGUUUGGCACAUACAAAUUUACGUGGAACGGCAGGUAGAUACCGUAUAUGGGUAGGUAUAGUGGACUCAUGUGGAAUAACUUUGGGGUUUAAGGGAUUGGAUGCACAAGCAGUAUUCCCGCUUAGUACAGGUGAAGGCUAGCAAAAGACUGGGAAGCGACCAGCUAGAGAGCGACAACAGUCAUGAACAUGCAUUAAAAUUAAUCAACACCGAGUGCAAGCAUGAGUAGGAUAUAAUCCACCAUGAACAUAAAUAUCGUGAAGGCUAUGUUGAUUUUGUUUCAACUACAUGCGUGAACAUGCGCCAAGUCAAGUCACUUAAAUCAUUCAGAGGAGGAUACCACCCUAUCAUACCACAUCACAACCAUUUUAAUAGCAUGUUGGUAUGCAAGGUAAACCAUUAUAACUCAUAGCUAAUCAAGCAUGGCACAAGAAACUAUGAUCUCUAGUUGUCAUUGCAAUCAUGUUUAUUCAUAAUAGGCUGAAUCAGGAACGAUGAACUAAUCAUAUUUACAAAAACAAAAGAGGUCGAGUUCAUACCAGCUUUUGUUAUCUCAGUCAGUCCAUCAUAUAUCGUCAUAAUUGCCUUUCACUUGCACGACCGAACGAUGUGAAUAACAAUAAUAGUGCACGUGCAUUGGACUAAGCUGGAAUCUGCAAGCAUUCAAUAAACAGGAGAAGACAAGGCAAUAUGGGCUCUUUUGUCAGAUCAAAAAUAAUGUAUAUAAGAGCCACUUCAACAAUUUAAUUAUGUUCUUCUCCUAUCGACCCCCAAAGAAAAGAAAAUAAAUAAAACUAUUUACACGGGAGAGCUCCCAACAAGUAAAAGAAGAACAGGAAAUCUUUCUGGGUUUUCAUUUUAAUCACUACUACAAGCAUGGAAAGUAAAAAAGCUACAACUAAUUUUUUUGUUUUUUCUUAAGGUUUAUCAAACACACAAGAAGAAAGCAUAAAAAGGAAAUUAAACUAGCAUGGAUGAUACAAAUGAAAAAGUAUGAGCACCAACAUCUAGCAAUGAGUGUGUGAACAUAAAUGUAAUGUCGGUGGGAAAUACGUACUCCCCCAAGCUUAGGCUUUUGGCCUAAGUUGGUCUAUGGCCACGGCUGGCCUGGCGGGUAUCCAUAAUAAUAGCUGGGGUCAUACUGAGAUGCAGCGGCUAUCGCCUCCUGAGCUGCAGCAUGGCGAUGAGCGGCCUUCGCUCUCCUCUCGUACUCAUCUGCCUCCUCUCUGGUAAUACCAUAUCUUCCUUUUGCCUGAUGAUCAAAGAAGGUAGGAGCAGGGAGAGUAAUAUGAACAACACGGCGUCUGUCAAAGAUUAGUCGAUACUGGAGAGGUGAUUCGUUCCUCUCGACAAACUGGUGGUGAACCAUAGCAUUAAAGUCUAGGUAAGCAGGGGGUAAUUCAAUAUCAUCUUCGCGUAUGGCUACACCAAGAAAAUCAGCUAAGCGGGUUGCAUAAAUUCCACCAAAGAAAUCUCCAUUAAAUCUAUUAUUAUGCAACCUACGUGCAACAAUGGCUCCCAAAUUAUAAGACUUAUCUCCUAACACAGCACUCCUAAGAAUACUAAGGUCAGGGACACACAUGUGACAUGCUUCAUCUUUACCAUUAAUGCAUGUACCUAUGAAGAGAGCAAAAUAAUGUAUAGCAGGAAAGUGAAUGCUCCCUAUGGUGGCUUGUUUUAUAUCUCUAGAUUCUCCCAUAGUUAUGCUAGCAAGAAAAUUUCUAAAUUCAGAUUUGCCGGGUUCACUAGCACUACCCCAUUGUGGAAGUUUGCAAGCAUUGGUAAAAUCCUCUAAGUCCAUAGUGUAAGAUUUUUCAUAGAGAUCAAAUAGGACAGUUGGAGAAUUAUGUGAAGAUGAAAAUUCAAACCUCCUCACAAAGGUACUAGUGAGAUUGUGAUACUGGCUGCACUUCUCUUCCUCGAAGCUCACAAGAUCGGCGUUACGCAAAUAUGCAUUGAAUUCUUCCUUAAUUCCUGCUCGAUCCAUAAAGUUUUCAGAAGGCCACUAACAAGGAUGCACUGGAGCGUCUCUUGGUGGCUCUUCAUCAGCAUCGCGCAUUGCAAGCCUGGGUCCUUGCUUCCUUGAAGAAGCACCUUGGAACAUUUUCCUAAGCAUUUUUCUUCCUCUGAAAAAUUCUGAAUUUUUUAGUAACUUCAAAAUAAAAGUAAACCAAACUCAAUAAUAUUGAUAGCAACUACUCCUACAAGUGCCUAGAGCCUAUAUCAUGCAUCAAAACUACUUGGAACCAUAUAAAUUUGACAUGCAAGCUCAAGAACAUGGUCACCUAGGCAGCACAAAUUUGCAAUGAAUAAAUCACUAGAACAAAAACUAAUUUGACCAAUGGAGGAGUCACAUACCAAGGAACAAUCUCCCCAAGCAGUUUUGUGAGAGGUGCUUUGAGCAAGGAGAUCGAAAAUGGUAGCAAAACGAGCUUGGACUCGGGUUUGAACUGGUUAUUCGUGUUUGGGGGAGGAAGAAGGAGUGUGUGGGUGAAAGAAUAAGUGGAGCAGGGCCACUGUGGGCCCACGAGGUAGGGGGCGCGCCCAGGGGGGUAGGGCGCGCCCUCCACCCUCGUGGGCAGGUGGUUGACCCCCCUGCUAUGUUCUUAGUGCCAAAUAUUCUCAAAUAUUCCAGAAAAAUCAUAUUUAAAUUUCAGGGCAUUUGGAGAACUUUUAUUUUCGGGGUAUUUUUAUAUUGCACGGAUAAUCAGAUAACAGACAGAAAAAUACUAUUUUUAUUUUAUUUAAUAUAAAUAACAGAAAGUAAAAGGAGGGUAUAGAAGGUUGUGCCUUCUAGUUUCAUCCAUCUCAUGAUCAUCAAAAGGAAUCCACUAACAAGGUUGAUCAAGUCUUGUUAACGAACUCAUUCAGAAUAACAUGGGACUGGAGAAAUUUCGAAUAACACUAUGUUACCUCAACGGGGAUAUGCACAUCCCCAAUAAUAAGAAUAUCAUAUUUCUUCUUGACAAUAGGAAGAGGAAAUUCAAAACCUCCAAAUAUAAUCGAUGGAAAUUUUCCAAUAGAGUAGAUGCUAUGAACUUGUGGUUGUUUCCUCGGAAAGUGUACCGUGUGCUCAUUACCAUUAACAUGAAAAGUGACAUUGCCUUUAGUGCAAUCAAUAACAGCCCCUGCAGUAUUCAAAAAGGGUCUUCCAAGAAUAAUAGACAUACCAUCGUCCUCGGGAAUAUCAACAAUAACAAAGUCCGUUAAAAUAGUAACGUUUGCAACUACAACAUGCACAUCCUCACAAAUACCAACAGGUAUAGCAGUUGAUUUAUCAACCAUUUGCAAUGAUAUUUUAGUAGGUGUCAACUUAUUCAAAUCUAGUCUACGAUAUAAAGAGAGAGGCAUAACACUAACACCGGCUCCAAGAUCACAUAAAGCAGUUUUAACAGAGUUCCUUUUAAUGGAGCAUGGUAUAGUGGGUACUCCUGGAUCUCCAAGUUUCUUUGGUAUUCCACCCUUAAAAGUAUAAUUAGCAAGCAUGAUGGAAAUUUCAGCUUCCGGUAUCUUUCUUUUAUUAGUAACAAUUUCUUUCAUAUACUUAGCAUAAGGAUUCAUUUUGAGCAUAUCAGUUAAUCGCAUACGCAAAAAGAUUGGUCUAAUCAUUUCAGCAAAGCGCUCAAAAUCCUCAUCAUCCUUUUUCUUGGAUGGUUUGGGAGGAAAAGGCAUGGGUUUCUGAACCCAUGGUUCUCUUUCUUUACCGUGUUUCCUAGCAACAAAGUCUUUCUUAUCAUAAUGUUGAUUCUUUGAUUGUGGGUCAUCAAGAUCAACAGCAGGUUCAAUUUCUAUAUCAUUAUCAUUACUAGGUUGAGCAUCAUCAUGAACAUUAUUAUUAGCAUUAUCACUAAUUUCAGCUUCAUUACCAGAUUGAGUUUCAGCAUCAGAGAUAGAAAUAUCAUUUGGAUUCUCAGGUGUUUCAGUAAUAGGUUCACUAGAAGCAUGCAAAGUCCUAUCAUUUUUCUUUUUCUUCCUAUUAGAAGGACUAGGUGCAUCUAUAUUAUUUCUCUAUGAAUCUUGCUCAAUUCUCUUAGGAUCGCCUUCAGGAUACAAAGGUUCCUGAGUCAUUCUACCACCUUUAGUCAUGACUCUAACAACAUUAUCAUUAUUCUUACUAUUCAAUUCAUUGAGCAAAUCAUUUUGAGCUUUAAGUACUUGUUCUACUUGAGUGGUAACCAUAGAAGCAUGUUUACUAAUAAGUUUAAGUUCACCUUUGACAUUAGCCAUAUAAUCACCCAAGUGUUCAAGCAUAUUUGAAUUGUAAUUCAAUUGUCUACCAAAAUAAGCAUUAAAGUCUUCUUGCUUAGCCAUAAAUUUAUCAAACUCAUCUAAGCAUGGGCUAGCAAACUUAGUAAAUGGGAUUUCAGCUUUAUCAUAUCUAUAGAGAGAAUUUACCUUUACUACGUGUGUCGGGUUAUCAAGACCAUGAGUUUCUUCAAUAGGUAAAGGAUUAAGAUCAUAUGUUUCUUCAACAUGCGGUAAAUUAAGACCAUGUAUUUCUUCAAUAGGAGGUAAAUUCUUAAUGUCUUCAGCUUUAAUACAUUUUUAUUUCAUAGAUUUCUUUGCCUCUUGCAUAUCUUCAGGACUGAGAAAUAAAAUACCCCUCUUCUUCGGAGUUGGUUUAGGAAUAGGCUCAGGAAUUGGCUCCAGAGGUGUCCAAUUAUUUUCAUUUGUCAACAUAUUAUUCAAUAGAAUUUCAGCUUCAUCCGGCGUUCUUUCCCUGAAAACAGAACCAGCACAACUAUCCAGGUAAUCUCUCGAAGCAUCGGUUAGUCCAUUAUAAAAGAUAUCAAGUAUUUCAUUUUUCUUAAGAGGAUGAUCAGGCAAAGCAUUAAGUAAUUGGAGAAGCCUCCCCAAGCUUGUGGGAGACUCUCUUCUUCAAUUUGCACAAAAUUAUAUAUAUCCCUUAAAGCAGCUUGUUUCUUAUGAGCAGGGAAAUAUUUAGCAGAGAAGUAAUAAAUCAUAUCCUGGGGACUAUGCACACAACCAGGAUCAAGAGAAUUAAACCAUAUCUUAGCAUCACCCUUUAAUGAGAACGGAAAUAUUUUAAGGAUAUAAAAGUAAAAAGUUCUCUCAUCAUUAGUGAACAGGGUAGCUAUAUCAUUUAAUUUAGUAAGAUGUGCCACAAUAGUUUCAGAUUCAUAGCCAUGAAAAGGAUCAUAUUCAACCAAAGUAAUUAUAUCAGGAUCAAUAGAGAAUUCAUAAUCCUUAUCGGUAACACAGAUAGGUGAAGUAGCAAAAGCAUGGCCAGGUUUCAUCCUAGCAUUUAGAGAUUGCUUAUUCCAUUUAGCUAAUAACCUCUUAAGUUCGUAUCUAUCUUUGCAAGCUAAAAUAGCUAAAGAAGCUUCUUUAUCAAAAACAUAACCCUCAGGAAUAACAGGCAAGUCAUCAUCAUCAAUUUCAUCAGUAUUAUCAGAUUCAAUAUUUUCAAUCUCUCUAGCCCUAGCAAGUUGUUCAUCAAGAAAUUCACCAAGUGGCACAGUAGUAUCAAGCAUAGAAGUAGUUUCAUCAUAAGUAUCAUGUAUAGCAGAAGUGGCAUCAUCAAUAACAUGCGACAUAUCAGAACGAAUAGCAGAAGCAGGUUUAGGUGUCGCAAACUUACUCAAAAUAGAAGGCGAAUCAAGUCCAGAGCUAGAUGGCAGUUCCUUACCUCCCCUCGUAGUUGACGGAUAAAUCUUGGUUCUUGGAUCUUUCAAGUUCUUCAUAAUGAUAAGCAGAUAUAAAUCCCAAGUGACUCAAAGAAUAGAGCUAUGCUCCCUGGCAACGGAGCCAGAAAAUAGUCUUGAUAACCCACAAGUAUAGGGGAUCGCAACAGUUUUCGAGGGUAAAGUAUUCAACCCAAAUUUAUUGUUUCGACACAAGGGGAGCCAAAGAAUACUCUCAAGUAUUAGCGGCUGAGUUGUCAAUUCAACCACACCUGGAAACUUAGUAUCUGCAGCAAAGUAUUUAGUAGCAAAGUAAUAUGAUAGUAGUGGUAACGGUAGCAAAAGGUAACAGUAGUAAAAAUAAUGUUUUUGGUAUUUCGUGGUGAUGAUAGCAAUAGAAACGGGAACGUAAAUAAGCGAAGAACAAUAUAUGGAAAGCUCAUAGGCAAUGGAUCGGUGAUGGAGAAUUAUGCCGGAUGUGGUUCAUCAUGUAACAAUCAUAACAUAGGGUGACAUAGAACUAGCUCCAGUUCAUCAAUGUAAUGUAGGCAGGCAUUCCGAAUAUAGUCAUACGUGCUUAUGGAAAAGAACUUGCAUGACAUCUUUUAUCCUACCCUCCCGUGGCAGCGGGGUCCUUACAGAAACUAAGGGAUAUUAAGGUCUCCUUUUAAUAGAGUACCGUAAUAAAGCAUUAACAAAUAGUGAAUACAUGAACUCCUCAAACUACGAUCAUCACCGGUAAGUAUCCCGAUUAUUGUCACUUCGGGGUUAACGGAUAAUAACAUAUAAUAGGUGACUAUAGACUUGCAAGAUAGGAUCAAGAACACUCAUAUAUUGAUGAAAAUAUAAUAGGUUCAGAUGUGAAAUCAUGGCACUCGGGCCCUAGUGACAAGCAUUAAGCAUAGCAACAUCAAUCUCAGAACAUAGUGGAUACUAGGGAUCAAACCCUAACAAAACUAACUCGAUUACAUGAUAGAUCUCAUCCAACCCAUCACCGUCCAGCAAGCCUACGAUGGAAUUACUCACGCAUGGUGGUGAGCAUCAUGAAAUUGGUGAUGGAGGAUGGUUGAUGAUGACGAUGGCAACGGAUUCCCCUCUCCGGAGCCCCGAACGGACUCCAGAUCAGCCCUCCCGAGAGGAUUUAGGGCUUGGCGGCAGCUCCGUAUUGUAAAACGCGAUGAAUUCUUCUCUCUGAUUUUUCUCCCCGAAACACAAUAUAUAGAGUUGGAGUUGGAGUCGGAGGAGCUCCAGGGGGCCCACGAGGUAGGGGGGCGCACCCCCCACCCUCAUGGACAGGUGGUGGGCCCCCUGGCCUUCAUAUUUUGCAGGUAUUUUUUAUAUUUUCCAAAAAGUUGCUCCAUGAAGUUUCAGGUCAUUCCGAGAACGUUUGUUUCUACACAUAAAUAACACCAUGGUAAUUCUGCUGAAAACAACGUCAGUCCGGGUUAGUUCCAUUCAAAUCAUUCAAGUUAGAGUCCAAAGCAAGGGCAAAAGUGUUUGGAAAAGUAGAUACAAUAGAGACAUAUCAAUGCUCAUAUUGGCUCCUACAUAUUCUACGGAGAUCUUUAUUAGUUAAACUGCAUAACAACAUACAUUGUCAUCGGUAUGUUACUUGCCCGAGAUUCGAUCGUCGGUAUCAUCAUACCUAGUUCAAUCUCGUUACCAGCAAGUCUCUUUACUCGUUCCGUAAUACAUCAUCCCGUGGCUAACUCAUUAGACACAUUGCUUGCAAAGCUCAUAGUGAUGUCCAUUACCGAGAGGGCCCAGAGAUAACUCUACGAUACACAGAGUGACAAAUCCUAAUCUCCAUCUAUGCCAACUCAACAAAAACCAUCGGAAACACCUGUAGAGCAUCUUUAUAAUCAUCCAGUUACAUUGUGACAUUUGAUAGCACACAAGGUGUUCCUCCGAUAUUCAGGAGUUGCAUAAUCUCAUAGUCAGAGGAACAUAUAUAAGUCAUGAAGAAAGCAAUAGCAAGAAAACUAAACGAUCAUUAUGCUAAGCUAACGGAUGGGUCUUGUCCAUCACAUCAUUCUCUAAUGAUGUGAUCCCGUUCAUCAAAUGACAACACAUGUCUAUGGUCAGGAAACUUAACCACCUUUGAUUAACGAGCUAGUCUAGUAGAGGCAUACUAGGGACACUCUGUUUGUCUAUGUAUUCACACAUGUACUAAGUUUCCGGUUAAUACAAUUCUAGCAUGAAUAAUAAACAUUUAUCAUGAUAUAAGGAAAUAUAAAUAACAGCUUUAUUAUUGCCUCUAGGGCUUCCUUCAGCGUUGCCAUUGCACACGAUAUUAACAAUUUUAUCGUUUGUGUUAUUGAAUGCAUCACAGACGGUGCGUAGAAGAAACUGUGUGGCAAAGGCUGUCCAUCACACACAGUUUUUAUGUGGUAAACGUUUGCACAAGGUGGCCUAACGCAAACAGUUUUCAAGAGAUGGUCGUGUGUGAUUGUUCAUUGAUCCAACACGGUUUAUUCCUAGAAACUGUGUGCGUUUCCUAAGGUCAUCGCCCACGGUAUUUUCUCAAUAACCGUUUGCAAUAGCAAAACCCCAUUAGCAGGCUAAUUGACCUAUUAUUAAUAAUCCAUUUAUUAAUCUAAUUGACAUUCAUAUUAAGCACAUAAUAUAUUUCACUUCCAUAUUAAGGAAGCAAGAUUUCAUAAUUGAAAUACAUCAGAGUACAACAUGAUAUAACUUCAGCACUCAGCUACCCCAUUACACAACUGCACCAGCACCAAGUUUCACAUGCAACAUGCAGAACCUUUCGAAAUUAGCAUCAUAGACGGUAUAUAGACAUAUGCAUCUCAUCUAGAAAACUGCUGAAGCGGAAGGCGAAUAUUGGUCCUUCAUUCAUGUUGAAGGUCUUCGCAACUUUAGGCCAGUGCCUGUGGAUGAUUGACCGUCCGUCCUUCGUCCUCUUUAGAAACACUUCAAUAUUGAACCAUGGGUGUUGUAUGAAAACCUUUCUUGCCUCCUGACCAUAAAGGUGGUUUGAGAUGUAAUCAUCAGUGAACUUCUUUGGAAAGGCCUGAAAACAAGGAUGUGCAUAGAUAUCUUCUCUAUAUUGGAAAUGGGGCAAAGGAAUAAAAAAAGGCAAGGUAUAAUAGUUAGUACCAUCUUGUAGUGAACUGAUGUCUUCUUCAUUGUGCAGACAAAGAUCUUGUUAUUUUUUGUCACUAAUUUCUUUAUCCUAACAAUAUUUCUGAGUUUCUUGACUUGAUUGAUAUUCAUGGACAACUCAUUUCCCCAUAUGUAAAAGGGUCAAACAGCAGGUCAAAACCUCUCACAGCAGGACCUACAUGUGCAAAACCAAAUUGUUAAAAACCUAAAUAUUAGAAUGGUUCCUGCAAUUUCACAAUAAUGUGCUAUUAGACAACGGACCAUGCACGUCGUUAACUAAACACCACAACAAAUGAACCAAACAUUAACUGAGCACCACAUUGCACAAUAUAACAUACUCCUAAUAGAAGAUCAGACAAUUAACCAAACCAAGCAUGCUUAACAACUUGGAAAUAUAGCAAUUGUAUUUGUUUGUCAUAUAUUUAGUACAGCCAAAUUCGAUUUAUUUCUCACAUGGUAUACAAUAACAGAAUGCACCCACAACAAUUGAACAUCACAUUGCAGAGUUGAACCAAGCAGUUAACUAAACACCACAACAAAUGAACCAAACGUUAACCGAGCACAACAUUGCACAAUAUAACAUACUCCUAAUAGAAGAUCAGUGAGUUAAACAAACCAAGCAUGCUUAACAACUUGGAAAUAUAGCAAUUGUAUUUGUUUCUCAUGUAUUUAGUACAACCAAAUUCGAUUUAUUUCUCACAUGGUAUACAAUAACAGAAUGCACCCACAAUAAUUGAACAUCGCAUUGCAGAAUUGAACCAAAUAGUUAACUAAACACCACAACAAAUGAACCAAACAUUAAUUGAGCACCACAUUGCACAAUAUAACAUAGUCCUAAUAAAAGAUCAGACAGUUAACCAAACCAAGCAUGCUUGACAACUUGGAAAAUUACACCUUGAAGAAUUGAGCAUCACAUUUGCAGAAUUGAACCAAACAGUUAACUGAACACCACAUUGCACGACAUAUAGAACAUAUACACUAGAGCAGAAGAUUGCAUGGUAAAAGUAGAUAGCACAAUUCACUAGAAUUUGUUAAGAAAAGGCAGUAGCUAGCAAACUGAACAUGGGUCCUUAUAGUGAGGUAAUAAGACAAGCUACUCCUCAUUGUUGGAGAUAUCGAUGACGAUUGGCUCCUUGGACAUGGAAGAGAGCGAGGCCUCUGCAUCAUGGGUGCCCUCGUCAUAGUGGUGAGUUGUGUGAGCCGCUCCGGGCACCAACCUGCUGGCUCUCGAGAUGAGGUAAGCACGUGCACGCUAAGAAAACACCUCAUAGUCUUCGUCGAAGGCACUGAUGGUAGCCUAGAGAAAAUGCCAUGAACUGUCGUUUAAAGCAUCCAACCAUGUUGCAGCAUCAGUGCACGAGGCGUCGACGGUGGCCUCGAUGGCAAGGUGCUCCUCCAAGAUUUGGGGGUCAACACGAAUGCUCCUUGAGAUCCUGGCUAUACCGCGUGCACCAUGGCUUAGGGCGGUGCUUAUUUGGUGGAGGGGUUGGUGAUUUGGGUGGAAGGUGUCGUGCUCGCACCGGCGGUCGGGGCAUGUGGGAUGUGGAAGGAGGAGGAGGAUGGUGGUCGGGUGUGGAUUACCUGCGUGGAUAGGCGAGGCCGAGCAGCGUGAAGGAGGGUCGCCGGUGAGGAGGUGGCGCUGCAAGCAAGGAGUGAAGGUUUGAACUUGGAAAGGAAGGCGGAGACAUGCUAAAUGUGGCUUUUGGUAAGGGAGAGGGGGCGGGGAGGUAGAUAUUUCAGCGGAAGCCAAAAAUUUGGAAUCGCUUCAGCGAAAAAACUGGCACGCAAAGUGUCAUCAGACAUGGUCCCUUAUUCAGAGCGGGUUGUGGACUAUAGCCGUGGCACCUUCUCACGUAAGCCUAUGCGUACUAUAAUCCGACGGUGCUCCAAGAUAUUUUGUGUCGCAUCUCACACGGUUGGUGAUAAUAAACUAUGUGGGAUCUACUUGAUUUUUUGUCUUGAUUUGAAUUGUAUAAUGGGGUCACAGCGGCAAUGGACGGUGUUUGAAUUGCUAGACCUUUUAUCUGCAGUGAACAUGCAACUAUAUGUGUGUCAUAAAAAAAUUGGAAUUAUUCAGGAUUCGUUUGGAAAUUUUAUACAUUAAAUUGGUUUUCUAGCAAUUUCAGGUGCACAAUUCAAAAUUAAAGCACAUGCACAUGCUCCGGUGCACCAACAUGGGUUGUAAACUCAUAUAUGUGUCCAUGGGUUUAUACUUAUGUCCCAUGCAAGAAAUGGGGAUGAAUUUUGAACAACACGGCACCGUGGCUCUCCGGCAAAUGUUGAUGUACUUGCUUUUGUAAUUCUAGUAAAUCCAAAACCCGUCUGAAAUUCAUGAACCUUGGCAUGCUAUCAUGGAAUGGCAUCAACAUUCUGGGGUAAAAAAUAUUGUCCCAUUUGGGGCAGGUUGUGGUAUAAGCUUGUCACAAACCAGAGCCUCUCACAAGAAAGCCUCAUGGUUCCAUUAGGGAAACGUGUCAUCUUUGUGGACAAAAUGAUAUUUGUCACUUCUUCUUCCUUUCAAUUAUUUUCCUAGUGUCAACAUAGAACAACAGGAGUGUCGUGUUAAAUAAUGGGGUCACAGUGAGUUUUCAAUGCAUUAGGACUUGAUUUUUGGUCUUGAUUUGAAUUACAUAAUGGGGUCACAAUGGCUGAGGGAGUCCUGGAUUAGGGGGUGUCCGGAUGGCCGGACUAUACCUUCAGCCGGACUCCUGGAUUAUGAAGAUACAAGAUUCAAGACUUCGUCCCGUGUCCGGAAGGGACUUUCCUUGGCGUGGAAGGCAAGCUUGGCGAUACGGAUAUGUAGAUCUCCUACCAUUGUAACCGACUUUGUGUAACCCUAACCCUCUCCGGUGUCUAUAUAAACCGGAGGGUUUUAGUCUGUAGGACAACAUACAGAACAACAAUCAUACCAUAGGCUAGCUUCUAGGGUUUAGCCUCUCUGAUCUCGUGGUAGAUCUACUCUUGUACUACCCAUAUCAUCAAUAUUAAUCAAGCAGGACAUAGGGUUUUACCUCCAUGGAGAGGGCCCGAACCUGGGUAAAACUUCGUGUCCCUUGCCUCCUGUUACCAUCCGGCCUAGAGGCACAGUUCGGGACCCCCUACCUGAGAUCCGCCGGUUUUGACACCGACAUUGGUGCUUUCAUUGAGAGUUCCCCUGUGUCGUCGCCAUCAGGAAGGAUGCCUCGCCCCGUCUUUAAAGACGACACCGUUGCUAAGGGAGCUUUGGCUGUCGGCCAAACCCUCCGGCUAGGUGGUUUUCUUAUGACCGCCUAUUCGGCUUCUACGCCGACGAUGACCUCUCGAGCCAUCGAAAACAAUCUUCAAGUCAGCUCGGAACUUGCCGAGCAGUUAGAUCCAAUGGAGCUCUCCUCCAGAAACGAGCUCUUGGAUCGCAUCGCCGCCCUAGGAGUCGCUACGGAUUACGACCAGAUUGGGCCUAAGCCUGAUCUGAGAGAGAUUAACUCUCCCCAAGUCACCCAUCAUGUUGCCGUGGUAGAGGGACAGUGCGGCGACCCUUAAUCUAUCUUAAGGACUAGCUACGUCCGGAUUCCUGAUCCCUCCAAGCCGGAUAUCUGCGGAGGGGAGGAUAUCACUCAAGACCUGAACUCAGAGUCAGGCAACAGGUUGGAUUCAUUGGACAACAUCCAGGAAUCCAAAUUUUCGAGUUCGGAAAUUCCUCGGCCUCUGAGCCUCAGAUGGGGUGAGUCUUUGGAUCUAAUUCCACCCACCCACCCGAACAUAAGCGAUCUAUCCCAAAUCAGGCAAGAGCCCGAAGAAACAGUACAUCAUUACUGGGCCAGAUUCCUCCUAGUUAGGAACAUGAUAAGGGACUGCCACGAGGAAGACACAAUCUCAAUCUUCUGCAAUAAUUGCACGGACAAGGGAAUCCUCAACGCCAUAAGUCGCCGUGAUAUUACAUGCUUCGCUGACUUGGCGUCCAUUGUACAAAAAUACUAUGCGAUGGAAAGCGCCUGGAAAACCAAAUUUUGGGACGAUCCGGCCCUGAAUACAAACCCAGUCCGAAAUACAAGGGUGCAUCAUUGCCAGACACCCGGGUCAAAACACCAAAAAGCAAAAACCCUCUACAGGGCAUGGAACCGUACUGGAAGGAUGGCUUAAUGGACCCUGUAAAAUUCAUAGUACAGAGGACGGCACACCAACUCACAGCCUUAGAGCAUGUUGGAUACUCCGGCAGGUGGCCAAAAUUGGCAAGAUCUCCUAAUUCCGAAGGCCACAGAAAGCCACCCCAGAGACACCAAUACGUUAUUAACAGUCUUCGAGACUUUCGCAUCAAAUAAUAUGCGAAAAAGGAAACUCCGCAGCCUUGCCGAAGUCUACCAAGUAGCAACAAUAAAUCCAUGGAGUGACACGGCUAUUACCUUUAACGCCAGUGAUGAACCUAAAUUCCGAACAGCCCAAGCACCAGCCGCAUUGGUCCUCAGUCCAAUAGUGGACGACUUUCGUCUUACCUAGGUACUCAUGGACGGCGGCGGCGGAUUGAACCUCAUUUAUGAGGAAACCCUUCAAAAAAUGGAAAUAGACUGGAACCGCGUUGAGCGAAGCAGCACGACCUUUAGAGGAAUAAUCCCCAGUCGAGAAGCGCGCUGUAUAGGAAAAAUCACACUAGAUGUGGUGUUCGGCACGCCGGAUAAUUACAGGUCCCUAGAGGUCACGUUCCAUGUGGCUCCGUUCAGUAGCGGUUAUCACGCUCUGUUAGGGCGGGAAGCGUUUACAAUCUUCCAAGCAAUACCCCAUUAUGGGUACAUGAAGCUCAAGAUGCCUGGGCCUAAAGGGAUCAUCACUCUCGCUAGUGAUCCGGACAUAGCACUCCGCGCCGAAAACAAGACAGCCGCACUAGCCCUCGAGGCACUAUCCAAAGCCCUAGCGGUUGAGGAACUGACUGCGCUGCGCUCCAUGGUGAAUAGGGACGAUGUUGUACUCGAUAAAAGAUCCAAGUCCACCUCCUUUAAACCGGCGGACGAAAUAGUAAAAUUCCAUGUCCAUCCAAUGGACCCCAAUAAAAUAGCUUCCAUCGGGGCACAGUUAAACCCUGAUGUAGACACCGCACGGCGAGAGUUCCUACGAGAGAACUAGGACAUUUUCGCCUGGCACCCUUCAGACAUGCCAGGAAUCCCACGCAGACUGGCCGAGCACAGCCUAAAUAUCCUAAAAGGAUUCAAACCUGUCAAACAAGCUCUUCGGCGUUUUUCCGAACCUAAGAGACAGGCUAUGGGAGAGGAGCUAGCAAAGCUAUUGUAGGCCAGAUUCAUCAGAGAUAUAAAACAUCUGGACUGGUAGCAAACCUGGUGAUGGUACCAAAGAAGGACAAAUCCUGGCGCCUGUGCGUUGAUUUCUAAGACCUUAACAAGGCUUGCCCAAAGGACCCCUUCCCCCUCCCCCGCAUCGAUCAAAUUAUCGACGCUACCGCAGGACACGAUUCGUUGUGUUUCCUCGAUGCAUACUCCGGCUACCAUCAAAUCAAGAUGGCAGAAUCAGACCAAGCCGCAACGGCAUUUAUUACACCAUACGACCCAUUCUGCUUCAACACAAUGCCCUUUGGGCUCAAAAACGCCGGCGCAACAUAUCAGCGCAUGAUUCAGACAUGUCUGGCAAACCAGAUCGGCAAAACAGUGGAGGCAUAUGUAGAUGAUGUGGUCGUCAAAACAAGACAUGUCGAAUCUCUAGUAGACGACUUGAGGCUCACAUUUGAUAACCUCCGAACAUACGACAUCAAGCUCAACCCGGAAAAAUGCGUUUUUGGCGUCCCAGCCGGAAAGCUCUUGGGCUUCAUUGUAUCCGGUAGAGGAAUUGAAGCAAAUCCAGCCAAUAUCCGAGCUCUGUCACAAUUGGAUAUCCCAAAGGACCUCAAACAAAUACAAAAGUUAACCGGAUGCGUGGCGGCUCUAAGCCGCUUUAUCUCCCGCUUGGGAGAAAAGGCCCUACCCCUUUACCGCCUCCUUCGGUGCACCGAACACUUCGAAUGGACGGAUGCAGCCACGGCCGGACUCAACGAAAUAAAAGACAUAUUGGCAACAAACCCAGUCCUGGCCGCGCCAAACAUUGGCGAACCAAUGCUAUUGUACAUUGCAGCAACACAUCAGGUUGUAAGCGCAGUGCUCGUCGUCGAAUGAGAAACGGACGGACACAAACUCCCCCUUCAAAAGCCGGUCUAUUAUGUGUCCACUGUCCUCACUCCGUGCAAAUCACGGUACCCGCAUUAUCAAAAGAUUGCGUACGCGGUAUUCAUGGCAUCCCGGAAGCUACGACACUACUUUCAAGAGUGUUCAAUAACAGUAGCCUCGGAAGUACCACUUAACGAUAUUAUAAACAACCGUAACGCAACGGGCCGGAUUGCAAAAUGGGCCAUUGAGCACCUCCCAUUCGACAUAACUUAUAAGCCACGGUGAGCCAUCAAGUCGCAAGUUUUGGCUGACUUCGUCACAGAAUGGACGGAGGCCGAACUCCCUAAAGAGCACGGCACAUAUUCAAAUUGGAUCAUGCAUUUCGACGGCUCCAAGAUGUUGGCCGGACUAGGGGCUGGCGUUGUUUUGACGUCCCCCAUAGGAGACACCGUUCAAUACGUACUCCAGAUUAUGUACACAGACUCCAACAAUGCAGCCGAAUAUGAGGCCCUUCUACAUGGUCUCUGGAUGGCAGUAUCCAUGGGCAUUCAACGCAUAGAGGUGCGCGGGGACUCGAACCUCGCAAUAUCCCAAAUAAAUGGAGACUUCGAUGCCAAGGAUCCAAAAAUGGCAGCCUACCGCAACACCGUUCUCAAAAUGUCAGCUCGGUUCGAAGGGCUUGAAUUUCACCAUAUAGCCCGGGAAAAUAAUCAGGCGGCAGAUGUCCUGGCACGCAUCGACGCAAAACGCGAUGUAGUCCCCCCCAACAUCUUCUUGGAAAGGCUGUUCAAGCCAUCCGUAGUAUGGGAAGGGGAGCCGAACAAUAACAGCCCGGACCCAACCACACUGCCCGACACCGAACAUUCUGACACAAUCGGAGGCUCUGCCAAUGAAAUAACACCUUCAGCCCACGUAAUAAUGGCCAUCAUUGCCCCGUGGACAGAACCAUUCCUCGCCUACCUUACUAGGCAGGAACUCCCCGAGGACCAAAAUGAGGCACGCUGCAUAGUGCGGCGAUCCAAAGCCUACAAAGUCCAUGAGGGAGAGCUUUAUAAGAAAAGCACUACCGGAGUCCUUCAAAGGUGCAUCUCCGAAGAGGAAGGGCGGAACCUCCUGGCUGAAAUUCACGCCGGACUUGGCGGUCAUCACGCUGCAGCUCGGUACCUUGUAAGCAAGGCCUUCCGUACAGGCUUUUAUUGGCCGACGGCCCGGGCAGACGCCCAGGAGUUAGUCGAACGAUGCGUCGGUUGCCAGCUCUUUGCAAACCAAAGCCAUAUGCCACCCACCACCCUCCGAACUAUCCCCAUCACUUGGCCCUUUGCGGUCUGGGGGCUUGACAUGGUUGGACCCCUUAAAGGCGAAACCCACAAGCAAAAAUACUUACUGGUCAUGGUGGAUAAGUUCACCAAAUGGAUAGAAGCCAAGCCUGUUAAGACGGCCGAAUCUGGACCAGUGAUAGACUUUAUAUCCGAGGUUGUACACCGUUACGGCGUCCCCCACAACAUCAUCACUGAUAACGGCACGAACUUUACGGCCGACGAGGUAAAACUCUGGUGCAAAAACAUGGGCAUCAAGCUCAAUUAUGCUUCCGUCUAUCACCCACAAACUAACGGCCAGGUCGAACGUGCAAAUGGUCUUAUCAUGAGCGGCAUCAAACCCAGAUUAGUGCGGCCCCUCAAGGAAUCUAACACGCACUGGGUAGAAGAGCUCGACUCCGUACUCUGGGGGCUGCGGACCAUGCCGAAUCGCACCACCGGAUAGACACCAUUCUUUAUGGUGUAUGGCGCAGAGGCAGUUUUGCCUUGCGACAUAAUUCAUGACUCACCUCGAGUGCGCAUGUAUGAAGAAAGAGAAGCCGAGCUCGAUCGGCAGGACAGUUUGGACGCAUUGGAGGAGGAGCGUGAUGUGGCAAAAGCCCGUUCUGCAUUCUAUCAAUAGCAGGUUCAAAGAUACCAAAGCAGAGAAGUACGGGCCAAAAAUUACAACGUUGACGAAUUAGUUCUACGCCCGCCGGACAAGAAAAAGGACAAACUCAAGCCCAAGUGGGAAGGUCCAUUCAUAAUUGACCAAGUCCUGACUGGUGGAGCAUACCGCCUGCGAGAUGCAUCGGAUAACUGACUCGAGCCAAACCCAUGGAACGCAGCCCGUCUACGAAGAUUCUAUGCCUAGCGCCAGAUUCUAUGUUCGUCUCCUUCCUCUGUCCAUUUUUUAUAUACUAUCUGUCUUACAUUUCUCUCCUUCCCCCCUUCCUUUCUCUUAUAGCCUUUAAAGGCUCAUCAAAUGACGUGCUAUUCGCACUCAUUAAACCUGGGGGCUUCUUUUACCAUAAGCUUAUUUAUACGGGCUUCAUGCCCAACACAUGUGUGACACUUCCGCAUGUACCUUUUAUUUCACCAUUAUAUGCAUCGAUAUGACUUAUGUUUUGGCCAAGCUGGGUUGCCUGGCUCUUGUGCUUACCCCUACGUUCCCGAUUAUUCGGCUAGGCGGUAAAGGGAGCACCUCUACGAUUGUUACUGCCGGAUCAGCCGGAUGUGUACCUCAGACUGGGUGAAGCCGAAAGCUAGCGUUCUUAAGGGAAUAUUCGGUCGGUGACCUAAAAUAUGAUCUUUUUACUUAUAUAUUUAUGCGCCCCUAGAUGCUUUUUCCUGCAUCUUUUUCGCAGAAUGGGCUUGCACUUUAGGGCAUGCCUCCCAGGGAAAGGAACCCCUAACAGAACUAUUCUCCCUGGAAGAUGUUUCUUACUAACCAUGUAAUAUAACAUAACUAGUCGGGCACUUGUCUGUUCACGCACUAAUGACCCCUACACCUAGUCUCCAUGCAUUCCCCGGUUCUUAUAUAACCACAUGGGAAUUCGGACACACUCCGGACCGCCAGGUUCCGAGGUUGAAGCGAAAAGGUCGGCCAUGACAAACGAUCUACAAUUCGGCUAGAAGGCAUUAUAAAUGUCAAUUAAAUUACAUAGUCAUUCUGACUGAUUGUAUUCCUCUUCAAUACCAUCUAACAGGCUGUCUAAUUUACAGUCCUGCUGGGAAUACUUUGCGGCCAAUUCUACUUGGCUGUAUACUAAGCUUAUAGGGAUCUCCUUCCCAUCGGGCCCCACAGGACCGACCUCAGCCAUGUGGUUGGGGUCAGCCUUUGUGUACCGCGUCUUCAGCAUGGCCCAGGCCUUCCUAGCGCCUUGACGGCAGGCCGAUAUCUUCCACAAUCGAAAGAGCCGUCGUGCUCCCUUUAGCUUCUCCGCAAGCUCUCCAAGACCUUCAGGCACGGAGAUGGAUGGCCAUAGGGCCUGGGCGACGCCUCGCAUCGCCUUCCGAACUUGCUCGAGCAGUUGUGAGAGCUCGGGAAGAAGGUCACCCGUAGAACCGGACAUCUCCUCUGCAGGAUGACCUGUUAGCACACCUACAGACAUUACUCUGUUAGUCGACUUCCCCGCCGAACCUUUUUUUCUCCAAAGGUUCGCUCAAGCACUUACUGAAUAUGCCGCACCGAAGCCGCUGAUUCUCCUUAACGGAGUCCGACAGCUGGGCACGAACAUCUUUCAGCUCGACGCCCAGCUUGGUGUUGGCAUCUUGGAGAUCGUUCUUCUCCUGCCUCACCUUUGUCAGCACCUUCUCACCAGCCUUCAGCUGGCGUAGGAGGUGUUGCCUUUCCGGAUUCAAUCCGGCGCCAUCUGCAAUUUCAUUUGUCAGAUUCACACCCAUGUCGUGCUUCGCAAAACACUUAUCUUUCGAAGUGUAUAUUACCAGAGGGGGUCUCCUUGGGCUCCCCUGCCGUGGCUAGUGCGGCCUCAAGUUGGGCUUUGCACUCUUCCAGCUCCUGGGACAGUAGGGAAUUCUUUUCUGUAAGAACCUGCAUAACAUAUGAUCCUUAAAUUAGUUAUUCUAACUGUUUCAAGUCUCGGGGGCUACUGGUAUGUAUAUAUAAUUACCAAAAUUUUCUUACCCGUAUGUCUUUUACAUAUUGCUCCGUGGCUUUGGCUAGACCAUUUCGAGCGGCACGGAGGUACGCAUCUCCCGAAUUGAAGGCAUCUAAUGCCUCUCAGGAGAAACAAGUGUCACGAAGAAUUGUCCGGCAACGCCUGUGGUUCAUGGCGCUCUCCACCUCAGAGUUGGUGGCAGACAACCUGUCCACGUCCUCCGUCGGAGGAGCGUCCGGUGCACGCCUUGUGUUCGCCUCCGCCUCCGGACCAGGCUUUGGAGCCUGGCUGGGGGAGGCGCGAUUGGCAGCCUCUCCGGAUAUAGUCCGGCGAGGUCUCUUUGUCCUGAAGAGAACACGAGUGUUAACAUGCCUUGCAGGUAUAACACCUGGGAUAAGGGGGCGCGCCAUACCUCUGCACUGACGUCUUGAUCCGGACUGCACCUCUUUUCUGCCCACGGGGCCCUGCGGCCCCUCGUUGGCUUGUCGCCGCAGGUUCGGCCUCCCGUCUCAAAAACCUCCCCUGCAAAUUUCUUUUGUAAUCAGGAAACUGAAAACACGAGAGGGAGGACCCCUAUUUGGGGUACUGGGACUUCGAUCUUAGUUACCUGGGAGGCCGGGAUUAGCCCUGGGUAAUCGGCCGUAAUGGCCACCAAGGCAUUAUCCUUGCUCAAUUGAUGGACCACUCCAUCAAUCAGCUCCACAGAUAUGUCCGGAUCCUCUUGAGAGGCCGGGUCGAGGGACCGUCCUGGGUCCUCAGGUUGUGGAGGCGGGCUGUUUAUUUCUUUAACAGUCUGGCGCAGUUCUUGCGUUGAAGUCACUAGACUGAAUAUUUAACGACGAGGAUAUACAACGGAUGGGCAAGAUGCGACCACUUACCCAGCUUGGAGGAUUGUGCAUAGAAAAUCCACCCUUCGGGUCGACACGGAGAAAAUCCUCCUCUUCUCCCUUGUACAAAGCGGACAAGGUCUUUGUUAGAGCCGCAGCCGAAUUUGGCCCCUUACGGCCGUAGCGGGUGGCGUCGUUCUCCCCGUUGAAGUCCCGCAUGGGGUGGCCUCUAUACUGUAGCGGCUGCACCCCUCGCAUGGUGCAUGCGGCCAUGACCCCGAUCAUGGUCAGUCCGGAAUGAGCUAGCAAUCUUAUCCGGCCCAUCAGGUAAAUAAUGUCCUUGUCACUUCCCCUCUGAGGGCUCCGUGGACGCCAACUUAGGCGCUUCUUUAGUGGGGCACUGUCGAACUCAGGGAGGCCGAUCCGGACAGGAUCCGGCAGCGGGACGUCCUCUAUGUAAAACCAUUCCGAAGGCCAGUCCUCGGACGCCUUCUUUGGGGUUCCGGAUAGAUAUCCGGUCCCGGCGAUGCGCCACACUUCGGCUCCGCCGACUUGAUAUAUUGACCCCUUCUUAGAACCGGGCACGAGGCAGAAUAGCUCUUUCCACAGCCCGAAAUGAGCCUCAACACCCAAGAACAGCUCGCAGAGGGCUACGAAGCCCGCGAUAUGCAAUACGGAGGCAGGCGUGAGAUUGUGUAGCUGGAGGCCAUAGAACUCCAGGAGCCCCCGAAGAAAUGGAUGGAUUGGAAAUCCGAGCCCCCUUAUUAAAUAAGGGACGAGGCACACCCGCUCUCCUUUGGAGGGAUUAGGGGCACUCUCCGCUUGCUCUCCGCCAUUAUAGAUGGCAAGACUGGCUCGAACUGGGACCAUAUAGGCCGGGGGGAGAAAUCCCUUGGUCUGGAGCGUCACUAGCUCACUAUGCAGGAUGGAGCAUCUCUCCCAAUAUCCAGGCUGAGGGCUGGAAGGGCGAGAGGAGGAGUUGCGACGGCUGUCCAUGGUGGUAUGGACCUUUGUCGGAUGCGCUCUGAUGAACACUCGCGAAGGGGAGAAGGUGUGCUUUGGAUCUAAUCCUCGUCCCCUUAAAUGGGCGGCUCAUUUACGCGGCUAAGGGUGUGGAUGUAAAAACACUCAGACUUUUCAUAUUCGUUUGACACGUGGGAGAUGGCCACUAUUGGGCGUAGGAGCCGAGGAGCGCAACAUUUACAAGAAACUGGACUUUAUUCAACAGGUACAUGGAAUUUGGAGGAGAACCCGCCUUGCAAUGCCGAAGAUAAUCUGCGCGCCGGACUCAUCGUCAUUGAAGCCUGGUUCGGGGGCUGCUGAGGGAGUCCUGGAUUAGGGGGUGUCCGGAUGGCCGGACUAUACCUUCAGCCGGACUCCUGGAUUAUGAAGAUACAAGAUUGAAGACUUUGUCCCGUGUCUGGAAGGGACUUCCCUUGGCGUGGAAGGCAAGCUUGGCGAUACAGAUAUGUAGAUCUCCUACCACUGUAACCGACUUUGUGUAACCCUAACCCUCUUCGGUGUCUAUAUAAACCGGAGGGUUUUAGUCUGUAGGACGACGUACACAUCAACAAUCAUACCAUAGGCUAGCUUCUAGGGUUUAGCCUCUCUGAUCUCGUGGUAGAUCUACUCUUGUACUACCCAUAUCAUCAAUAUUAAUCAAGCAGGACGUACGGUUUUACCUCCAUCGAGAGGGCCCGAACCUGGGUAAAACUUCGUGUCCCUUGCCUCCUAUUACCAUCUGGCCUAGACGCACAGUUCGGGCCCCCUACCCGAGAUCCGCCGGUUUUGACACCGACAACGGCCAUGGACGGUAUUUGAAUUGCAAGACCUUUUAUCUGCAGUGAUCAGAAAAGAAUUGGAAUUAUUCAGGGUUCGUUUGGACAUUUUUAUGCAUGUAGUGAGUCUUCAAUGCAUUUAUGUGCAUAAUUCAAAUUUGAACUACAUGCGCAUGCUCCAGUGCAUAUAAAUUGGUUGAAAACUCAAAUCUCUGUCCUUGGGUGCAUGCCUAGGUCCCAUGCAAGAAAUGAGAAUGAAUUUCAAACACCAUGACACUGUUGAUUGCCGGCAAAACAUUGAGAUGCCUGGUUUUUAAAUUCUAGUAAAUCUAAAACUCAUCUGAAAUUCAUGAAACUUGGCAUGCUAUCAUGGAGCGGCAUCAACAUGUCGUGGUACAAAUUUUCUCCCAUUUGGGGCAGGUUUGGGUAUAUGCUUCUCACAAACUGGAGCUUCUCACAACAAGCAUGAUGGUUUUCGGUAGGGAACGUCCACUUUUGGGGAUGAAACGAUAUCCAUUGCCUCUUAUUGCUUUCAAGUUUUUUUCUUGUGUCAACAUAGAACAACAGGAGUGUUGUGUGAAUUUUUUUGAUUUUUCGGAGUUCGUGUGGACAUGUUUAUGCAUUAAGUGAGUUUUCAAUGCAUUUAUGUGCAUAAUUCAAAUUUGAACUACAUGCGCAUGCUCCAGCGCAUAUAAAUUGGUUGAAAAAUCAAAUCUUUGUCCUUGGGUGCAUUCUUAGGUCCCAUGCAAGAAAUGAGAAUGAAUUUCAAACACCAUGGCACCGUUGAUUGCCGGCAAAACAUUGAGAUGCCCGGUUUUUCAAUUUUAGUAAAUCCAAAAGUCGUCUAAACUUCAUGAAACUUGGCAUGCUAUCAUGGAGCGGCACCAACAUGCCGUGGUACAAAUUUUGUCCCAUUUGGGGCAGGUUUGGGUAUAUGCUUCUCACAAACCGGAGCUUCUCACAACAAGCAAGAUGGUUUUCGGUAGGGAACGUCCCACCUUUGGGGACGAAACGAUAUCCAUUGCCUCUUAUUGCUCUCAAGUUUUUUUCUCGUGUCAACAUAGAACAACAGGAGUGUUGUGUAAAUUUUUGUGAUUUUUUGGGGUUCGUUUGGACAUUUUUAUGCAUUAACUGAGUUUUCACUGCAUUUAUGUGCAUAAUUCAAAUUUGAACUACAUGUGCAUGCUCUAGUGCAUAUAAAUUGGUUGAAAAAUCAAAUAUGUGUCCUUGGGUGCAUGCUUAGGUCCCAUGCAAGAAAUGGGAAUGAAUUUCAAACACCAGGGCACAAUUGAUUGCCAGCAAAGGAUUGAGAUGCCUGGUUUUUAAAUUCUAGUAAAUCCAGAACUCGUCUGAAAUUCAUGAAACUUGGCAUGCUAUCAUGGAACGGCAUCAACAUGCCGUGAGACAAAUUUUGUCCCAUUUGGGGCAGGUUUGGGUAUAUGCUUCUCACAAACCGGAGCUUCUCACAACAAGCAUGAUGGUUUUCGGUAGAGAACGUCCCACCUUUGGGGACGAAAUGAUAUCCAUUGCCUCUUAUUGCUUUCAAGUUUUUUUCUCGUGUCAACAUAGAACAACAACAUUGUUGUGUGAAUUUUUGUGAUUUUUUGGGGUUCGUUUGGACAUUUUUAUGCAUUAACUGAGUUUUAAAUGCAUUUAUGUGCAUAAUUCAAAGUUGAACUACAUGCGCAUGCUCCAGUGCAUAUAAAUUCGUUGAAAAAUCAAAUCUUUGUCCUUGGGUGCAUGCUUAGGUCCCAUGCAAGAAAUGGGAAUGAAUUUCAAACACCAUGGCAUCAUUGAUUGCCGGCAAAACAUUGAGAUGCCUAGUUUUUAAAUUCUAGUAAAUCCAAAAGUCGUCUGAAAUUCAUGAAACUUGGGAUGCUAUCAUGGAGCGGCAUCAACAUGCCGUGGUACAAAUUUUGUCCCAUUUGGGGCAGGUUUGGGUAUAUGCUUCUCACAAACUAGAGCUUCUCACAACAAGCAUGAUAAUUUUCGGUAGGGAACGUCCCACCUUUGGGGACGAAACGAUAUCCAUUUCCUCUUAUUGCUUUCAAGUUUUUUUCUCGUGUCAACAUAGAACAACAGAAGUGUUGUGUGAAUUUUUGUGAUUUUUCGGCGUUCGUUUGGACAUGUUUAUGCAUUAACUGAGUUUUCAAUGCAUUUAUGUGCAUAAUUCAAAUUUGAACUACAUGUGCAUGCUCCAGUGCAUAUAAAUUGGUUGAAAAAUCAAAUAUGUGUCCUUGGGUGCAUGCUUAGGUCCCAUGCAAGCAAUGGGAAUGAAUUUCAAACACCAGGGCACCGUUGAUUGCCGGCAAAACAUUGAGAUGCCUGGUUUUCAAAUUUCUUGUAAAUCCAAAACUCGUCUGAAAUUCAUGAAACUUGGCGUGUUAUCAUGGAAGGGCACCCGACAUGCUGUGGUAUUUUUCCUAUCCAUUUUGAGAGAAGACGCACUCGAAUAAUGACAGCCAACAAAGGCAUUUUGAAAAAAAUAGCUGCCACUUUAAUAUCUUAAACGUUUGUAUAAUUCAAACCGUGUGCGUUCAGUUAACCGUUCACGUGACGCCACGUGUCUUGGUUUUAAUGGCUAUAGGAGGUGCCGUGUGGACAGCUUCUUGACUGAACGGGAGGUGUGCAAGCACAGUCCUAUGCGCAGGCUCACCGGGAAGCGUACAAGCUGUUCAAUGCAGGAUCUGUGCAUCUCUUCAAUGCAAACGGUUCAGAUUACGGUAUGCAAAUUAAAGCCAGACUUCGGCACUAAGCCAAGAGACACUGUGAUUUGUCAAAAUAUGCAGCUAAAAAUCAAUAUCACCAUCUAUUUUUUGCAACUAAAAUUCAGUAAUUAAGCAUAGAUUUCAUUCAUACUAGAGAUUAAGCAGUCGUUCUCACCGGGAAGCGAGACAAUCUUGGACCGCCACCCGCCUCGCUCCCACUGGUCUAUAUUAAUGGCGCCGCCGAGCGGCUGCACCCCCAUCCUUGCCACACACACAAUUACUCUCUCUCCGUCCGCAUCCUUGAUGCCUCUCUAAUUCCUCAAAGCCGUCAGUGUACGAGGAUGCCACCGAAGCACCCCAUCGGAGGGAGUGGCGACAUUGGGGCUGCUGAAGCACCGGAGCACGACGUGAAUAUGGAGACAGAGGUUCCCAUCCCCGCCAACAAGGUGGAGAACGAGGCUGCCAACAAGCGGAGGCGGGUCAAGAAAGAACUGCAAGCGACUCCGACAUGCCUAGACUUCAUCAACAACCUCACCUAUGAUAUGUUGAUAGUCAUCAUAUCCCUCCUCCCAAUCAGAAAUCAGGCGAGGACAGUCGUUGUUUCCCGGUGGUGGCGCACCCUAUGGCUUCGCACCCCUGUCGACCUCCUCCACGCCCACAAGCUCUGCCAUGGCUAUCGCAAAGUUUGGAUGCAUUCUUCCAGAUCCUCGGUAGUCACCAUGGCCCAAUCAAAGGCCUUAUCGUGGGAAAGUUCCGUUCCAAUGGCAAGGAGCGAGCCAAGCUUGACGAGUGGUUCCAAUCCCGCGCCAUAGAUCAGCUCGAGAAGCUAAGUUAUAAUGAUGGACAUAUGAGCUUGCUGCCAACGUCCGCGCUCCGCUUCGCGCCCAUGCUGCGCCUCACCAAGUUCAUGAACUGCCAUCCCCCUUAAUGACGCGCCUGCUCUUUUUCUACCAUGACUGAAGCACCUCGAGCUCGUCGCCAUCUGCAUCCCAAAGGAUGACAUGGAGCGCCUGCUCCGCGGCUGUACUGCACUCGAGUUCCUUCGUCUUCAGGCGAUGAAUUGGUCGAGCACCUUGCACAUCACCUCCAGGACUCUCCGCACUAUUUAUGUGUGUUGCUGGUGCUGCAACAAGAGAUCACAAAAGGUGGACCACAAUAUGGUCAUCCAGGACACACCUUCGCUUGAGAGAUUACUUGCAGUUGAUCAACAAGAUCCAACAAUAAUCAAUGUCAUUUCUGCACCAAAAUUGAAAGUGGUGGGCUACUCGUCUAUCAAAUACUACAACUUUCAGGUACAACAGUCGCCUUAUAUACCUCUCCUUGAUAUCAAUGUUAUAACUAGUUUUGAAGAUGUAUGUUCGUCUGUCAUCCAACGAAGCUUCACCCAGACUCUGGGCACAGUGAAGGUCUUGGCACUAGAAUCCAUCGUCCCCAACCUGGACCAAGUUUUUAGUUGCCUGAGAUGCUUUCCGUGCCUGAAGAAGCUGUAUAUCAAGGUGAUGUUCCUUUCCUAUUAAAUGUUAACCAUAAGGGAGUUCAAUUUUUUGCACCUUUUCCCAAGUUUAGAAUGACUAUGUACUACGAUUUCUGAAGGAAUUUUGGAGGAUUUUAGGACACACACCCCCACCCCAUAUUGGUUGCUUCAUUCAUAUGGUUACAAUCGUCCAUAAGCAUUUCUCCUUUGGAUUCAUCUGUACUAGUUUUCUUAGGGAAUUUUUCAUCAAAUCCAACCUCUUGUGAAGAAAGCUACAUGUUUCUAGAUUGUAAUCAAAUUAAUGCCCAUGUUAAUCAUGACAGGUCGAAGAUGGCACGUUGGUGCAUUUUACAAAUCCUGCAAACCAAAUGGGCGUGUAGCACUGUUCAAAACUGCAUGUAGGCACUAACACGUUCUCUUCUUUUGCAGUGCAUAUUAGGCCCAGUGGAAGAUGUUGAUAACGACAGUCACAUCGAAUGCCUGGAUCUGCAUCUCUCAAAUAUUACUUUGAACUCCUACCGAGGGACCCCACAGGAGAUUACACUCUCCAUGUUCUUUUUUUUUGAAUAUGUACUGCAAGGCAACAGCCUCAUAGCUCUUUAUUGAAAACAACAAAGAACAAAGUCCUAUUACAAGUCCAUACAAGAAGAGAAAAGAGGAAGACAGAAAUACUUACAAAGUUACAACCCAAGCAGGGCAAAGAAAAACACUACCUAAGGAAGGCUAGAGAUCCAUGUUAGAAGGCUAUCCUUGUAUUUACAUUUUAUCCUAUGAGAAAGAAGGGUUAUGUCAUGGAUGAAGUUAUGCCUCCAUGCUCUGAAAGAAGGUGUCUCAUUCCUGAAAACCUUGCCAUUCCUCAAGAUCCAAAUGUUCCAAGCUGUUGUAAAGACCACUUCAGUGAAGAAAGAAUGCCCAAAAUCCUUCCUAGCCUUUACUGCCAUGUUGUAAGUUGUCAUCCCAGGCUGUGGGUCCCAGAUAAUCUGCAGGUAAUUCCAGACUCUAAUGCUAAAAUUACAAGAGAAGAACAGAUGUGCACUAUCUUCAUGGAUCAGAUAUGGACAUAGGACACAAGUAUGAUCUUCCACAUGCCAAUGCCUUCUGAGUAGCAUGUCUCUGGUGUUUAAACGAUCUCUCAGCAGUAACCAACCAAAAAUUUUGAUUUUCAAUGUACAUGAAGAUUUCCAAAUCCAUUGGAAGAUUGGAUCAACAACAAUAUGCUGAUGCUCAUACACAUAGAAGGAUUUGGGUCUGAAACAACCCUUAUGAAAAGGCCAAAUCCAUGCGUCAUGAGUUGCAGAGCAAGAAUAAUCAUGAGUCAGCUAUUGAAGACAUUCCAGCUCAGCAAAGGCCUGUGUAGAGAUGGGCAAAUGCAAAUUUGACAAAAACUCCUGGGAAAGCGCAUCAGACACUGAAAGUUGCUCAUCAAUAACAAAGGAGAAGAGCCUGGGAAAUUUUUCCCUGAGACAGGAACCCUUAAGCUCAGCCAUCCAUCUGACCAAAAGAGAAUGGACCUUCCAUCACCCAACGCUGGAGUAUCCAUCUGACAAUAUUUGUCAACCAAUUUAAACACAUCACGCCACCAAAAAGAUCCACAGAGCGUGGUAGUAUGAGGGACAGAGUUGGCAUAGUAGGCAUUCCAAAUAAGGCCAACCCAGGGGAUGUCAUGAUGAUUAUAGAAUUUGUGCAAGAACUUCAUAAGCAAGGCAUCAUUCUGCACCCUGAGAUUAAGCAUACCAAGACCCCCUUUGUUUUUUGGUAAGCAUACCAAGUCCCAGGUGGCCAGAGAUUGUCUCGGAGUAUCAGAGUUUCCUCUCCAUAGACAUUGUCUCUGAAUCCUUUCAAUUUGCUUCAAAAUUCCAGUUGGGAUGACCAGUGUGCACAGGAAGUAUAUAGGCAUUGAUGUUAGGACAGAGUGGAGCAACUGCAACCUACUACCUUGAUUCAGAAAACAUGAAGUGGCAGACAAUCUUCUUUCAAUCCUAUGCACAAGGGGCAUGAGGUCUUGGAUUGAGGGCCUUGUAGUCCCCAUGGGUAGACCCAAGUAAGUAAAAGGCAUGGUUCCUAUGCUACAACCAAGAAUUGAGGCUAACCUAUUAGCUUCAUCAGAUGACAAGUUCCUAGGCACCAUAAGGGAUUUUGUAAAAUUUACAGAUAAUCCUGUUGUCGCAGCAAAGACAUCGAGCAUGUCUUUAAGAGCAAGCAGUUGGUGAUCAAUAGCAGGCAACACAAUUAGUGUAUCAUCAGCAUACUGAACAAUGGGGUAAUCCUGACUGUUGGAAGGGAUUGGCAAAGUCAGAAUUCGUUUACUGCACAUGUCGUUGACAACAGACUGAAGCAGGUCAGCGGCAAGGACAAAAAGAAGAGGUGACAUUGGGUCUCCUUGCCUGACUCCUCUCUUACAUUUAAAAUGGUUACCAAGAACACCAUUAAGAAGCACAGAAGAAGAGCCAGACAAAAUAGUUUGCAUCCAGGAGAUCCAUUUUUCAUUGAAACCCUUGUAUCUUAAGAUUCUAAGAAUGGCAUCAUGCUCAAUAGUGUCAAAGGCUUUAGUAAAAUCCAAUUUCAGCAGCACUAUUGGUCUCUUUGAAGCAUUACACUGGUGAAUAUACUCAAAGCACCAAGCUAGACAAUCCUAAAUAGACCUAGAUUUAAUAAACCCAUAUUGGUUUUUAUGAAUACAGGAAAGGAUGACCUUCUGCAACCUGUUUGCCAAAAGUUUAGUGAGGAAUUUCAAACAGGUAUUUGUCAAAGAUAUUGGCCUGUAAUCAUUCAAACCCUCAGGUGAAAGCUUUUUUGGGAUCAAGGUUAUGAGAGAACUGUUGAUACACUCCAAAUCAAGGUGCCCCUCAAACAACUCUUUGACCAGUUGAUGAAAGUCAUCUUUAAUUAUGUGCCAACACUUUUUAAGAAAAAGGCCAGUGAAACCAUCUGGCCCAGGUGCUCUGUCAGGAGGCAUUUCCUUAAUAACACAAUCAAUUUCCUGCUCAGAAAAGGGCUUGGUCAAGUCAUCUAGUCCCUGAACCUUCUUAAUAAUAUUUGGCAUAUCAAAACCCAUUUGUGUAUUAUUUGUGCAUCCCAUCCUCUGCUUGAACUCCUGCAGAAAUAAUCCAGCAAUUGAUGCAUGAUCAGAGGUCACUUGCCCAUCAUCAGAAGUUAUACUAGAAAUAGAGUUAUUCCUGUAUCUCUCUGUGGCCAUGGCGUGGAAAAAUUUGGCGUUUUCCUCUCCCACUUUAAUGUUUCUAAUGGUACAUCUCUGCUUCCAGUAGAUAAAUUGCAACCUUAGAGUUUCCUCCAAGUGUAACUUUACAAUUUUCCUGAAAUUUUCCUCAGGCCCAGACAAAGGCCUUAACUCCUCAAGACCAUCCAGACAAAGAAUUACUUUAUUGCAGUUGGAAAUUAGAGCCUUGAUGGUAGAAAGGCUAAUGUGCUAGUGUUUGAGUGCCUGCCUGAGAGCUUUGAACUUUGCAGAUAUUAUAGCAGCAGAAGAUCUCUUAUGAACUGAUCUAUUCCAAGAUUCACUGACACAAUCAAGAAAACCAGGCAAAUUAGUCCAGUAAUUUUCAAAUCUAAACACUUUGGCCUUGGGAAUAGUGGUUUUGAUUUGCACUACACAAGGCACAUGAUCUGAAGUGGUUCUAGCCAGAGGAAGGACCAUAGUGUUAGGAAAAGAACAUGUCCAUGAAGGGGUUGUAAAAAACCAAUCAAUCUAUUCAAGCAAAGGAGCAGUUUGCAUAUUUGUCCAAGUGUACCUUCUGCCCUUGAUAGGUAAUUCAAUUAAGCCCAGAUGCCCAAUAACCUCAUUAAAGAUGAACAUGUCAUUAAUAUCACCACUUGGUUUAUUCCUAUUAUCCAUUGAUCGCAUGAAAUUGAAAUGACCCAGUAACAACCAGUUAGCAUCAUCAGGGAUAGUUAUAUCAUGCAACCAAUUAAUAAAAUUAUCUCUAGCUGGAUUUUGACAGGGUCCAUAGACUAAAACUAGAGUCCAGGUUUGGGAGUUAUGAACAGACAUGAACUCCACCAUAAUACCAAAACUAUUGGACUCAAUUAGCUUCCCAGCAAACAAAGCAGUAUUCCAUACGACUAACAACCCACCCGAGGCUCCAGACGAAGGCACAUGGAUAAACUGAUCAAAACGUCGUGGACAACACUUACAGAUGAAAUGCUGAUCAAUGACCUCACAUUUUGUUUCUUGGAGGCAAACAAUGGAACAAGCACUCUCAUCGAUUUUCUGACGAACUGCACGCUUUCUGUCAUCUGAAUUCAGACCUCGCACAUUCCAACAGAGAACUUUCCAAUCUCUAACAUCAUUGUGGUUCAUUACAGACCAUAAUUAAGUAACAGCAAAAGACUGUCACAUAAUGACAGUACCAGUUCAGCCAAGGGAUAGCAUAAAAGUUCAGACAAAGCCUAAAAGAUAAGUGCAGAUAAAUGGUUUUCACAAGGGUUAACCAUAAACCCCACCAAAUGAAAUGAUCAGCUAUCAUUGGAGCUAGGAGGAGCAGAAGACUUGCAAGAAGAAGCCUCAAGCUUCUCCUUAGUGAGCUUCUCCGGCCCAAUGCCGAGGCGAAGACCAACCUGCUGCAGCACAUUGAUUGGCGUGGGCGGCGGCACAGUAGGUUGAUCUGCAUCGUGAGGAGGAGCCCGCGGUAGUUCGCCAUCCACAGUAACCUUGCGCUUCUUCUGGGGCUUUGCUGCAGGUUUCUUCAUAGGGGACUUGGCUGGAGUAGAAUGCCUGAAGCCAUCACGUAAAGCUGAGAGCCUGGCACUGCGCCUAACCUCAGACUCAACAAUCACAAACUUUGGUUUACGAGCACGAGCUGGACGCUGACUUGGGGCUGCAGAGAAAUUAAAGGCAUACAUCUCAACCGCAGACAACGCUGGGUCAACCACGGCACAAUUCUCAGCAACAUUGUCAAAACAAAGUGCACGAGCAUCAGGAGGCUUCCUUUGAAUAUUUACCAUCCGACGAACAGGUGAAGGAUGAAAAACCAGCUUGUUCUUCAUAGCAAAGUAAGAAAAAGAUAACUCCCAAGAGCGCUUAGACAGUAGAACUGGUUUGAAAGGACUGAAAAACUGUAACCCUCGAGGAAUGUGCAUUGUAUCAAAGACUGGCAUCAUACGCUGAAAAGAUCUUGUCCAUUGCAUUACCGGAGGAAGCUCUGGUCUGAAAACUGUCAGAACUUGACCAACAACAACGUGAGGCUGGAUCAGAGGAGGCACAUAAGCUGCCACAACACCUUGCUGGUUAUUGACAGAUCCCUCAGUAGAAUCAACCGGCCCCGAGUUCUCUAAAACCACUGACUCUUGAGAAGCAGGUAGUGCUUCAUCAUCAUGAAUCUCCUCAAUAAUGACAUUGUCAUGCUGGUUAUGAGGCUGCGGAUCAUCAUUAUGAGCAUGAGGGUCCUUAUUCCAACCCAGCUCUGGAAACUCAGGCAUGACAAAGUUAACAUAUUCAAAGUGCAUGUUCCCGGGCAACAGAUGAGGGUUUCCAUUGAAAGGCAUCGGAUCUUCAUCAGCUGGCAUAAUGUCAGCAAAUUCUGCAGAGAGCACAUAGAUAGGUGCUGUCCAAGAAAGACGCGUAGCUCCAAAGUCUGCAUACUCACGAUAGACAACAUCCCUAGGUACUUGCUGAGGGCUUGGGAAAGAAACAUAAACAAGAGUCCUGACUAGCCGCGGAUCAUCCCGAUGCCAGAUAUGAAAACGACCAAAGGUGCUAACUGCCUCAGAAAUAUGUUGUGUUGUGCGGUAGUCCAAAGGAACACCUAACAUCAUAAUCCAGCCCUACGAAAACCCUGAAUAGCUCUGUGAUUGAUGCCUUGAUCAUGAGGAACAAACCAAACAAAGUGACCAUUGCCAAGAUCAUAAGGAGGAUGAUUUAUAAUGGCAUGCCUGGAUGCAGGAGAUCGGAACUCAAAUAAACCAACACCCUCAAUCCAUUGUUGAUCACUAAGAACGUCACAGUGAAGCUGAGUCAUCACAAAGUCACUAACCAGUUGCCUGAAGUGAAGGAUCUAUCCGGGUGGCGGCGGAGGCUCAACAAAGCCAAUGGCAAACUGCUCAUGGCGACGGUCCGGCGCAAUGGCUGGAGAGUAGAAAGUCCGAGGCACGCGGGUUGGCCCUCCAUCGAUGAACUCGAACCCUGGUGGAAGGAACUCAAGAGGAUCUAGUGGAAAAUUUGCCAUGGCUUGCUUUGGUGGAGGUGGAGCAGGUUGGUGGUGCACGGGAAGUGGUGAAGACGUGAUGUGACUCGUCUGCGCCGGCGCGUGGGUCAUCUCUAUACCCGAGGAGUCCCUAGGCGAUGGAGUAGUAGGCUGACUCGUGGCGGGCAUGGGAACCAACAGUGGAUAUUUUUCUGGAUUUUGUUUCGUGUGUUUAACUCUCCAAACAUAACCAUUAUCCUGGGCCCAAUUAAUGCAAUCCCGACGACGAUGACCAUAACGUGAGCAAGCCAGGCAAACAGGACAAGAGACCGACAAGUGGCCCCGCUGGUGACAGUUGGAACAAGUUAGAACUCGGUCCACCAUGUCAUUGACCAUAUCAUCAAACAAAACAGCAGCUUCCUGAGUAGACGGAAUGUCCAUUGGCUAGGUGGUGGGCUGUAGUCCGUCAUGGAGGGCUGGCCCAACAUGGGAUGCAGGAGAAUCGGGAGCAGAUGAGAACAAACUAACCGCCUCAGGUGAAUUCCGUUGAAUCCGCGGCGGGUCAACAGAACCGAAAGUAAUCGACGGAGAAGCAACAGUCCACUAGAGAUUCACCGGCGGCGAUGGUUGAAUGAUCAAACGCUCAUUUGCCGGGACAACAUAUCCAGCAUCAGAAAGAGUAUCAAUACAAUCCUGCGUGGCCGGAUAUCUAUAACCCUUGCAUGCAUCAUAGCUUUGGAACAUUGAAAAAGACAUUUUCUUUUGCACAGAACCAGAAGAUCUAAAAGAGGACUUAGACGGUGGUUUAUGCAUAGCGAUUAUCCCAAGCGCCGCCCGUCUCUUAGAUGGGCUAACUAAGAUCCAUUCCGCAUCACUUUGCAACUUCCAAAGUUUAAACUCUCGAACCCAAUUUGGUCCUCCACGGCCCCAAAGAUUGAAAUAACAUUUGAAUUGCGGGCAAGCAAAAGAUCGAAGAUCAACAAUAGAAAAACCAACUUGCUUGGAAGAAACAUUGAAGGAAUAAACCUUGUCACGUAAGCAUGAGACACCCAACUCGAUCGCAGAUCCACCAAUAGCAGCCUCUAGAGCCGCCGCCACAGAAUGAUCAUCAAGCCUGAAGACAUGACGGCUAAAGGACACCACCAACAUGAAGUGACCUGUGUCCUCCGUAGGGUGGACCGAAAAACUAGUAGAUCUGAAAACUUUAUCCGCAAACUCCAAACCCUUGGAGAAGUCCAAGCCAAGGGUUGAUCCAGAUGAGAAAACCAUGACCCCUGAGUGAGGGGGAGACGCCGGAGAGAUUGGUAGGGAAAGAUUAGGGUUUUAGUGGUGGUGGGAGGAGAUCGCCGGAGGUGGGGUGGGAGGUGGGAGGUGGGAGGGAGGAGACGCCAUCCGCUUUGUUAAAAAAACCAAGGGUUAGGAGAGAUUGUCCUCCAUGUUCUUUCUUGCCAGAGCAAAGGUGCUAAGGGUACUAAGGUUGAACAUGAAUUUAAUUAGGAAAGAUCAAUGGUAUGAUUAUCAGAGGCGGUUGGUACUACGAAUGGAAGUGCCUCCAAAAAUGCCAAACUUCAUAUUGGAAGAGCAUAUGGCAAAGCAAUUGGAAGUUAUUGUGUCAAACCCAUACAUGACUUAUCAGCGGCUGAUCCCUUUUCAAAAAUGACACAGCUUGCAAUGUUUGAAUUUGGGUGUUGUAAUAUUUGUACUAGAACCUUGCAAUAUUUAUGGUAUUUGUUAUAUUGAACCAUUUCUGUUCUCUUGUCUCAACGCAAACUAUUCAUCCGGGUGAACCGCAUGUCGUACAUCGCCCACACCUUGAUCUGGCCGACCGUUUCUUUUGUGUUGCCUAAUCACAAAUAGUUCAUCUGAGUGAACCGUAUGUUGUACGUCGCACACGCCUUCAUCAGGCUGCCCGUUUCUUUUGUUGCUCCUCAUCGCAAACGGUUCAUCCAAGUGAACUGUAUGUUGUACAUCGCACACACCUUGAUCUGGCUGACCGUUUCUUUUGUGUUUCCUAAUCACAAACAGUUCAUCCAAGUGAACCGUAUGCUGUACAUCGCACAUGCCUUCAUUAGGCUGCCCGUUUCUUUUGUUCCGCCUCAUCGCAAACGGUUCAUUGGACUGAACAGUAUGCCCUAGAUCGCACACGCAACUAAAAUCUGAACCGUGUUUGAUGCAUCCUCCAUUGCAAACGUUUUGCACCUUUUUUUACAGUUUUUUACAUCCUCGUUUGUGAUUAAUGCAUGGCACACAGUUUCAUGAAAGGGUCUCUGAUCGUAGUGUCGGGUUAGCAGCAUCCUACAGUAGUGUCUAUACAGCGAAAAUACCAAAAAUAUUUAUCUUAUUAUCAUUAUCAGAUCUCACUUUUGCAAGUGGCCGUGAAGGGAUUGACAACCCCUUUAUCGCGUUGGUUGCCAGGUUCUUGAUUGUUUAUGAAGGUACUAGGCGACUCGUGUGUUAUCUCCUACUGGAUUGAUACCUUGGUUCUCAAAAAAUGAGGGAGAUACUUACGCUACUUUGCUGCAUCACCUUUCCUCUUCAAGGGAAAACCAACGCAUGCUCAAGAGGUAGCAAGAAGGAUUUCUGGCGCCGUUGCCGGGGAGAUCUACGCUCAAGUCAAGACAUACCAAGUACCCAUCACAAACUCUUCACCCUCGCAUUACAUUAUUUGCCAUUUGCCUCUCGUUUUCCUCUCCCCCACUUCACCUUUGCUGUUUUAUUCGCCCCUUUUUUCGUUCGCCUCUUUUUGCUCGCUUCUUGUGUGAUUUUGUGUUGGAUUGAUUGUUUGUCACGAUGGCUCAAGAUAAUACUAAAUUAUGUGAAUUUUCCAAUACCAACAACAAUGAUUUUAUUAGCACUCCGAUUGCUCCUAUUAUCGAUGCUGAAUCUUCUGAAAUUAAUGUUGCUUUGUUAAAUUUUGUCAUGAAAGAUCAAUUUUCUGGUCUUCCUAGUGAAGAUGUCGCUACCCAUCUAAACAACUUUGUUGAUUUGUGUGAUAUGCAAAAUAAGAAAGAUGUGGAUAAUGAUAUUGUUAAAUUGAAGCCAUUUCUGUUUUCUCUUAGAGAUCAUGCUAAAACUUGGUUCUCUUCUUUUCCUAAAAAUAGUAUUGAUUCAUGUAAUAAGUGCAAAGAUGCUUUUAUCUCUAAGUAUUUUCCUCCUGCUAAGAUCAUCUCUCUUAGAAACGAUAUUAUGAAUUUUAAGCAACUUGAUCAUGAACAUGUUGCACAAGCUUGGGAGAGGAUGAAAUUAAUGAUACGUAAUUGCCCUACACAUGGUUUAAAUUUAUGGAUGAUUAUACAAAAAAAUUAUGCCGGAUUGAAUUUUGCUUCUAGAAAUCUUGUAGAUUCGGCCACGGGAGGCACUUUUAUGGAAGUCACUUUAGGAGAAGCUACUAAACUCCUAGAUAAUAUUAUGGUUAAUUAUUCUCAGUGGCACACUGAAAGAUCCACUAGUAAAAAGGUUCAUGCGAUUGAAGAGAUUAAUGUUUUGAGUGGAAAGAUGGAUGAACUUAUGAAAUUGUUUGCUAAUAAGAGUGUUUCUUCUGAUCCUAAUGAUAUGCCUUUGUCCACUUUGAUUGAGAAUAAUAAUGAAUCUAUGGAUGUGAAUUUUGUUGGUAGGAACAAUUUUGGUAACAACGCGUAUAGAGGAAAUUUUAAUCCUAGACCGUUUCCUAAUAAUUCCUCUAAUAAUUAUGGUAAUUCCUACAACAACUCUUAUGGAAACUUUAAUAAGAUGCCCUCUGAUUUUGAGACUAGUGUUAAAUAAUUUACGAAUUCGCAAAAGAAUUUCAAUACUUUGAUUGAAGAAAAAUUGCUUAAGAUUGAUGAGUUGGCUAGGAACGUGGAUAGAAUUUCUCUUGAUGUUGAUUCUUUGAAACUUAGAUCUAUUCCACCUAAGCAUGAUAUCAAUGAGUCUCUGAAAUCCAUGAUAAUUUCCAUUGAUGAAUGCAAAGAAAGAACCGCUAGGAUGCGUGCUAAAAAAGAUUACUUUGUGAAAGCGUGUUCUUCUAGUCUACAUGAUAAUAAAGAUGUAGAUCUAAAAGCGAUUGAUGUGUCCCCUAUUAAAUAUUUGUUUUCCAAUAUGAAUCUUGAUAAAGAUGGGACUGGAGAUGAGUCAACUUUAGUUAAAAGGUGUCCCGAUGAUUCGGAGUUUUUAGAUCUUGAUGCUAAAAUUAAUAAAAGUGGGAUUGAAGAGGUCAAAACUUUACAUAGAAAUGAACCCACUAUUUUGGAUUUCAAGGAAUUUAAUUAUGAUAAUUGCUCUUUAAUAGAUUGUAUUUCCUUAUUGCAAUCUGUGUUAAAUUCUCCUCAUGCUUAUGAUCAAAAUAAGGCUUUUACUAAACAUAUCAUUGAUACUUUAAUGCAAUCUUAUGAAGAAAAGAUUGAACUUCUAGUUUCUAUCCCUAGAAAACUUUAUGAUGAGUGGGAACCUACUAUUAAAAUUAAAAUUAAGUAUUAUGAAUGCUAUGCUUCAUGUGAUUUGGGUGCUAGUGUUUCCACGAUUCCAAAAACUUUGUGUGAUGUGUUAGGUUUCCGUGAAUUUGAUGAUUGUUCUUUAAAUUUGCACCUUGCGGAUUCCACCAUUAAGAAACCUACGUGAAGAAUUAAUGAUGUUCUUAUUAUUGAAAAUAUGAGUUAUGUGCCCGUAGAUUUCAUUGUUAUUGAUAUAGAUUGUAAUCCUACAUGUCCUAUUAUUCUUGGUAGACCUUCCCUUAGAAAUAUUGGUGCAAUUAUUGACAUGAAAGAAGGAAAUAUUAGAUUCCAAUUUCCAUUAAUGAAAGGCAUGGAACACUUUCCUAGAAAGAAAAUUAAAUUACCUUAUGAAUCUAUUAUGAGAGCCACUUAUGGAUUGCAUACCAAAGAUGACAAUACCUAGAUCUAUUCUUGCUUUUAUGCCUAGCUAGGGGCGUUAAAUGAUAGCGCUUAUCGGGAGACAACCCAAUUUUAUUUUUGUUCUUUACCUUUUUAUCCUGUUUAGUACUAAAUAAAUCAUCUAUCAUAUGUUAUGAUUGUGUUUUUUAUGUUUUAAAUAGUGUUUGUGCCAAGUAAAGCCUUUAGGAUCUUCUUGGGUGAUUGCUGUUUCAUCUUGCUGAAAAAACAGAAAGUAUGUGCUCACGAGAAUAAUUUUCAUUUUUUACCUGAGAGCGAUAAAAUACCAAUUCCAGAUGCAUUAGAUAAAUAUACGAAUUAUUUAGGUCAUCCUAAUUUUUACGAAUUUUUGGAGUGACAAAAGUAUUCGAAACCUCCAGAUUGCUACAGACUAUUCUGUUUUUGACAGAUUCUAUUUUUCACGUGUUGUUUGCUUAUUUUGAUGAAUAUAUGGCUAGUAUAGGGGGUAUGAACCAUAGAGAAGUUGUAAUACAGUAGGUUUAACACAAAUAUAAAUAAAAAAUGAUUUCAUUACAGUACUUUAAAGUGGUGGUUUGUUUUCUUAUACUAACGGAGCUCAUGAGAUUUUUUGUUGAUUUUUGUGUUGUGAAGUUUUCAAGUUUUUGGGUAAAGAUUUGAUGGAUUUUGGAACAAGGAGUGGCAAGAGCCUAAGCUUGGGGAUGCCCAAGGCACCCCAAGGUAAAAUUUAAGGACAACCAAAAGCCUAAGCUUGGGGAUGCCCCGGAAGGCAUCCCCUCUUUCGUCUACAUCUAUCGGUAACUUUACUUGAGGCUAUAUUUUUAUUCACCACAUGAUAUGUGUUUUGCUUGGAGCGUCUUGUAUGAUUUGAGUAUUUUCUUUUUAGUUUAUCACAAUCAUCCUUGGUGUACACACCUUUUGGGAGAGACACACAUGAAUCAGAAUUUAUUAGAAUACUAUAUAUGCUUCACUUAUAUCUUUCGAGCUAGAUAAUUUUGCUCUAGUGCUUCACUUAUAUCUUUUUAGAGCACGGUGGUGGUUUUAUUUUAUAUAAAUUAUUGAUCUCUCAUGCUUCAAUUAUAUUAUUUUGAUAGUCUUUUAGAACAGCAUGGUAAUUUGCUUUGGUUAUGAAAUUAGUCCUAAUAUGAUAGUCAUCCAAGAUGGGUAUAAUAAAAACUUUCAUAUAGAGUGCAUUGCAUACUAUGAGAAGUUUGAUACUUGAUGAUUGUUUUGUGAUAUGAAGAUGGUGAUAUUAGAGUCAUGCUAGUAGAUUAUUUGUGAAUUUUAUAAAUACUUAUGUUGAGUUUUGCAAGUCCCAUAGCAUGCACGUAUGGUAACCGUUGUGUAACAAGAUUGAAGCAUAAGGUGUUUCUUUGAUUGUCCUCCUUAUGAGUGGUGGUCGGGGACGAGCGAUGGUCUUUUCCUACCAAUCUAUCCCCCUAGGAGCAUGCGCGUAGUGCUUGGUUUUUGAUGACUUGUAGAUUUUUGCAAUAAGUAUGUGAGUUCUUUAUGACUAAUGUUGAGUCCAUGGAUUAUACUCACUCUCACUCUUCCAUCAUUGCUAGCCUCUUCGGUACCGUGCAUUGCCCUUUCUCACCUCGAGAGUUGGUGCAAACUUCGCCAGUGCAUCCACACCCGGUGAUAUGAUACGCUCUAUCACACAUAAGCCUCCUUAUAUCUUCCUCAAAACAGCCACCAUACCUACCUAUUAUGGCAUUUCCAUAGCCAUUCCGAGAUAUAUUGCCGUGCAACUUUCCACCGUUCCGUUUAUUAUUACAUGAUUCAUCAUUGUCAUAUUGCUUUGCAUGAUUAUGUAGUUGACAUAGUAUUUAUGGCAAAGCCACCGCUCAUAAUUUAUACAUGUCACUCUUGAAUCAUUGCACAUCCCGGUACACCGCCGGAAGCAUUCAUAUAGAGUCAUAUUUUGUUCUAGUAUCAAGUUGUAAUUUUUGAGUUGUAAAUAAAUAGAAGUGUGAUGAUCAUCAUUAUUAGAGCAUUGUCCCGUGUGAGGAAAAAAGAGAGAGAUAAAGGCCAAAAAAAGAUAAGGCCCCAAAAAAAUGAGAGAAAAAGAGAGAAGGGGCAAUGUUACUAUCCUUUUUCCACACUUGUGCUUCAAAGUAGUACCAUGAUCUUCAUGAUAGAGAGUCUCUUAUUUUGUCACUUUCAUAUACUAGUGGGAAUUUUCAUUAUAGAACUUGGCUUGUAUAUUGCAACAAUGGGCUUCCUCAAAAUGCCCUAGGUCUUCGUGAGCAAGCAAGUUGGAUGCACACCCACUUAGUUUCUUUUGUUGAGCUUAGCUCUAGUGCAUCCGUUGCAUGGCAAUCCCUACUCCUUGCAUUGACAUCAGUUGAUGGGCAUCUCCAUAGACCGUUGAUUAGCCGCGUCGACGUGAGACUUUCUCCUUUUUUGUCUUCUCCAUACAACCUCCAUCAUCAUAUUCUAUUCCACCUAUAGUGCUAUGUCCAUGGCUCACGCUCAUGUAUUAUGUGAAAGUUGAAAAAGUUUGAGAAUACUAAAGUAUGAAACAAUUGCUUGGCUUAUCAUCGAGGUUGUGUAUGAUGAGAGCAUUUUGUGUGACGAAAAUGAAGCAUGGACAAACUAUAUGAUUUUGUAGGGAUGAGCUUUCUUUGAGUAUGUUAUUUUGAGAAGACAUAAUUGUUUGGUUAGUAUGCUUGAAGUAUUAUUAUUUUUAUGUCAAUAUUAAACUUUUUUCUUGAAUCUUUCAGAUCUGAAUAUUCAUGGUACAAUAAAGAAAAUUACAUUGAAAAUUAUGUUAGGAAGCAUUCCACAUAAAAAAAAUCUGUUUUUAUCAUUUACCUACUCGAGGACGAGCAGGAAUUAAGCUUGGGGAUGCUGAUACGUCUCCAACGUAUCUAUAAUUUUUUAUUGUUCCAUGCUGUUAUAUUAUCUGUUUUGGAUGUUUAAUGGGCUUUAAUAUGCAUUUGAUAUUAUUUUUGGGACUAACCUAUUAACCAGAGGCCCAGUGCCAGUUUCUGUUUUUGCCUAUUUCAGUGUUUCGAAGUAAAGGAAUAUCAAACGGAAUCCAAACAGAUGAAACCUUCGCGAGGAUCUUUCUUGGAACAAACGUCAUCUAGGAGACUUGGAGUGGAAGUCAGAGACGCAAUGAGGCAGCCACGAGGUAGGAGGGCGCGCCCCCACCCUCGUGGGCCCCUCGUAGCUCCACUGACAUACUUCUUUCGCCUAUAUAUACUCUAAUACCCUAAAAACAUCCAGGGGAGCCACGGAACCACUUUUCCACCGCCGCAACCUUCUGUACCCGUGAGAUCCCAUCCGGGCUCCUUUUCCGGCAAUCUACCGGAGGGGGAAUCGAUCACGGAGGGCUUCUACAUCAACACCAUAGCCUCUUCGAUGAUGUGUGAGUAGUUUACCACAGACCUUUGGGUCCAUAGUUAUUAGCUAGAUGGCCUCUUCUCUAUCUUUGGUUCUCAAUACAAAGUUCUUCUCGAUGUUCUUGGAGAUCUAUUCGAUGUAAUAUUCUUUUGUGGUGUGUUGCCGAGAUCCGAUGAAUUGUGGAUUUAUGAUCAAGUUUAUCUAUGAACAAUAAUUGGUUCUUCUCUGAAUUCUUAUAUGCAUGAUUUGAUAUCUUUGCAAGUCUCUUCGAAUUAUCGGUUUAGUUUGGCCUACUAGAUUGAUCUUUCUUGCAAUGGGAGAAGUGCUUAGCUUUGGGUUCAAUCUUGCGGUGUCCUUUCCCAAUGACAGUAGGGGCAACAAGGCACGUAUUGUGUUGUUGCUAUCGAGGAUAAAAAGAUGAGUUUUAUAUCAUAUUGCUUGAGUUUAUCCCUCUACAUCAUGUCAUCUUGCCUAAAGCAUUACUCUGUUCUUAUGAACUUAAUACUCUAGAUGCAUUCUGGAUAGCGGUCGAUGUGUGGAGUAAUAGUAGUAGAUGUAGAAUCGUUUCGGUCUACUUAACACGGACAUGUUACCUAUGUUCAUGAUCAUGCCUAGAUAUUCUCAUAACUAUCCGCUUUUCUAUCUAUUGCUCGGCAGUAAUUUGUUCAUCCACCGUAAUACAUGCUAUCAUGAGAGAAGCCACUAGUGAUAUGGCCCCAGGGUCUAUUUUAUAUCAUAUAAGUUUCUGAUUUACAAUUCUAGUUUACUAUUUAUUUUAUUUUGCAAUCUUUACUUUUCAAUCUAUACAACCAAAAUACCAAAAAUAUUUAUCUUAUUAUCAUUGUCAGAUCUGACUUUUGCAAGUGGCCGUGAAGGGAUUGACAACCCCUUUAUUGCGUUGGUUGCAAGGUUCUUGAUUGUUUGUGCAGGGACUAGGCGACUUGCGUGUUAUCUCCUACUGGAUUGAUACCUUGGUUCUCAAAAACUGAGGGAAAUACUUACGCUACUUUGCUGCAUCACCCUUUCCUCUUCAAGGGAAAACCGACGCAUGCUCAAGAGGUAGCAAUAGGUGGGAGGCAACCCACCAGAGUAACGACGGCCUUAAUGGCGUGUCGGGAGAUGUAUGUGUGGCAGACGACUCAGGAACCACCACCUUGACGGUCACGCAGGCUGCACGAUGUGUCUCCUGACGUCCAGAAGCUGACCUUUGUGCUGACGACCCAGUUCUUUGUCGUCAGACGGCAAACGACAAAGCCUCCCGUUAGCCAGCUAACGGGGCUAAUGCAUGGAUUUUGCCGUCCAUGUUAUUUGCCAUCUGCCACCGAUGGCAAAGGGCCUUUGCCAUCCUCUUUGAGGAAGCUGAUGACAAAGAACAUGUUUACCGUCACUCUCUUUGUCGGGCAGGUUUGCCGUUGGUGGCAGACGGCAAAGAGCUUUAUCGUCCGCUUUUGGUGCCUUUGCCGUUUUCCAUGGCAGACGACAAAUAAGCUGAUUCCUGUAGUGUUCAUUAGGGCUACCAGAAAGUUGUUCUUUCAUAACAAGAUUUAGCAAAGCAACAUUAAUAUCACAAGUCUCCACACUAGCCGUGGAAGAGCAAUAGGAGUACUAAUACAAUCAUUAUUAUUAGUAUUGGAAAAAUCACACAAUUUUGUAUUUCUCUUGAGACAUCGUGGCUAUGCAAACAGGAAAACGAGCAAACAAGAAAAAGGCAAAAAGGAAAAUAUUUUUGUAUUUUUUUAAAAGCUUUUCUAUAAGUGGGGGAGAUAAAAACGAGAGGCAAAUGGCAAAUAAUGUAAAUGCAAGGACAUGAAAGUUUAUGCGCAGGUACUUGAUAGAUGUUGGUGAUGUCUCCCCAGCAACGGUGCUAAAUUUUUUCCUGCUACUUGUGAACUGUGUUGGGAUUUCCCGAAGAGGAGAUGAUGAUGCAGUACAGUAGAGAUAAUUAUUUCCCUCAGUUAUGAACCAAGGUUAUCAACCCAGUAAGAGAACCAAGCAACAACUCGUUAGCAGCACCCGCACACAAACAACAAAUCCUUGCAACCCAAUGCGAACAAGGGGUUGUCAAUCCCGUGACGGUUACGAGCAGGAUUAAAUUGUAUGGUAUUUGAUAGAUAGAUCGGAAAAAAUACAAAAUAAACUAAAUAAAAGAAAAACGCAGCAAGGAAUAUUUGGUUUUCAUAUCUUUACUCUUUACCUAAUCUAUACCUACUAUUAAAAGGAGGUGAUAUUCUUGGUUUCAUCCCGCUUCGUUUGGUCCCGCUUCAAUUAAUUUCACAUACGCUAUUUUGUUUAGUUAGUUGCCACCCGUUCUAGCCCAACGGAGGAAGCCACUUGUUGGCGCACUAUGACCCAGGUCCAAAGAGCUGGCAAAAAAUAAAAUUGCCCAUGGAAGAGUUCGAUCUCAUAACCUGCCAACCGGCCACGCACCCAUCUAGCGAUAUGAGAGGAUUUCUUUUCUCCUGUUGCAAAUCACAUGCCUUUUUGCUAGUAAUAAUAAAGGGGCUAUUGCUUCUUAUACCACCAUAAUUUCGUCCGUAGUUUCGUCCGUCCGUAUAUACCUUAUAUCAUCUAUCGUCCUACUGCAGCAUUGUGCGUUAGCGCUCGACAAAAAAACUAAUACAUGCACGCGAAGCCACAACCUGUAGCAAAGUCCUAAUACAAUACGGUCACGAGCCGGCCCUCCUUCAAUAAAUACAGCCACAACUAAUCCUCCUCCUCUACUUCUUCGAAGCACGACCUAUGGUCUCGGUCUGGGUGGGAUUGGCCUCCAUCGGCCCGUGCACGUCGUGCCGUGUUACCCGAUGGCGAGCACUCGGUACCCUAGGCACUACGGCAUACCGUCUCAACGAGAUGACAUAGAUUGGCACAUGACACCAAAUCGUGGAGCCCGACGAUGAGGAUGGGCUCACAGAGCUUGGGCAACCACUAGCAUCACCGUCUCACGAGGUCUUCUCCUGCAUCGUGAUAUUCAUAUCCGCCUGCUUAAUUUUUCAUCCUCAGUUCACAAGAAAUCAUCAUCGGCGGCGACGAUCGGACGAUGACACUCCAGAGACCAAUUAACACAGCGAGGAAUUCCUUCAAUGCGGGCGUGAACUGGGCGCCGCCGUGGGAGUGUGCAGGCAGGCACACUAUGCAGUAGCAGGAUGGGUGACUGCAGUAUCACGAUGGACUCAUCGCCCCAGUCAUGACAGCUCCCCUGCCGAACCAACGAGAUCGAAGCUAUGCAGGCGAGCCCAGUGCUGGAGGAGGGCCGGCCUAAUCUUCCCGGUGAAGAAAUCCCUACAAGCAAAUUCAUAAUUAGACCAUGCUACUUGCGUCCUUACGAAAUUCUGAGUCAUAUAGAUUGGAUCCCCUAAUCAUGUCAGGCGCAUAUGCGGUUCCAGAACGGCACUUGGUAGCAAGGCCCUUGAAGAAAUCUUUCAGUAAGACGGCCAGGAGGCCGAUGGCAGGGUCGCCGUGCCAGGCAGCGAUGUUGGCAACCUCUGUCGGAUUUCGGGUUCCGGCAGACCCUUGAGGUUCGAACACUGGGGUGCACGCGGAGAUUUCGCCUCCUACCUACCUGCACCCCUCCGCCUCGCUAAGAUCUAAGCUAUGGAAAGAACAACAUGAGAGACACAGGGUUUAUACUGGUUCGAGCCAUCGUUGUGGUGUAAUACCCUACUCCAGUGUGUGGCAUGGUGGAUUGCCUCUUGGGCUGAUGAUGAUGAACCAUACAAGGAAGAACAACCUCGCGAGGGUCUGUUGUUGGCUGGGGCGAUGAACUGCUGGGAGGAGUUCAGUCACCCUUCUCUCUCUCUCUCUCUCCGAUUGUUGAUGCCCCUCUCUGCCCCGGGGGUGGCUAGUCCUAUUUAUAGAGGCCCUGGUCCUCUUCCCAAAUAUCGAGCGGGAAGGGAGCCAACAAUGGCGGGCUAAUUUGAAGGGGGACAGCUAGUACCAGCUAUCCUAACAAAAGCAGUCUUCGACUGCACAAAGCUCUAGUGGUGACGCCGUCUUGGGCUCCACAAUGACCUCCGUCUUGCAGUCAUCCUGGUCCUGGUCUUGUUGCACCGAAAUGACAACCUUUGCCUGAUGCCUCGGUACUCUGCGGCUGUGCUUGCCCCCUUUGUACCAAAGAGGAAAGGAGGACACUCCGCGGGCUGGCACCCACCUGGCGCCCUUGGUCGUCAUGGCUUGCGUCAUGGGCACCUCGUGAGGUACCCCGCCUUGAUCUCUCCGCCUCCUCGCGAGCCAGCCUGAUGAGGCCAUGCCUAAGGAAGCUCCGCGUCGUCUGCCCCGCGAGGCUUGGCCCCUCGCAAGGGUCUUGGGUCUGUGUUGAUGAAGAUGGGCCGUGCUGGGCCCCCUUUGAGCCACGCCGCAGGCCGCGGGCAGGCAAGUCUGGGGACCCCCGUUCCCAGAACACCGACAGUAGCCCCCGGGCCCAAGGCGCGCCCGGACUUGGCUGUGCAGGGAGGCGGAAGGGCAAGAGCGAAGCGCCAUGGGCCCUAACAGCCUGCGGCCUUGGGCGCCGCGUGGCGGUUGAUUGGACGUGGGCGUCUCCACUUCCCCAUGGCGCCUCGGCAACUGCACAGAUUGGACAAGUCCCUGCAUGCAAAGCGGGUCAUGAUUACCUGCGAUCGUGGAGGUCGGCGGUUGGCCUUCGCCGGCUAUAAGUAUGGAACGGUGCGCGCCCUUCCAGUCCAUCCCUUCUUGCUUCUCCUUCUUCCCGAUCCUUGCUCUGUCUUGCUGCGCUGGCCCUGAUCCGCCAGUUCUCAACGGCAGAGAAGGAAAAGGCUCCCCGAGAGGAACCAGUCCCGCUCCCGCCGAAGAAACGACUCGUCCUCCGCGGCCCGGAUGAGGGGGCUCAUCAGGUGGUGUCGAGGCCCUGGUGCGAGCGGGCACCGCCGGGGUUCCCGCUUCCCUUGUACGCCCACAACGAGGGCCCUGAAGGAGCUGAUGCUGAUUGCCACGGGCGGCGCCACCGUCGGCGCCGACGGGUCACGAAGGUGUGGGUCGUCCCCCCUGGGGUCCACACCGAGGGCUCCUCCCGAGAGUUCGUGUUUCACGCCGCCAUGCCUCCUCAGUCUUGGAUUCGCCUUCCUCCCUUCUUCGCCUCCAUCAUCCCGCAGGGAGAGCCCCUGGAGCUUUGGCUGCAGCACGCCGGCUGCAGCACCCUCGCGACCGAGGCAGAGGUCGCGGUCGUUGCCCCGGGCGAGGUCUUCAUGACUCGGGGCUGGAGCGAAAUCGCCCGGGUUUGCAGGACAAGGGGUGCCUUCGCGAUCCACUUGGAUUACGACGGUGCUUCGGUGAUGUUCUUCAAGGUCUUCGAUGCGAACGGGCGCCGGCUGGAGUGCUGCCCCAGGAGAGGUGGCUGGGACCCUGCUGCGGCGAGGACUGGGCCCGCCGACCGCUCCCUUGGCGGCUCCUCAGGCGGCGGAGGCAUCGGGGGUUCCAGCGACUCCAACGAGCUCUUCGCGACUCUGGAGACGAGCGACGACAGCUACGAGCCCCCGAGCCGGCGCCGCUCCUAGAGCAGGGCGGGCUCGUCAGGCCGCCGCCGACUCUGAUCUGGAUGGGGUUGGCGCCGGUGCUUGACGGCCCACUGUUGAUGAUGGUGUAUUCUGCAGGGGCGCGCGUAGUUAGUGUCCCUUUAGGAUCUGUUCCCUGCGAGGAAUCAAAGACGCGUCCCGUGGGGGCUUGUAAGGUGCCUGUGAUCCUAUUUUGUUAAUAUAACCCUUGUCGUAGAAUUGUGCGAGUUGCUCAUUCCGUCUUGGCUCAGUCCUCCCUUUCAAACCUCACGAGGGCUUGGUGCUCUGCGCCGAUAGGCCCCAAUCCCAAGGCGGCUUCAGCUGUCGCUGGUAUGCCAGGUCACGAUGCCGUGGUCAAGGCCAGGAGGUGAGCGACCCGGAGUCCGAUAAGAGCCCCUGAGUCGCGAUGCUUAGGAGGUCCCCUUUGGCGCUCAAGCAGCCGUCAUUCGGUGAGAAAGGAGAGCGGCGUCGCUAACAUGGGAUUGCAUUAGGUGCGGGGGUGGUGCCAUGGUAGCUGGCGCUUCCGGGUGGUGACUUAUCUCGAGAAUCAGGGGCCGCUCUCUGGUGUGUCGCCGGGUCCAUGCAUCGGCAGGCGCGAGGUUGCUCGGCGAGGUCCUCGCGUGUCCCUCCCCUCUCGCCUUUGCUCCCCUUUCUGCUCUACGUCCUUGGGUCCCGGCCCUCGAGCGAGUCUCAGCCGUCGCUGGUAUGCCAGGUCGCGAUGCCGUGGACAAGGCCAGAGGGUGAGGGCUCGAGAGCCAGUAGGAGCCCCGAGUCGCAAUGCUCAGGCACCCCCCUUUAAUGUGCAAGCGGUUCGCGCGGAUGAGAGUGAAGGAGACACUGCAAGGGCCUCGCCUGACGCAGCUCCUUCAGGAGAUCCUAUAGACCCAUCACAGAAAAAACAAGGGGUUGCCAUGACAAUUGAUAGUCAGCCGUUGGUUGCUUCCGAGGGGUACGAGGCACUGAAGGCUUGACGAGGUGGCGCCAUGCGGGGCUGCCGCGGCCAGAGCUCAGCCAUUCAGGUUUGUCGGUGUUGCAGGGACGGACCCAUGCGCAAGCGUCGUGCCUUUUGAGAGCAGUUCCGUCAGUUGGCGUCAGUUGAGCGGGCAGCUAGGUCAAACACAUUAUCCGCAAAGGAGUGGAUUCAUCCAAAUAGAUGCUGGGAAGGCAGACAUCACUGGGUCAGGCCUGGGUAAGCUAACAACAUGAAAUAAAAGGGGUACAUGCCGCAGGGAUGGACCCACGCGGCCUGGGAAUAAUGCAGCCCUGGGGGGCGCUCCCAGCUGGAAGUGAAACUUGAAAGAUGUCACCUGAUGACGUUGAGGACGAAGGGGUGUUGGUGUAGCAGACUUGGUGGGCUGCAGAAGCCGAUCCUCAUGAGCCCCCAGGCCCGGGGGCCUCGGGAGGCACCGGAGGUGCCGGCGGCUCCCCGCGGACCAUCUCCAUCUCCGCCAGGCCUGUGGAACGCCUGGCCUCUUGUGCCUCCAUGAUGCCCCUCAUGAGGCGCGGGUACAUGGCAGCCGCGUUCGGCAAGCCGUAAGGCAUGCGAACGUAGCUGUGGGGUGGACCUCCGCAGCGCCCCACUCGCGAUGGCCAGAGGCACUCCAGAGAGGCGACUCGGUUGAGCCCUGGUAUGUCGAUGUAGACGCGUAGCCCACCAUCCUCGCCUGGAUGGGGAGCCACUGCUGGUAGACGGCGGCCGCCUUUCAUGACCCUUGACUCCUGUAGCUCCUGAAUGGCCUUGCUGACAAACUCCUGAGGGUCUGGCUCUCCUUUCCUUACUCCUUCUUGAGGGAAACAUGCUUCGAAACACGCCUCCAUGUGGUUCCCAAGCGCCUCCCUCGUGACUCUAGCCAGGUCGGUGGCCCUCCAGGGGAGAGCCCCCGAGCCCUGCCUGAGGAGGGCGCCGAGCGCGCUUUCCUAUUCGAUGGAAGGAGGUUCCCCCUGGGCAGGCACGGGCCCAGAGGGGCCUGCCUCCUGAGGGGCCGGGUCGGACAAUGUCUUCUUCGUCUUGGGGGCGGUCUCAAGAAGCCUCCUGCUUCCGUGAUCUGGGUCUUCCAGUGACGCGGCCUGAAAGGCUCGUUCCAGGGAACACACCGCGUCCUUCUCUUCACAGGGCACCGUGAUGACUCCGCCACUUCCUGGCAUCUUGAGGACGUUGUAGCCGUGGUGAGUCACGGCCAUGAACUUGGCCAGCGCUGGGUACCCAAGGAUGGCGUUGUACGGCAGGCGAAUGUGAGCGACGUCGAAGUCGAUGAGCUCGGUGCGGUAGUUGUCGUGUGCCCCGAAGGUGACAGGGAGGUGGACCUGCCCAAUCGGGACCGUGGAGCCGUCGGUGAUUCCGGAGAAGGGCUUGGUUGGCUAAAGCUGGCUGUAGGGCACUUGGAGAUUGUUGAAUGUUUCCACGCACAGGACGUUGAGCCCUGCUAUCACACCCUCGAUGCGACUAUAGCUCCUACGUGUCGAGGCACGACUUAGAGACAUAAUCGCAUUGAAGGCAGAUGUCGCAAGUUAGGCAAUCUACACAACAUCCCAUGUAAUAAUAAUAAAAGGGGAGAUAACAUAGUUGGCUUACACUCGCCACGUCAAUCAAGUACAUAAAUAACAUUACAUCAACCAUACACUCAAGGCCCGACUACGGCGCCAAAAUAAAAGAGAACCCAACAUGCGACAACGGUCCCGUUCACCCCCAACCGGGCACCACUACUGAUCGUCGGGAAAGGAAACGUAGUAUCAUUGAGAGUCUUCGUCAAACUCCCACUUGAGCUCAUACGCGUCUCCUAGAGCAGAAUCAUCAGGACCUGCAUCUGGUGAUAUAGUAAUCUGUGAGCCAUGGGGACUCAGCAAUCUCGCACCCUCGCGAUCAAAACUAUUUGAGCUUAUAGGUAUGGCAAGGUAAAAUAUGAGUGGAGCUGCAGCAAGCGACUAGCAAAUAUGGUGGCUAACUUAUUCGCAAAAGAGAGCGAGAAGAGGAGGCAAAGCACGAGCGAGAAGCUAGAGAACAACCUGCACAAACAUUACUCCAACACCGUGUCCACUUCCCGGACUCCGCCGAGAAGAGGCCAUCACGGCAACACACUCAGUUGAUUCAUUUUAAUUAAAUUAAGGUUCAAGUUAUCUACAACCGGACAUUAACAAAUUCCCAUCUUCCCAUAACCGCGGGCACGACUUUCGAAAGUUCAAUCCCUGCAGGGGAGUCCCAACUUAGCCCAUGACAAGCUCUCAUGGUCAAUGAAGGAAUAGACCUCCUCCUAAGAUGUUCCGAUCAGACUCGGUAUCUCGGUAACUCAAGACACUUCGACAGGUUAAAACAAGACGAGCAAUACCGCCCGAAUGUGCUGACAAAUCCCGAUAGGAGAUGCACAUAUCUCUUUCUCAGGGAACACUUAGAUGAGCAAGACGUCGGGUGGGCCAGCCCAGAGUUGCCCCUGGUAGCCCCCGGACAUCGCUCAGUGGGACCAACACUCAGAGGAGCACUGGCCGGGGGGGGGGGUAAAAUAAGAUGACCCUUGAGUCUGCAGAACCCAAGGCAAAGAAAAGGCUAGGUGGCGAAUGGUAAGACCAAGGUUGGGCAUUGCUGGAAAAGCUUUAAACAAGGCGUAAUAUCAAGGGGUUCCCAUUAUAACCCAACUGCGUAAGGAACGCAAAAUCCGGGAACAUAACACCGAUAUGACGGAAACUAGGGCGACAAGAGUGGAACAAAACACUAGGCGAGAGGCCGAGCCUUCCACCCUUUAACAAGUAUAUAGAUGCAUUAAGAUAACAUGGCAAUAUAAUGAUAUCCCAACAAGUAAAUAAAAGAUGUUCCAACAAGGAACGGCCUCCAAUCUUCACCUGCAACUAGCAACGCUAUAAGAGGGGGCUGAGCAAAGCGGUAACAUAGCCAAUCAACGGUUUGCUAGGACAAGGUGGGUUAGAGGUUUGACAUGGCAAUUUGGGAGGCUUGCAAGCAAGUGGUAGUCAUCGUAGCAAUGGCAUAGCAAAAGAGCGAGCAAACUAGCAUAGCAAAGAUAGUAGUGAUUUCGAGGGUAUGAUCAUCUUGCCUGCACAGUUGUCAGAGUUGACUGGAUCCUCAAAAGCAAACUCAACGGGCUCCUCGUUAGCGAACUCGUCUCCCGGCUCUACCAAACAAGUCAAACAAGCAAUAAGGAUACAAUCAACCACGUGCGAGAACAAGUAAUAUGAUGAAAUGAUGAUAUGCUAUGCGGGAUGCGAUGCGGGAUGCAAAAUGCAAGAUAUGAUAGGAAAUGCAUGAACCUGGCCUCAACUUGGAAUUCCAAGGGUGCCACUGGAAAGAUGAGAUGAAAUCGCUUGAAAAUGAUAUAAAGAACGCCGGAAUCGGAGUUACGGUUUGGAAAAGGCAAGCGAUUCAAAUAUGACACCGGUCUGCGAUUUACAGCAAGUAGGCAUCUAAAUGCAAUGAGAUGAACAUGCUACAACACCCAAACAUGACAACAAAAUACAUGGCAGGGAUGCACACAAGAUGCUUAACAAAAGUCUAGCACUGAGCUACGGCCAAUUCAUCCAUUAGGAGGUUUAAACAAGCAUGGCAAAAACGCAAAUGGUAAAACAGAUCUUAGACUUAGUAAAAUUAACACUUGUCUGGAAUUUCAGAUCAUAUAGCCCUCUUCGGAGCAACAAAAUAACAUGCUACAGGACCUGAACAUGACAAAGAAAGACAUGGCAUGGAGCUACUCAACAAGCUUAACAAAAGUCCCUUAGUGACCUUGAGCCAAAAGGGAUCACAAAAUAUACUAACAAGCACACGAACGUAGCAAAAACAUAAUUAGUUUUCAGACUUAGUGAAAACUGGGACAUGCUGAAACAUAACUCACGAAGGCAUGUUUACGAGCUCGAUGCACUCACCGCGGUGCAAGUCAUGGCAAGACAAGCGUACAUCCAACAAGAAGGCACAAAAAACAAGCUAGAAAUGGCAAGAACAAUAGCAUAGCAUGCACGGAUCAACUACAAUAACAUCGGCAAAAUCGCAAACAAGUUGACGAUCUGCCCAGAUUCACAACGAAGCAAAAGUAGAGCUCGAUUGACUCAAGCUAGGCUGCUCCAUAAUUGAAAACAAAGACAUGGAUGGAUAGAGCACUACAAGAUUAACAAAACUCCCUUACUGAUCAUCCUCAAAAGAGGCACGGAUCACUAGGAAACAACAAGAACAUAUGGCAUUGUGAGAUAAACAAUCCCAGGACUUAGUGAAAUUACUAAGUCCCUGAAAACAGAAUUAGCAAGUGCACCACUUUGCAAGCUUGCACAAGUCACCACACACAUCCUAAAAAUACAUGGGUUGCACCUCUGGAAAGAUGACAAAACCCUUAACAAAACAUAUGAAGAACUCACGGGCAUAUCAUGCACACAUUAAUCAUGGCAAAAAUGAUAAAAGUGCUAAACAGAGUAGCAGAUCUGACAAUUAACUCAAGUAGCCCUCUUCUAACAGCAUUUCGGGCAUCAAGAUGAACUCAAAUGAAAAUGAUGCAAUGGAAUGAAAUGAUGCACUCUCUGAGAUGAACAUUUUGAUAUUCUAUAUGCCCAAAUCGGAGCUACGGAUGCGAAGUUACGGGGCCGCGAACAGGGGCAUAUGGACUGAAAAUUUGAGGACUUGAAGAAAAAAACAACCCCAGAUCUAGGGUUUGCACGGAAACCGAGGCGGCGGCGGCACUGUAGCUGUUCGUCGGGGAAGAAGCAAGCAGCAGCCGGUGGUGGAGGGAGGAGGCGGCGCCGGCGUCGCCUGGGGCCGACGAUGGCCGGGGCGGCGGGGCCGGACGAAGGGCUGCGGGGCCGGNNNNNNNNNNNNNNNNNNNNNNNNNNNNNNNNNNNNNNNNNNNNNNNNNNNNNNNNNNNNNNNNNNNNNNNNNNNNNNNNNNNNNNNNNNNNNNNNNNNNNNNNNNNNNNNNNNNNNNNNNNNNNNNNNNNNNNNNNNNNNNNNNNNNNNNNNNNNNNNNNNNNNNNNNNNNNNNNNNNNNNNNNNNNNNNNNNNNNNNNNNNNNNNNNNNNNNNNNNNNNNNNNNNNNNNNNNNNNNNNNNNNNNNNNNNNNNNNNNNNNNNNNNNNNNNNNNNNNNNNNNNNNNNNNNNNNNGAGGACGGGCGGCGGCGUGCUUCGAUCGCCGGAGUUGGUCGCCGGCGACGGCAAAGAUCCGGCAAGGCGAGCGGAGCCGGGCGGCUCGGGCAGCUCGGCCGGGCGGCGGCGGAUCUGGGCCCGCGCGGGCCUGCCUCGGGCCCCGCGGGCCGGUGCGUUGGGGAGGAGAGAGAGGAGGCGGCUGGGAUGAGGUGGCGGCGUCCGAUUGGGCCGGAGCAGUGGCGCGGCUGAUGUGGCGGACCCUGAUUCGUCGGGAUGAUGUGGCGGCCGCAGUGGACACGUCCAGCGGCGGGAUGGACACGUCCGGUGGCGCGAGGAGGAAGAUGGCUAGGGUUCAUCCGCGAAUUUCGGGAGGGGAGCACAUAUUUAUAGGUAGAGGGGGCUAGGAGAGUCCAAAUGAGGUGUGGUUUUCGGCCACGCGAUCGUGAUCGAACGCUCUAGGACAUGGAGCAGAGUUUGGUGGGUUUUGGGCAAAAUUGGAGGGGUGUUGGGCUGCAACACACACGAGGCCUUUUCGGUCCCUCGGUUAACCGUUGGGGUACCAAACGAAGUCCAAAUGGUACGAAACUUGACAGGCGGUCUACCGGUAGUAAACCAAGGCCGCUUGGCAAGUCUCGGUCCAAUCCGGAAAUGUUUAAUCCCCACACACGAAAGAAAGCUAGAAAUGGCCACCGGAGGAGAACGAAGCGCCGGAAUGCAAAACGGACAACGGGGAAAAUGCUCGAAUGCAUGAGACGAACACGUAUGCAAAUGCAAUGCACAUGAUGACAUGAUAUGAGAUGCAUGACAAUGAUAACAACACACGGAGACAAAGACCCGAACCCAAGAAAAUAAAUAUAACUUAACGCUGGAAACGGCAAGAGUUGGAGUACAAAUUGGGAAAGUUACAUCCGGAGUGUUACACCUGCCUCGCCAUCGAUAAGGGUCCUGGUGACCACCACGUUGCUGAUGAUUGGGGAACAAAGCACUGGGAGGACUCCGGCUGUAGCCGCACACUUGAGCUGAUCUGCUGAGCUGAACGUGAUGGCGCACGCCGACCAUCUGAGAGGGCGCGUGGCUUCAAGCCUGGGGAGGACUGCAUUCACUUCGCGGGCGAACUGCUUGAAGAUGCGUUGAGAGGCCGGGGCUUGAGCCCCGCCCAGGAUGCAGGCGAUCGCGCGCGGCUCCUGGAAGCCGCCAGCCCCCUCGUCUUGGUGGCGGUCCUCAUUUCUCCUUGGCUGCGACGGCAGCGGAGGGAGGCCUGCGUUGCCUUGCGGGCGAUCCUCGCGAGGCUGAUCCCUCCAGUCUCCCUCGCGAGGCGGGUGUUGCCAGCGAUCCUCGCGAGGUUGAUCGCGCCACCCUUGGCACGGGCCACGGUCUUCCAAGCGUCCUGCGUUCCUUCCUCCUCCUCGACCGUAGCCCCGGUCAUCGCGGUCGGGGCGACGGUCGAUCCUUCCUUCCUGCACGGCUCGGAGCUCUUGACAUUCGUUGGUGUUGUGGGUGUGGAGGUCGUGGUACACACAGUACCGGCUGCCCUUGGAAGGUUUGGGCUGAUCUCUGCCCCGCUUGGUGUCUGGUUUUGCCGCGAGCACGGCAGCCCCCUUGCGCUUCACAUCCUUGGCCUUGGGCUUCUUCUUUUCUGGGUCUGUGGCAGGCAGCUCGAGGAGGGAGAGACGCCCUUCCUCAUCCCUGGCGCACUUGGUUGCCAAGUUGAACAACUCCAAAGAAGUGCACGGGUCUUCAUGCAUCGCCAGCUCCUCCUUUAUCUUGACAUCGCGCACGCCGUCGGAGAAGGCUGAGAUGAUGGCCUCCUCAUUGACCUUGGGAAUCUUGAGGCGUGCGUUGUCGAAGCGCUGGAUGUACUUCUACAGGGUCUCCCCGGGUUGUUGCUUGAUGCGGCGCAUGUCGCUCACGGCGGGUGGCCGGUCGCGAGUACCUUGGAAGUUGGCGAUGAAGCGGGUGCGCAUCUUGUACCAGGAGGAGAUCAUGCCUGGAGCCAGGUUCAGGAGCCAGGUGCGGGCCCCGUCCUUGAGUGCCAUGGGGAACCAGUUCGCCAUGACCUUCUCGUCUCCGUUGGCAGCUUCGAUGCCCAGCUCGUAGAGCUGGAGGCACUCCACAGGGUCAGCCGUGCCAUCAUAACGAGGAGGCAGGUCUGGCUUGAACUUGCCAGGCCACACGACGCUGCGUAGCUCGGUGAUGAAGGCACGACAGCCUACUGUGGCCAUGGGAGGCCUUGGGUGAUGGAGAGCUUGGUCUUGCAUGUCCCCACGCGCUGCAGCUGGGAGCAGCGCGGGGUCUUGACAUGCUGGAGCAGGAGCAUGGCCGUGACGUGCUGGAGCAGGGAGCGCCCAGGCAGCUUCUUGCGGGCGAGGGAUUUCCUGGCAGCUCUACCCAGGGGCCACGCGCCUUGGAGCCAUGGCGCCUUCUUGAGGAGGAGGCAGCCGGGGCGCCGCCGGAGCUUCGUUGCCCGCGCGGGGCGGGGUGCGGUGCAGCGGAACGGACGACGCAGGAGAGCCCCCUGCGGCGCGGACGAGCUCGGCGACGCGGUCGAGUCAUUCUUUGCAGACGUCAUCGACGGGACGGUAGAGCAGGAGCUUGUUUGCCGCGAUGAGCGCAGCUCGAGCCUCCAUGGGUGCGCGGAGCACGCGGGACGAAGAACCAGCUGGGGUGAGCGAGGGAGUUGCGGUGCGGCCGUCUUGCCGCACGGACGGAUGCUGAGACGAUGCUUGCUGCUCUUCCCCCGCCGGGCUGGUGGCGGCGUUGACGGCAGGUGACGGGGAACGGCGAGGAGCCCACCGACAGGAGCCGUCUGGGCGACGCGGGAAGCGAGAGCGGCCCAGUGCUCGGCGCGGGCCCGACAAGCGUCAGACAUGGGCACGAUGGUCGGAGGAGAACGGGGUGGUGGAAGAUGAAUUCCGGCGCACCCCUACCUGGCGCUCCAAAUGUCGGAUUUCGGGUUCCGGCAGACCCUUGAGGUUCGAACACUAGGGCGCGCGCGGAGAUUUCGCCUCCUACCUACCUGCACCCCUCUGCCUCGCUAAGAUCUAAGCUAUGGAAAGAACAACACGAGAGACACAGGGUUUAUACUGGUUCGGGCCACCGUUGUGGUGUAAUACCCUACUCAAGUGUGUGGCGUGGUGGAUUGCCUCUUGGGCUGAUGAUCAUGAACCAUACAAGGAAGAACAGCCUCGCGAGGGUCUGUUGUUGGCUGGGGCGAUGAACUGCUGGGAGGAGUUCAGUCACCCUUCUCUCUCUCUCUCCGAUUGUUGAUGCCCCUCUCUGCCCCGGGGGUGGCUAGUCCUAUUUAUAGAGGCCCUGGUCCUCUUCCCAAAUAUCGGGCGAGAAGGGAGCCAACAAUGGCGGGCUAAUUUGAAGGGGGAUAGCUAGUACCAGCUAUCCUGACAAAAGCAGUCUUCGCCUGCACAAAGCUCUGGUGGUGACGCCGUCUUGAGCUCCUCAAUGACCUCCGUCUUGCAGUCCUCCUGGUCCUGGUCUUGUUGCACCGAAAUGGCAACCUUUGCCUAAUGCCUCGGUACUCCGCGGCUGCGCUUGCCCCCUUUGCACCAAAGAGGAAAGGAGGACACUGCGUGGGCUGGCACCCGCCUGGCGCCCUUGGUCGUCAUGGCUUGCGUCACGGGCACCUCGUGAGGUACCCCGCCUUGAUCUCUCCGCCUCCUCGCGAGCCAGACUGAUGAGGCCGUGCCUGAGGAAGCUCCGCGUCGUCUGCCCCGCGAGGCUUGGCCCCUCGCGAGGGUCUUGGGUCUGUGUUGGUGAAGAUGGGUCGUGCUGGGCCCCCCUUUGAGCCACGCCGCAGGCCGCAGGCAGGCAAGUCUGGGGACCCCCGUUCCCAGAAUGCCUACAACCUCCGUGCUAUAUAUAUUGCUGGGCCUUGCCUUCUGAUAGUGAUACAUAACCAAAUAGCUGAUGACGACAAUGAUGUUGAACCCCAUCAGCGCCAUCGUCCCGGCCCCACGCGGCAGUCGAACACCUUGCUGGUGCAAGACCUCCUAUUGGAAACGAAUAUUUUGGCAAUGCAACUCGAUGUAUUGAUCGGUGCAUAGCGCACGUAUAUAUGGAGUACAAGGUGGGCCACAACCUCAACUAUACAAUGACUAGGAGGUGGGCCGGACUAUACAAUAUACAUGCACAAACCAUAUAUUCAACACCCCCCCCCCCCGCAGUCGAAGCGUCGCCAGAGACGCAAAGAUUGGACCUGAACUCCUCGAAAACAGAAGUAGGAAGUCCUUUUGUCAUAACAUCGGCAAACUGUUGUGCCGUCGGGACGUGGAGGACCCGGAUGCGCCCAAGGGCCACCUGCUCACGAACAAAGUGUAUGUCGAGCUCAAUGUGCUUCGUUCGUCGAUGAUGGACCGGGUUGGCGGAGAGGUACACGGCGGAGACGUUGUCGCAGUAGACGAGUGUGGCCUUGUGAACAUCACAAAGCAACUCCUGGAGCAGCUGACGAAGCCAAGAGCAUUCGGCAAUGGCGUUAGCCACUGCCCGAUACUCUGCCUCGGCACUCGAGCGAGAGACCGUGGGCUGUCGCUUGGAAGACCAAGAGAUUAGAGACGGCCCAAGGUAGACACAGUACCCCGAAGUGGAGCACCGUGUGUCCGGGCAGCCAGCCCAAUCCGCAUCAGAGUAGGUGACAAGGUCGGUAGAGGCGGAGGCCGUCAGUGUAAGUCCCAUGGACGUAGUGCCGCGUAUGUAACGGAGGAUAUGCUUCACCAAGGUCCAGUGAGAGUCACGCGGAGCAUGCAUGUGAAGACAGACCUGCUGAACGGCAUACUGCAAGUCGGGGCGCGUCAGAGUGAGGUACUGCAAGGCACCCACAAUGGAGCGAUAGAAGGCCGCAUCGGAUGCGAGAGAGCCCUCCAGAGCUGAAACCUUGGCCUUGGUGUCAACAGGCGUGGGAGCAGGCUUGUAGUUAAGCAUGCCGGCAUGAUCGAGAAGCUCAUGGGCGUAACGCUGCUGGUGCAGAAAGAACCCAUCUGGCCGUCAAACCACCUCAAUGCCGAGGAAGUAGUGGAGGGGACCCAAGUCCUUCAGGGCAAACUCAUCGCGAAGACGAGCAGUAAGCCGCUGGAGAAGCACGACAGUGGAAGCCGUCAGGAUGAUGUCAUCGACGUAGAGCAACAAGUAGGUCGUGUCAACCCCGUGAUGGUACACGAAGAGGGACGCGUCGGAGUGGGUCGAUGUAAAUCCGAGCGUCUGCAGGAAGGCAGCGAUGCGCGCUGGUACCAGGCCCGAGGCGCCUGCUUCAACCCGUAAAGAGAACAGAAGAGCAAGCACACAUGGUCCGGAUGUGUGGCGUCGACGAAGCCGGUGGGCUGCUCACAGAACACCUGCUCGGCGAGGUGGCCGUGCAAGAAGGCGUUGGAGACGUCCAACUGAUGCACGAGCCAAGCUCGGGAGACGGGCAGCUGAAGCACGGUGCGGAUCGUGCCCGGUUUAACAACCGGAGCAAAAGUGUCGGUGAAGUCCAUGCCCGCACAUUGCCGAAAGCCUCGAACCACCCAGCAAGCUUUGUAGCGCUCGAGAGUCUCGUCGGGACGAGUCUUAUGCCGAAAGACCCACUUGCCCAUGAUGAUGUUGGCACGAGGUGGCCGAGGGACAAGCUGCCAGGUGCUGUUCCAUUGGAGCGCAUCAAACUCUUCCUGCAUCGCAGCAAGCCAAUGAGGGCCCCGAAGGGCGGCUCGAGCUGACGAUGGGAGAGGGGACGGCUCGGAGAUGGAAGAGGCGAGAAGACACUCAUCGCUGGUGUACCGCGUACUCGGGCAGAAGGUACCGGCCCGAGAGCGAGUCAUCGGGCGGGGCAGCGAGUCCGGGGCGACGGGCGAGGCCAAAGAAGAGCCCGCUGCCACUGAUGCCGCGAGUGAGACCACGGGUGAGGCCGCGGGCGAGGCCACCGGCGAGGGCGCGGGGGGCGCCGAGGAGGCCCGCGCCGAUGGUGGCGCAGGGGGCGUCGCAGGCGCCGAGAGGGGUGCAGCCCCUAAGGAAACCGGCCACGGAGGAACUUGACCCGGGGCACGGGGGGCACCCUCAAAGCCAGGAGGCGGCCCGAGAGAAGCACCCGAGCGGCCGUCACUAGGAGCGGGCAAGGCCGCAACAUCCGAAGGUACCUGCUGAAACGGAAAAACCAUCUCAUCAAAGUAAACAUGUCGGGAAGUGAUGACCCGAUGUGAGAUAGGAUCAUAGCAGCGGUAGCCUUUGGUGUUGGGGGGAUAGCCAAGAAAAAUACAGGCCACAGACCAUGGUGCAAGCUUAUGAGAAGUAGUGGAAGCGAUGCUAAGGUAGCACAAGCAAUCGAAAAUGCGAAGCUCGAUGUAGGAAGGUGGCGUGCCGAACAAAAGAUGAUGAGGAGCAAAAUUCCCGCGAGUGCGACAGGGAUGGUGCGGUGGCGAGCGCGUCAGGCUAGAAACGUGGUGGCACGUUGGCGUGAAAGAGGAGGGUGCGAACACAGUCAUUAAGAGUGCGAAGCAUGCGCUCAGCGCGGCCAUUUUGUUGCGAAGUGUACGGGCAAGUGAGACGAAAAAUUGUGCCGUGUGUGGCGAGAAGGUUGCGGAUUGCAAGAUUAUCAAACUCCUUCACGUUGUCUGUUUGCAACACAUGAAUGGGGCGACCAAACUGCAUGGAGACAUAGGAGUAGAAUACGGUGAGAGUGGCAAUAGAAUCCGACUUUCGCCGCAACGGGAAGGUCCACACAUAGUGCGAAAAAUCAUCAAGGAUAACAAGAUAAUAGAGAUAGCCCGUGUUACUUGCAACAGGAAAGGUCCAAACAUCACUAUGAAUUAACUCAAAUGGGUAUGAAGCAACAUGCGAGGAAGUGCUAAAGGGUAAAUGAGUAUGUUUGCCUAGACGACAAGCAUGAAAAGUGUGAUUGUCGAUCUUAUUACACGUGAAUGAAAAACUGCGAAGAAUAUGACGAAGGGUGGCAGGGUUGGGAUGACCGAGACGAGCAUGCCAAAGGUCCAAUCCAGCGGAAAGCUCCAUGGGUGCAGCGAUGGAGGAUGUGGAGGAGUGGAUCGGGUAGAGAUCGUCGGGGCUGUCACAUCGGUGGAGCACCAUCCGGGUACGGGCAUCCUUAACAGAAAAGCCAAACAUGUCAAAUUCAACAGUGACAAGAUUUUCACGUGUAAGAGAACGAACAGAAACAAGAUUUUGACACUACUAGGGAAAACCUUAUACACAGAAUCUUAGCAGCAGCACGGCUUAAAAACAAACGCUACUGCUAAUUAGCAGUAGCGAGCUUCAGAAAAGAGCGCUACUAAUGACUAAGUAGCAGUAGCGCCCUAGGUGAAAGAGCGCUACUACUAUAAUUGCCACGGUGUUUCCCCCAGGCUAGAUAUAGUAGUAGCGCCCUUCCCAUGGAUGCGCUACUGCUAAAGAACUUAGUAGCAGCGGUUUUCUUCAAAACACGCUACUGCUAAGUAUCACCGCAACUAAUUAAGUUUAGUCCCAUACUGCUAAGCGAACAAGGUGUUUACCACCUUAAAUAUGCUACUUCUCAACCUAUCUCGAGCACUUGGUCUUCAUUGAACUAUAUGUGUAUGAUUUGUGGUUGCAAUAUGAAUCCUCGCCUGUACCUAUACAGGUACAGUGAGGAUUCAUGUUGACUAUUUAGAUUAUACACAAAAAGAUCAAUGAUGACCAAUGUAUAUUUUUGAUAUAACUGCUUCCAUUAGCAGUAGCGGUUUUCACUGAAGCGCGCUAUAGAUAAGUUAGCUAUAACGCGUUUUCCAUAUGAGUGCUACUGCUAGUUCGAGUUAACUACCCCCCAGCUCAAAAUUUCGCUAAGUCCUCCUCCCCCCCGGCCUGUUCCCCUACUCCUGUCGCCGCCGCCCGAGCCCGAGCGCGCCUUCCCUCACUGCCGCCGCCCGAGCCCGCCCUCAACCUCACCGCCGCCNNNNNNNNNNNNNNNNNNNNNNNNNNNNNNNNNNNNNNNNNNNNNNNNNNNNNNNNNNNNNNNNNNNNNNNNNNNNNNNNNNNNNNNNNNNNNNNNNNNNNNNNNNNNNNNNNNNNNNNNNNNNNNNNNNNNNNNNNNNNNNNNNNNNNNNNNNNNNNNNNNNNNNNNNNNNNNNNNNNNNNNNNNNNNNNNNNNNNNNNNNNNNNNNNNNNNNNNNNNNNNNNNNNNNNNNNNNNNNNNNNNNNNNNNNNNNNNNNNNNNNNNNNNNNNNNNNNNNNNNNNNNNNNNNNNNNNNNNNNNNNNNNNNNNNNNNNNNNNNNNNNNNNNNNNNNNNNNNNNNNNNNNNNNNNNNNNNNNNNNNNNNNNNNNNNNNNNNNNNNNNNNNNNNNNNNNNNNNNNNNNNNNNNNNNNNNNNNNNNNNNNNNNNNNNNNNNNNNNNNNNNNNNNNNNNNNNNNNNNNNNNNNNNNNNNNNAAUUAGCAGUAGUAGAUGUUAAUUAGUAGUAGAUGUAGUAGUUAGAUCUUAAUUAGUAGUAGUAGAUGUACUAGUUUCUUUCUAUUUAUAGUAAGUUUAUAUUUAGUAAGAAUGAGUUGAAUUAAUAGAACUAGUUUAGUUUUAGUUGAACUAGUAUAGUAAGUAAAUUAAUAACUAGUUGAACUACUUUAUUUUUAGAAAGAACUAGUUUUUUGUUUUUAUACUAAGUUUAUAUUUAGUAAGAACUAGUUGAAUAAAUAGAACUAGUUGAACAUGUCAUAUUUGUUGUUAUUUUUUAGUUUAAGCAAUUAUUUCAUGUUUUGGUUACACCUCCGAGUGGCCUAUGUUUUGCCGGAGUGUUGAUUAAUUUCCGUUCCGGAAAAUUUCAGGCGCUCGAUAUGUCCUUUUUUUAGCAAAGGUCAUGCCGGAUUUUUCCGUGAAUUCUAGCAUGACUUGUGCUAGAAUAUGUACAAGUUUAAUCUUUGAAUUAUGAACGUAGGAAAUGUCGUACUCGGACGACGACAGUCUCCCAGGGGAGUGCAGCUGGUGCCACGAUGAUCGAGGUAUGUGCUACAAGUUCGUUGAGCUGGAUGAAGAUCGACGCUUGAGCAUUAAGCUUGAGGAGACGUUCGAUGUUGAAACGGUACGCAACAACGACAACUGUUUUUUUCGUAAUUAAGCAUGACUUCAACUAUUUCAACGUCUAAUUUUCAUCUUUUACAAUUCGACUAGCUUAUCCCAUGCCAUGCAAGACGCUAUGUCUUGGAGAGGAUGGGUUUUGAAGACCAGGAAAAUUAUGAAACAAAGAAAAUACACCUAAGGACCCAUCAUGAUAUCGAUUUUGAAGUAAAUUUGUACAAUUCUCAGAGUGUAACCCAUUUUGGUUGCCAAAACUGGGAAGCACUUUGCAAAAUGUAUGGUUUUUAUGAGGGUAUGAUUGUCACCAUGGAUCUUGGUAAUCCUGACAUCGAGCAAGACAAUAUGGACAUUUGGGUCCUUGUUGAUACGCUUCCGAUUCUACCGCAAUGUGAGUUUCUCAAACAUAGUUAUUAACUAACUUAUAUUGUUUAUUUCAAAAUAGUUGACAGCUUAUUUCCAUUGACAGCUUAUUUUGAAUCUUCAAAGAAUGUGCAAAAGAUGGUAGACAAAACCCACUACACUGAUGGCUCCGAAUUAACUUAUAAGGAGAAAAGUCAUCUGAUUGCUUAUUGUACUUUUCUUGAGAAUUACAAUACCUAUUAUCAAACUCCUCCAAAUUAUGGUGAAUACGUGCCACUAGUGCACGUGUUGAACCACGUUAACUUCUAUGGAGAUACCCUGGUAAGAUUUUUUACUAUUACGACAUCCAUGCAUCUUUUGCAUACUUCUAAAACUAGUACAUCAUUGCUAACUACGAAGUUAUUACUAUGUUUUUCAACAGGAAAUCCCGAUGGAUUGUGUGCCUCAUCUGAUGUAUCAGAACGGUCGCCUUGCAGUUAUGAACAUACAGCCAGGUGAAUCUAAGGAGCUCACCUGUGCAUAUCGGAUUUCUAAAAGCGGUGAACACAUGCUAAUCAAAGAAUGGAAAAAAUGUUUGGACAUUCGCAAGGAGGUUCUUGGAAGUAACAUUAAGCGAAAGGCAAGAAUUGGAGACAGGAUAAUCUCCAUUCUCCAUAAUGGAGAGUCAGGGGCUAUCUUGUUUUUUUCUAUUUUACCUUAGAGAAUAUAGUAGGUCCUAAGAGAAUGUAGUAGGUCCUAUCAGGUACAAUAUGUUUUUAUGUGAUACAAUGUGUUAGAGUUGAUGAUGUGAGGAGUACUUGUGAUUACGACUAGUGACCAAUGAUAUGAUGAUGAUGACGACAAGUUGUUAAUGAUAUGACGAUGAUGAUAUUUAUUAUAUCAUUGGGUGAAAGAACCGCGGAUUAGUUUCAAGUGGAUGUCCAUCCAAUUGAAACUAGUCCACACGGUUCUUUCACCCUAUGAUGUAAUAACUCAUUAUGAUGUAAAAACAAUUUCGAAAUUCCUGUUGUAUGAAAACUUGUGUAAAGGUGUAUGAAUACAACAUGAAAUUAAAAAGAAAUAAAAUAUGAAAUAAUAGUAGCAGUGCGGGCAGGGAGAAGCGCUACUACUAAUUACCAGUAGCGCUCCUCCGGGAACUCGCUACUACUAAGUCCAUUUAGCAGUAGCGUGGGAGGAGGCACGCUACUGCUACACGUUAGCUGUAGCGCCUUAUCACUAGCGCAUAACCCCGCGCUACUGAUAGGUCUAAAACCCGCGCUACUGCUAGGCUUUUCCCUAGUAGUGUUAAUGAUGUCAGGUGAAACGAGUACGUUAGAAAGAUGUAAUGGAACGGAGUUAGAAGGAAAAGCAGCAUGGCCGACAUGAGUGAUGGGCAUGGAAGAACCGUUGCCCACGGUAAUACGAGCAGCAGUGUGAACAGGGUGAGCGGUAAGAAGGUUACCGGGGUUGGCGGCCAUGUGAGCCGUGGCUCCGGUGUCCAUGUACCAGUCACCAUCGCCGGUGUACUGCUCUGGCAUGGGGGCGGUGUGGAGGGCCGCUAGCAGCGCAGGGUACCAUGGUGCCGGCGGGAGGGCCGGGGCCGACAGCAGAGGCUGUGGCAGCGGCGCCACGAGCCCACCGGCCGGAGGCAGCCCAUAGGCCGCCGAGGGGCCGUAGAGCGGCGCCGGCAGAUACGUUUGAGGGGCCAUGUACAGAGCCUAAUGAGGGGCCGGGCGGGCGCCAAAAACACCGGGGACGGGGGCGCGUGGUAUGGGCAUGGAGUAUGCGUGAACAACCCCCGUCCAGGGGUUCUGGCCGGCCUGCUAGGGCGCCGGCGGGAGCGGGUGCUGCCGCUGGCGUGGCGCCUCGCCAUUGGUAGCCGGCGGCUUCUGCUGCUGCUUGCGGCCACCUUGGCCAUGACGCCCGCCCCGGCGCUNNNNNNNNNNNNNNNNNNNNNNNNNNNNNNNNNNNNNNNNNNNNNNNNNNNNNNNNNNNNNNNNNNNNNNNNNNNNNNNNNNNNNNNNNNNNNNNNNNNNNNNNNNNNNNNNNNNNNNNNNNNNNNNNNNNNNNNNNNNNNNNNNNNNNNNNNNNNNNNNNNNNNNNNNNNNNNNNNNNNNNNNNNNNNNNNNNNNNNNNNNNNNNNNNNNNNNNNNNNNNNNNNNNNNNNNNNNNNNNNNNNNNNNNNNNNNNNNNNNNNNNNNNNNNNNNNNNNNNNNNNNNNNNNNNNNNNNNNNNNNNNNNNNNNNNNNNNNNNNNNNNNNNNNNNNNNNNGGGGCGGAGGGGCCUGCGGCGGCACGGGAUAUGGGAACCCGGGCGGCGGCUGCACGUGGAGGGGCCCCUAGGUGGGCCGCGGCGGGGGAGCCGGAGCGGUGGGCGGCGCACCGCCGCGGGUUCCGGCGGUGAGAGCCGUAUGGGUGGCCCGGGCGCGCGACAUCCGCAUCCUCUUCUCCUCCAGCUUCAGGUACGCGACGAUCUUGGGGAAGGUCGGGUUGGUGAUGAGAGGGAUGUUGGAGGUCGCGUUCCUGAAGUCUUUGUUCAGGCCGACAAUGAGAGUGCUGAGGAAGAGCUCGUCGGAGACCUUCUUGUUAGAGUUUGAAUACUAUACGUGUAAUUUCAACUAUCUCUCUCAUAUCCUUCUCUACCUCUCUCUCCCUUACCGACUCCAACUCUGUAUCGAGAGGUGAAUCCUUGCGAUCGCCCUGACUUGUAAUCUACGACAAAACAUCAAUAUAUAGCGAGGCAACUAUCCUUCUGGAGGGUAGGAAAGCCUAUACCAAAUCAAUCUUACAUGGUAUACAGAGCAGCCUCUUCCCUAUCUCUAGCAGAAACAAAAAACCAGAACCCUAACGCUUCUCCAUCGCCGUCGCCAUGAGCUCCAGUGCCGUAGGCCUCAACCUCGGCGCUCCACCAACAGAGAAGCUCGCAAGGGGGAACUACCUCCUAUGGAAGGCGCAAAUUAUGCCGGCACUGCGAGGCGCGCAAGUGACCGACCUCCUCGACGGCAGCGAUGCCGCACCGCCGAAAACAGUGGAGAUCACCAAGGCGGACAAGUCCACGGCCAUGGAGCCAAAUCCUCUGUACAGUCCGUGGAUUGCAAAGGAUCAGCAGGUCCUAAGUUAUCUGCUAAACUCUCUCACCCGGAGAUUCUUGCGCAGGUCAUCGGUAAGGAGAAUACCUUUGAUCUUUGGACAACUCUUACCACGUUGUUUGUUGCGCAGUCACAAUCCAGAAUAACAAAUCUAAGGAUUGCUAUCUCCAACACCAAGAAGGGCAACAUGUCCAACAAUGCCUUCAUCGCCAAGAUGAAGAGCCUUGGAGACGAACUUGCAGCAGCAGGUCAUCCAGUAUUAGAUUGCGAGAUGGUGGACUACAUCCUCGCCGGACUCGAUCGGGACUACGAUCCCAUCGUUGCAGCAGUUGGCGCAAUCAAGAACUCCAUCACCGUUGACGAUCUUUUUCACAGAUUUCCGCGUUUGACCAGAGGAUGGAGAUGUUGGAUGAUGGACCUACGGGUUUUUGCUCAUCUGCCAAUGCUAUGUACAGAGGGCGUGGCCAGUACCGCAACAGACGAGGUCGCGGACGAGGGAACAGAGGCCGCGGUCGCUUUGAUCGCGCUUCUUCCUCUCCUGGUCGCACCAGUGGAAGCGGUGGCCAGCAGCAACGUCAACGCCAGCAACCACCACCACAGCAGCAGCAGCACGAGGGAGACUACCCUGAGUGCCAGAUAUGCUAUAAGUUCCAUGCCGGCGGUGCUAGGGAUUGCUAGCACCGGUAUGACGAGGAUCGUUAGGAGAAGAAAAAGGCCAAUCUCAUCACCAACUCCUAUGGAAUCGACACAAAUUGGUAUGCAGACUCUGGCGCCACCGAGCACAUCACGGGGGAGCUUGACAAAUUGACAAUGCGAGAAAGGUACCGCGGUGGUGACCAAGUGCACACGGCAAGUGGAACAGGUAUGGAUAUUGCUCAUAUUGGUAACUCAAUUGUUAAAGCCCCCGAGAAAAAUUUGCAUCUAAAUCAUGUUCUACAUGUUCCUAAUGCAUCAAAAAAUCUUGUUUCAGUUCAUCGUUUCACUCUUGACAACAAUGUUCUCAUAAUAUUCUAUCCUUACUCUUUUGUUAUCAAGGACUUGGCAACGAGGAGAGUAAUAUUUAGAGGAAGAUGCGAGGGAGGUCUUUAUCCAAUCGUAUCAUCAUCCCCUUCAUCAUGGUCAAAUAAACAAGCUUGGAGUGUAACCAAACCAUCUUCGGCAAAGUGGCAUAGUCAUUUAGGUCAUCUGUCUUCAACUAUUGUUCAGCAUGUACUUAGUAGAAAUAAACUUCCUUAUGAGUCUAGUGUUGGGUCAGUUUGUGAUGCGUGUCAACAAGCUAAAAGUCAUCAAUUGCCAUAUCCCAUCUCUACCAGUGUAUCCACUGCUCCUUUGCAACUUAUUUUUUCAGAUGUGCGGGGGCCAGCCCCUACUUCAGUUGGUAGAUUUUCAUACUAUGUAAGCUUCAUUGAUGAUUAUAGUAAGUUUACUUGGAUAUACUUGUUAAAGAAACGGUCCGAUGUUUUCCAAGUCUUUGGAAAUUUCCAAAAUCUUGUUGAACGCCAACUAAACUCCAAAAUUCUUGUUAUGCAAACUGACUGGGGAGGUGAGUAUGAGAAACUUAAUUCCUUUUCUCAAAAGAUUGGAAUUUCUCAUCAUGUCUCAUGUCCGCAUGCUCACCAACAGAACGGUUCUGCUGAACGAAAACACCGUCAUGUUGUUGAAGUAGGACUAUCAUUGUUAGCCAAUGCAUCCAUGCCUCUCAAAUGCUGGGACGAAGCUUUUCUUACUGCCACUUAUCUUAUCAACAUUCGUCUUAGCAAAGUCAUCAAAUUUGAGAAUCCUAUAACACGACUCUUUGGUGUCACUCCAGAUUACACAUCUCUCCGUAUAUUCGGUUGUGCAUGUUGGCCAAAUCUUAGACCAUACAAUACACGCAAACCUGCAUUUCGCUCGAAAAGGUGUGUCUUCAUUGGUUAUAGUCCUAUGCACAAAGGAGUUAAAUGCCUUGAUGUUUCCACCGGCAGGGUCUAUAUAUCUAGAGAUGUUAUCUUCGACGAAUCAGUCUUCCCAUUCGAGUCCCUUCAUCCAAAUGCCGGAGCCCUCCUUCGAAAAGAGAUUCUUCUUCUUCCAGAUUUUGAUCAAGGGGGUGAUAACAAUUAUGCUAACCAAUCUGACAAUGUUCAAUCUGACAAUGUUCUUGCUCCUUGUAUUAUGCCUGUGCAGGUACCCGGAGAAAACAGCAGAGAAAAUGAUCAAAAUCAUGAAAAUUUGGCUCAAAACGAUCUAUUAUUUCAUGCCAAUGGAGAAGAAGGAGCCGGCGCGGAACCCGAGGAAGAUCUAUCUGCGCCUGCGCCUGCCACACCAGCGCGUCAGCCGACCUUGGAUCAUGCGCGUGGAUCCGCUUUGGGUUGCACACCGGUGCACCAGCCCGGUCGGGCGAAUCAGGCCAUAUCGGGCCGAGCGACGAGCCCCUCUAUGAGCGCGGGCCACUCCAUGAGUACCACGUCGUCACGCAGAAGCGGUAGUGCGCGGACCACGCGACAGUUGACAGCGACAGCGGCUUCAGGAUCUUCUGCGGAAAGCCUUGAUUCAGAUUCAGCCACACCGCUGUCCUCAGGAUCAUCUGCAUCGGCAUCUGCAGGUUUGGAAGGAUUGUGUGGAUCCUCUGCGGUUGAUCAUAUUGAGCAGUCUUCUGUGCAACUACAGCCACAACCACUCACCACUUCAAGGAUUAUGACUCGAUUACAAAAAGGUAUUAGAAAUCCCAAAGUAAGAACAGAUGGUACUAUCUCGUAUGGCAUGCUGUGUAUUUCAGGUGAACCAACAAAGUUGAGUGAUGCACUUGAAGAUCCUAAGUGGAAAAGGGCCAUGGAUGAAGAAUAUGGUGCACUUAUGAGGAAUAAAACAUGGCACUUGGUACCAAGUCAAAGAGGUAAAAAUGUUAUUGAUUGCAAAUGGGUUUACAGAAUCAAAAGAAAAGCAGAUGGCUCCAUUGAUAGGUACAAGGCACGUCUGGUUGCAAAAGGUUUCAAGCAACGUUAUGGUAUUGAUUAUGAGGACAUCUUUAGUCCUGUUGUGAAGGCUGCUACCAUUAGACUUGUGCUAGCUAUUACUGUUUCCAGAGGAUGGAGCCUUAGACAGCUAGAUGUUCAGAAUGCGUUUUGCAUGGUGUUCUGGAAGAGGAGGUCUAUAUGAGGUAACCACCAGGGUAUGAAAAUAAACAAACACCUCACUAUAUUUGCAAACUUGAUAAAGUGCUUUAUGGUCUGAAACAGUCUCCUAGAGCAUGGUUCUCAAGGCUAAGCUCACAAUUGAAGCAUCUUGGUUUUGUUGCAUCCAAGGCUGAUACAUCUCUCUUCAUCUAUAAUAAGGCAAAUACUGUCAUGUUUGUGCUCAUUUAUGUUGAUGACAUCAUAGUUGCAAGCUCCUCAUCAAAUGCCACUGAUGCUCUCUUGCAUGAUUUAAGUUCAGAAUUUGCCUUGAAGGACCUUGGUGAUUUACACUUCUUCCUUGGUAUUGAAGUUAAGAAGAUUCAAGAUGGCAUAGUGUUGAGUCAGGAAAAAUAUGCCACUGAACUUUUAACUCGUAUGGGAAUGAAGGACUGCAAGCCUUCGCCCACACCUUUGUCUUCUUCAGAACAACUUUUAGCACGUGAAGGGGAACCACUUAAGGAAGAGGAGAGCACAAAAUAUAGGAGUAUUGUUGGAGCUCUACAGUACUUAACUUUGACACGGCCAGACAUAUCAUUUGCUGUGGACAAGGUUUGUCAAUAUCUGCAUGCUCCUACUUCCACCCAUUGGACGGCUGUCAAAAGGAUUGUGCGAUACAUUAAGCAUACUUUGAGUUUGGGACUAUAAUUCAAACGUUCUAAUUCUUCACUAGUUAGUGCUUUUUCUGACGCCGACUGGGCAGGAUGUAGUGAUGACAUAAAAUCAACCGGAGGAUUUGCAGUAUUUUUUGGUUCAAACCUUAUUUCUUGGAGUGCUAGGAAACAAGCUACAGUGUCAAGAUCAAGUACAGAAGCUGAGUACAAGUCAUUGGCCAAUGCUACUGCUGAGAUCAUUUGGAUGGAAUCAUUACUUGAUGAGUUGGGAAUCAAGCAACGUCGUGUUCCAUGUUUGUGGUGUGACAAUUUGGGGGCCACCUAUCUCUCAGCUAAUCCAGUUUUCCAUGGCAGAACUAAACACAUUGAAAUUGAUUUUCAUUUAGUGCGAGAAAGAGUGGCGGAGAAGAAGUUGGACAUAAGGUUCAUUCCAUCCAAAGAUCAAGUAGCCGAUGGGUUCACUAAAGCUUUAUCAGUUAAGAUUUUUGAAGAGUUCAAAAGAAACCUCAACAUAGGAUAGUUUAGAUUAAGGGAGGGUGUUAGAGUUUGAAUACUAUACGUGUAAUCUCAACUAUCUCUCUCGUAUCCUUCUCUACCUCUCUCUCCCUUACCGACUCCAACUCUGUAUCGAGAGGUGAAUCCUUGCGAUCGCCCUGACUUGUAAUCUACGACAAAACAUCAAUAUAUAGCGAGGCAACUCUCCUUCUGGAGGUUAGGAACGCCUAUACCAAAUCAAUCUUACACUUCUCGCCGAGGUCACAGAGCUCGUCGACAAGCUUCUUGAGGCGUAUGCAAUAAUCGUCGACCGACGAGUCAAGCUGCUGGCACCCAAAAAACUCGCCGUGCAAGAAAACCUUGCGUUGGAGCGCGUUGUCGGUGAAGAGGCCGUUGAGCUUAGUCCAAAUGGCGUGAGUGAAGGAAAUAUGCCCUAGAGGCAAUAAUAAAGUUAUUAUUUAUUUCCUUAUAUCAUGAUAAAUGUUUAUUAUUCAUGCUAGAAUUUUAUUAACCGGAAACAUAAUACAUGUGUGAAUACAUAGACAAACUUAGUGUCACUAGUAUGCCUCUACUUGACUAGCUCAUUAAUCAAAGAUGGUUAUGUUUCCUAACCAUGAACAAGGUGUUGUUAUUUGAUUAACGAGGUCACAUCAUUAGUUGAAUGAUCUGAUUGACAUGACCCAUUUCAUUAGCUUAGCACCCAAUCGUUUAGUAUGUUGCUAUUGCUUUCUUCAUUGCUUAUACAUGUUCCUAUGACUAUGAGAUUAUGCAACUCCCGUUUACCGGAGGAACACUUUGUGUGCUACCAAAUCACAAUGUAACUGUGUGAUUAUAAAGGAGCUCUACAGGUGUCUCCAAAGGUACAUGUUGGGUUGGCAUAUUUCGAGAUUAGGAUUUGUCACUCCGAUUGUCGGAGAGGUAUCUCUGGGCCCUCUCGGUAAUGCACAUCACAUAAGCCUUGCAAGCAUUGCAACUGAUGAGUUAGUUGCGAGAUGAUGUAUUACGGAACGAGUAAAGAGACUUGCCGGUAACGAGAUUGAACUAGGUAUUGGAUACCGACGAUCGAAUCUCGGGCAAGUAACAUACCGAUGACAAAGGGAACAACGUAUGUUGUUAUGCGGUCUGACCGAUAAAGAUCUUCGUAGAAUAUGUAGGAGCCAAUAUGGGCAUCCAGGUCCCGCUAUUGGUUAUUGACCGGAGACGUGUCUCGGUCAUGUCUACAUUGUUCUCGAAUCAUAGGGUCCGCACGCUUAACGUUACGAUGACAGUUAUUAUGAGUUUGUGCAUUUUGAUGUACCGAAGUUAGUUCGGAGUCCCAGAUCUGAUCACGGACAUGACGAGGAGUCUCGAAAUGGUCGAUACAUAAAGAUUGAUAUAUUGGAAGCCUAUGUUUGGAUAUCGGAAGUGUUCCGGGUGAAAUCGAGAUUUUACCGGAGUACCGGGAGGUUACCAGAACCCCCCGGGAGCUAUAUGGGCCUUAGUGGGCUUUAGUGGAAAGGAGAAAGGGGCAGCCCAAGGUGGGCCGUGCGCCUCCCCCCUCCCCUGGUCCUAUUAGGACAAGGAGAGGUGGCCGGCCACCCUCUCUCUCUUUCCCCCUCGGGGAAUCCUAUUCCAACUAGGAUUGGGGGGGGGGGAGUCCUACUCCCGGUAGGAGUAGGACUCCUCCUGCGCCCUCCUCCUGGCCGGCCACCCCCUCCCCCUUGGAUCCUUUAUAUACGGGGGCAGGGGGGCACCUCUAGACACACAAGUUGAUCCUUGAGAUCGUUCCUUAGCCGUGUGCGGUGCCCCCUGCCACCAUAUUCCACCUCGAUCAUAUUGUAACGGUGCUUAGGCGAAGCCCUGCGAUAGUAGAACAUCAAGAUCGUUACCAUGCCGUCGUCCUGACGGAACUCCUCCCCGACGCUUUGCUGGAUCGGAGCCCGGGGAUCGUCAUCGAGCUGUACGUGUGCUAAGAACUCGGAGGUGACGGAGUAACGGUGCUUGGAUCGGUCAGAUCGGGAGGACGUACGACUACUUCCUCUAUGUUGCGUCAACGCUUCGGCAGUCAGUCUGUGUGGGUACGUAGACAACACUCUCCCCUCUUGUUGCUAUGCAUCACCAUGAUCUUGCGUGUGCGUAGGAAUUUUUUUGAAAUUACUGCGUUCCCCAACAGUGGCAUCCGAGCCUAGGUUUUAUGGUUUGAUGUUAUAUGCACGAGUAGAACACAAGUGAGUUGUGGGCGAUAUAAGUCAUACUGCCUACCAGCAUGUCAUACUUUGGUUCGGCGGUAUUGUUGGAUGAGACGACGCAGACCGACAUUACGCGUACGCUUACGCGAGACCGGUUCUCCCGACGUGCUUUGCACAUAGGUGGCUUGCGGGCGACAGUCUCUCCAACUUUAGUUGAACCAAGUGUGGCUACACCCGGUCCUUGCGAAGGUUAAAACGGAGUCUAUUUGACAAACUAUCGUUGUGGUUUUGAUGCGUAGGUGAGAUUGGUUCUUGCUUAAGCCUGUAGCAGCCACGUAAAACUUGCAACAACAAAGUAGAGGACGUCUAACUUGUUUUUGCAGGGCAUGUUGUGAUGUGAUAUGGUCAAGGCAUGAUGCUGAAUUUUAUUGUAUGAGAUGAUCAUGUUUUGUAACCGAGUUAUCGGCAACUGGCAGGAGCCAUAUGGUUGUCGCUUUAUUGUAUGCAAUGCAAUCGCGAUGUAAUGCUUUACUUUAUCACUAAGCGGUAGCGAUAGUCGUGGAAGCAUAAGAUUGGCGAGACGACAACGAUGCUACGAUGGAGAUCAAGGUGUCGCGCCGGUGACGAUGGUGAUCAUGACGGUGCUUCGGAGAUGGAGAUCACAAGCACAAGAUGAUGAUGGCCAUAUCAUAUCACUUAUAUUGAUUGCAUGUGAUGUUUAUCUUUUUAUGCAUCUUAUCCUGCUUUGAUUGACGGUAGCAUUAUAAGAUGAUCCCUCACUAAAUUAUCAAGAAGUGUUCUCCUUGAGUACGCACCGUUGCCAAAGUUCGUCGUGCCCAGACACCACGUGAUGAUCGGGUGUGAUAAGCUCUACGUCCAUCUACAACGGGUGCAAGCCAGUUUUGCACACGCAGAAUACUCAGGUUAAACUUGACGAGCCUAGCAUAUGCAGAUAUGGCCUCGGAACACAGAGACCGAAAGGUCGAGCGUGAAUCAUAUAGUAGAUAUGAUCAACAUAACGAUGUUCACCAUUGAAAACUACUCCAUCUCACGUGAUGAUCGGUUAUGGUUUAGUUGAUUUGGAUCACGUGAUCACUUAGAGGAUUAGAGGGAUGUCUAUCUAAGUGGGAGUUCUUAAGUAAUUUGAUUAAAUGAACUUAAACUUAUCAUGAACUUAGUACCUGAUAGUAUCUUGCUUGUUUAUGUUGAUUGUAGAUAGAUGGCUCGUGCUGUUGUUCCGUUGUAUUUUAAUGCGUUCCUUGAGAAAGCAAAGUUGAAAGAUGAUGGUAGCAAUUACACGGACUGGGUCCGUAACUUGAGGAUUAUCCUCAUUGCUGCACAGAAGAAUUAAGUCCUGGAAGCACCGCUGGGUGCCAGGCCUGCUGCUGGAGCAACACCAGAUGUUAUGAACGUCUGGGAGAGCAAAGCUGAUGACUACUCGAUAGUUCAGUGUGCCAUGCUGUGACGCCCCCGAUUCAAUCGUACACUAAUCAUGCACACAAAUGUGUACGAUCAAGAUCAGGGACUCACGGGAAGAUAUCACAACACAACUCUACAAAUAAAAAUAAGUCAUACAAGCAUCAUUCUACAAGCCAGGGGCCUCGAGGGCUCGAAUACAAGUGCUCUAGCAUAGACGAGUCAGCGGAAGCAACAAUAUCUGAGUACAGACAUAAGUUAAACAAGUUUGCCUUAAGAAGGCUAGCACAAAAUGGGAUACAGAUCGAAAGAGGCGCAUGCCUCCUGCCUGGGAUCCUCCUAACUACUCCUGGUCGUCGUCAGCGGGCUGCACGUAGUAGUAGGCACCUCCGGUGUAGUAGGAAUCAUCGUCGACGAUGGCGUCUGGCUCCAGGGCUCCAGCAUCUGGUUGCGACAACCAGGUAGAAGGGAAAGGGGAAAAGAGGGAGAAAAGCAACCGUGAAUACUCAUCCAAAGUACUCGCAAGCAAGGAGCUACACUACAUAUGCAUGGGUAUAUGUGUAAAGGGCCAUAUCGGUGGACUGAACUGCAGAAUGCCAGAAUAAGAGGGGGAUAGCUAAUCCUGUCGAAGACUAUGCUUCUGGCAGCCUCCGUCUUGCAGCAUGUAGAAGAGAGUAGAUUGAAGUCCUCCAAGUAGCAUCUCCAAGUAGCAUCUCCAAGUAGCAUCUCCAAGUAGCAUCUCCAAUAGCAUCGCAUAGCAUAACCCUACCCGGCGAUCCUCCCCUCGUCGCCCUGUGGAAAAGCGAUCACCGGGUUUUCUGUGGAACUUGGAAGGGUGUGUUUUAUUAAGUAUCCGGUUCUAGUUGUCAUAAGGUCAAGGUACAAUUCCAAGUCGUCCUGUUACUAAAGAUCACGGCUAUUCGAAUAGAUUAACUUCCCUGCAGGGGUGCACCAACUUACCCAACACGCUUGAUCCCAUUUGGCCGGACACACUUUCCUGGGUCAUGCCCGGCCGCGGAAGAUCAACACGUCGCAGCCCCACCUAGGCUCAACAGAGAGGCCAGCACGCCGAUCUAAACCUAAGCGCACAGGGGUCUGGGCCCAUCGCCCAUAGCACACCUGCACGUUGCGUACGCGGCCGAAAGCAGACCUAGCCUAGUGGCAUUCCAGUCCAAUUCGGCGCGCACCGCUCCGUCGCUGACGUCUGAAGUGCUUCGGCUGAUACCACGACGUCGGGAUACCCAUAACUACUCCCGCGUAGAUGGUUAGUGCGUAUAGGCUCGUAGCCAACUCAGAUCAAAUACCAAGAUCUCGUUAAGCGUGUUAAAUAUCCGCGAACGCCGAACAGGGCCAGGCCCACCUGUCUCCUAGGUGGUCUCAAUCUGCCCUAUCGCUCCGCCACCAAGUAACAGUCGGGGGCCGUCGGGAACCCAGGCCCACCUCUACCGGGAUGGAGCCACCUGCCCCUUCAGCCCCCAACUCCGAACAGUAUCACAGGUAAUGUAACAGUGUAAAGUAUAUAGUAUAUGCCCGUGAUCACCUCCCGAAGUGAUCACAGCCCAGUAGUAUAGCAUGGCAGACGGACAAGAGUGUAGGGCCACUGAUGGAACACUAGCAUCCUAUACUAAGCAUUUAGGAUUGCGGGUAAGGUAUCAAUGACUGUAGCAGCAAGGACAGGCUAUGCAUCAGAAUAGGAUUAACGGAAAGCAGUAACAUGCUACACUACUCUAAUGCAAGCAGUAUAGAGAAGAGUAGGCGAUAUCUGGUGAUCAAAGGGGGGGCUUGCCUGGUUGCUCUGGCAAGAGAGAGGGGUCGUCAACUCCGUAGUCGAGCUGGGCAGCAGCAGCGUCGGUCUCGUAGUCUACCGGAGAGAAGAGGGGGAAGAAACAAUGAAUACCAAGUAAACAGAUGCAUAUCGAUGCAUGACAUGCCAAGAAGCGAUGCUAGGCGUGCCCUAACGUGGUAUGAGGUGGUACUGGUUAAGGGGGGAAUCAUCCGGGAAAGUAUUCCCGGUGUUUCGUGUUUUCGGGCAGAGGAGCCGGAGGGGGAAAGUUGCGGGUUCGAUAGGUUAGGGGGGUGUGGCGGACGAACGGACUGCGUAUCCGAAUUCGUCCCGUCGUUCUGAGCAACUUUCAUGUUGAAAAUAUUUUAAUCCGAGUUACGGAUUAAAAGAUAUGAUUUUUUAAAGAUUUUAUUAAUUUCUGAAAUUUAAUCAAUUAAUUAUUUAAUUCGAAAAAUGGAAUUAUGACGUCAGCAGUCAACAGGGUUGACUAGGUCAACCCGGACAUGUGGGUCCCGUUUGUCAUACUCUGUUAACUAAUUAUCUUAGUUAAGUUUAAUUAAUAGUAGUUAAUUAUGUUAAUUAGUCAUUAGGUUUAAUUAAUCAGGAUUAAUUAAAUUAAUUAUUUACUUAAUUAAUUAAUUAAUUUUAUUCAUUAUUAUUUUUAUUAAUUAUAUUUAUCUAAAUUCUUUUUCCCUUUUCUUUUAUUUUAAAAACGUCCUGGGGGUGGGGCCCCCAUGUCAUAGGCAGGNNNNNNNNNNNNNNNNNNNNNNNNNNNNNNNNNNNNNNNNNNNNNNNNNNNNNNNNNNNNNNNNNNNNNNNNNNNNNNNNNNNNNNNNNNNNNNNNNNNNNNNNNNNNNNNNNNNNNNNNNNNNNNNNNNNNNNNNNNNNNNNNNNNNNNNNNNNNNNNNNNNNNNNNNNNNNNNNNNNNNNNNNNNNNNNNNNNNNNNNNNNNNNNNNNNNNNNNNNNNNNNNNNNNNNNNNNNNNNNNNNNNNNNNNNNNNNNNNNNNNNNNNNNNNNNNNNNNNNNNNNNNNNNNNNNNNNNNNNNNNNNNNNNNNNNNNNNNNNNNNNNNNNNNNNNNNNNNNNNNNNNNNNNNNNNNNNNNNNNNNNNNNNNNNNNNNNNNNNNNNNNNNNNNNNNNNNNNNNNNNNNNNNNNNNNNNNNNNNNNNNNNNNNNNNNNNNNNNNNNNNNNNNNNNNNNNNNNNNNNNNNNNNNNNNNNNNNNNNNNNNNNNNNNNNNNNNNNNNNNNNNNNNNNNNNNNNNNNNNNNNNNNNNNNNNNNNNNNNNNNNNNNNNNNNNNNNNNNNNNNNNNNNNNNNNNNNNNNNNNNNNNNNNNNNNNNNNNNNNNNNNNNNNNNNNNNNNNNNNNNNNNNNNNNNNNNNNNNNNNNNNNNNNNNNNNNNNNNNNNNNNNNNNNNNNNNNNNNNNNNNNNNNNNNNNNNNNNNNNNNNNNNNNNNNNNNNNNNNNNNNNNNNNNNNNNNNNNNNNNNNNNNNNNNNNNNNNNNNNNNNNNNNNNNNNNNNNNNNNNNNNNNNNNNNNNNNNNNNNNNNNNNNNNNNNNNNNNNNNNNNNNNNNNNNNNNNNNNNNNNNNNNNNNNNNNNNNNNNNNNNNNNNNNNNNNNNNNNNNNNNNNNNNNNNNNNNNNNNNNNNNNNNNNNNNNNNNNNNNNNNNNNNNNNNNNNNNNNNNNNNNNNNNNNNNNNNNNNNNNNNNNNNNNNNNNNNNNNNNNNNNNNNNNNNNNNNNNNNNNNNNNNNNNNNNNNNNNNNNNNNNNNNNNNNNNNNNNNNNNNNNNNNNNNNNNNNNNNNNNNNNNNNNNNNNNNNNNNNNNNNNNNNNNNNNNNNNNNNNNNNNNNNNNNNNNNNNNNNNNNNNCCGACCGGGGGGGAUAAGGGAGUGAGGGGGUUGGGCCGGGCCAGGGGGUGGCCGGCUGGGCCAGGUGGGGGCUUGGCCCAGUUGGGCCAGUGGGGUUUUCUCCCCUCCCUUUAUUUAUUCGGUUUGUUUUUAUUUUCUUUUCUUAUUUUUCCUUUUCUGUUUUAAUUCAUUUUAAAAUAUUCAGACACUUUAUAAAAAUGUGUGCACUCCACCAUAAUUGCCGAUGUAAUAUUUGACAACCACCGAACUUUUUAGUUUUAAUUUUUGAAAACUUUUAUUGUUAUCAUUAAUUUGAAUUUUGAAUUUUGGACCGGUUUUGAACUAACUCAAGAUUAGCAACUAUAAUUCAGGUGACGUGGCAUCACUAGCAGAGGAUCACUGUAGCUUAAUUUCCCGGGCGUCACAAUUCUCCUCCACUACAAGAAAUCUCGUCCCGAGAUUUUAGAGGGGAGUAAGGGGGAAAGGUCUGGUUAUGAAAUCCUAACGAAUCUUCUCAGUCUUGGUUGUUCUUCUUGAAGAGGUCGAUCCAUUACCUUGACAUCAUCAUUUCUCUGCUACAGGUCAUCAUGGUGAUGCCGCCCUUUUCUCGGGAACUCCAACAUACUUACGAAUAGGGAAGGGGGUAUUCCGGCAGAACGAACCUAUGCAAGGUUGACUAUCUGGUAGCUAACAUAGGGGAAGGUGGCGGAAAGUAACUCUCGAACUGGAACUCAAGAAAAUAUCGAGAGCAAGUAAGAAGGUACCAUGAGAAGUUUCAAGUGGGUAGGCAAUCAUCCGAUGCCUGAAACAAAGUGUAAAAGGGGUCCAGAGCAAUGGUAAUAAGUUUUGUGUCUGAUACCAGAAUAGAUCAACAGGCAAGUGGCCCGUGAAUUACAUACAAAGCCAAGCACGAGGAAUAACUUUGACAACAGGUUGUACAGGAGAGUCAGCUUUCGUUCCUGGGACCUGUGGGUUAUGGGCCCACCAUGUGGGUUAAAAGUAGAAAGGGGGGCUGACAUCUUGUACGAUCACGAUAGCAAGGCAUGUCAGAGAGUAGCAUGUCAGUUAUGUCGGCAACAAUGUCGGUACCAAGGGCGAGGGACGAAGAGAACCAUUUUCCUGCUCGUUGAACGAGGCGGACCAGUAGGCAAAGUUCUCGUCCAUCGGUGGUUACCAGAAUGUCAUCAACAAAAGUAACAGGGUCUUACUGACAGAAUUGUACAACAAGGUGUUUACAUAAGCAGGAAAAUAUUACUUCUCAGAUCAUAUAGAUCACAAGAAAGGUUAAACCAACAAUGGAAGGAAAAUAUGAUCAUCAAAUUAAACAGAACAAUGGAAAGGAAAAUGUGUUUAAACACAUAUUUCAGGGGUAUAUCCUUCCCAAUGACAAGCAGAGCAUGAUAUCCAUGACAGGAUAUAAAGUAGAAAACCAUUUAGGUAAGGGGGAAGGAAUCUCAUGAUAUUACCCAUACAACGGUGUUAGGAUAAGUGAUAAAUAAAAUUUAGCAUCGUGCUUCAAAUGUUCCUGUUGAAAAUCGGAGUACCAUUGACAUGCUUCGAGAUAGCAUUGACAUGGUCUUCAGGUGAAGAUCAGACUUUGGAAACACGAAGGAUCCAUCAGGAAUAACUUGUAGAAUAAGUCUUACAAUUUCCUCAUGGACGAAUGGGUAACCUUGCUGAAAAGGAAUCUAUAAUGAUAGGUCCUCCAGCCGGGGGGGGGGUGCUAGGCAUGACAUCAUGUUACCGGGUCAUCAAAGGAUCAACUUCAUGACUCUUGGAAAAUUGUCUCAACCAUCAUAUCUGACCGAGAUUCAGAUCUGAUUGGUGUCAGGAUACCUCAGACUUAGGAUACCUGAGAAGAAAGGGUGCAACGCAAAUUGACGAGAUGACAUUGUAAGAUUCUCGGGGAAAUGAACUACGAAGUGAUUUCCGUUAACAAGAGUCCAUCAUUAACCCAAGGAGAGGACAAGGAGGUGUCUGGUGAACUCAACGGCAAUUCACCGAGAUUCCCAAAAGAUGGAUUUCCACCAUUAAGUGAACAAGGAGAUAACAUUUGUCAGAUCAAAUGAUAUAAGGAAGUAUGCUCGAGGAAAACAUACACAAUUAAACAUUGGUUGAAAGGUGCGCCCGAAAUAUGGGUUGGGUUGCACGACCAAUGUCAGAAUGGUGAUUCAAUUAGCAAAGGACUUAGAAUGAACUAUUGCCCAUUCACUUCAAAGCAAUAGGGUUGUUAGAAGUUUUGAAUUCACACGUCAUAGCUCCAUUGUCGGUAUUCCGGUUGAAAACAAUACGGGGACCAAGGAAUGAACGAAGAUGGCAAGAAGUAUUAUGUUAUGAAGAAUUAUUAAGAGGUGGUGAAAUUCUCACCACAUUCUUGACAAAAAGAGAUGGUAAUACUACCGAGGUAAGGAAGAUCGACUGCUGGGUAGCAGUGAUCUCAAGGUUUACACCAAACACGAACAAGUUGUGUUGAACGGAAGGCAAUAAAGUGGUCGAUGAGAACAGGAAUCAUCGAGGGGCAAGGAUGGUAUUACCCAUCAUGAAUUCAAUUGAAUUCCUGGAAGAGCUCAUAAGGUUGAUGAUGAUCACGACACAAUUGUCGAGAGAUUUCAUGCAGAUGUAGUCAAUCAGCGACGACAUCAAGUCAAAGGAAUGAUGAAGCAAGAGGUUAUUGGAACCACCGUUACGACACAAACUCGAACUCAAGCUUGUUGUUUAAGGUGAAAGGGUAUGACGAGGACAAUCGACGUAAGGUUAGUUCAUCGUCGAAAAUUGGUGCUCCGAAAAUAAGGACCAGGUAGCCCCGUUAGAAUUCGUCACGACAACGAUAUAGCCAAACAGGCUAGGAAUGGCGUGAUCGGGUAACAAACUCGUACUUAUAGAAGUUUGCUGAAGAGUUGUUGAACCGUAGAGCGGACUCGGUUCAGUUAUCGGUGUCUUUGAGUGUUCAAUAACUCAGAGCCCGCGAAAAAUUGGAAUCGAUGGGAAGGUAGCACUUGAUGAAGAACUCAUAAAAAGUUAUGCAGUUCCAUGAUAAUCUCGAGAUACCAGGGGGGUAAUACUCGACACAAGAUCAAAGUAAAGGUUGGACUGGUGUACUGAUCCAUAGAAGACAAUUGUUUUAACUUGUCCGAGAAAUGAGAUCAAAAAGAACAAUCAUGGUCGGAACCACGGUUGCAAGGGAUCAAUUCACAGAUACCAUAGGUUAGUUAUCAAGGAAAUAGUUAUUGUUACAAGAAGCUUUCAUGAUAGGAUAUAUAUCGCGUCCAUGGGCAUGAACACAAGUUCAAGGUCGACUCCCACUUCUCCAAUGCAUAACCUUUCAUUCACUUCUCACGUUCGAUGAAGUUGUAGUGUUGAAAUUUUGUCUGGUGAAGCACCAGAAGGGUAUGACUCGUGAAAACUUUCGGGUUCACACGGUUUAGAGAAGGCAUAUGUUCAACCCAUAGGGGCUUCUUAGAAACAUAUACCACAAGUUUCAAGAGUAAAUAACACAAACUCGAUGGCAGAGCAUGGUUGAGAAAAGAAGAGGAUACAAUUUACCAAAGGCAUUAUGUAUCCGAGGAAAGGCUCACAAGGUUAUUGAAUAUGAAGGGCGUUGUCAGAUAAAUCCAACAAAGGACUUGAUGGUCCACAAGGGAUCUGAUACGAGUAUCGGUACUGAACUAGAGGAAGAAGAAUGCAAGGAGAUCAGAUUAUAGAAACAACUGACUAACUCAAUUGUCAAAUGCAAAGGAAUUAUGAUUUCCAAAUCAAGGGAUCAAAAGCAAUGCUCUGAUUAGGGAUGGAUAAGUUGAAUAGCCUUAGGGUACAACCAACGACAAUUGGAUUGGUCGAGAACCAACUCCAGUUAAAAGAAUGGAAGCUCAGUCGGAAAGGUAAUUUAUAAGGAUCAAUGAUGAUUGCGUGUAUUCGCAGCAUAUUGAGUCAACAGACUCAAAAUGAUAAUGACAAGGAAUGUCAAUAAGAUUUCUAUACUUAUGGGAUUAACCAUAAUGCAAGCAAGCAAGAAUUUCAAGAGCCAAAGGCUCCAGAGGGUUUUCGGAAGAUCGAAUAUUAUUUUGAAGACUUUUGUGAAACACAAGAACAACUGGGGAUGAGCGGAUACUCGGCAAGCGCGAGUAAUUAUCCGUAGGGGUAUUCAUGCAGCAAGGAACUGCAGGGCAGUAAGCGUAAAGAAUUCUCGGAAUAUCGAAGAGUAUUUCAGGACAUCUUGUAAUAACAAGAGCAACUGGGGAUGACAAUAUGAACGAUAGGUGUAAGUAGUUAUCUAGAGGGAUUUAUCGAUGGAAGUGAAUUGCAAGAGCGAUGGCACAUAGUCUCGGGAGCACAUCGUAGAGUAUCUUUGGAAUCUUCUGGUGCAGCAGGCGGUCAUCAGUAACAAGUGGCUCUCCGGGAGAAAGUACUUGCGAGAACCUAAAGUUAGUUUUGUUUUUAGCGAAAUCAUUUAACCCAAAUAGAAGAGAGCUUAGAGUCCCAGAGUAAAGGUCGAGGAGUAAAAGAUCCUAGUACCACCCAAUGGCGACGUGGGCCCGUAAGGCACACAACCAAGUUAGUAAAAGUUUUGCAAUGUCUAGACUCGACUUCGGCCAAGAAGUGUGAAAGGGGGAUUCCUACAGGCAGUCGGCUCUGAUACCAACUUGUGACGCCCCCGAUUCAAUCGUACACUAAUCAUGCACGUAAAUGUGUACGAUCAAGAUCAGGGACUCACGGGAAGAUAUCACAACACAACUCUACAAAUAAAAAUAAGUCAUACAAGCAUCAUACUACAAGCCAGGGGCCUCGAGGGCUCGAAUACAAGUGCUCGAUCAUAGACGAGUCAGCGGAAGCAACAAUAUCUGAGUACAGACAUAAGUUAAACAAGUUUGCCUUAAGAAGGCUAGCACAAAAUGGGAUACAGAUCGAAAGAGGCGCAGGCCUCCUGCCUGGGAUCCUCCUAACUACUCCUGGUCGUCGUCAGCGGGCUGCACGUAGUAGUAGGCACCUCCGGUGUAGUAGGAAUCAUCAUCGACGAUGGCGUCUGGCUCCAGGGCUCCAGCAUCUGGUUGCGACAACCAGGUAGAAGGGAAAGGGGAAAAGAGGGAGAAAAGCAACCGUGAGUACUCAUCCAAAGUACUCGCAAGCAAGGAGCUACACUACAUAUGCAUGGGUAUAUGUGUAAAGGGCCAUAUCGGUGGACUGAACUGUAGAAUGCCAGAAUAAGAGGGGGAUAGCUAAUCCUGUCGAAGACUAUGCUUCUGGCAGCCUCCGUCUUGCAGCAUGUAGAAGAGAGUAGAUUGAAGUCCUGCAAGUAGCAUCUCCAAGUAGCAUCUCCAAGUAGCAUCUCCAAGUAGCAUCUCCAAGUAGCAUCUCCAAUAGCAUCGCAUAGCAUAACCCUACCCGGCGAUCCUCCCCUCGUCGCCCUGUGGAAAAGCGAUCACCGGGUUUUCUGUGGAACUUGGAAGGGUGUGUUUUAUUAAGUAUCCGGUUCUAGUUGUCAUAAGGUCAAGGUACAAUUCCAAGUCGUCUUGUUACCGAAGAUCACGGCUAUUCGAAUAGAUUAACUUCCCUGCAGGGGUGCACCAACUUACCCAACACGCUUGAUCCCAUUUGGCCGGACACACUUUCCUGGGUCAUGCCCGGCGGCGGAAGAUCAACACGUCGCAGCCCCACCUAGGCUCAACAGAGAGGCCAGCACGCCGGUCUAAACCUAAGCGCACAGGGGUCUGGGCCCAUCACCCAUAGCACACCUGCACGUUGCGUAUGCGGCCGAAAGCAGACCUAGCCUAGUGGCGUUCCAGUCCAAUUCGGCGCGCGCCGCUCCAUCGCUAACGUCUGAAGUGCUUCGGCUGAUACCACGACGUCGGGAUACCCAUAACUACUCCCGCGUAGAUGGUUAGUGCGUAUAGGCUCGUAGCCAACUCAGAUCAAAUACCAAGAUCUCGUUAAGCGUGUUAAAUAUCCGCGAACGCCGAACAGGGCCAGGCCCACCUGUCUCCUAGGUGGUCUCAACCUGCCCUGUCGCUCCGCCACCAAGUAACAGUCGGGGGCCGUCGGGAACCCAGGCCCACCUCUACCGGGAUGGAGCCACCUGCCCCUUCAGCCCCCAACUCCGAACAGUAUCACAGGUAAUGUAACAGUGUAAAGUAUAUAGUAUAUGCCCGUGAUCACCUCCCGAAGUGAUCACAGCCCAGUAGUAUAGCAUGGCAGAUGGACAAGAGUGUAGGGCCACUGAUGGAACACUAGCAUCCUAUACUAAGCAUUUAGGAUUGCGGGUAAGGUAUCAAUGACUGUAGCAGCAAUGACAGGCUAUGCAUCAGAAUAGGAUUAACGGAAAGCAGUAACAUGCUACACUACUCUAAUGCAAGCACUAUAGAGAAGAGUAGGCGAUAUCUGGUGAUCAAAGGGGGGGGCUUGCCUGGUUGCUCUGGCAAGAGAGAGGGGUCGUCAACUCCGUAGUCGAGCUGGGCAGCAGCAGCGUCGGUCUCGUAGUCUACCGGAGAGAAGAGGGGGAAGAAACAAUGAAUACCAAGUAAACAGAUGCAUAUUGAUGCAUGACAUGCCAAGAAGCGAUGCUAGGCGUGCCCUAACGUGGUAUGAGGUGGUACUGGUUAAGGGGGGAAUCAUCCGGGAAAGUAUUCCCGGUGUUUCGUGUUUUCGGGAAGAGGAGCCGGAGGGGGAAAGUUGCGGGUUUGAUAGGGUAGGGGGGUGUGGCGGACGAACGGUCUGCGUAUCCGAAUUCGUCCCAUCGUUCUGAGCAACUUUCAUGUUGAAAAUAUUUUAAUCCGAGUUACAGAUUAAAAGAUAUGAUUUUUUAAAGAUUUUAUUAAUUUCUGGAAUUUAAUCAAUUAAUUAUUUAAUUUUAAAAAUGGAAUUAUGACGUCAGCAUGAUGCCAUGCUGACGUCAGCAGUCAACAUGGUUGACUAGGUCAACCCGGACAUGUGGGUCCCGUUCGUCAUACUCUGUUAACUAAUUAUCUUAGUUAAGUUUAAUUAACAGUAGUUAAUUAGGUUAAUUACUCAUUAGGUUUAAUUAAUCAGGAUUAAUUAAAUUAAUUAUUUACUUAAUUAAUUAAUUAAUUAAUUUUAUUCAUUAUUAUUUUUAUUAAUUAUAUUUAUCUAAAUUCCUUUUCCCUUUUCUUUUAUUUUAAAAACGUCCUGGGGGGUGGGGCCCCCAUGUCAUAGGCAGGGGGGUGGACCGGUCNNNNNNNNNNNNNNNNNNNNNNNNNNNNNNNNNNNNNNNNNNNNNNNNNNNNNNNNNNNNNNNNNNNNNNNNNNNNNNNNNNNNNNNNNNNNNNNNNNNNNNNNNNNNNNNNNNNNNNNNNNNNNNNNNNNNNNNNNNNNNNNNNNNNNNNNNNNNNNNNNNNNNNNNNNNNNNNNNNNNNNNNNNNNNNNNNNNNNNNNNNNNNNNNNNNNNNNNNNNNNNNNNNNNNNNNNNNNNNNNNNNNNNNNNNNNNNNNNNNNNNNNNNNNNNNNNNNNNNNNNNNNNNNNNNNNNNNNNNNNNNNNNNNNNNNNNNNNNNNNNNNNNNNNNNNNNNNNNNNNNNNNNNNNNNNNNNNNNNNNNNNNNNNNNNNNNNNNNNNNNNNNNNNNNNNNNNNNNNNNNNNNNNNNNNNNNNNNNNNNNNNNNNNNNNNNNNNNNNNNNNNNNNNNNNNNNNNNNNNNNNNNNNNNNNNNNNNNNNNNNNNNNNNNNNNNNNNNNNNNNNNNNNNNNNNNNNNNNNNNNNNNNNNNNNNNNNNNNNNNNNNNNNNNNNNNNNNNNNNNNNNNNNNNNNNNNNNNNNNNNNNNNNNNNNNNNNNNNNNNNNNNNNNNNNNNNNNNNNNNNNNNNNNNNNNNNNNNNNNNNNNNNNNNNNNNNNNNNNNNNNNNNNNNNNNNNNNNNNNNNNNNNNNNNNNNNNNNNNNNNNNNNNNNNNNNNNNNNNNNNNNNNNNNNNNNNNNNNNNNNNNNNNNNNNNNNNNNNNNNNNNNNNNNNNNNNNNNNNNNNNNNNNNNNNNNNNNNNNNNNNNNNNNNNNNNNNNNNNNNNNNNNNNNNNNNNNNNNNNNNNNNNNNNNNNNNNNNNNNNNNNNNNNNNNNNNNNNNNNNNNNNNNNNNNNNNNNNNNNNNNNNNNNNNNNNNNNNNNNNNNNNNNNNNNNNNNNNNNNNNNNNNNNNNNNNNNNNNNNNNNNNNNNNNNNNNNNNNNNNNNNNNNNNNNNNNNNNNNNNNNNNNNGAGGGAGGAGGAGGGGAUCGGGGGGGAAUGGGUGCGGCUAGGGUUUCCUGCCGACCGGGGGGGGGAUAAGGGAGUGAGGGGGUUGGGCCGGGCCAGGGGGUGGCCGGCUGGGCCAGGUGGGGGCUUGGCCCAGUUGGGCCAGUGGGGUUUUCUCCCCCUCCCUUUAUUUAUUCGGUUUGUUUUUAUUUUCUUUUCUUAUUUUUCCUUUUCUGUUUUAAUUAAUUUUAAAAUAUUCAGACACUUUAUAAAAAUGUGUGCACUCCACCAUAAUUACCGAUGUAAUAUUUGACAACCACCGAACUUUUUAGUUUUAAUUUUUGAAAACUUUUAUUGUUAUCAUUAAUUUGAAUUUUGAAUUUUGGACCGGUUUUGAACUAACUCAAGAUUAGCAACUAUAAUUGAGGUGACGUGGUAUCACUAGCAGAGGAUCACUGUAGCUUAAUUUCCCGGGCGUCACACAUGCUUUACGGGUUAGAAUCGGGACUUCAACGACGUUUUGAACAUCAUGGAGCAUAUGAGAUGUUUCAGGAGUUGAAGUUAAUAUUUCAAGCAAAUGCCCGAAUUGAGAGAUAUGAAGUCUCCAAUAAGUUCUAUAGCUGCAAGAUGGAGGAGAACAGUUCUGUCAGUGAGCAUAUACUCAAAAUGUCUGGGUAUAAUGAUCACUUGAUUCAGAUGGGAGUUAAUCUCCCAGAUGAUUGCGUCAUUGACAUAAUUCUCCAAUCACUGCCACCAAGCUACAAGAGCUUCGUGAUGAACUAUAAUAUGCAAGGGAUGAACAAGACUAUUCCCGAGCUCCUCGCAAUGCUGAAAGCUGCGGAGGUAGAAAUCAAGAAGGAGCAUCAAGUGUUGAUGGUUAACAAGACCACUAGUUUCAAGAAAAAAGGGCAAAGGGAAGAAGAAGGGGAACUUCAAAAAGAACAGCAAGCAAGUUGCUACUCAUGAGAAGAAACCCAAGUCUGGACCUAAGCCUGAAACUGAGUGCUUCUACUGCAAGCAGACUGGUCACUGGAAGCGGAACUGCCCCAAGUAUUUGGCAGAUAAGAAGGAUGGCAAGGUGAACAAAGGUAUAUGUGAUAUACAUGUUAUUGAUGUGUACCUUACUAGAGCUCGCAGUAGCACCUGGGUAUUUGAUACUGGUUCUGUUGCUAAUAUUUGCAACUCGAAACAGGGACUACGGAUUAAGCGAACACUAGCGAAGGACGAGGUGAUGAUGCGCGUGGUAAACGGUUCCAAAGUCGAUGUGAUCGCGGUCGGCACGCUACCUCUACAUCUACCUUCGGGAUUAAUAUUAGACCUAAAUAAUUGUUAUUUGGUGCCAGCGUUGAGCAUGAACAUUAUAUCUGAAUCUUGUUUAAUGCGAGACGGUUAUUCAUUUAAAUCAAAGAAUAAUGGUUGUUCUAUUUAUAUGAGUAAUAUCUUUUAUGGUCAUGCACCCUUGAAGAGUGGUCUAUUCUUAUUAAAUCUCGAUAGUAGUAAUACACAUAUUCAUAAUGUUGAAGCCAAAAGAUGCAGAGUUGAUAAUGAUAGUGCAACUUAUUUGUGGCACCGCCGUUUAGUCAUAUCGGUAUAAAGCGCAUGAAGAAACUCCAUACUGAUGGACUUUUGGAACCACUUGAUUAUGAAUCACUUGGUACUUGCGAACCGCGCCUCAUGGGCAAGAUGACUAAAACACCGUUCUCCGGUAAUAUGGAGAGAGCAACAGAUUUGUUGGAAAUCAUACAUACAGAUGUAUGUGGUCCGAUGAAUAUUGAAGCUCAUGGCGGAUAUCGUUAUUUUCUCACCUUCACAGAUGAUUUAAGGAGAUACGGGUAUAUCUACUUAAUGAAACAUAAGUCUGAAACAUUUGAAAAGUUCAAAGAAUUUCAGAGUGAAGUUGAAAAUCAUCGUAACAAGAAAAUAAAGUUUCUACGAUCUGAUCGUGGAGGAGAAUAUUUGAGUUACGAGUUUGGUGUACAUUUGAAAAUUGUGGAAUAGUUUCGCAACUCACGCCACCCGGAACACCACAGCGUAAUGGUGUGUCCGAACGUCGUAAUCGUACUUUACUAGAUAUGGUGCGAUCUAUGAUGUCUCUUACUGAUUUACCACUAUCGUUUUGGGGAUACGCUCUAGAGACGGCCGCAUUCACGUGAAAUAGGGCACCAUCAAAAUCCGUUGAGAUGACGCCUUAUGAACUGUGGUUUGGCAAGAAACCAAAGUUGUCGUUUCUUAAAGUUUGGGGCUGCGAUGCUUAUGUGAAAAAGCUUCAACCUGAUAAGCUCGAACCCAAAUCGGAGAAAUGUGUCUUCAUAGGAUACCCAAAGGAGACUGUUGGGUACACCUUCUAUCACAGAUCCGAAGGCAAGACAUUCGUUGCUAAGAAUGGAUCCUUUCUAGAGAAGGAGUUUCUCUCGAAAGAAGUGAGUGGGAGGAAAGUAGAACUUGACGAGGUAACUGUACCUGCUCCCUUAUUGGAAAGUAGUUCAUCAGAGAAAACUGUUUCUGCGACACCUAUACCAAUUAGUGAGGAAGUUAAUGAUAAUGAUCAUGAAACUUCAGAACAAGAUACUACUGAACCUCGUAGAUCAACCAGAGUGAGAUCCACGCCAGAGUGGUAUAGUAAUCCAGCUCUGGAAGUCAUGCUACUAGAUCAUGAUGAACCUACGAACUAUGAAGAAGCGAUUGUGAGCCCAGAUUCCGCAAAGUGGCUUGAAGCCAUGAAAUCUGAGAUGGGAUCCAUGUAUGAGAACAAAGUAUAGACUUUGGUUGACUUGCCCGCUGAUCGGCAAGCAAUUGAGAAUAAAUGGAUUUUCAAGAAGAAGACUGACGCUGACGGUAAUAUUACUGUCUACAAAGCUCGACUUGUCGCAAAAGGUUUUUGGCAAGUUCAAUGAUUGACUACGAUGAGACUUUCUCACCCGUAGCGAUGCUUAAGUCUGUCCGAAUCAUGUUAGCAAUUGCCGCAUUUUAUGAUUAUGAAAUUUGGCAGAUGGAUGUCAAAACUACAUUCCUGAAUGGAUUUCUGGAAGAAGAAUUGUAUAUGAUGCAACCAGAAGGUUUUGUCGAUCCAAAGGGAGCUAACAAAGUGUGCAAGCUCCAGCGAUCCAUUUAUGGACUGGUGCAAGCCUCUCGGAGUUGGAAUAAACGCUUUGAUAGUGUGAUCAAAGCAUUUGGUUUUAUACGGACUUUUGGAGAAGCCUGUAUUUACAAGAAAGUGAGUGGGAGCUCUAUAGCAUUUCUGAUAUUAUAUGUGGAUGACAUAUUACUAAUUGGAAAUGAUAUAGAAUUUCUGGAUAGCAUAAAGGGAUACUUGAAUAAAAGUUUUUCAAUGAAAGACCUCGGUGAAGCUGCUUACAUAUUAGGCAUUAAGAUCUAUAGAGAUAGAUCAAGACGCUUAAUUGGACUUCCACAAAGCACAUACCUUGACAAAGUUUUGAAGAAGUUCAAAAUGGAUCAAGCAAAGAAAGGGUUCUUGCCUGUGUUACAAGGUUUGAAGUUGAGUAAGACUUAAUGCCCGACCACUGGAGAAGAUAGAGAGAAAAUGAAAGAUGUUCCCUAUGCUUCAGCCAUAGGCUCUAUCAUGUAUGCAAUGCUAUGUACCAGACCUGAUGUGUGCCUUGCUAUAAGUUUAGCAGGGAGGUACCAAAGUAAUCCAGGAGUGGAUCACUAGACAGCGGUCAAGAACAUCCUGAAAUACCUGAAAAGGACUAAGGAUAUGUUUCUCAUAUAUGGAGGUGACAAAGAGCUCAUCGUAAAAGGUUACAUUGAUGCGAGCUUUGACACUGAUCCGGACGAUUCUAAAUCGCAAACCGGAUACGUGUUUACAUUAAACGAUGGAGCUAUCAGUUGGUGCAGUUCUAAACAAAGCGUCGUAGCGGGAUCUACAUGUGAAGCGGAGUACAUAGCUGCUUCGGAAGCAGCGAACGAAGGAGUCUGGAUGAAGGAGUUCAUAUCCGAUCUAGGUGUCAUACCUAGUGCAUCGGGUCCAAUGAAAAUCUUUUGUCACAAUACUGGUGCAAUUGCCUUGGCAAAGGAAUCCAGAUUUCACAAGAGGACCAAGCACAUCAAGAGACGCUUCAAUUCCAUCCGGGAUCUAGUCCAGGUGGGAGACAUAGAGAUUUGCAAGAUACAUACGGAUCUGAAUGUUGCAGACGCGUUGACUAAGCCUCUUCCACGAGCAAAACAUGAUCAGCACCAAGGCUCCAUGGGUGUUAGAAUCAUUACUGUGUAAUCUAGAUUAUUGACUCUAGUGCACGUGGGAGACUGAAGGAAAUAUGCCCUAGAGGCAAUAAUAAAGUUAUUAUUUAUUUCCUUAUAUCAUGAUAAAUGUUUAUUAUUCAUGCUAGAAUUGUAUUAACCAAAAACAUAAUACAUGUGUGAAUACAUAGACAAACUUAGUGUCACUAGUAUGCCUCUACUUGACUAGCUCGUUAAUCAAAGAUGGUUAUGUUUCCUAACCAUGAACAAGGUGUUGUUAUUUGAUUAACGAGGUCACAUCAUUAGUUGAAUGAUCUGAUUGACAUGACCCAUUUCAUUAGCUUAGCACCCGAUCGUUUAGUAUGUUGCUAUUGCUUUCUUCAUGACUUAUACAUGUUCCUAUGACUAUGAGAUUAUGCAACUCCCGUUUACCGGAGGAACACUUUGUGUGCUACCAAACAUCACAACGUAACUGGGUGAUUAUAAAGGAGCUCUACAGGUGUCUCCAAAGGUAGAUGUUGGGUUGGCGUAUUUCGAGAUUAGGAUUUGUCACUCCGAUUGUCGGAGAGGUAUCUCUGGGCCCUCUCGGUAAUGCACAUCACAUAAGCCUUGCAAGCAUUGCAACUGAUGAGUUAGUUGCGAGAUGAUGUAUUAAGGAACGAGUAAAGAGACUUGCCGGUAACGAGAUUGAACUAGGUAUUGGAUACCGACGAUUGAAUCUCGGGCAAGUAACAUACCGAUGACAAAGGGAACAACGUAUGUUUUUAUGCGGUCUGACCGAUAAAGAUCUUCGUAGAAUAUGUAGGAGACAAUAUGGGCAUCCAGGUCCCGCUAUUGGUUAUUGACCGGAGACAUGUCUCGGUCAUGUCUACAUUGUUCUCGAACCAUAGGGUCCGCACGCUUAACGUUACGAUGACAGUUAUUAUGAGUUUAUGCAUUUUGAUGUACCUAAGUUAGUUCGGAUUCCCGGAUGUGAUCACGGACAUGACGAGGAGUCUCGAAAUGGUCGAGACAUAAAGAUUGACAUAUUCGAAGCCUAUGUUUGGAUAUCGGAAGUGUUCCGGGUGAAAUCGAGAUUUUACCGGAGUACCGGGAGGUUAUCGGAACCCCGCGGGAGCUAUAUGGGCCUUAGUGGGCUUUAGUGGAAAGGAGAAAGGGGCAGCCCAAGGUGGGCCGUGCGCCUCCCCCCUCCCCUAGUCCUAUUAGGACAAGGAGAGGUGGCCGUCCACCCUCUCUCUCUUUCCCCCUCGGGGAAUCCUAUUCCAACUAGUAUUGGGGGGGGGGAGUCCUACUCCCGGUAGGAGUAGGACUCCUCCUGCGCCCUCCUCCUGGCCGGCCGCCCCCUCCCCCUUGGAUCCUUUAUAUACGGGGGCAGGGGGAAACCUCUAGACACACAAGUUGAUCCUUGAGAUCGUUCCUUAGCCGUGUGCGGUGCCCCCUGCCACCAUAUUCCACCUCGAUCAUAUUGUAGCGGUGCUUAGGCGAAGCCCUGUGACAGUAGAACAUCAAGAUCGUCACCAUGCCGUCGUGCUGACGGAACUCCUCCCUGACGCUUUGCUGGAUCGAAGCCCGGGGAUCGUCAUCGAGCUGUACGUGUGCUAAGAACUCGGAGGUGCCGGAGUAACGGUGCUUGGAUCGGUCGGAUCGGGAGGACGUACGACUACUUCCUCUACGUUGUGUCAAUGCUUCCGCAGUCAGUCUGCGUGGGUACGUAGACAACACUCUCCCCUCUCGUUGCUAUGCAUCACCAUGAUCUUGCGUGUGCGUAGGAUAUUUUUUGAAAUUAUUGCGUUCCCCAACAGUGAGCGUCAUCAUCGGCGGAGACCACCGUGUGGAAGAGGUCCUUCGAGAUGGUGGUGUAGAACCAGCGGAUAAGAGUGGCGUCGAUGGACGUCCACUCCUCAUCGUCCUCCAUGAAGUGGGAGUCGACGGAGCCAUCGAUGUGAUCCCGGAGAUUCUACUCACGGAACACAAGGGAGAAGUACGUCUUCCAGGCAUAGUAGGUGGAGGUGAGUUGAUCAAGGACGAUGGGAACCCGAGCGAGGAUAUUGAGAUCAUGGAUGACGACGGGAUCGGGGCCGUCGAAGGGGUUGGUGCGGCGGCUGCGGGUGGUACCGGUGGAACCGGGGGAGGCCAUGGCCGAGAGGGGAGGGCGGCGACGCGUGGUGAAGCGGCGUGGCGGGAGGGAUGGCGGUGCGGCGCGGGUGGCGGCGCUGCGGGUUAUGGGCGGACGCGAGAGGCUGCGGUGGCACACAGGAGGGCGGAGGCGUGGCGGCGAGGAGACGCGACGGCGGCGGCACGAAGUGGCGGCGGCGGCGAUGGGAUCGCGGCGGCGGCGGCAGGAGUUAUGGUUAGGAUCGUAGGUAUGAUACCAUGUUGGAAACGAAUAUUUUGGCAAUGCAACUCGAUGUAUGUGCAUAGCGCACGUAUAUAUGGAGUACAAGAUGGGCCACAAACUCAACUAUACAAUGACUAGGAGGUGGGCCGGACUAUACAAUAUACAUGCACAAACCAUAUAUUCAACACCUCCCAUAGGCCAUUGCUGUGUCCGACGUCCACGUCAGCGACCUCUGUAUCCGUAGUGCUGGGCCUUGCCUUUCUGAAUUCUAGUAGAGCCCUAGAUAGCUGAUGACACUGAUAAUGCAUGCUGAACCCCAUCCGCACCAUCGUCCCAAGCCCGUACAACAGGCGGCCACCUCGCUGGUGCAAUACCUCCGUGGGAUGCCGCCGCGGUUGGCAGGCUGGACUCCUACACCACCGCCGGCUGUACCUCCUCGGGGCUCAUCCUUUGCAUGUCAGCAUUGAGACGCCACUCCUCCAUGUCAGCUGCUCUUCGCCAUGCGCCUAUGCAUGUGUCCUCCUUUCGCUUGUCACUGGUGUGUUCGUGCAUGCAUUAUGUGUUGUACUAUGGAGCUGUGGAGUUUAUGUGAGUCCGACGCGUGCGUACGGUCUGUAUCGGAGGCUUGUGCAACAGCUAUUGUUCUAUGGAGCAAGCUUCGUGAAGUCUGCCAUGAGAUGGUGCACAUAAUGCAAAAUGCAACACGUAGUAGGGGCAGGUGUUGCAAGCUCGCAGGCGAGGCGAACGAGGCGGCGCCAGAUUCUGCCCCGUGCUCUAUGAUAGAUGCACAUGUGAGUUCUUCAUUUUGUGGUGAGUUAUCCACAUUUUAAUGGGAUGCAUAUGCACCAGUAUCCUAAAACAAAAGUAAAACAAACAAUCGACCAUAUCUUUUGGAUAGAGUUUGGCUUUCAAUCUCUAUUUUCUAUUAUGAUUGACAUAUCAUACAAUUCUACAUUAUAGGAACCAAAAACAUCUACAAGCAAAAAAGACGAAUUGUCAGAUCAUUUGUAUUUAAAAUACAACAAUUUUUUUGAAGAUUAAUAAAUAAAUACUACUGAUUGCCUUAACCUUUUUAUCUCCAAUUGCUUCAAGCAAAAGAAUAGUAAUAUUAAAUUAUGAACGUCGCUUCGGGUAGUUCCUCCUCCCCAUGUGUCGGUGUGUGUGCAACCUCCCCAAACAGCAUGCUCACGUCUCAUUGUCGAUGCCUCGAGAAGCAUAUUGCCAUGGGAGCUCCUACAAAAGCAAGAUCUUGACGACACUGACCAAGUAUUCUUCCUAGGGUACCAUUAAAAUUGCAUAGUCAAGGUGGCAACUGGCAGAGGCAGAAUACUUUGUGAUCGUCACUCUGGUGCACCUCGACAAUGAUGGUUGAGGUGGACAUCAAGUAUAAGUGGUAUAACCUCACCUUCUACCUCGACACGAUGAGCUUAGUGAAGACUUUAUCAUGCACGAGUAUAAGUUUAUCUCUGCCACCCCCAGCCACCAUACUCACCCGCCUCAAGGUCACAAAAGAUCCAAAGAACUGGAUAGUGAAGGGGAUGGCUGUGACCUCUGCCAACACCCGAGCUAUGAUGUGUGUCUCCAUAAUAUGGUCAAGCCUGCUUCAUGAAAAUUGGUAUUCGCUCCUCAGUGAAGCACAUCCGUUUCAUUCAAUGUUUGAUGCAGCCAUCAGAAUGUUGUUCUAACGUGGUCUUUUCGUGUCAUUUUGUCAGGCUUAUCCUUACGAGUUCAGAUUACCGAGCCGCAAUAUGCCAGUGGUCUGGUUGCACACUCAGCAUGUAUUGUUAAUAGUUAUCCAUUGAAAAACUUAUUUAUUUUCUCUCCCGUUGCAACGCACGGACAUGUGUGCUAGUAUGAUAAAAGAUAUACUCGGGGGGCACAGUUUUCGCUAGAGGCUUCUCUCUUGAAAAUAGCAUACGGUGGGUAAUUUUUUUACCACUGGGCAAUUGAUAGAAAAGCAAAUAAUUAUGACAAUAUCCAAGACAAUGAUCAUGUAUAUAGGCAUCACAUCUGAGACAAGUAGACCGUCUCCCACCUACAUCUACUACUAUUACUCCACACAUCGACCACUAUCCAGCAUUCGUCUAGUAUAUUAAGUUCAUAAAAAACAGAGUAACGCCUUCAUCAAGAUGACAUGAUGUAGACAAGAUAAACUCACGUAUGAAUAAGCCCUAUCUUUUUACCCUUAAUAGCAACGAUACAAUACGUGUCAUGUCCCCUUCUGUCACCGGGAUUGAGCGCCACAAGAUCGAAACCAUUACAAAGCACCUCUCCCAUUGCAAGAAAAAUCAAUCUACACUACUAGGGAAAACCCUAGCAGUAGUGCUGGUUUUAUGCUCACUAGUAGCGCGGGUAGGCGCGCUACUAAUAAGGCGCUACAGCUAUUGCUUAGCAGUAACGCGUGCCCGCACGCGCUACUGCUAGGACAAAUAGCUGCAGCGUUUGUUCACUCCCACGCUACUGCUAAUGUAACUACUGGCAGCGUGUUUUCUCUCCAUCGCUACUAGUAUUCUUUUUAUUUUUUAUUUUUAGUGUAUUUAUGCGCCAUCGUACAAAUAUUGUACGAUACCAAUUAUGAGGUUUACAUCAUUAUGUCCAUAACAGUGUGUCAAAUGAAGGUGGAUUAGGUUCAAGUGGAGGCAAUAUGUGGUGCAUGUCAAAAGUAUACUACUAAUCCAAACUUGAUCUAGUUUGGACUAGUAGUACUUUCGAUGUGCACCACAUGUUGCCUCCACUUGAAUCUAAUCCGCCAGCACAAGCUAUUUAAUCACCAUCAUAGUCAUUACCACCAACAGUAUUUAUUUAAUCACCACUAACACUAGCUAAUAAUAAUUAUCAUAGUCAUUACCACCAACACUAGCUAUUUUAUCAUCAUAGUAAUAGUGUAGCACAUCAUCAUCCUCAAACUCAUUUCUAGCUAGCUAAUCACUCCUGCUGCUCUCUUUUAGGUAAAAUAACAUAAAACAUGUGUAGCUCUCCUCCUUGAUCAAGUUGGAGCAUGCAGAUGAACCUGUCUCCUAAUCGUGGGUAGCGCAUCUGUUUGCUGCCCCCUAGUACUUCUCUGCGCUUCUCCAUCACACAUUUGGUCCAGUCUUGCACUAUUAAGCAUCCGUCAUUAAUCUUGAAUGCACUAAAGUAACAUGUAGGAUAUCUUGGCCGUAAGCUAAUAAUACUCAUGGUACCUUUAGUCUCGAUCCCAUAAGGCAAAACAUUCAUCGGGAGUCCCUGUUGAAAAAACAUCGUAUGGUAACAUACUUAGCAAUGAAGUUUAGCUUCAAAAAUAAUGUAUGGAAAAGAUGCACUGAGGACAAAUAGUAAAAAUCUUACCAUCCUUCUUAAAUAGAUGUGACCGUAGUUCAUUACGAACACUAUUGUUCGCACAUUGUCAGUACUAACAUUUCUAAGUCCAGGAAGAAAAUUUGUCUUGACAGUAUCAAGAUCCUCAAGCCAUGAAACAUAAUGACUUAGCUCCUCGCAGUUUAGUUCAGCCUCAGGACAAUAGUAGGUCCUGUCUACCAAGCGCUGGACAUGUUUGCUUGCACCGAAAUAAGCUGACAGUACAAAUUAGUUGUCAACUAUUUUUGAAUAAACAAUAUCAAAGACAUAAAUAUGGUUGAGAAACUUACAUAAUGGUAUAACUAGAGGCGUCUGCACAUCGACCCAGAUGUCGGUAUUACCUUCAAUAUCAUCUUCCGGACGAAUAUCAAAGGUGAUAACCAUAUCAGGCUCAAAUGCAUAAGUCUUGCAUAGUGCUCGCCAUGUUUUGCAUCCAAAAUAGGUGUAGUCGUCUGAAUUGUAUAAUUUUGCGUGGAAAAUAUAACCAUGCUCGGUCUUCAAGUAAACUUUCUUUUCCUCCAUAGUACAGCUGAAACCUAUCUUAUCCAAUACAUAAACUCUUGCAUGGCAGGAGAUUCGCUAGUAGAAUAGUAAAAAAAAGACUUGUCAUGCUUAAUGUCAUGCUUAAAUUAUAAGUUGAAGCAAAUGAAGCAAAUGUCAUGCUUAAUUACGAAAAAAGACUUGUCAUUGUGACUUACUGUAUCCACUUUGAAGUUCUCGUCCAGCUUGAUGCUGAAGCGCCUAUCAUCAUCUAGGAAGAUUCCGUCGCACAGGCCGCGCUCUUCUUCGCAGUAUUUGCAAAUACCGAAAUCCUUUUCGUCGUCAGACAUUUCCUAUGUUAAUAGUUAAAACAUUAAUUGAAAAUCGAUCAAAGACAACUACCAGGAUACUCAACACACAAAUCUGGGCACUCGAUAUUUCCUAUAUAUUCUGGCACAAGUCAUGCCAAAAAUCGUGGAAAAAUCCUGCAUGACCUUUGCUAAAAUAGGACAUAUCGAGCGCCUGAAAUUUGCUGGAACGGAAAUGAAUCAACACUCCGGCAAAACAUAGGCCACUUAGAGGUGUAACCUACAAACAUGACCGGCCACUUGGGCAAGCACAUAUCCUAUUUGAGCAACACAAGAUAUACAUUUAAAAAUAUCUUAUAGGACUCAAAUUAGCAUGCAUUCAAUAAGGAAAAGUAAAUCAUCUCAUGCGUCUAUACAUCAUCAUACUUAUAGUGUCAUACAUCCCGAAUAGUGUCAUACAUAUAACAACACUAAUACAACUAAAACCCUAGCACACGACGAGUAUCGGUGCGGGCGGUGGACACCCACAGAGAAGGAACCAUCACGGGAUCAUAGCUCCAGUGAGAUCCCUGGAGAACCUGCCAGGUAUUGGAGAACAUGUGCUCCAACGCAAACAAGUAGUGACGGACGUGCGCGUCCUCCUCACUGACACGGUGACGCACCACCUCCGCGGGGUCCUCUGGUCCAUCACUGGCCCACGCGACCGCCACCAAAGAAGGUUCGGGUCAACGACAGGCUGGCUCCUCACCAACCUGCGCCCCCCGGUAGGUAGCCUCCCAGUACCACCCCGGCGGAGCCCAGUCCCGGACAUGGCCCAUCUGGUCAAGCAGGUGUCGUCCUCCGCCGACUCGAUGGCGAGGAUGCGGGAUAGGCAUCGUCCAUGUCGAUGCAGGAAAAAUUGCUUUAACUAAAAAAUAGCAACAAGUUCUUACUAACUAGUUGUAUUAAUUCAACUAGUUCUUAUUAAAAAUAAACUUACUAUAAAUAAAAAUAAACUAGUACCUGAUUAGUACCUAGUUCUUACUAACUAAUCAGUACCUAGGAACUACUACCCUAAUUAACAUCCAAUUUGAUGAAGCUAGGGGUGGAAAGUGGUAGCGAAUAUGCAAUUAUCCAACUAUAAAGUGAAAUAAGUGGUCAAAUUUUACUCGUUUUAUGAUUCAUCUUAGAAAUUUGAUUCGUAUCCACCCUUACAUGAACCCUAACUCAUUUGAGCCGCAUCCGCAUCCGAUUCGUUUCCACCCUUACAUGAACCCUAACUAAUUUGAUGCAACUAAAAUAUAAAGAAACCCUAGGCAGAGGUAGGGGAGAGGGAGGAAUAGGCGUGCUCACCUCGGGUUCCUACGACGAGGGAGGGGCAGGCGGCGUCGAGGUCGGGGUCGGGGCUCGGGCGCGCGGCGGAUGGCGGCGUCGAGGUCAGGGUCGGGGGCGGCGUCCGGGGCGGCGUUGAGGUUGGGGGCGGGGGCGGCGUUGAAUCUGGGGUCGGGGCGACGUAGAGAGUGUGCGGAGAGCGCAUGGCGGCCGACGGGCGACAUCGGCGGCAAGAGUGGAGAGUUGGAUUUGGGGGAAGUGGCCGUGGGGAAGGACGAACCCCGUGGUUAAGUCAGAAGUAGCAGUAGCGCGUUCCAGAAAGCGCGCUACUGCUACAUUAGCUACAUCGCGUUCUGGGAUACACGCUACUGCUACCCCUUUCUCUUUUCCCCCCUUUUUAUUUAGUUUUCUUCACAUUUUGUUUUUUUCCUUUCACCUUAUUCUAUUUCUUUCAUUUUGAAUUACCUUUCUAUUUGCUUUCCAUUUAAUUUUAUAUCCUUUAGCAGUAGCGAGUUUAGAUUAAAACGCGCUACUACAAAGAAAGUAGCGGUAGUGCGGUUCGAUAUAGGUCGCUACUACUAUGUGUAGCCUAUCGGCUAAGCCGUGGGAAUUUUAGUAGUAAUGUGUUUAGAACAAGACGCGCCACUGCUAAAACUUUAUCUGCAGCGCUGUUUGCACAGGCGCGCUACUGCUACUUAGCACCAGCGUGCUUCUUUGACCCGUGCUACUGCUAAAGUUCUGUGUAUAAGGUUUUCCCUAGUAGUGUUAGCUGGCCAGACCAAAUCAAUAUAUCAGAGAGAAAUAUGAUGCUAUAACAAUGAUGCAUAAAAGAUUCAAAGAAAAAUCAAAUAAUAUUCAUGCAUAGAUCUGAUCAUAAACUCACAAUUCAUUGGAUCCCAACAAACACACCACAAAAAGUAAUUACAUCGGAUAGAACUCCAAGAAAAUCGAGGAGAACAUUGUAUUGAAGAUCGAAUAGAGAGAAUAAGCCUAGCUACUAACUAUGGACCUGUAGGUCUAUGGUAAACUUCUCAUGCAUCAUCGGAAGGGCAGCAGGGAUGAUGUAGAGCCCCUCCGUGAACGAAUCCUCCUCCGGCAGAGUGCUGAAAAAGGCCUCCAGAUGGGAUCUGUCAAGAACAUGAACUUGUGGCGGCAGAAAAAGUAUUUCGUGGACUCCUCUGUUGGUUUCAUAAUUUUAGAGAAUUUAUAGACGUGAAGGUAGGUCAAAUGGAGCCACGUGGGCCCCACAAACCACUAGGCGCGCCCUACCCCCUGGGCAUGCCCUGGUGCCUCGUGGGACAUUGUGCCAUGUUCUCUUCCCCUCCUGAAGCUUCCAGGGUCUCUUAUUGCCAGAAAAAAAAUCCCCAAUAAGUUUCAUGCCAUUUGGACUUCGUUUGGUACUAAUAUUCUAAAAAACCAAAAAGAAGCAAAAAAUAGCAAUUACCACUAGCCACUAAGUUAAUAGAUUAGCCCAAAAAAUGAUAUAUAAUUGCUUGAAAGUGUAUAUAAAAAUACAAGGUUGAUACUCUAAUAGCAUGGAACAAUAAAAAAUUAUAGAUACGCUGGAGACGUAUCAGGUUUCUGUUGAGUUUUCUGUGCUGAAGUUUUUAAGUUUUAGGUGAAAUCACGAUGGAUGAAGGAAUAAGGACCGGAAAUACCCUAAGCUUGGGGAUGCCCAAGGAACCCCAGGUAAUAUUCAAGGAGACCCAAGCAUCUAAGCUUGGGAAUCCCCUCUUUCGUCUAAAAUCCUUCGGUAUACUACUUGGAACUAUAUUUUUAUUCAUGACAUGAUAUGAGUUUUGCUUGGAGUGUCUUGUAUUAUAGUAGUCUUUACUUUGUUUGAUUUUUAGUUUGCCACAAUCAUCAUUUGCUACACACACCUUUUGAGAGGGACACGUAUGUACCUUUUAUUGCAUCCCAUAUUUUAUUGCUACACACACCUUUUGGAGAGAGUUGGGGAUUUCCUUAUUUUCAUAUUUGAGUUUUUCUUGAAUUUUGAAAAGAGGAUCGUUUAAUUUUAAUUAUUUUAUCUUCGAAUAUUUCUUUUAUAAAAAUAAAAGAGAGGGGAUAAAACGACUUCCUCAAAAUAAAGAAAUAUUGGAAAUUUAAUGUUAUUAUCAAAUAAGAGUUUUAUUCAGAUUUUUAUCGCUAUUUUAUUUGAAUUAGGAAAAAUAUGCGUUUUUCAAAAUUGCAUCUGAGUCCUAAAUAAAUGUUCACCUUGUCCGGUAGAUUUUUAGACGACGGGGAAAAUUUAUUUCAGGAUUUUUGGAGUCCGUUUAGUAUAUCUUUUAUUUGUUUUUCUUCGCGGAAUAAUUGAAAAAAACAAGUUACCGACCUACCGGGCCGUGUCCGCCUGGGACACCGACCCGGCCGGCCCUUUAAGAGGCGAGGGGGCCGAGCCACCAAACCCUAGCCAGCCCAGCCCCGCACCCCGUCGCUAGCCCCGCAGCCCGGCGCCACCGACCGCCGCCCGCCGCCGCCGCCCUGCCGAAGUACGCCGCCGCAGCCUCGCCGCCCACCGCCGCCACCGCCGCCGACCCGUUCCACGAGGUAGCCACCGUUUUUUUAUAAAACCGAUUGGUUUUAUUUCGUAAACCCUAGAUCUGUUUUUUUCAGAUCUGGUUCGGUUUUUUUGGUUUAGUUAUUUAGCGGACGCUCGUCCGUACGUUCGUUUUCACGAACGGUUUUCGCCCGUUAGCCACAGACAGCGAACGUUCGUUCGUUAGCCUGUUCGUCAAUUUUUCUUUUUCUCAAAUUUUUCGUGAUUAUUCUCGAUCGCGAUUUCUGAUCCGAUUUUCGUUUUAGUUUAUCUUUUCGCUCAUUUAUCGAAAUCAGGCGAUUCAAGCGCCUAGAGUAUUGUCUCAAAGCCCUCUUUCUGUUUAACCAACUUAAACAAGUUUUUGCUACUGUAAAAUUUGACUUUAGUCCAGAUUAGUAAACGAAGCUUGUUUCUUUCGCAGUUUGAGUUUCGUUGCUUCGUUUGAUUUGAUUCUUUUUGCAAACCGGAGUUCUUAAGUUGAACUUUCUGGUUAGAUAUUCUUAUUUGAGUUUUACCCGUGCCCCUUGUCUGAUUGCUUAUUGUAUGCUUGUUUGAUUGAGAUAGAGUACCCGGAGUGUGAAGCGUGCUACUACGUGUCUCUAGGUUUCACGGAUCAUCAGCAAGGCAAGUAACACUUUGAUCAUACCUCUUUACUACCCAGUUUUAUUGCAUUAGAUCAAUCCUCAAAAACUUGCAUGGUUAGGAUCUGAAUAAAUUGUGGGUUGUGAAGUAGAUGAGGUAGAACCUAUUCACCUGUUUAUUAUCAAACCCUUGGGAGUUACUUCUACGUUAUGCUUAUAUUGCCAUGCUAUGCUCGUAGACGUGGAUUGGGUUUGAGAGUAUCCAUGACAGAUAUGAGUUGUUAAUUAAUGGUUAACUUAAGGUGGCAAAUUUAAUGCACAUCUGGGUCGAUUGAGGCACCUGGGGAACCCAAUGAUUGCCUGUAUUUUUGGAAAUCCCGGGGUACCGUUUGAUUCUCCUAUGGACUACCACCCAGGCUCAAAGGGAUCAUAAGAUUAUUCAUGCUGGAAACUUCCGUGUGCACCCACAUGCCAAUAUGGGCUCUGGCAUAGAUGAGUAAGUUGUGGGAAACCUUUCCAUGAUGGACUAGCAGAUGUAGGGGAUUUUAGGUGUACAGGUCUAUCUAUCGGUUAAGGGGACCUCUUCGGAAAGACUGUGUCUCGGUCAUCCGUUUCUCAAGCAUUAUGUAGUGCGAGAAAUCCAACGGAGGAGAUCGAGUCUUGUGGGGAAAAGUGCACAAACCUCUGCAGAGUGUACAAACUAAUCAUGGUUAGCCGUGUCCCCGGUUAUGGACGUCUUGAGUAUCUAGUUCUUGGAUUAUCACGUGGAUAUCAUCACUCUUAAUAUAAAUUUGAUUGGGUUAUUAAUUACUUUUAAUUGGGAUUGAGAGGGGGUUUACCUUCUCAAUGUUUUUCAACCAACUUUGUAGUUAAAUAAAAUAUAUUCCUUUGCAGUAGGGAAAAAUUGGCUUCCCGAAAAACAUAUAACCAUACAACCUCCACCAGCCAUAUAUGCAUGUAGUGAUAACAUUAUUCUGUUCAUUACUCUCUUGUGUUGCAUUGCCAACAUAUUCCAUGUGCUGACCCGUUUCGUGCUGCAACGUAUCAUGCUGCAGACUUUUCAGACGACGAGUAAGGAGCCUUAGGUCGUGGUCUUUCACUCAGUGAUGCCGUUGGAGUUUAUGGACUCACUUUAUCUUCCAAGCCUUUCGAUGUUAUCAUAUUAGAUGGCCUUAAGCCAUAUUUAUUGUAAUAAGUUCUCCUUUGAGACAUUCGAUGUAAUAAGUGUGUGAUUGCUAAUUUGUUAUAAAUCCUCCAGUACUGUGCGUGUCAGCAUUACUGAUCCAGGGAUGACACUGAUGCACAGAGAUCAGACUGUUUGAGGUCUGGUCGCUACAAGAUGGUAUCAGAGCACACGCUGACUGUAGGACACGACCACUAAGCUAAAGCCCUAGAUCACUACUCUCUUCUCAUUUCUGACUCCUCUCCAUUUUUAUACUCUUUAGGAUGGCGGACGCAAGGAACAAGUUUGCACAACCGGAUGAAGAAACACCCUUUGGACGACACUUGAAGGAAGUCACUAGGUACCUGAACAUUGGCAUACCAAGCUUCACCGGGACUUACAACGCCACUUUACCAGAAGAGGAGCACUGGAUGAUUCAAGUUCAAGUUCCAGGAAGGACAUUUACGCCAGUCACUGAGCCCAUAGAGUUUUCCUUCGAUGCACCAACCUAGAGUUUAGGAAAGAGUAUGGCAGCCCACAUCACCAUGGGAUGCAUUGGAGAAGUUUACCACAAGGAUCUCAAGGAUACUAUCUACUAUAUUUGUGGGUGCCGAGAUGAGCAAUGGGAGAUGAUCAGCACCAGGAAGGAUAGAUUCAUUGCCGCUUUCAUCCAGGAGUUAAACCAGCACAUUCGUCGCUAGGAGAACCAGAUGUGCGCAGGCAUGAUAGAUCUGAAGAAGGCGAUGACAAGGAUCACGAAGCUUGAAGAAGAACUCAAGGCAACUCGCGAAGAUUAUGAGGAGGAAAUCGUCGUACUAGUGGAGAAGAAUGAUGACCUGACAAGGAAGCUAGGAGUAUUCAUGGGAGACCUCGCGCCAGGAGGAGAAGAUGACGGUUCCACUUGCCCGGAGAACUACAUCAUCAUCAACGACACCGACUCGGACCCCGACGAUAGCGAUGAUGACUAUGUUGAUGAAGCUGGAGCAGAUAUCAUGGAGUCUUCGACCGAUCAAUAUUUCUAGUUGACCACCAUAUUAGUAGUAGUAUUCCACCAUGUAUAUAGUAUAGUCGGAGCACUUUUGUAACGAUAGUUCUAGACUGAUUGUAUGCCCUUGCUUGAUUGAUUGAGUGAUAUGAUUGUGUUUGUCUCAUGUGCAUAUGGGUAGUGUUUUCUCACUAGACCUCAUUCUAUUCUAUUUCUCUUCCCUCUAAACCCUCAGAUGCCUCCGAGAUGUGACCCCGUAUUUAGCUUUCCACUAGAGCUCACUCAGUUGAUCCAGCAGCAGAAUACCCUGAUGCAGUUGUUAGUUCAGAACCAAGGCAACAACAACAACAACAACAACCCACCACCACCACCACCAAUUGACAACUUAGCCCGUUUUCUGAGGUUGCAGCCACUGGUGUUUUCCAGUAGCACCGAGCCGAUAGUGGCAGAUGAUUGGCUCCGCAGGAUUGGAAGGGAGUUAACCACUGUAGGAUGCAUAGAUGCUGAGAAUGUGCGUUUUGCCGGACACCAAUUGGAUGGACCAGUAGCCUCAUGGUGGGAGAAUUACACUGUCACCUAUCCUAUAGCCACUAUUACAUGGGACCAGUUCCAGCAGGCUUUUCGCACAGCCCAUGUAUCAGCAGGAGCUAUGGCCAUAAAGAAGCGUGAGUUUCGCAACUUACGCCAAGGAGGACGCACCAUUAGCCAGUAUGUGGAUGACUUUAGCAAGCUAGCACAUUAUGCCCCAGAUGACGUUGCUACGGAUGCAGCUAAGCAGGAGAAGUUUCUGGAAGGACUGAAUGAUGAGCUGAGCAUGCAGUUGAUGGUAGCAACCUUUAAUAACUACCAACAGUUGGUAGAUAGAGAUCUCAUGCUUGAAGGGAAGCACCAGCAGAUUGACAACCGCAAGAGGAAGUAUGGACAAGGGAAGUAUAAUUCUGGAGCUCAGCAGAGACCCUGUUUCACCCCGAACUCGGGAGGACCCUUACAGCAUAACCAUGGAGGUCACAAUCACACUGGAGGAAGUUCGCACAACCAUAGUGGCCCUAAGAACGGAAAUGGUAAUGGGGGAAGUAACGGACAGAACCGUUCCAACCCAGCAACGCCCGCCAAGAAAGAUCUAAGCCACGUUACUUGCUACAAGUGCCAGAAGACUAGACAUUAUGCCAAUGAAUGUCCUGAAGCUAAGAAUGGAAACGGCAAUGGAAGCUCUGGGAAGAAGCCCAACCCUUUCAACAGGGGACAAGUGAACCAUGUUAACGUGGAGGAGAUUGAAGCCCAGCCAGAUGCAGUAAUAGGUAUGUUUUUGGUUAAGUCAUUUACUACAGUCGUGCUUUCUGAUACUGCUGCAUCACAUUCAUACAUAUCAAGGGGAUUUGUGGAUAAGUAUAAACUGCCCACCAAAGUUCUUAGUACACCUAAGUUAGUGAGCUCGCCAGGGGCCGAGUAUAUGGCAAGCCAAGGAUGUUUUCAGAUGCCAUUGACCAUAGGUAGGCACGUUUUCCACUUAGAUCUGAUAAUUUUGGAGUCACAAGGUUUGGAUGUGAUUUUGGGUAUGGAUUGACUAUCGAUGUAGCGCCUUUGGUAGGUGGAAUUUGGUAAGGAAAAAUUUAUAUAGUGUGCUGAAAUUUACUGUCACUUGCUACUAUGGAAAGUAAUUCUCUGAGGGGCUUGUUCGGGGUAUCUUCACCCCGUCCAGUAGAGCAAAGAGUUGCUCCUCAACCUACUGAACCUAUUGAAAAUGAAACUCCUUUUGAAUUUCCUUCGGGUAUGAUGGAAAAACUGCUAGCUAACCCUUUUACAGGAGAUGGAACAAAGCAUCCUGAUGAGCACUUAAUAUAUGUGGAUGAAGUUUGUGGAUUAUUUAAGCUUGCAGGUAUACCUGAUGAUGUUGCUAAGAAGAAGGUCUUCCCUUUAUCUUUGAAGGGAGACACAUUGAUAUGGUAUAGGCUAUGUGAUGAUAUGAGAUCAUGGGACUAUAAAAGAUUGAAGUUGGAAUUUCAUCAGAAGUAUUACCCUAUGCAUCUUGUUCUUCGUGAUCGCAAUUAUAUAUAAAAUUUCUGGCCUUGCGAAGGAGAAAGCAUCGUUCAAGCUUGGGGGAGGCUUAAAUCAAUGUUAUAUUCAUGCCCCAAUCAUGAGCUCUCAAGAGAAAUGAUUAUUCAAAAUUUAUAUGCUCGGCUUUCUGAAAACAAUCGCACCAUGCUCGAUACUUCUUGUGCUGGCUCUUUUAUGAUGAAGACUACUGAAUUCAGAUGGAAUUUAUUGGAUAGAAUUAAAUGCAACUCUGAAGAUUGGGACCUCGACGAAGGUAAGGAGUCAGGUAUGACACCUAAGUUUGAUUGUGUUAAAUCUUUUAUGGACACCGAUAUUUUCCGUAAGUUUAGCACUAAAUAUGGACUUAACUCUGAGAUAGUAGCUUCUUUCUGUGAAUCUUUUGCUACUUAUGUUGAUCUCCCUAAGGAGAAGUGGUUUAAAUAUCAUCCUCCCAUAGAAGUAAAAGUAGCUGCACCUAUUAAAGUUGAAGAAAAGACUGUCACUUAUAAUGAUCCUAUUAUUCCUACUUCUUAUAUUGACAAACCACCUUUCCAUGUUAGAAUAAAGGAUCAAGCUAAAGCUUCAACUGUUGUUUGUAAGAGCAAUAUUAGAAAUUAUACACCUCCUGAGCAAGAUAAAGUAGAACCUAAUAUUGCUAUUGUUAAAGAUCUCUUGUCUGAUAAUAUUGAUGGGCAUGUUAUUCAGUUCGAAGGUGAAACUGCUAGAAUUGCUAAACCUUGUGCUAAAGAUAAGCAUAGACCUGUGGUAGGCGUGCCUGUUAUUUCUGUUAAAAUAGGAGAUCAUUGUUAUCAUGGCUUAUGUGAUAUGGGUGCAAGUGCUAGUGUUAUACCGCAUACUUUAUACAAAGAAAUUAAGAAUGAAAUUACACCUGCUGAGUUAGAAGGUAUUGAUGUCACAAUUAAACUUGCUAAUAGAGAUACUAUUUCACCAAUUGGAAUUGUUAGAGAUGUUGAAGUCUUGUGUGGGAAAACUAAAUAUCCCGCUGAUUUUCUUGUUCUUACUUCUCUGCAAGAUAGCUUUUGCCCCAAUAUAUUUGGUAGACCCUUCUUAAAUACUAUCAAUGCUACCAUAGAUUGCAAAAAGAAUGUUGUUACUGUUGGCUUGGAUGAUAUGGUUCAUGAGUUUAAUUUCUCUAAAUUUAGUAAACAACAUCGUGAGGAAGAAUUACCUAGUAAGGAUGAAAUUAUUGGUCUUGCUUCUAUUGCCGUACCUCCUAGUGAUCCUUUAGAACAUUAUUUGCUAGACCAUGAAAAUGAUAUGUUCAUGAAUGAAAGAAGGGAAAUAGACGAAGUAUUCUUUAAACAGGAACCUAUUUUGCAACAUAAUUUGCCUGUUUAAAUCUUAGGGGAUCCUCCUCCACCCAAGGGUGAUCCCGUGUUUGAGCUUAAACCGUUGCCUGAUAAUCUUAAAUAUGCUUAUCUUGAUGAAAAGAAGAUAUGUCCUGUUAUUAUUAGUGCUAACCUUUCAGAGCAUGAAGAAGAAAUAUUAUUGAAAACUCUGAAGAAGCAUCAUGCUGCUAUUGGAUAUACUCUUGAUGGUCUUAAGGGCAUUAGUCCCACUCUAUGUCAACAUAAAAUAAAUUUGGAAGCAGAUGCCAACCCAGUUCGUGAUCCUCAACAAUGUCUGAAUCCUAAAAUGAAAGAAGUGGUCAGAAAAGAAAUACUAAAGCUUCUGGAGGCAGGUAUAAUCUAUCCCGUUGCUGAUAGUGAGUGGGUAAGUCCUGUCCAUUGUGUCCCUAAGAAGGGAGGUAUUACUGUUGUUCCUAAUGAUAAAGAUGAAUUGAUUCCACAAAGAAUUAUCAUAGGCUAUAGGAUGGUAAUUGAUUUCCGUAAAUUAAAUAAAGCUACUAAGAAAGAUCAUUACCCCUUACCUUUUAUUGAUCAAAUGCUAGAAAGAUUAUGCAAACAUACACAUUAUUGCUUUCUAGAUGGUUAUUCUGGUUUCUCUCAAAUACCUGUGUCGGCUAGAGAUCAAUCAAAGACUACUUUUACAUGCCCUUUUGGUACUUUUUCUUAUAGACGUAUGCCUUUUGGUUUAUGUAAUGCACCUGCUACCUUUCAAAGAUGCAUGAUGGCUAUAUUCUCUGACUUUUGUGAAAAUAUUUGUGAGGUUUUCAUGGACGAUUUCUCCGUCUAUGGUUCCUCUUUUGAUGAUUGCUUGAGCAAUCUUGAUCAAGUUUUGCAGAGAUGUGAAGAAACUAAUCUUGUCUUGAAUUGGGAAAAGUGCCACUUUAUGGUUAAUGAAGGUAUUGUCUUGGGGCAUAAAGUUUCUAAAAGAGGUACUGAAGUUGAUAAAGCCAAGGUCGAUGCUAUUGAAAAGAUUCCAUGUCCCAAGGACAUCAAAGGUAUAAGAAGUUUCCUUGGUCACGCUGGAUUUUAUAGGAGGUUCAUUAAGGACUUCUCAAAAAUUUCCCGGCCUCUGACUAAUUUAUUGCAAAAUGAUAAUACCAUUUGUCUUUGAUGAUGAUUGUUUAGAAGCAUUUGAAAUACUUAAGAAAGCAUUAGUCUCUGCACCUAUUGUUCAGCCACCUGAUUGGAAUUUACCCUUUGAAAUUAUGUGUGAUGCUAGUGAUUAUGUUGUAGGUGCUGUUCUAGGGCAAAGAGUUGAUAAGAAAUUAAAUGUUAUUCAUUAUGCUAGUAAGACUCUAGACAAAGCUCAAAGAAAUUAUGCUACUACCAAAAAAGAGCUUUUAGCAGUUGUAUUUGCUUGUGAUAAGAUCAGAUCUUAUAUUGUUGAUUCUAAAGUAACUAUUCAAACUGAUCAUGCUGCUAUUAAAUACCUUAUUGAAAAGAAAGAUGCUAAACCUAGACUUAUUAGAUGGGUUCUCUUUCUACAAGAAUUUGAUUUGCAUAUUGUUGAUAGAAAGGGAGCUGAGAACCCCGUUGCAGACAACUUGUCUAGGCUAGAAAAUAUUCUUGAUGACCCACUACCUAUUAACGAUAGCUUUCCUAAUGAACAAUUAAAUGCUAUAAGUACUUCUCGUAGUACUCCAUGGUAUGCUGAUUAUGCUAAUUAUAUUGUUGCUAAGUUUAUACCACCUAGCUUCACAUACCAACAAAAGAAAAAGGUUUUCUAUGAUUUGAGACAUUACUUUUGGGAUGACCCACAUCUUUAUAAAGAAGGAGUAGAUGGUGUUAUUAGACGUUGUGUACCUGAGCAUGAACAGGAACAGAUCCUACGCAAGUGUCAUUCCGAGGCUUAUGGAGGACACCAUGCUGGAGAUAGAACUGCACAUAAGGUAUCGCAAUCUGGUUUUUAUUGGCCUACUCUCUUCAAGGAUGCCCGUAAGUUUGUCUUGUCUUAUGAUGAAUGUCAAAGAAUUGGUAAUAUUAGUAGAUGUCAAGAAAUGCCUAUGAAUUAUUCUCUUGUUAUUGAACCAUUUGAUGUUUGGGGCUUUGAAUAUAUGGGACCUUUUCCUGCCUCUAAUGGAUACACACAUAUUCUAGUUGCUGUUGAUUACGUUACUAAGUGGGUAGAAGCUAUUCCAACUAGUAGUGCUGAUCAUAACACUUCUAUUAAAAUGCUUAAAGAAGUUAUUUUUCCAAGGUUUGGAGUCCCUAGAUAUUUAAUGACUAAUGGUGGUUCACACUUUAUUCAUGGUGCUUUCCGUAAAAUGCUUGCUAAAUAUGAUGUUAAUCAUAGAAUUGCAUCUCCUUAUCACCCACAGUCUAGUGGUCAAGUAGAGUUGAGCAAUAGAGAGCUCAAAUUAAUUUUGCAAAAGACUGUUAAUAGGUCUAGAAAGAAUUGGUCCAAGAAACUUGAUGAUGCAUUAUGGUCUUAUAGAACUGCAUACAAAAAUCCUAUGGGUAUGUCUCCGUAUAAAAUGGUUUAUGGAAAAGCAUGACACUUACCUCUCGAACUAGAACAUAAGGCAUAUUGGGCUAUUAAAGAGCUUAAUUAUGAUUUUAAACUUGCCGGUGAGAAGAGGUUAUUUGAUAUUAGCUCACUUGAUGAAUGGAGAACCCAAGCUUAUGAAAAUGCCAAGUUGUUUAAAGAAAAAGUUAAAAGAUGGCAUGACAAAAGGAUACAAAAGCAUGAGUUUAAUGUAGGUGAUUAUGUAUUCCUAUACAACUCUCGUUUAAGAUUUUUUGCAGGAAAACUUCUCUCUAAAUGGGAAGGCCCCUAUGUUAUCGAAGAGGUCUAUCAUUCCGGUGCCAUAAAAAUAAACAACUUUGAGGGUACAAAUCCGAAGGUGGUAAAUGGUCAAAGAAUCAAACAUUAUAUCUCAGGUAAUUCCAUAAAUGUUGAAACCAACAUUAUUGAAACCAUAACCCUGGAGGAAUACAUAAGAGACACUUUCCGGAAUGUUUCAGAGUCCGAAAAGGAAUAGGUAUGUGGUACAGUAAGUAAACCGACUCCAAAACAAUUUUUAAGGCAAUAUUUCUCCGUCUUGGAAUAUUUAGACAAAUAGAAAAAUAAGUAGCAGUCCAGGAAGGACACGAGGGCCCCACGAGAGUGGUGGGCACGCCCUACCCCCUAGGCGCGCCCCCCUACCUCGUGAGCACCUCGCAUGCCUUCCGGACUCCGUUUUCUUGCACGUUACGUAUUUUGGUCGGUAAAAAUUCAUUAUAUAUUCUCCCGAAGGUUUUGACUCCCGUAUAACGCAAAUAUCCUAUGUUUUUGUUUCGAGCUAUCCCGUUGCAGAUUAAAUCAACAUGUCUUCCCAGGAUUCGGAAGGAGAAAGCUAUGUGGAUGAUUACUUAGCAAAUCCCAAGGUCUAUGGAGAUGUGGAACACGAUGGAUGGACCACGAAGGAAGAAUAGGACUUUGAACCCAAGGGGAAGGAGGAGACGAGCUCAGAUGAAGAUGAAGCACCAUUACCUCAACCUGGGGACAUGCACGUGGAAUUCAAAAAGUCAAGUCUCCCGGAUAGGGUAAAGAAACCCAAGUUCGAGUUUAUCCCUUUUCCUCUCUUGCAGGAAAAUAAGAAGGACCUAUGCAAGAAGAUAUUAACCCUGGAGUGGGAGAUUGAUGAUCUGGGGGAUCAAAAUGCCGUCCUCAAGCGCAAAUUAAGGGAGAAGCCUAAGCCAUCAACUAAGCCAACAUCAUCACCACCUUUUUCACCGACAACAAAGAAGGAGACAUAAUCACAUGGGUAUGGGCACUCCCCUUGGCAACUGCCAAGCUUGGGGGAGGUGCCUCGGUAUCGUAUCACAAUCACAACUCCUAUCUUUACCAUUUUUCUUAGUUCGAUCCUAUUAGUAGUAUCGUGAUUUAGUAGAAUAAAGUUUAUGGCAUGAUCUAGUUUUGAGUUUUGCUUUAUGAUCUCUCUUUGUAAUCGAGUCCGUGAGCUAUAUAUAAUAAAGAUUAGUGUUGAGUCAAGGGCUUGAUUAUUUUGCCAUGAUCUUGGGUGAAUAAAAGAAAAGAGAACAAGAACAAAAAGAAACAAAAAGUUCAUAUUGAUCUUAUUGAGAGUAAUGACUUCACAUAGAAAGAGUAUGAUGAUUAAAAGUUGUUGGGAGUUGGCAAACAUAGCUUUGGUCAUUGUUGCAAUUAAUAGGAAGUAAUAAGGAAAGAGAGGUUUUCACAUAUAGAUAUAUUAUCAUUGACAUCUUGUAUGAUUGGGAGCACUCAUUAAAAUAUAAAAUGCUAAAGAGUUGAUGUUGGACAAGGAAGACAACGUAAUGAGUUAUGUCUUUCUUAUAUCUGAGAUAAAGUAUGUUGUCAUGGAUCCUCUAACUUGUUGAGCUUGCCUUUCCCCCUCAUGCUAGCCAAAUUCUCAGCACCAAGUAGAAAUACUACUUGUGCUUCCAAAUACCCUUAAAACCAGUUUUGCCAUGAGAGUCCACCAUAUCUACCUAUGGAUUGAGUAAGAUCAUCCUUCAAGUAAGUUUUCAUCAGUGCAAAGAAAUAAAAAUUGCUCUAAAUAUGUAUGAUUGAUUAGUGUGGGAGAAAUAAGCUGUAUACGAUCUUGUGAUGUGAAAGUAAUAAAAGCGAUGGACUGCAUAAUAAAGGUUCAUAUCACAAGGGGCAAUAUAAAGUGACGUUCUUUCGCCUUGAGAUUUUAUGCAUCCAACCAUAAAAGCGCAUGGCAACCUCUGCUUCCCUCUGUGAAGGGCCUAUCCUUUAUUAUUAUCUUCUACCUUAUGCAAGAGUCAUGGUGAUCUUCACCUUUUCUUUUUCAUUUUAUCCUUUGGCAAGCUCAGCAUGUUGGAAAGAACAUGAUAUAUAUAUCUAAUUGGAUGUAGGGGAGCAUGAACCAUUAUUGUUGACAAUACCCUUGAGGUAAAAGGUUGUGGGGCAAAACUAUAAGCCCCUAUCUUUCUCUGUGUCCGAUUAAAACUCCAUAAGCACAAGUAUUGCGUGAGUGUUAGCAAUUAUGGAGGACUAAAUGAUAGUUGAGUAUGUGGACUUGCUUUUUAGCUCUGACAUAGACUCUUUCCGAUGUUAUGAUAAAUUAGAAUUGCUUCAAUGACUGAGAUUAUAGUUUGUCGGAGCCCAAUAAGGUUUAUGAUUCAUACUUUUGCAUUGUGAAUAGAUCAUCACUUGAACAUAAGUAAUCAUAUGACAAAAUCUAUAUAUGUUGUUGUUAUGAGAAUAAUCAUGAUGCCUUCAUGUCCGUAUUUUAUUUUUUUAUCGACGCCUCUACCUCUAAACAUGAGGACAUAUUUAUUGUUAUCGGCUUUUAGCUUGAGGACAAGCGAGGUCUAAGCUUGGGGGAGUUGAUACGUCCAUUUUGCAUCAUGCUUUUAUAUCGAUAUUUAUUGCAUUAUGGGCUGUUAUUUCAUUUUAUGUCACAAUACUUAUGGCUAUUCUCUCUUAUUUUACAAGGUUUUCAUAAGGAGGGAGAAUGCCGGAAGCUGGAAUUCUGGGCUGGAAAAGGAGCAAAUAUUAGAGACCUAUUCUGCGCAACUCUAAAAGUCCUGAAACUCCACGGAACAUCUUAAAAUAAAUAAAGAAAAAUCCUCGCCAAAGAUGAAGGCCAGGGGGCCCACACCCUGCUCACGAGGGUGGGGGGCGUCCCCCCUAGGGUGCGCCCCCUACCUCGUGGGCCCCCUGGUGGCUCUCCGACGUCCAUCUUCUCCUAUAUGAGGUUUUUCGAUGAGAAAAAAAUAAGAAGGAACGUUUCGGGAUGAGACUCCACCGCCACGAGGCGGAACCUUGGCGGAACCAAUCUAGAGCUCCGGCAGAGCUGUUCUGCCGGGGAUACUUCCCUCCGGGAGGGGGAAUUCAUCACCAUCGUCAUCAACAACGCUCCUCUCAUCGGGAGAGGGCAAUCUCCAUCAACAUCUUCACCAGCACCAUCUCAUCUCCAAACCCUAGUUCAUCUCUUGUAUCCAAUUCUUGUCUGAAAGUCUGGGAUUGGUGCUAGUAGGUUGCUAGUAGUGUUGAUUAGUCCUUGUAGUUGAUGCUAGUUGGUUUAUUUGGUGGAAGAUCAUAUGUUCAGAUCCUAUAUGCAUAUUAUUACCCCUCUGAUUAUGAACAUGAAUAUGCUUUGUGAGUAAUUACGUUUGUUCCUGAGGACAAGGGAGAAGUCUUGCUAUUAGUAGUCAUGUGAAUUUGGUAUUCGUUUGAUAUUUUGAUAAGAUGUAUGUUGUCUAGCCUCUAGUGGUGUUAUGUGAACGUCGACUACAUAACACUUCACCAUUAUUUGCGCCUAGAGGAAGGCAUUGGGAAGUAAUAAGUAGAUGAUGGGUUGCUAGAGUGACAGAAGCUUAAACCCUAGCUUAUGCGUUGCUUCGUAAGGGGCUGAUUUGGAUCCAUAUGUUUCAUGCUAUGGUUAGGUUUACCUUAAUACUUUUGUUGUAGUUGCGGAUGCUUGCAAUAAAGGUUAAUCAUAAGUGGGAUGCUUGUUCAAGUAAGAACAACACCCAAGCACCGGUCCACCCACAUAUCAAAUUAUCAAAGUAUCGAACGCGAAUCAUAUGAACAUGAUGAAAACUAGCUUGAUGAUAUUCCCAUGUGUCCUCGGGAGCGCGUUUCCUAUUAUAAGAGUUUGUUCUGGCUUGUCCUUUGCUACAAAAGGAUUGGGCCACCUUGCUGCACUUUAUUUACUUUUGUUACUUGUUGCUUGUUACAAUUUAUCCUAUCACAAAACUAUCUGUUACCACUUAUUUCAGUACUUGCAGAGAAUACCUUGCUGAAACCGCUUAUCAUUUCCUUCUGCUCCUCAUUGGGUUCGACACUCUUACUUAUCGAAAGGACUACGAUAGACCCCCUGUACUUGUGGGUCAUCAGGUAUUAGAGAGGGCCUUCAGAGCAUAGGUUCCUGAAAGGAAGAAAAUGGUAAAGAUAUACGGGUCCUGAGGUGGUUGAGCCUCAUUGUGGGCCGUUCCAUAGCCAUGCCUCUGCCUAUGCCCAUGGUAUCUUGAGUGCGUAAUUAUGUACGCGCGGCGCAAAUUUCGCCGCUUGACUGGGACUAGGACGGAGGCCGAAUUGCUAGGCGAGCUCUGAACGUGCCGGGCGAUCCUAUUGCAGGGUACUCCAGACUCGCUUGAAGGUGUCCGGGGGCUUUAUCGCCGAAUUGGCGGUUUGCCUCAGAAGGCUGCUUUGUACUUCUGCUGCGAGGGCCGCAGUGUGCUCCUCCGUACAGAGCGAGCAUUCUGUGUUUCCAUUAACUGUUAUAACCCCGCGAGGUCCUGGCAUUUUGAGCUUGAGGUAUGCAUAAUGCGGUACUUCAUUGAAUCUGGCGAAUGCGGUUCGUCCGAGCAAUGCGUGAUAGCCACUGCGGAGGGGGACAAUAUCGAAGAUCAACUCCUCGCUUUGGAAGUUGUCCGGGGAUCCGAAGACCACUUCCAGUGUGAUUGAGCCCAUGCAGCAGGCCUCUACACCUGGUAUGACACCUUUAAAGGUGGUUUUUGUGGGUUUGUUCCUCAAGGGGUCGAUACCCAUCUUGCGCACUGUAUCCUGAUAGAGCAGGUUCAGGCUGCUGCCACCGUCCAUAAGGACUCGAGUGAGGUGAAAUCCGUCAAUGAUGGGGUCAAGGACCAAUGCGGCAGAACCGCCAUGACGGAUACUGGUAGGGUGGUCCCUGCGAUUGAAAGUGAUCGGACAAGAAGACCAUGGGUUGAACUUUGGGGCGACUGGCUCCAUCGCAUAGACAUCCCUUAGUGCACGCUUCCGUUCCCGCUUGGGAAUAUGGGUUGCGUAUAUCAUGUUCACCAUUUUCACUUGGGGAGGAAAUUUUUCUGUCCUCAUGUGUUCGGCGGCCGGGGCUCCUCCUCAUCGUCUCUAUGCAGCCCCUUUUCCUUGUUUUCGGUAUUCAACUUGCCGGUCUGUUUGAACACCCAGCAUUCUCUGUUGGUGUGGUUGGCUGGUUUAUCGGGGGUGCCAUGAAUUUGACACAAGCGAUCGAGUAUGCGGUCCAAACUGGACGGGCCCGGAUUGCUUCUUUUGAAUGGAUUUUUCCGUUGAUCGGAUUUAGAGCCACUGAAUCCGGCAUUGACUGCCAUGUCUUCGGCGUUUUCGCCGUUGUUGUGGCGCUUGUGUCUGUUGCGACGUGGCUUGCCGUUGCUAUCUUUGGCAUCUGAAUUGCCAGGAUUUCUUGAUGUGUUGUUGCUGCGAGCCAGCCAGCUGUCCUCGCCCGCACAAAAGCGGGUCAUGAGUGUCGUGAGGGCUGUCAUGGUCUUCGGCAUCUCUUGGACAAGGUGUCGGGUGAGCCACUCAUCGCGGAUGUUAUGCUUAAAUGCUGCUAAGGCUUCGGCAUCCGGACAGUCAAUAAUUUGGUUCUUUUUGGUUAGGAACCGGGUCCAGAAUUUCCUGGAUGAUUCCCCGAGCUAUUGGGUUAUGUGACUCAAGUCAUCAGCAUCCGGUGGUCACACAUAAGUGCCCUGGAAGUUGUCAAGGAAUGUGUCUUCCAAGUUCUCCCAACUGCCAAUGGAGUUUGCCGGCAGGCUAUUCAGCCAAUGUCGAGUCGGCCCUUUGAGUUUUAGUGGGAGGUACUUGAUGGCAUGUAGAUCGUCACCGCGGGCCAUGUGGAUGUGGAGGAGGAAAUCUUCAAUCCAUACCGCGGGGUCUGUUGUACCAUCAUAUGAUUCAAUGUUCACGGGUUUAAACCCUUCUGGCAAUUCGUGAUCCAUUACUUCAUCAGUGAAGCAUAGGGGGUGUGCGGUGCCUCUGUGCCGGGCUAUGUCACGACGCAGUUCAUACGAGUCUUGUCUGCUGUAUUCGGCCCGGCUGGAUUUGCUUUUAGUAUAUCCGUCGUGACGGUUGUCGUCAUGCGUUGGGGUGCGCCCCCGUGAUCCGUAGAUCGAUCUUGUAUGUCCUGCUUUGUUUUCCAAUAAGUCUCGCAGGUCCUGCGUGUAGCCCCGGGCCUUGGUGUUUUUGUUUGACUGGCAACAGGGUGCAGGCUGGACUUCAGGCUGAUAUAUGCCUCUUUGUCUAGGCAACGAGGUGGCCGGUUAGCCGCAUCAUAUACUGGUAGUGUAGGCUUUAAUGCUUCCUCCUCCAGUUGGGGUAGCAACCUGCGCUUUUGGUAACUUUUGGUUGGGCGCUCGAGUUCGUAUUCCUCGGCUGCCAGGACCUCGGUCCAUCUAUCCGCUAGCAGAUCUUGACCAGCUUGAAGCCGUUGCUGCUUUUUCUUCAGGAUUUUUGCUGUGGCUAUAAGCCGGCGCUAGAAGCGCUCCUGCUCGACGGGAUUCUCGGGCACGAUAAAUUCUUCGUCGCCAAGGCUCACCUCGUCUUCGGAGAGGGGCAUGUAAUUGUCAUCCACUGAUUCUCCGUCUGUCGCCUGUUCCUUAGGGCAAGCUUGCCCAUCCUCCCGCUCGAAGCCUGGCUGGAGGGGAUUGUAUUCGUCUUCGGCACUAUCCGCAGCGUUAUUGUCUCUUGUGCCGGUAUCGCUGAUUUUGCUAUGGCGGGGCUUAGAGCAGCAUCGAUGACGCCGGUGCUUAGAUUGCUUCUCGAGGGGAUUAUCCUCCCUUGACUUAUUGCCAUCGCUUUCUUUGGGGGUGUCCACCAUGUAUAUAUCAUAUGAUGAGGUGGUUGUCCAGCGCCCUGUGGGUAGUGGUUCCUGUUCUUCUCCUGCAUCGUCGUCCAUACUGUCUAAGUCUUCGGAGCCGAAAUCAAGCAUGUCGGUUAAGUCGUCGACAGUGGCUAUUAAGUGGGUGGUGGGUGGGGAAUGAAUUUAUUCGUCGUCUGCUUCCCACUCAAGUCGUACAUAGUUCCGCCAAGGGUCUCUUGACAAGGAGAGAUACCUCAAUGAAUUUAGCACGUCGCCCAAGGGCGAGUGCUGAAAGAUAUCCGCGGAGGUAAACUCCAUGAUUGGUGCCCAAUCAGAUUCGAUAGGCAUGGACGCAGGCGGUUCGGAGCCUGUGGCCGGGGACGAAUCCAAGGUUCCGGCAACACAGGUCUCAUAGGAGGUGAAGUCAGUAUUCGACUCUAUCGCCGCUGAGUGUGCGGCCUCCGUGACGGGGUCCAUCCCCCCGUCCUCGGACGGCAUGAUCUGCUCCAGAUUGAGGACCGGAGUAGCCACAUGUGUGAUCUCCCGAACACCGCCCGACAGCAGAGCUAAGUCAUGCUCGUCAUGACUGUGCGGCGCACCUGACAUGGGCUCGAAUCCGUCAAAGAUCAAGUCUCCACGGAUGUCAGAAGUAUAGUUCAAGCUUCCAAACCUGACCUGAUGGCCAGGGGUGUAGCUCCCGAUCUGCUCUAGAUGGCCAAGCAAGUUGGCCCGCAGUACGAAGCUGCCGAAUAUGAAGAUUUGUGCGAGAAAAAAACCUCACCCUGGAUCGCAUCGUUGCCGAUGAUCGAAGGAGCCAUCAAGCCUUUACGUGACGGUAUAGUGGAACUCUCAAUGAAAGCACCAAUGUCGGUGUCAAAACUGGCGGAUCUCGGGUAGGGGGUCCCGAACUGUGUGUCUAAGGCUGAUGGUAACAGGAGGCGGGGGACACAAUGUUUACCCAGGUUUGGGCCCUCUUGAUGGAGGUAAUACCCUACUUCCUACUUGAUUGAUCUUGAUGAUAUGAGUAUUACAAGAGUUGAUCCCAUGAGAUCGUAGAGGCUAAACCCUAGAAGCUAGCCUAUGAUUCUGAUUGUUGUUGUCCUACGGACUAAACCCUCCGGUUUAUAUAGACACCAGAGGGGGCUAGGGUUACACAGAGUCGGUUACAUAGAAGGAGAUCUAAAUAUCCGAAUCGCCAAGCUUGCCUUCCACGCAAAGGAGAGUCCCACCCGGACAUGGGAUGAAGCCUUCAAUCUUGUAUCUUCAUAGUCCAACAGUCCGGCCAAAGUAUAUAGUCCGGCUGUCCGAGGACCCCUAAUCCAGGACUCCCUCACCGGUCAUGAGUGUAUUGACAUGACUCUUGCGGCUCAACACAUUGGCUACUAUGUUAGCCUUUCCGGGAUGAUAGUGCAACUCCAUAUCAUAAUCCUUUAUGAGUUCCAACCAUCUCCUCUGCCUAAGAUUCAACUCCUUCUGCGUGAAGAUAUACUUCAAACUCUUGUGAUCCGUGUAUACCUCACAAUAAUUUCCAAUGAGAAAAUAUCUCCAAUUCUUCAACGCAUGCACUACGGCUGCUAACUCCAAAUCAUGGGUAGCAUAAUUCAACUCAUGGGGUUUAAGCUGUCGUGAGGCAUAUGAAACAACUCUUCCUUCCUGCAUAAACACUGCUCCAAGUCCUCGACGAGAAGCGUCGCAAUACACUUCAUAAUCUUUGCGUUGAUCGGGCAGAAUCAACAAUGGUGAUGUAACCAAACGUUUCUUCAAUUCCAGAAAACUAGCCUCACAUUCCUCAGUCCAUUUGAACUUGGUGUCCUUCUUCAACAACUCCAUCAUAGGCUUUGCAAUCUUCUAGAAAUUCUCAAUGAACCUCUGGUAGUAUCCUGCGAGUCCAAGAAAACUCCGGAUCUCUCCAACUGACAUGGGUGCCUCCCAAUUUGUCAUAGUGACGACCUUGUUGGGGUCUACUGCUAUUCCUUCUCCGGAUAUAACAUGUCCAAGGAAUCCAACUUCCUUCAACCAAAACUCACACUUGUUGAACUUGGCGUAUAGCUGAUGUUCUCUGAGCUUCCCAAGUACCAAACGCAAAUGCUCCUAAUGCUCCUCUUCAUUCUUCGAGUAGACCAGAAUAUCAUCAAUGAACACCACAACGAACUUAUCUAAAAACUCCAUAAACACCUUAUUCAUCAUGUUCAUGAAAUAGGGAGGUGUGUUAGUUAGGCCAAAUGACAUAACGGUAUACUCAUAUAGCCCGUACCUUGUGGUAAAAGUUGUCUUAGGUAUAUCAUGCUCUUGAAUAUUCAACUGGUGGUACCCUGCCCGCAGAUCGAUCUUGGAAAACACCUUAGCUCCUUGUAGCUGAUCAAACAAAUCAUUGAUCAUCGGUAGGGGGUACUUGUUCAUGAUCGUCACCUCAUUCAAUCCUCGAUAAUCAACAACCAUCCUCAACGAUCCAUCCUUCUUGCCCACUAGAAGUACGGGUGAUCCCCAAGGUGACGAGCUUGGGCGAAUAUAUCAUUUAUCCAGUAACUCCUUAAUCUUCUUCUUAAUUUCUUCUAAAUCAUGUGCGGGCAUCCUGUACGGUCUCUUAGAUAUUGGCCCUGUGCCUGGUAAAAGCUCAGUCAAAAACUCAAUGUCCCUAUCCGGCGGCAUGCCUGGCAACUCUUCUGGAAAUACAUCCGGGAAAUCCUUCACCACUAGUACUUCCUCCUGUACAACUCCUGAUAAGGAAUUUACUUGAGUCCUAAUCGGCGCAUGCCGGGAUACAUACUUGAUCCUUCUUCCUUCUGGGGUGGUGAGCAAAAUAGACUUACUGGCGCAAUCAAUGUUUCCUCCAUACACUCCCCGGAAACGGCGCCAGAAAAGAGUCUUGAUGACCCACAAGUAUAGGGGAUCUAUCGUAGUCCUUUCGAUAAGUAAGAGUGUCGAACCCAACGAGGAGCAGAAGGAAAUGAUAAGCGGUUUUCAGCAAGGUAUUCUCUGCAAGUACUGAAAUAAGUGGUAACAGAUAGUUUGGUGAUAGGAUAAAUUGUAACGAGCAACAAGUAACAAAAGUAAAUAAAGUGCAGCAAGGUGGCCCAAUCCUUUUGUAGCAAAGGACAAGUCGGAACAAACUCUUAUAAUAGGAAAAGCGCUCCCGAGGACACAUGGGAAUAUCGUCAAGCUAGUUUUCAUCACGUUCAUAUGAUUCGCAUUCGAUACUUUGAUAAUUUAAUAUGUGGGUGGACCGGUGCUUGGGUGCUGUUCUUACUUGAACAAGCAUCCCACUUAUGAUUAACCUCUAUCGCAAGCAUCGGCAACUACAACAAAAGUUUUAAGGUAAACCUAACCAUAGCAUGAAACAUAUGGAUCCAAAUCUGCUCCUUACGAAGCAACGCAUAAACUAGGGUUUAAGCUUUUGUCACUCUAGCAACCCGUCAUCUACUUAUUAGUUCCCAAUGCCUUCCUUUUGGCCCAAAUAAUGGUGAAGUGUUAUGUAGUCGACGUUCACAUAACACCACUAGAGGCUAGACAACAUACAUCUUAUCAAAAUAUCAAACGAAUACCAAAUUCACAUGACUACUAAUAGCAAGACUUCUCCCUUGUCCUCAGGAACAAACAUAAUUACUCACAAAGCAUAUUCAUGUUCAUAAUCAUAGGGGCAAUAAUAUGCAUAUAGGAUCUGAACAUAUGAUCUUCCACCAAAUAAACCAACUAGCAUCAACUACAAGGAGUAAUCAAUACUACUAGCAACCUACUAGCACCUAUCCCGGACUUUGAGACAAGAAUUGGAUACAAGAGAUGAAAUAGGGUUUGGAGAUGAGAUGGUGCUGGUGAAGAUGUUGAUGGAGAUUGCCCUCUCCCGAUGAGAGGAGCGUUGGUGAUGACGAUGGUGAUGAUUUCCCCCUCCCGGAGAGAAGCAUCCCCGGCAGAACAGCUUUGCCGGAGCUCUAGAUUGGUUCCGCCAAGGUUCCGCCUCGUGGCGGCGGAGUCUCAUCCCGAAAAGUUCCUUAUUAUUUUUUCCUCAUCGAAAAACCUCAUAUAGGAGAAGAUGGACGUCGGAGAGCCACCAGGGGGCCCACGAGGUAGGGGGCGCACCCUAGGGGGAACGCCCCCCACCCUCGUGAGCAGGGUGUGGGCCCCCUGGCCUUCAUCUUUGGCGAGGAUUUUUCUUUAUUUAUUUUAAGAUGUUCCGUGGAGUUUCAGGACUUUUAGAGUUGCGCAGAAUAGGUCUCUAAUAUUUGCUCCUUUUCCAGCCUAGAAUUCCAGCUUCCGGCAUUCUCCCUCCUUAUGAAAACCUUGUAAAAUAAGAGAGAAUAGCCAUAAGUAUUGUGACAUAAAAUGAAAUAACAGCCCAUAAAUGCAAUAAAUAUCGAUAUAAAAGCAUGAUGCAAAAUGGACGUAUCAAUACCCUGAUUAUCGGACCCUUCACGGGAAGGAAACACCAAGGAAGCAAGAAGCUUUGACGUACAAGGGAAUCCCCAGGUGGUCUCUGAUAACGAUCGCUAUACAUGUUUUACAUACCCACACGCAGCCUGCCCUUGGAUAGGACAUGUCAAAUAGUGCUAUCAUUUAAAUAACAAUGUACUGCGUUACCUUAUUAUUGUAUUUCUUCAUCUUUUUCCCCUGUCCCCUUAUUUACGACAAAUUGCAACCGUACAUUCUGGUAUGUCCAGUGCGCUAGGGGCUUCAGUGUACCCCAUAACAUGGCAAGAAAAGUCCAAACACUAUCGACAGUGCGGCACCCCGAACUUAUAGCAUUAUAUGCAUCAGCUCCGAAUCAUGUCUUGGGUCAAUAGUUGGGUUUGCCUGGCUCCCAUGUUUUGGUACCUUACGUUUCGCUAUAUCGGCUAAGGUAGCACUGGGAGAACUACUGCGAUUGUGUCCCGGUUCUUCUAGACGAGCACCUCAGUAGAGAAAGACAAAAACUGACUAUCAUGAUGCGGCGAGAUCUGGUUGCUAUUCGCGAGGUCUCAAAUCCUUAAAGAUUUUUUCCUCUUCGGGCAAGGAAUUGGCCUUGUUCGAUUUAGGCGUAUAUAGCGCCCCAAGUUCGACCUUCUGAAUACUAGGGGCUUCGCCAAAAUUUAAAAUUGUAGACUUCUAUGGCUAAGUGAGAGUGAUAAAGAUGUAUAGUCCGAUUGCCUUGUUCGCUGCGCUAAACACCUCCUUAAAGGACCAAUUUUUUUUGGAUAAAGAGUGUUUAGGAUUUAUCCUGAACACCUCAGUACUAGUUACAUGGGGGCAGAAGCCGACGACUGGCCAACUCUCAGAUUUUAUAAACGGCCGCACAGAAGGUAAUAUUUUAAAUCGACAAGCGUUAUAUAGCGCACAUGAACUCGUUUUCAUAUUACAGGAUCACAUGAGUACAUUCAUUCAAAUAUUACAUCCUUAGCACAUUCCUCCGCCACAAAGGCGGGCACCCUUUAGGACACUAUCAUAAUACUUUUUGGGAUGGCGAUGCUCCUUGCCCUCUGGUGGCCCCUCCUUCACCAGCUUCUCGGCGUCCAUCUUCUCCCAGUGCACUUUCGCACGGGCAAAGGCCCUGCGCGCACCUUCAAUGCAGACGGACCGCUUUAUGACUUCAAACUGUGGGCAGGCAUUCACAAGCCGCUUUAUCAGGCCGAAGUAGCUGCCAGGCAGGGGCUCGCCAGGCCACAUCCAGACUAUGAGACCCUUCAUGGCCAGUUCGGCCGCCUUGUGAAGCUUGAACAGUUGCUUCAGCUGGUCGCUCAAGGGAAUCGGAUGUUCGGUCCCAGUAUAUUGAGACCAAAACAACUUUUCCGUCGAGCUCCCUUCCUCGGCCCGGUAGAACUCCGCGGCAUCCGAUACGCUGCUGGGUAGGUCUGCGAACGCUUCUGGGGAGCUCCGAAUUCGGGUAAGUAAAAGGAAAGUUUCCUCCACAUGCUUGCUUUGCAUAAUGAAUGCCUUACCUGCCUCUAUCUUCUUGACCGCCUGAAUCUCCUGGAGGGCCUUUUGAGCUUCGACCAUGGCAUUUUGUGUGUUCUCGAGGGCCUUCGCAAGCUCGGACCCCUGCGUCUUAGAGUCACGCUCCAACGACUCGUAUUUGUUGACGAAAUCCUGGAGCUCUUGCUGAACCUCGCCGACUCGGGCUUCUUGCUUCUCGCGCUCGAUGCGCUCCUGGGCUACUUUGUCUUCGGCCUCGGACAGCGCCUUCUUCAGGGCCACCACUUCAGUCGUGGCCCCUAGCAAAAUUCAUGAUGAUCCUAUGAUCUAAUAACCACUUUUUUCUUUAUCAAUAUAUAGACGGGGUAUCACUUACCUUUAUUCCCUUCGAGCUGCCUCUUGGUAAGGCCGAGCUCUUCCUCAGACCACUCGAGGUCCCGCUUCAGUCCGCAGACCUCCGCAGUAUGAGCGGCAGCGGCUAGUAGCGAAGCCUGCUCAUUCACAUAGACAUAUUCUGAUUAGGCUCCUGUGAUUGUUAUUUGAUCCUCUGUUCGGCCUUUCUUUGCGAACACCAAACAGAGCAUCAGGGGCUAUUUUCUAUGUUGUGAUAUUUUCUCAUAAUUCGAUUACUUACCUCAAAGCCUGUUAGGAGGCUGGCACAGGCUUCGGUCAAUCCGCUUUUGGCGGACCGAACCUUCUCGACCACCGCACUCAUAAUAGUGUGGUGCUCUUCAUCAAUGGAAGCACCGCGAAGUGCUUCCAGCAAGUUGUCCAAUGCCUCUGGAUGGACAAAGGCCAUCGGCACAGAUGGCUCGCCCCCCUUAGCGAGGGGUCGCCUAACAGAAUCCAGAACCACUAGAGGUUCCGGCACAGUAUCCGGCUGGGGGCCAAACUUGCUGCGGCCCCUGUCAUUAGAACCCACGGGAGUCUUAACCCCCAUAUGCCCGGCAUCUGGGAUGUCGCCUUGGGGCUCCUCUAGAAUUAUCUCCCCUUGGUCCGGUGCCCUUUGAGACAACACCUCGAUGUUGUCCGUGGGCCGGGGGGAGGUGGCUGUCGGGAGUGAAUCGCUGUUCAUCGCUGACUGGCCCAAAGACUCACCCGAAGAGGAUACGUCGAUAUGGGCUUUGGAUGGACUGCAUGAUCAUGUUUGACAUGAUAAGAAGCAAUAAAACAAAACAUACCAGAACUAUUAUAGUAUGUGGAUACUUACGACUUCGCCAGGGGCUUGUCCCUGGGCAACCACUCCUCGUCGCUGUAAGUGGCCAUUGUGGAGUGGUCCAGAAGGAGGGUCCUUCCCUUCUUGGACCCUUCAGCCUCCCCUAAUGGGGCGGCUUUCCUUUACUUGCCCCCCCGGUUGGGGGCGGGAGAACUUUCCUCUUCCUCCUCCGCGUUUUCGUGGGAGGAGUGCGCCUCGGUGUUUUCGGACGAUGAGUCCGAUCCAACCUUGCGCCGGAGACCUUUCCUGGUGCCCGCGGCCUUCUUCUUGGCCUUCUUCUCCGGCUCCUCAUAGGGCGCCGGAACCAGCAUCUCUGUUAAGAGAGCCCUUGCUGGAUCUUCGGGCAGUGGGGCCGGACAAUCGAUCCGCUCCGCUGUCGCUACCCAGUCCUGUUAAAAUGGCGUGGAGGCUCAGAUCCCUCACAUGAUUAAACUGGGGAAAGGAACAUCUUAUGAGAUAUAAAGAGCUUACCGGAUUGGCAGGGCACUUUGCGCUGAGUCCGCGAUCCUCGGUAAGGGGAGGAGGUACCUCGGCGGCCUUGAACAUCACCUUCCAGACGUCUUUGUGCGUCAUGUCGAAAAGCUCUUGCAGCGUCUGGUGCUUGGCCGGGUCGAACUCCCACAUAUUGAAUGCCCGCCUUUGACAAGGAAGGAUCCGGCGGAAGAGCAUGACCUGGACCACGUUGACAAGCUUGAUUUUCUUGCUUAUCAUAUUUUUAACACAGUCCUGGAGUCCGGUCAGCUCCACCAAUGAACCCCAGGAUAGGCCCUUCUCUUUCCAGGAGGUGAGCCGCGUGGGGAUGCCGGAUCGAAAUUCGGGGGCCGCCACCCAGUUGGUGUCACGUGGCUCGGUGAUGUAGAACCACCCCGAUUUCCACCCCUUCACGGUCUCCACAUAGGAGCCUCCGAGCCAGGUGACGUUGAGCAUUUUGCCCACCAUGGCGCCUCCGCACUCCGCUUGCUGGCCUACCACCGCCUUCGGUUUCACGUUGAAGGUCUUCAGCCACAGGCUGAAGUGGGGCUUGAUGCGGAGGAAGGCCUCGCACACGACGAUAAACGCCGAGAUGUUGAGGAUGAAAUUAGGUCCAGAUCAUGGAAGUCCAUCCCGUACUAGAACAUGAGCCCACGGACAAAUGGGUGGAGGGGAAAUCCCAGUCCGCGGAUGAAGUGGGUGAGGAAUACAACCCUCUCAUGGGGUUCUGGAGUAGGGAUGAUCUGCCCCGCGUCUGGGAGCCGGUGUGCGAUGUCUGCGGCCAGGUAUCCGACUUCCCGGAGCUUCGUAAUGUUCUCCUCCAUAACGGAGGAGACCAUCCACUUUCCUCCCGCUCCAGACAUGUUCGGAAUGGCUUUGCGGAGAAGAUGAGAACUUGGGUGCUGGAGCUCGAGUGCACGAGAAUGGAUGGGCAGGGGAAGAAGAGGGCAUGGGUGAAAAAGAGGAAUCCUUGUCCCUUUAUAAAGGCGGUAGAAACUGUGCGCCUCCCUACUUGCCCCAUAAAAUCGCUUAUUCCCCAAGCGCCACGAUUGAUGGCACAGUUGGGUUACUGCUACCUCUUGAGCACUGCGUUGGUUUUCCCCGAAGAGGAAGGGGUGAUGCAGCAAAGUAGCGUAAGUAUUUCCCUCAGUUUUUGAGAACCAAGGUAUCAAUCCAAUAGGCUACGCGCGAGUCCCUCGCAUCUGCACAAAACAAAUAAAUCCUCACAACCAACGCAAAUAGGGGUUGUCAAUCCCUAUAAGGCCACUUACGAGAAUGAGAUCUGAUAGAUAUGAUAAGAUAAUAUUUUUGGUAUUUUUAUGAUAAAAGAUGCAAAGUAAAAUAAAGGCAAAGUAAAUAGCAAAGGAAAUAACUAAGUAGUAGGAGAUCAAUAUGAUAAAGAUAGAGCCGGGGGCCAUAGGUUUCACUAGUGGCUUCUCUCAAGAGCGUAAGUAUUCUAUGGUGGGUGAACAAAUUACUGUUGAGCAAUUGACAGAAUUGAGCAUAGUUAUGAGAAUAUCUAGGUAUGAUCAUGUAUAUAGGCAUCACAUCCGAGACAAGUAGACCGACUCCUGCCUGCAUCUACUACUAUUACUCCACUCAUCGACCGCUAUCCAGCAUGCAUCUAGAGUAUUAAGUUAAAUACAAAGUAACACCUUAAGCAAGAUGACAUGAUGUAGAGGGAUAGACUCAUGCAAUAUGAAGAAAACCCCAUCUUGUUAUCCUCGAUGGCAACAAUACAAUACGUGCCUUGCUGCCCUUACUGUCACCGGGAAUGGACACCGCAAGAUUGAACCCAAAGCUAAGCACUUCUCCCAUUGCAAGAAAGAUCAAUCUAGUAGACCAAACCAAACUGAUAAUUCAAAGAGACUUGCAAUGAUAACCAAUCAUACAUAAAAGAAUUCAGAGAAGAUUCAAAUAUUAUUCAUAGAUAGACUUGAUCAUAAACCCACAAUUCAUCGAUCUCAACAAACACACCGCAAAAAGAAGAUUACAUCGAAUAGAUCUCCACAAGAGAGGGGGAGAACAUUGUAUUGAGAUCCAAAAAGAGAGAAGAAGCCAUCUAGCUACUAACUAUGGACCCGUAGGUCUGAGGUGAACUACUCACACUUCAUCAGAGGGGCUAUGGUGUUGAUGUAGAAGCCCUCCGUGAUCAAUGCCCCCUCCGGCGGAGCUCCGGAACAGGCCCCAAGAUGGGAUCUCGUGGAUACAGAAAGUUGCGGUGGUGGAAUUAGGGUUUUGGCUCCGUAUCUGAUCGUUUGGGGGUACGUGGAUAUAUAUAUAUAGGAGGAAGGAGUACGUUGGUGGAGCAACAAGGGGCCCACAAGGGUGGAGGGCGCGCCUGGUGGGGGUGGGCGCGCCCCCCUACCUCGUGGCCUCCUGUUUCCUUUCUUGACGUAGGGUCCAAGUCUCUUUGGUCUUAUUCGUUGAGAAAAUCACGUUCCCGAAGGUUUCAUUCCAUUUGGACUACGUUUGAUAUUCCUUUUCUUCGAAACCCUAAAACAGGCAAAAAACAGCAAUUCUGGGCUGGGCCUCCGGUUAAUAGGUUAGUCCCAAAAAUAAUAUAAAAGUGGAUAAUAAAGCCCAAUAAUGUCCAAAACAGUAGAUAAUAUAGCAUGGAGCAAUCAAAAAUUAUAGAUACGUUGGAGACGUAUCAGUUACCCAUAAAUCCGCAUUGAUGAGAAUCCUGUGAUAAGGGGAACACGAUCUCUGCUUCGACAAGACGUGCCAAUAAAACCGCCUCGCAACGCGUGCAGUGGCAGGCACGGAAAAAUGGUUCGUAAUGACCGGACCACGGCAGGAUGUCACGUUAUGAAAAGUUGUCAGCAGAUUAGAUUUGUGGAAAAAUAUACUCUCUAUGGUGGUAUGUGGAAUUUGUUUUGCAGAGCCGGACACGAUCCUUAUGUUCAAAAUCUUCUAUGGAAUAUUCGGAGAAGGAACCCGCCUUGCAAUGCCAAAGACAAUCUGCGCACCGGACUCAUCGUCAUUGAAGCCUGGUUCAGGGGCUACUGAGGGAGUCCUGGAUUAGGGGGUCCUCGGACAGCCAGACUAUAUACUUUGGCCGGACUUUUGGACUAUGAAGAUACAAGAUUGAAGGCUUCGUCCCGUGUCCAGGUGGGACUCUCCUUUGCGUGGAAGGCAAGCUUGGCGAUUCGGAUAUGUAGAUCUCCUUCUCUGUAACUGACUCUGUGUAACCCUAGCCCCCUCCGAUGUCUAUAUAAACCGGAGGGUUUAGUCCAUAGGACAACAACAAUCAGAAUCAUAGGCUAGCUUCUAGGGUUUAGCCUCUAUGAUCUCGUGGUAGAUCAACUCUUGUAAUACUCAUACCAUCAAGAUCAAUCAAGUAGGAAGUAGGGUAUUACCUCCAUCGAGAGGGCCCGAACCUAGGUAAACAUUGUGUCCCCCGCCUCCUGUUACCAUCAGCCUUAGACGCACAGUUUGGGACCCCCUACCCGAGAUCCGCUGGUUUUGACACCGACAACCGGAGAGUUACCCAAGGAGUUAUCAGAAGACCUUCGUGAGCUAUGUUUGGAGAUAGUUCCGAGAGGUUUUGUAGCAGCUUUGGAAAUUCAGUCUACUUUGAUGGAUAAGAUCAGAGAAGCGCAGAAGACGGACAAGGAGAUUGCCGAGAUAAAGGAAUGGAUGAGCAAAGUAAAGGCUAAAGGAUUUCGUGAGGAUGAGCACGAUACCUUAUGGUUCAAGGACCGCGUAUAUGUACCAAAUGAUCAGGAGAUCAGGAAGCUGAUUUUGCAGGAGGCCCAUGAUUCACCAUAUUCGAUUCACCCAGGAAAUACCAAGAUGUACCUGGAUCUGAAGGAUAGGUUCUGAUGGACCGGAAUGUCAUAGAGUGAAGCAGAGCAUCAGAAGCCAGCAGGAUUGCUACAACAAUUGCCGAUACCCGAAUGGAAGUGGGAUAAGCUAGGCAUGGAUUUUAUCACAGGAUUACCCAGGACUUGUUCAGGCUAUGACGCGAUAUGGGUUGUAGUCGAUCGUUUGAUGAAAGUAGCUCAUUUCAUCCCGGUGAAGACCACUUACACCAGUGCUAUGUUGGCAAAGAUAUACAUGACCAAUAUAGUAUGUUUGCAUGGAGUUCCGAGGACAAUUGUAUCAGAUAUAGGAACCCAAUUUACCUCAAAGUUUUUGAAUCAGUUGCAUGAAACUUUGGGAACCAGGCUAGAGUUUAGUACAAGUUUUCACCCGCAGACGGAUGGACAGACUGAGAGAGUCAAUCAGAUUUUGGAGGACAUGUUGAGAGCUUGUGCACUAGAUUAUGGAUCUAGUUGGGAUGAUAAUUUUCCUUACGCAGAGUUCUCUUACAACAACAGUUACCAAGCCAGUUUGAAGAUGGCCCCUUUCGAAGCAUUAUACGGAACUAGGUGCAGAACACCGUUGUUGUGGGAUGAAGUUGGGGACCGACAGUUGUUUGGACCAGAUUUGAUUAAAGAGUUUGAAGAGAAGGUUAAACUGAUUCGUGAUAGACUCAAGGUAGCCCAGUCCAGGCAGAAGAGCUAUGCAGAUUCUAAACGCAAGGAGACAGCUUACGAAGUUGGAGACAAAGUGUAUCUUCGUGUAUCACCACUCCGAGGAGUUAAGCGCUUUGGAGUUAAGGGAAAGUUAGCACCACGUUUUGUGGGACCAUACAAAGUUUUGGAACGUAUGGGAGAAGUUGCUUACAAGUUGGAAUUUCCCGAAGGAUUGUCAGGAGUUCAUGAUGUGUUCCACGUUUCUCAGUUGAAUAAGUGCCACGCAGAGAUGGCUAAUAUCCCUAUGAGAGAUACAGUGCCACUAGAAGCGAUAUAGUUGGAUAGCGAUUUGACCUACAAGGAAAAGCCAGUCAAGAUUCUUGAUUUUGCUAGCCAAGUUACAUGCAGCAAAGUUAUCAAGCUUUGCAAGUUUUAGUGGAGCCACCAUACUGAAGAUGAAGCCACCUGGGAACGCAAGGAAGACUUACAAAAAGAUCACCCUCACCUAUUUUCUAGCCAACCCGAAUCUCGAGGGCGAGAUUCAUCUUAAGGGGGCACUACAAAAAACCUGUUAAUCUAUGACAGAUUUCUGAUGAUAGUAUUGAAAAUCGUCAUGAAUGUCCCAGUAUAGCCCGACAAGCAUACUGAAGCCCGCCCUGAAGCCCGGCUAAAGCCCUAAAUCUUUCCCCAUAUAAAAACUAACCCUAAGACCCUCCUGCCCAAUCUCAAUCUCCAUCCGCCGCCACGCCUUGCCUCUCCUCGGCCCUGUCCUCCGCCUCCACCUCCCUGCCUCCAAGCGAUGACGACGGCCCGAGAUCCAUGGUGAUAGAGGCUAUAGUGGUCCGAUGGAAGCGGCGGCCAUCCAUAGCUGUUGCCACGUGAUUCCGCUACUCACGUUGACCAUGGAUCUGCAGCAAGGGCUGUUGGCACAAACCGGAAAACUAUAUGCACAAGAUAACCCAACUCGAGCACAAACUCAAAGCAAUGGCGAUGAACACCGCGGCCGUGAACCGGCCUGUAUCUUGGCAACCUUUAUUCAUUGGAUUUGGGACAUACCGGCGCUCCCUAGAGAGCUAGAUAGGGUUAGACCCAACAGGGGCCUCCCUCCUUCGUUUCCCAGAGCACGCAGCAGCUGAUUCGCCAUCCGGAGAUUCAAAGCAGCAAGCGCCGGACGAGGAGAGGACGAGGACGGUGACCUACUGGAGGCCCGAGCGCGACCCAGUCAACGGUGGCGAUGCCCCACACAAGGUUCGUCCCUGCUCCCCCCCGUCUCCUCUCCUUUAUUACUUUCAAUCCCAUCCCCAAUCACAAUUUCUUUCUUCGAUUCAGAUUAGUAGGAGCUCUCUGCCUCUCCAAUUCCAUGGACGGCGACGACCAGGACCCCACGCUCAAACCCGACGAGCUGGAAUGGCGAGGUCAUCCGAGCCGACCAUCAUGAUUCGCCACAGAACAAUGAGGUUGACUCUCUUGUUCUGUUUUUCUUUUCUUUCAAGUGCCUGCUGCUCUUCUCUAGCAUAGUUCUCUAGGGGCUCACCAAUUUUCUUGAACUGAACCUGAUGUAGAAAACGUGUUCAUUUCGUUUCCUGAUACUCGCAAGCUACAGCCAAGUUACAGCCAACGACAGACUAGUACUGCUAGCUAUUUCCUUUUUCUUCUCUCACCGUGCCAGCAUUAGCAGUGUAGAAUUUGUGUUAAAUAACUACUAGCUAGAUAAGCUGUGUGGUGGUUCACGUCUAGUUCCUAAUUAGGCCAUGCUAGUAAUGAAUAAAGCAUAUUAGUGUUCUUCUCCUUCUAUUGUUAUUAGCCUGGUAUAUCUCUAUAUUUUUAUAUUGUCUUUACUCCCUGGCGUAGUUGCAAACUAAUAAUUAACGAUGUGCAGAACUUUUCUAAGUUAGAUGUACUCAGUGGCGGAGCUACAACAAAUAAGUUGGGCGGGCCAAUUUUUUUUCUAAACCAUACAGUCCGGUAGGCAUGAGUUAGUGAAAUUUCAGGUUGCCUGUAUAGGGAAAUUGGUAACAGGAUGAUGCUGUCAAGUAAAAUUUGGACAAAUAAACGAAAUUUCUUGUGCGCUAGCUGCCUGCUGGUUGUAUGGUCUUGUGCUCGUCACCUGGGUAGUUCAUCGGUGGCUAGCCGCUGGCAGCCGCCAUGGCCACGCCCGUCGUGGCAUAGGGAUGGGUCACCGUAGGGGUUGCUACAUGCGGCGCCCGGCUGCCUGGCUAUUGGACCUCUCCAUCUCUAAGUGGCUUGCUCAGUGCUGAAUCGGGGCAGAGAGCUCAUAGCUGGAUGCGAGGGAGACAUGCUAUUGGAUUAAACUGUUACAUGUACAAAAGAGUUUUAUUUGUCUCUAGAGCUGGGCGGGCCACGGCCUUGUUUUGCCCUCAUGAAGCUCCACUAGUGGAUGUACUCAUCUUUGUUGCUGUUAGGAUCAAAUAUCAAUGCUAAUUGAGUCAUACUACCUCCAUCUUGAAAUAUAAGUCAUUUUUAUAGGCUAAACUAGCCUACAAAAAUGUCUUAUAUUUUGAGACAGAGUCAGUACUUGUUAGUUCUGACCAUGCCUAGCUUAAGGGCUCAUCAGUAUUCUUGAUAAGAAAAUCCUGCAUAUGUACGUACAUGUUCCUAUCUGAAUUAAUAUUGGAUGUUUCUUGGUGUGUGCAUGUGACAGUCAAGGCACAUUUUCACAAUAUAUGUUGGUAUAUGGUGUAAGCGAAGCUUAUGAUGUCGAUCCUCCAGGCUGCACUGCCAUCGUGUUACCUCACAAACUGCUGGUGGUAACUUUGCAUCACCACUUAUUAAUUUAUUUACUAUUGUUCCUGUCAAAUGCUUCUUGUCAAAUAGUAAUUCUUCAGCUGUAUGUUGAUGAUCUCUUAUGGUUGCAAGAGAAAUUUAUCCUUGUAACAUCCCAAAUUUUCAAUUUGAAUGUUAUACAUUAGAUCAUCAUGGCAUAUCAUAUUUUAUUGCAUUUUGGCUUGAUCCUAGAUAUUCUACGCAACUCAAGGACCUACGGAGAGACUUGGGGAUUUCGUUAUUUUCAUAUUUGAGAUUUCUCGAAUUUUGAAAAGAGGGUCGUUUGAUUUUAAUUAUUUUAUCUUCGAAUAUUUCAUUUAUAAAAAUAAAAGAGAGACGAUAAAAUGACUUCCUCAAAAUAAAGAAAUAUUGGAGAUUUAAUGUUAAAAUCAAAUAAGAGUUUUAUUCGGAUUUUUAUCGCUAUUUUAUUUGAAUUAGGAAAAAUAUGUGUUUUUCAAAAUUGCAUUAGAGUCCCAAAUAAAUGUUCACCUUGUCCGGUAGAUUUUUAGAGGACGCGAAAAAUUUAUUUCAGGAUUUUUGGAGUCCGUUUAGUAUUUCUUUUAUUUGUUUUACUUUGCGGAAUAAUUUUUAAAAAAGUUACCGACCUACCGGGCCGUGUCCACCUGGGGACACCGACCUGGCCGGCCCUUUAAGAGUCGAGGGGCUCGAGCUGCCAAACCCUAGCCAGCCCAGCCCCACGCCUCGUCGCUAGCCCCGCCGCCCGAUGCCGCCGCCCGACGCCGCCGCACCGCCGGAGUACGCCGCCCGACGCCGCCGCCGACCCGUUCCACGAGGUAGCCGUCGGUUUUUUUAUAAAACCGAUCGGUUUUAUUUCGUAAACCCUAGAUCUGUUUUUUUAGAUCUGGUUCGGUUUUUUUUGGUCUAGUUAUUUAGUGGACGCUCAUCCGUACGUUUGUUUUCACGAACGGGUUUCACCCGUUAGCCACAGACAGCAAACGUUCAUUCGUUAGCCUGUUCGUUAGUUUUUCUUUUUCUCGGAUUUUCGCGAUUAUUCUCGAUCGCGAUUUCUAAUUCGAUUUUCGUUUCAGUUUAUCUUUUCGCUCAUUUAUCGGAAUCAGGCGAUUCAAGCGCCAGAGUUUCGUCUCGAAGCCCUCUUUCUAUUUAACCAACUUAAACAAGUUUUUGCUACUAUAAAAUUUGACUUUAGUCCAGAUUUGUAAAUGAAGCUUGUUUCUUUCGCAGUUUGAGUUUCGUUGCUUCGUUUGAUUUGAUUCUUUGUGCAAACCGGAGUUCUUAAGUUGAACUUUCUGGUUAGAUCUUCUUAUUUGAGUUUUACCCGUGCCCCUUGUCUGAUUGCUUAUUGUAUGCUUGUUUGAUUAUGAUAGAGUACCCGGAGUGUGAAGCGUGCUACUACGAGUCUCUAGGUUUCACGGAUCAUCAGCAAGGCAAGUAACACUUUGAACAUACCUCUUUACUACCCAGUUUUAUUGCAUUAGAUCAAUCCUCAAAAACUUGCAUGGUUAGGAUCUGAAUAAAUUGUGGGUUGGGAAGUAGAUGAGGUAGAACCUAUUCACCUGUUUAUUAUCAAACCCUUGGGAGUUACGUCUAUUUUAUGCUUAUAUUGCCAUGCUAUGCUCGUAGAUGUGGAUUGGGUUUGAGAGUAUCCAUGACAGAUAUGAGUUUUUAAUUAAUGGUUAACUUAAGGUGGCAAAUUUAAUGCACAUCUGGGUGGAUUGAGGCACCUGGGGAACCCAGUGAUUGCCUGUAUUUUUGGAAAUCCCUGGGUACCGUGUGAUUCUCCUAUGGACUGCCACCCAGGCUCAAAGGGAUCAUAAGAGUAUUCAUGCUGUAAACUUCCGUGUGCAGCCACAUGCCAAUAUGGGAUCUGGCAUAGUUGAGUAAGUUGUGGGAAACCUUUCCAUGAUGGACUAGCAGAUGUAGGGGAUUUUAGGUGUACAGGUCUAUCUAUCGGUUAAGGGGACCUCUUCGGAAAGACUGUGACUCAGUCAUCCAUUUCUCAAGCAUUAUGUAGUGCGAGAAAUCCAACGGAGGAGAUCGAGUCUUGUGGGGAAAAGUGCACAAACCUCUGCAGAGUGUACAAACUAAUCAUGGUUAGCCGUGUCCCCGGUUAUGGACGUCUUGAGUAUCUAGUUCUUAGAUUAUCACGUGGAUAUCAUCACUCUUAAUAUAAAUUUGAUUGGGUUAUUUAUUACUUUUAAUUGGGAUUGAGAGGGGGUUUACCUUCUCAAUGUUUUUCAACCAACUUUGUAGUUAAAUAAAAUAUAUUCCUUUGCAGUAGGGAAAAAUUGGCUUUCCGCAAAACAUAUAACCAUACAGCCUCCACCAGCCAUAUAUGCAUGUAGUGAUAGCAUUAUUCUGUUCAUUACUCUCUUGUGUUGCAUUGCCAGCAUAUUCCAUGUGCUGACCCGUUUUGGUCUGCAACGUAUCAUGUUGCAGACUUUUCAGACGACGAGUAAGGAGUCUUAGGUCGUGGUCUUUCACUUAGUGAUGCCGUUGGAGUUGAUGGACUAACUUUAUCUUCCAAGCCUUCCGCUGUUAUCGUAUUAGAUGGCCUUAAGCCAUAUAUAUUGUAAUAAGUUCUAUUUUGAGACAUUCCAUGUAAUAAGUGUGUGAUUGCUACUCUGUUAUAAAUCCUCAAGUACUGUGCGUGUCAGCAUUAUCGAUCCAGGGAUGACACUAAUGCAUAGAGAUUAGACUGUUUGAGGUCUGGUCGCUACACUUAUAUCUUUUGAGCUAGGCAGUUGCUCUAGUGCUUCAUUUGUAUCUUUUAGAGCACAGCGGGUGGUCAUAUUUUAAAUAAAUAGUUGCACUCUUAUGCUUCACUUAUAUCUUUUUGAGAGUCUAAUAAAUAUUAAUGGCAAUACACACAUGUUAUGAAGUCAGCCUUUAUAUGAUAUGUAUCCAAGGGGAUAUAAUAAAAACUUUCAUGUAGAUCACUAAAUAUGAAAUGUAUGAUUUAAUAAUACUGAUGUCGUAAUAUGAAAGGGUAUAAGUUCAUGAUCAUUGAUUAGUAGAAAUAUCAGUAUUAAAGUUUGUUAUCACUGUUCAUCUAAAUAUUGGUCAUGGCAUGACGGGGAAGUCCGAGCAAUCUUAGGUCCGACAGAAAUCAUGUUGUGCUGUUAUAAUCAGGGAGGGGGGCAAUGGUUAAUUCCUACCAACUUCCUCCCUAGGGGCAUGUGGUUAGUACUUUGCUUCGAGGGCUAAUAGACUUUCACAAUAACUAUUUGAGUUCUUUAUAACUAAUGUGAGUCCAUAGAUUAUACGCACUCUUAUCAUUCCGCCAUUUGCUUGCCUCUUCAGUACCGUGUAAUGCCCUUUCUCACCUCGAGAGUUGGUGCAAACUUAGCCGGUGCAUCCAAAUCUCGUGAUAUGAUAUGCUCGUUUACACAUAAACCCCUUUACCUUCCUCAAAACAGCCACCUACCUACCUAUAUGGCAUUUUCAUAGCCAUUCCAAGAUUAUAUUGCCAUGCAACUUCCACUGUUCCGUUUUUAUGACAUGCACAUUCAUUGUCAUAUUGCUUUGCAUGAUCAUAUAGCUGACAUAGUAUUUGUGGCUUAGCCACCUUUCAUCAUUAUUAUACAUGUUACGCUAGCAUCAUUGCACAUCCUGGUGCACUGCAAGAGGCAUACAUAUAAUGUCAUAUUGUUAUAGUAUCGAGUUGUAAUAUUGAGUUGUAAGUAAAUAAAAGUGUGAUGAUCAUCAUUAUUAGAGCAUCGUUCCAGUGAGUAAAUAAAAAAAGGCCAAAAAGAGCCCAACAAAAAGAGUCCAACAAAAAAAUUGAGAGAAAAAUAGAGAAGAUGCAAUGUUACUAUCCUUACCACACGUGUGCUUAAAAGUAACACCAUGUUUUUCAUAUAGAGAGUCUCACAUAUUGUCACUUUCAUAUACUAGUGGGAAUUUGACGUUAUAGAACUUGGCUUGUAUAUAUCGAUGAUGGGCUUCCCCAAAUGCCCGAGGUCUUCAUGCGCAAGCAAGUUGGAUGCACACCCACAUAGUUUCAGUUGAGCUUUCAUACACUUAUAGCUCUUAGUGCAUCUGUUGCAUGGUAAUCCCUACUCCUCGCAUUGAUAUAGGUUGAUGGGCAUCUCCAUAGCCCAUUGAUCUGCCUAGUUGAUGUGAGACUUUCUCUCUUUUUGACAUCUCCUUAUUAAUUCCUAUCAUCGCAUUCUAUUCCACCUAGUGCUAUGUCCAUGGCUCACACUUAUGUAUUGUGUGGGAGUUGAAAAUGUUAUAGCGUGUUAGAGGUACAAGCUAAUUGCUUGGUUUAACACCUUGGUGCUCAGAUUUGUAUUUUUGCGGUGAAGGCGGAGUCAUGCCAUGUUAACAUGAUAAAAUAAGGAUUGGGGAUGUUGAUACGUCUCCUAUGUAUAUAUAAUUUUUGAUUGUUCCAUGCUAUUAUAUUAUCAAUUUUGGAUGCUUUAUAUGCAUUUAUAUGAUAUUUUAUAUCAUUUUUGGGACUAACGUAUUAACCUAGUGCCUAGUGCUAGUUGCUGUUUUUUUGCUUCUUUUUGGCUUUUCAGAAAAUCAGUACCAAACGAAGUGCAAAUACAAAACAGACCCUAUAAGCUUCAGGAGGUGGUCCAGAAGACCUACAAGAGAGCCACAAGCUCACAGGACGCGCCCCUGAGCUUGUGGGCCACUUGCAGCUCCAUUUGACCUAAUUCCAACGCUAUAUACUCUCCAUUAUCCCCAAACCUAUAGAGAGCCAACUGAAACACUUUUUUUCUCCACCGCAAGUUUCUAUUCUUUCGCGAUCCCAUCUGGAGGCCUUUUUCGAUACUCUGCUGGAGGGGUGUCGAUCACGGCAGGUUUCUACAUCAUCCUUGCUGCCUUCUGAUUAUGUGUGAGUAGUUCACCAUAGAUCUACGGGUCCAUAGCUAGUAGUUAGAUGGCCUCUUCUCUCUCUUUGAUCUUCAAUACAAUGUUCUCCUCGGCGUUCUAGGAGUUCUAUCCAAUGUAAUCUUCUUUUGCGGUGUGUUUGUUGGGAUCCGAUGGAUUGUGGGUUUAUGAUCUGAAUAUCUAUGAUAAGUAAUUGAGUCUUUUCUAAACUUUAUUAUGCAUGAUUAUUAUAGCUUUGUAUUUCUCUAUGAUUUAUCCCUUUGGUUUGGCCAACUAGACUGAUUUAUUUUCAGUGGGACAGGUGCUUUGUGAUGGGUUCAAUCUUGCGGUGCUCUAUAUCCAAGUGACAGAAUGGGACAAGACAUGUAUUUAUAUUGUUGCCAUUAAGGGUAAAACGACGGGGUUUAUUCAUAUUGAUUGGUUUACUUUAUCUACAUCAUGUCAUCUUGCUUAAGGAGUCACUCCAAUUUUCAUGAACUUAAUACCAUAGAUGCAUGCUGGAUAGCGGUCGAUUGGUGGAGUAAUAGUAGUAGAUGCAGGCAGGAGUCGGUCUACUUGUCUCAGACGUGAUGCCUAUAUACAUGAUCAUUGCUGAUGACCCACAAGUAUAGAGGUUCAAUCGUAGAGCUUCCGAUAAGUAAGAGUGUCGAACCCAAGGAGCAGAAGGAAAUGACAAGCGGUUUUCAAUAAAGUAUUUUCUGCAAGCACUGAAAUUGCUGGUAAGAGAUAGUUUGCUAACAAGGUAACUUGUGGCGAGCAAUAAGUAGUAAUGGUAACAAAGGUGCAGCAAAGUAGCCCAAUCCUUUUGUAGCAAAGGACGGGCCAAAACGAUCUCUUAUAAUAAGCAAAGCGUUCCUGAGGACACACGGGAAUUUCAUCUAGUCACUUUCAUCAUGUUUGUUUGAUUCGCGUUCGUCACUUUGAUAAUUUGAUAUGUGGGUGGACCAGUGCUUGGGUGUUGUUUUUACUUGAACAAGCCUCCUACUUAUGAUUACCCCCCUCACAAGCAUCCGCAACUACAAAAGAAGAAUUAAGAUAAAUCUAACCAUAGCAUGAAACAUAUACAAGCCAAUUUCUACAAUAAAAAAUUCCCACUAGUAUAUGAAAAGUGACAAAAUAGGAGACUCUCUAUCAUGAAGAUCAUGGUGCUACUUCGACGCACAUGUGUGGAAAAUGGAUAGUAACAUUGCCCCUUUUCUCUUUUCUCUCAUUUUUUGGGCAUUCUCAUUUUUUAGCCUUUCUCUCUUUUUUAUUUCCUCACAUGGGACAAUAUUGCUCUAAUAAUGAAUAUCAUCACACUUUUAUUUACUUACAACUCAAGAAUUACAACUCAAUACUAGAACAAAAUAUGAAUCUAUAUGAAUGCCUCCGGCGGUGUACCGGGAUGUGCAAUAAAUCUAGAGUGACAUGUAUGAAACAAUUAUGAAUGGUGGCUUUGCCACAAAUACGAUGUCAACUACAUGAUCGUGCAAAGCAAUAUGACAAUGAUAGAGCGUGUCAUAAUAAAUGGAACGGUGGAAAGUUGCAUGGCAAUAUAUCUCGGAAUGGCUAUGGAAAUGCGAUAAUAGGUAGGUAUGGUUGCUGUUUUGAGGAAGGUAUAUGGUGGGUUUAUGGUACCGGCGAAAGUUGCGGGGUACUAGAGAGGCUAGCAAUGGUGGAAGGGUGAGAGUGCGUAUAAUCCAUGGUGUUGGGGAUAUAACUAUUUGAGUAAGCCAGCCAGGAGGGGCCGGGUUAUGCAAAUAGGACUAAUCGUCAAGGAAGCCCAAGACCCAGCAUGAGGAUGGCGGUUCAUAGAGCUUAAGGCCCAUAGAGACAAACCGCCGUAAUGGCAUGACUUGUAACAUAAGGUAGAGGUAACUAGUCACCGAGCCGGACACUGUUUAUGAGCCGGCCGGGACUCUGUAGGCUGGAGGGCGUCAACCCAUAUAUAUACGGGAACGACCCACCGGCGGCUUAGGGGAGAGACAACCGAUCGAGAACCGGGCAUAGCGUAUCUCGCUCCCUGGUCAUCGAAACCUCAAGCAAUACCAACCCAACUAGACGUGGGCCUUCCUUCACCGCAAGGGGCUGAACUAGUAUAAACCUCGCGUGUCCUUUGUCCCGAUUAACCCCUUUAAGCUUCCUAGUUGCGAUGUCUCCACGAUUAAGUCCUUGCAAGAGGACAUCUGCCGUGACAAUUCCACAAUAGUUGGCGCCCACCGUGGGGCCAGCGCACGGUGGAUUUGAGUUCUUGAAGGGCAGCUUCGAAGGGCUCAAGGGAUACGCAGUUGGCCGAAUGACCAAGAGUCGUCGCGGCAAGAUCUACAUCAACGACGAAGGCUGGGGACCCGACGCCGGCUCAAUUGAGUAUGGGUACCGGGUCCCCUUUGGCAGAAUUCACGUCUUCGUCGGCCGGAUUGGUGAGCCGGGCCCUGAGCCGGACAGCUGCACAGACCUCAUCGAGAUGGCUCAGCAUGCGAAACCCGCCCGAGCUCAACCUGUCGUGAAGCGUGCCUUUGUGGGUUGCAUCCAUGGAGGUGAACUUUCUGAAGGAUCUGAAGGUGAUGGUGAGCCGGUCGUCCUCUCUUACGGUGAUUCGUCCGUCGGGUCAACAGAUUCGCUGUAUCAAGUUCAAGAUGGUGUGCUUGGGGGCUGUUCCGAUGGCAGCACUAUUCCGGACCCCUCAGAGUCGCCAAACUGGGCAGGAGUCUUCAUGGCUGGUACUCAACCCGGCCAAAAUUCUACGGCUUCAGCAGCGAUAACGUCCAGGUUAGGAGCAGCCGGGGCAGGAGGCCUUGUGCGCUCACCGACUCAGGUACUGAUGGAUCUCAUGGAUAAACUUACGGCCUUGUUAACUGCUACAGUCGUCCCUGCGAACCAAUCUGAGCAUGAGGAGGAGGUGGCACAGGUUCGCGAUGAGAUCGCCCGGGCCAAGGAAACCUUAGCAGCUGAAGAUGCUAGAUUAGCCAUAGAGCGGGCGGCUUUGGACGCACGGGCGCAGCAACUUCAGGCAGAGGCCUUUCAGCUCACGUUGAGCUUAAAUGCAUCUAAUGAGGUAAUGAGGAGGAGACAUCAGAAAACUCAGUCCCGUUUACCUCAGAUUUAUGAUCCUCGGAAUCUCUUUGCUAUACCCGGGGCCGGCCCAAGCAACCCGCUAGGUGCAAAUCAGUUUAUGACAUCCGGAGCGGGAGGCCCAGUCCAGCCUCCGGUGACGGCGCCUUUUCACGGCAAUAUGGCACCACCCCAUCACGUACCGAUACCACAGGGUCACUUCUCCAACCCCAUGGAGAACUUAAUCGCAGCAUCAGCAUGUUUGGCGGCUCUCCCAGUAGAUGGUGAUGAUCCAACAGCGGUGGAAACCCGGAGGAUCAGGAAACUUGUCCAAACAGCCUUGGCUCAGCAAGAGACCUACUCCUACAGCCGGGACAUAAUUCACUCAACUCCUCCGCCUUGGUUAGCUCUGCCUCGUCAAAACCGGAGCCCGAGUUACAGUAAACACAUGGAGUUAGAGGCCUUGUCAAGUAGCGCUCAGCGCCGGAACCAGCCCGGCGGGUAUAACCCGGUUCAGGAUCGGAUACGUCAGGAGGACGAGCGGGCGGCUCAGCUAGCAACCCAACAGGACUCACCGGCUUAUCUGAUGACUUCCGUUGAGGCACGUAUUGCUACUAGAACCGGAGGUGUUCCUUGUCUGGUACCGGCUCUAUGUAAUGUACGUCUGCCCAAGGAUUUCAAGGGACCUCGAAAGGUGUCGAAUUAUACGCCCGAUUUAUAGCCUGGGGCAUGGAUUGAAAGUUACGAGAUGGCCAUGGAGCUGCUGGAGGUUAGUGAUGAAGCGAUGGCUAAAUACUUCACCAUGAUAUUGGACGGAACGGCCCGUUCUUGGUUAAAGGGUUUGCCACCCGAUUCCAUUAGUUCAUGCGCGGAGCUAAAGGCCCGUUUCAUCUAGAACUUCAAGGACACUUGCAAGCAGUCUAUGUCGAUUGUGGACCUGAUAAAUUGUAAGCAGGAGGAAGGUGAAUCUACGACUCAUUGGGUGCGCCGGGUCAAAUAUAUAAUACAUUCGUCUGACAAGAUGGAUGCCGGUUCAGCAGUUCUCAUGCUGCAGAAGAAUUGCCGCUUUGAGCCUCUGAGACAAAAACUGGGGCGCCUGAAGCGUGAUUGCAACGAUAUGGGGACGCUGAUGACGGCUUUAGUCAAGUAUGCCGAUUCUGAUAGUACCAAGGAUCCCGCAUCUGAUGAGGAAAAGAUAGGGAAGGGAAAGAAGAACGGCAAUGGAAAGGGUCAGCGGCAUAACCCGGUGAGUCAAGGAGGCAAUAAGCGUAAAGCGGAUGUUAACCCGGAAUUUGUGGCCAAUGCACAGGGUAACAAUUAGAAGCGCAAAGGAAAGCCACCCCCUCGGUUUGGCGGGUCAGGUCCGUCUCUUGAGCAACUACUCAAUGAGCCCUGCCCGAAACACGGCACCCGGGAACGACCAACGACUCAUUUAUGGAAGGAUUGCGCAAUCAUGAAGGCUUUCAAGAAUUCUAAUACAUUUGAUGGCAAUCAAGGCCCAGGCGGCGGCUCAGGAGCUGGCGGCUUUCAUGGCCCGGGUGGCAGUUCAGGAUCCGGUUUUCAGGGAAGCCAGGGUGGUUAUAAUCAACAACAGUCUGGUCAAGGAGGUCAGCAGCAGCAGCAGUCGGGUUAUCAGAGCCAUCCAAAACAGCUAAACAGUGGGCAGUAUCACGUGUUCACCACAAGUUUGUGUAAACGUGAUCAGAAAGUUCAUAGGAGGGUGGUGAAUUCUGUUGAGCCGGCAGUCCCUCAUUACUUGAGGUGGUCGGAAUAGCCUAUUGUCUGGAGCAGGGAGGAUCACCCUCCCCGGGUUGAUAAUCCAGGUCAACUGGCCCUGGUAGUGGCACUGCAGGUUGGUGGUUAUAAAUUUACUAAGGUGAUCAUGGAUGGAGGUAGCGGCAUCAACAUCCUCUAUCACGAGACCUUUCGGCGCAUGGGCUUAACUGACAAGAAUUUAAAGACUUCCAACACCGCCUUCCAUGGAGUGGUGCCUGGUAAGUCGGUGUAUCCUGUGGGUAAAAUCGAGCUAGAGGUGGCCUUUGGAGACGAGCAUGAUUCUAGGGCGGAGAAGUUAACUUUUGAAGUGGUCAAAAUCAAGAGUCCAUAUCAAGCUUUGUUCGGGCGGCCGGCUUAUGCCAAGUUCAUGGCGCGGUCGUGUUAUGUUUAUUUACAGCUCAAAAUGCCGGGUUACAAGGGUACCAUCACUGUGCAUGGAAGCCAAAAGGUGGCCCUGGAAUGCGAGGAAGGCGAUGCGGCUUAUGCCGAGUCUGUCUGUGCAGCAGAGGAGCUCAAAUUUUAUCAAGAUAACGUUGACCUGGUAGAUAUGACCUCCCUCAAGAAGCCGACUACGGAGCAUAACCCGGCCAUGAAGUUUAAAUCGGCUGCAGAGACUAAGCUUGUUGAUUUUACUCUGGGCAAUUCAUCUAAGCAAUUCAGCAUCAGUGCCAACUUGGAUCCUAAAUAGGAAAGCGCGCUCAUCGAGUUCAUCCGUGAGAACCGGGACAUCUUUGCAUGGAAGCCUUCUGACAUGCCGGGUGUACCGAGAGGACUCGCUGAGCACACUCUUAAUAUUGAUCCGAAGUAUAAGCCGGUCAGGCAGUUUCUGCGACGAUUCAAUGAGGAACGACGAAAAGCUAUAGGAGAAGAGGUCGCCCGGCUCUUGGCGGCUGGGUUCAUUGUCGAAGUUUUUCACCCGAAGUGGUUGGCUAGCCCGGUGCUCGUGCUCAAGAAAAACGGCACCUGGCGGAUGUGUGUGGAUUACACGGACUUAAAUAAAGCUUGUCCGGCUGAUCCUUUCGCUCUCCUCCGGAUUGAUCAAAUCAUUGAUGCUACGGCGGGUUGUGCGCGUUUGAGCUUUUUGGAUGCUUACUCUGGUUAUCAUCAGAUCAAGAUGGCAGUUAAGGACCAGGAGAAGACGGCUUUCAUCACUCCGUUUGGAGCCUUCUACUAUGUGUCUAUGCCUUUUGGGCUCAAGAGUGCCCAGGCGACUUAUCAACGGUGUGUACAGAAUUGUCUUCACAAUCAGAUUGGGCGCAAUGUUCAUGCUUAUGUGGAUGACAUAGUGGUGAAAUCCAGAGAGGCGGAAACCUUGAUAUCUGAUCUCAGAGAAACCUUUGACAAUCUCCGGGUUUACAAAAUGAUGCUUAACCCAGAGAAGUGUGUAUUUGGUGUGCCUGCAGGCAAGCUUUUGGGAUUCUUGGUCUCAAACAGGGGCAUCAAGGCUAAUCCGGAGAAGAUUAAGGCAAUCACUUCUUUGGCUAAACCGGCAUGUAUCAAUGAUGUUCAGCGAUUGGCGGGCCGUGUUGCCGCCUUAAGCCGGUUCAUAAGCCGGUUAGGUGAGAAGGCCCUACCGAUGUACCAGCUGAUGAAGAAGGCAGACACCUUUGUCUGGAGUAAUGCUGCUAAUACUGCUUUUGAGGAUUUGAAGAUGCAGUUAUCCGAGCCACCAGUUCUUGCAGCUCCCAUUGACAAAGAGCCUUUGCUGUUAUAUGUGGCUGCUAAUUCACGAGCCGUCAGUGUGGCAAUUGUGGUAGAGCGCAAGGAGGCUAGUAAGGAACAUCCGGUUCAACGGCCGGUUUAUUAUGUCAGUGAGGUACUCAUCGAGUCAAAACAAAGAUAUCCUCAUUGGCAGAAACUUGUUUACGGGGUGUUCAUGGCAAGCCGGAAGCUGAAGCAAUACUUCCAAGGUCACCCUAUCACUGUAGUGAGUUCUGCCCCCUUGGGAGACAUUAUUCAGAACAGAGAGGCUACAGGACGAGUCGCCAAGUGGGCCAUUGAGCUCGGGCCUCAUGGUCUGAAGUACGUACCAGGCACUUCCAUUAAGUCUCAAGCUUUGGUGGAUUUCAUCAAUGACUGGACAGAGCUACAGGCACCUGAGGAGAAGCCCGAUAACACUUAUUGGACUAUUCACUUUGAUGGGUCCAGACAGUUGGAAGGCUUGGGGGCUGGAGUCGUGUUAACUUCCCCUCGAGGUGACAAAUUUUGUUAUGUGCUCCGGCUUAUGUUUCCUUGUACUAACAAUGCAGCUGAGUACGAGGCCCUACUCCAUGGUCUCCAGAUGGCCAAAGAGAUGGACUUGAGCCGGGUAAGAUGCUUGGGAGACUCAGACCUUGUGGCUCAACAGGUGUCAGGCAAGUGGGACUCUAAAGACCCCCUUAUGGCGGCUUACCGUCGUAAAGUCGAUGCUGUGGCUGGGCAUUUCAAGGGUUAUGCGGUGGAACACAUUGAUCGAAGGAAGAAUGAGGCGGCUGAUGCCUUAAGCCGGUUGGGGUCUCAGCGUAAGCCAGUGCCGGCUAACACCUUUCUUGAUGUUUUGCAUAAUCCUUCUGUUAAGUUGCCUACAAAGGAAGAUCUGGCAAUAGCAGACCCGGAGGCACAACUGGUGGCGGCUCUCCAUGUUAUCCCGGAUUGGACAGUGCCUUAUUUGGCUUACAUGACCCGGGGAGAGUUGCCUGAAGAUGAGACCUUGGCAAGACAAAUCGCCCGGCGGUCCAAGUCCAUGACAAUUGUCAAUGGCGAGUUACAUCACUGCAGCGUCACUGGAGCAUUUCAACAUUGCGUGUCACCUACAGAGGGUCAGGAGAUCCUUCAUGAGAUUCAUGAAGGCGAUUGUGGUCAUCACGCUGGCUCAAAAUCUCUUGUGGCCAAAUCUUUCCGUCAUGGGUUUUAUUGGCUGACGGCUCAUGCGGAUGCAGAAGACCUGGUCAGUAAAUGUGACGGAUGUUAUAAAUUCUCACAACAAGCCCAUGUGUCGGCUCAAGAAUUGAGGAUGAUUCCAAUUACUUGGCCGUUUGAAGUCUGGGGGCUUGAUAUGGUCGGGCCUUUCAAAAGGUCUAUGGAUAAAAAGACGCACCUCUUGGUAGCGGUUGACAAGUUCACAAAGUGGAUGGAGGCGGAGCCAGUCAGUAAGUGUGAUGCAGCCACGGUGGUCCAGUUUAUGAAAAAGGUGAUUUUUCGCUUUGGUUUUCCACACAGCAUUAUAACUGAUAAUGGCACUAACCUCUCCAAAGGAGCUAUGGAAGAGUUCUGUCAACGAGAGCAUAUCCGGCUUGACGUUUCAGCUGUGGCUCACCCUCAAUCCAAUGGUCGAGCAGAAUGAGCUAAUCAAGAAAUCUUGAGGGGUAUCAAGCCCCGGCUCUUGGUCCCCUUGCAGCGGACGCCGAGUUGUUGGGUGGAGGAGUUACCUUCUGUACUUUGGAGCAUUAAUACUACACCUAACAGAUCUACGGGUUAUACGCCUUUCUUUAUGGUGUAUGGAGCAGAGGCGGUCCUGCCAAGUGACAUCCGUCAUGACUCACCUCGUGUGGCGGCUUAUGUUGAAGAAGACAAUGAAAAAGAUCAGCAAGACGCACUUGACCUGUUAGAUGAAGAGUGAGACUUGGCAAUAGCCCGCUCGGUGAUUUACCAGCAAGACCUGCGCCGCUACCACAACCGCCGGGUUAGGUCCAGAACCUUUCAGGAAGGCGACUUAGUGCUCCGACUCAUCCAGGAUCAAUCUGACAUGCACAAGCUAUCCCCUCCUUGGGAAGGACCCUUUGUGGUCAGCAAGAAUCUGAACAACAGAUCAUACUACCUUAUCGACGUUCGGGAGCAUAAAGACUCACGUAAGUCGGAGGAGGAGACCCGUCGGCCAUGGAAUAUCGCUCAUCUUCGGCCUUAUUAUACUUGAUCCAUUGGCUCUAAUGUGUAUAUACUUAUACUAUGUAUAUUACACAAAGCAAUAAAGCAGGACCUCUGUCCUUUUUUCCACUCCCAAAAAGGUUUAUGUGUUUUCUUUGUCAGGUGGUGGAGAUAACCAAGGAAAAGCGGGUCAUAUCUGAAUCCGGCUUUCCUUUGGUCCGGCUUAUGAUCAUAUAUGAAUCUAGCCGUGAUCAUUUGGGGGCUUCCUGUUCAAACAUAGGUCGUAUUCGAACCAAAGAGAACAUAGCUGUCGAUACCCACUUGAUCAGCAUACUGCCAAACCCACUUGGGGGCUUCUUGAUCAUAUUUGAAUCAUAGCUUAACCCCUUUGGGUCUGACGUGGAUCGUAUUCGAAUCAGCGUCAUUAAACAACUCUUAUGGUCACUUGGGGGCUUCCUGUUCAAACAUAGGUCAUAUUCGAACCAAAGAGAACAUAGUUGUCGAUACCCACUUGAUCGACAUCGCCACAGCCACUGGGGGCUAACAGAUUGUAUCUGAAUCUUAGCUCAACCCCUUUGGAACGGUUCACUGAUCGUAUUCGAAUCAGAAACCCUUGAAUUAACGGCGGCUUAUGCAAGUAUUAAGGGCCAUAAGCAUGCGCAAAGGCAUAGCAAAACUCAAAGUGUUUUCUACUCUGUUACAAGACUCCCCGAGUCUGAAUGAUGUGACAUUUUUUUCUACAAUGACAUAACCAGGUGGCGCCUGGCAAUCUACUCUUGGGGUUGACUUGAAGCCUCCGGGUUAUCCUUCUCCGCCUCUCCGCCGGCUGCUUUGUCCUAGAAGGAUGAUGAGGCCCAGUCAAUGCCACUCAUAGCCUCAAACUCAGCUUCAUCAUCUAUUAAACGGGUUGGGUCGACUUCAGGGGCAAAGGUGUGCUUACAUAUCGGAGGAAUCAAGCUGACAUCAUCAUAAUGCAGCGUGGGGAUUCUCUGAUUCUCCUUGUCAUAACCCGGCUGACACUUGGUGAGGUCAGUGUCGUUUCCAAUUUGAGUGGCCACAGGGCGUAUAUCCCUAACGCAGGUGGUGAAAUCCUUUUCAUCAAAUGGAGUGCCAUCCUCCUUUAAACUUGGAUACCCAAGAGCGAUGUCGGCCGGGUCUAGCUCUGGUAACCAGGCUUUGGCCCGACUCAAAGCGGCUAUUGCUCCGGCUCUUGCUUGGGCCCGUCUCAACUCUAGAAUCCGCUGAGGAAGUAUAGCAAGCCAUUGUAACACAUCUUGCAAGAGGUGGGGCACAUCAUUUGAUAAGGCUACAAUGGCCAAGGCACGUUGUGACCCGAUGUACAGUUGCUCUACUAGAGUAUACACCGCCUUCAAUUUGAUCAGCGUAUUCUGCUUGAGGUUUGUGCUCCUGGGGCCUGUAUUGGUAAGUAUAAGGUAAACCUCAGGUAACAAUUAAAGGAAUAUUUACAAUAUUUAAUGCUUGCUUAAGAUAACUUACUAAAGAUCGCUGAGACCAUCCGAGAUAUCUGGCGUUGUAAGUCGGUCAGUUCGGCUGUUGCAUUUUCCCGCAACACCUCUGCUGUCUCAGCCCGGGUCACUAGUCCGGCCUUUUCGUCAGCUCAAAUUUUCUUCUUCGACUCAAAAUUUUUCUUCAGCUUCUCUUGUUCAGAGACGCUGAAUUCAAAUUUGGAGUUAGCCUUUUGAGUUUCAAUCUCCUGGGCUGCCACGCGGUUCUUCAGGUCAACAAUCUCCGAUUCAAAUUGACUUAUGAUGGCCUGCAUUGCACCGGAUAGUAGUCAAGAUUACGGUAAAUAAUAUUAAGUCCCAAGCACUUUGCAAGCAAAGAUACUUGACACUUGGGGGCUAAUGUAUACCGAAGCUUUCUAAAUUAUUAAGCCGGUCCUGGAUAUUAAGUCCCAAAUACUUUUCAAGCAAAGAUACUUGGCACUUGGGGGCUAAUGUAUAUCGCAAGUUAAAGGUAUUGUGUUACAUCCGGUUUAAAUAUUUCUCUUUAAGCCGGGCAAGCAGCUCUAACAAUUUUUAUAAGUCUACAGCAUAUUUAUUCAUAAGCAAUAGACUUGGGGGCUGGUACAGUAAGUAUGACUGAAAGUAAGGAAGCAUAAGUCAUACCUCAGAUUUUUGCUGUAUUUGCUUCACCAUGUCAAUUUCCAGGCCACGACUGCUUUGCACCUGGUUGAUAUAGCCCGAGACGAUCUCUCCAAUACUCAAAUGAGUAUAGUCGGUGAUAUUCAUCUUGGCCUUACGGCAUUCUAGUAACUUCUCUUUAGCCGAACAUUUGGCAAGGACGGUGGGCCUGGCCGGCUCAACGAAUUGAGCCUUGAGAAAUUCCACUUCUGAGUCAGCCGUUUUGACUGGGCUAGGUGCCUCCGUGUUAACAGAACCAUCAAGAAUAUCUUCAGCAGGCGGGUCAGAAGUUGGUGUUGCAAUGUCUUGAGCCGGCUCAGGCGGCGGUUGAUGUGUGGAAGAGUUGGGAGCAGCUAUACCCUGUUCCGGUUUAGUCACCAUAGGGGUUUGGGCCGGUUUAUCUUUCUUGGUUUUCUUCCUGGGCUUAACCUGCACGCUGUGGGCAAAGCAAAGAAAUAAGUAAAGAAACAUGAAGAAAGAAAAACAUAAGGUGAAUAAAUUGAUAUUACCCAGGGGCAGUCUUAAAAGCCGGCAUGUUUGAUUGCAUGGACUCGCCGGAUGAAGGAGAAGUAUCCUGGUAAUUGGAGUCAGAGGAAUGGAGAGGUUGACGGAUUAGACCCGCCAAAGGUAAAAAAGGGUAUAAAUUGGAGAUAACCUCAGUCCGACGCUUCCGGGUUAUGUCAGGCAAGCCGGAGGAUAGCUCUGCAUCCUUGCUGGUCCGGGUCUGCCUUCGGUUUUCAAAUUGCUAUUGCUUCAAAAGAAAGUCAGGAUCUUGGUAAGCCAAAGGGUGUGAAAAUCUUACUUUCCGGGUUACUCUUUGAAUUUUCUGACGUGGCCGAAGUUCGGAGUCGGAGGAGAUUAUAAUUACCUCUUCUUCGACGGGUUGGCUGUUGCCCGUGUCUCCCUGAAAGAAGGUUAAUAUCAGUAAAGUAGUGAUAAAGGAGAAAGGGAAAUUAAAAAGUUACCUCUUCCUCAUUAUCAUCAGUAUCAUCAAGCUGAAGCAACUCAGAAGUGCUUGGCUUCCUUUUCCUUGAAGUGGUGGGCUUGGCGGUUUUCCUUUCGGCCCUCUUGGCCGCCCUGGCUGUCUUGGCCGCCUCAUGAUCAUAUUGGAUUUUCCAGAAGUUAUCAUUUGCCUGUAAAAGGUUAUAAAGGGUUAUGCGUAAGAAUACAGUAUAACAUGGUGAAAAAAUAACCCGACGGCUGGAAACUUACUGCAGGGGCCGGGUUCUUCUGGCAAAAAGGUAGUAAGCCGAAAGCGUUACUAUUCACUAUGCCCUCUUUCAACAAAGACUGAGUUGUAGCUUCCACUACGUCAUCUGGUAAGUCGUCAGGACUAUGACGCUGAGGGCCAUCUUUCUCGCCUGAAAUAUUACACAUUAAGCCGGGGCGGCGGCUUAACGGAAUUAUUCUCCAAGCAACCCAGACUCGGACCAGGUCAAUGCCAUCUAAGCCAUUCCCUAAAAGAGCUUUAAUCUUCUUGAUCUUGGGGGUGAGUGGCAGACAUUCAAUAGCAGUCAACUUAUCCGGCAACGGGUGAGUAGGUUCAAGGCGCAAUGCACGGAAGCCGGGCAGCGGGUUUUCACCAGCCGGAGAAGUAUCUUGGUAGUAGAACCAUGUCUGGUUCCAGUCCUUUGGAUGACUCGGCAAUUCAGCAUAAGGGAACAGGCAGUCUCUCCGCCUUUGAAUCGAUAUGCCACCAAGCUCCAGACUGGGCCCGUUGGCCCGCUCAUUCUACCGGUUCAAAUAGAACAAUUCCCUGAACAAAAGUAGGCUGGGUUCUUCUCCAAGGUAGACCUCACAGAAAACUUGGAAGUUGCAGAUAUUUGACACGGAAUUGGGCCCGAUGUCUUGAGGUCUUAAGUCAAAGAAGUGCAGAAUGUCUCUAAAGAAUUUUGAACCGGGAGGAGCAAAUCCCCGGCUCAUGUGAUCGGUAAAAAUGAUCACCUCCCCUUCCUUGGGUUGAGGUUUCUCUUCAGACGGUUCUGGAGCACGAUAAGACAUGACAUCCUUCUUGGGCAGAUGGCCAGACUUUACAAACUCAGACAGUUUGCUCUCUGUAACAAUGGAUGGGACCUAGUUGCAGGUAACCGGAAGUUUAACAGCUUUGGGUGCCAUUGGGUAAAUUGAAGCCUACAACAAGAUAAAGGAAAUUUUUCUGGUUCAUUAUAACCCGGAGAAUAAACAUUAUUGGGUUAUUUAAGAUGGCAGCUUAAGAAGGGGCCUCAUGACAUACAGGUAACUAUGUGAUAAUGUUUAACAGCUGCAGGUAUUAAAGAUGAUUAAGGUUUUCUUAAGUCGCCAGAGGCAAGCAGUGCUGACAGCCGGUACUAUCUUAAACCGGCUACACGGACUACUAUGGCUGAAACACAGUCAACAGAUGCAGUUUUUUGGCUAAGUGUGGAACAAACAGGUUUCGCAAGUUUCAAUCAUUAUUUUGGAUCAAACGAUGCUCUGGAAAGGAAAAUAUUUCUAGAUCUAAAACAGUACAGAGAAGUUCAUAUACUCGUGGAGGGCUUCAAAACAAGGGAAAUGAGAUCUGUUCUCAUACAUGAUAAGCACAAACAUUUUCCGCAGCAGUUCUAAGUUGUUUUUAUAAUCUAAGCAAGGAAUUAGAGGUGAGAACUAAUGCAGGUUUGCGUCGGGCGGCGAUGAACGACGACGAACUCAAGACGGUUUCAAUGCAGAUCUGAGAAGGGGGAAAAUAGGAACUCACAGAUGCGGAAGAACUGCGGAGGGUCGCCGUCGUUUUCUGGUCAGAAUCAUGGUGAUGCAGCGGCCUGAGUCGGUGAAGACGAGGGGGUCGACCGCGGCGGCGGCAGAGCUUGAGCAGCAAAGAAGGAGGUGCGAGGAGGAAGAUGACUGAAGGAAAUGAAAAAGACCUAGGUCGCAUCUAUUUAUAAGGAAGGGCCAACCAAGACGGCGCGAGAAACGAGGAGACAGAAUAUCAUUUGACAAUGACCCCGACGCCUUGAUUUUUGGGAUGGUCAGUUAAGGCAAAGAUCCGUUGAAGAUAUGAUGAAAUAAGAUAAGGAUUUAAUUAAAAGAUGAUGUCACGGUGGGUUAACCCGGAUCCAGAAGAUGACGUCACAAUGGGUUAUGACCUUUUUACGGACAGAAGACAGAAGGACUGAUUCUUAAGGUAUUUUAAGAUUGACAUGAACCGGUCCAAAUCAAUCUGGGCCUAAUGUUGGGGAUAUAACUAUUUGAGUAAGCCGGCCAAGAGGGGUCGGGUUAUGCAAAUAGGACUAAUCGUCAAGGAAGCCCAAGACCCAGCGUGAGGAUGGCGGUUCAUAGAGCUUAAGGCCCAUAGAGACAAACCGCCGUAAUGGCAUGACUUGUAACGUAAGGUAGAGGUAACUAGUCACCGAGUCGGACACUGUUUAUGAGCCGGCCGGGACUCUGUAGGCCGGAGGGCGUCAACCCGUAUAUAUAAGGUAACGACCCGCCGGCGGCUCAGGGGAGAGACAACCGAUCGAGAACCGGGCAAAGUGUAUCUCGCUCCCUGGUCAUCGAAACCUCAAGCAAUACCAACCCAACUAGACGUAGGCCUUCCUUCACUGCAAGGGGCUGAACUAGUAUAAACCUCGCGUGUCCUUUGUCCCGAUUAACCCCUUUAAGCUUCCUAGUUGCGAUGGCUCCACGAUUAAGUCCUUGCAAGAGGACAUCUGCCGUGACAAUUCCACGACACAUGGACUGAACAUUAGUCAUAAAGAACUCAUUUACUUAUUGCAAAAAUCUAUUAGUCAUCGAAACAAAGUACUACGCGCAUGCUCCUAGGGGGAUAGUUUGGUAGGAAAAGACCAUCGCUCGUCCCCGACCACCACUCAUAAGGAAGACAAUCAAAAAAUAUCUCAUGCUCCAACUUCUUUACAUAACGGUUCACCAUACGUGCAUGCUACGGGACUCACAAACCUUAACACAAGUAUUUAUCAAAUUCACAACUACUCACUAGCAUGACUCUAAUAUCACCAUAAUUAUAUCUCAAAACAAUCAUAAGGAAUCAAACUUCUCAUAGCAUUCAAUGCACUUUAUAUGAAAGUUUUAUAUCCCUUUUGGAUGCCUAUCAUAUUAGGACUAUAUUUAUAACCAAAGCAAAUUACCAUACUAUUUAGAGACUCUCAAAAUAAUAUAAAUGGAGCAUGAGAGUUCAUCAAUUUCUAUAAAAUAAAGCUACCGCCGUGCUCUAAAAAGAUAUAAGUGAAGCAGUAGAGCAAAAUUGCCUAGCUCAAAAGAUAUAAGUGAAGCACAUAGAGUAUUCUAAUAAAUCACGAUUCAUGCGUGUCUCUCUCCAAAGGUGUGUACAACAAGGAUGAUUAUGGCAUACUAAAAAUCAAAGACUCAAAUCAUACAAGAUGCUCCAAGCAAAAUACAUAUCAUGUGGUGAAUAAAAAUAUAGCCACAAGUAAAGUUACCGAUAGACAAAGACGAAAGAGGGGAUGCCUUCCGGGGCAUCCCAAGCUUAGGCUCUUGGUUAUCCUUGAAUAUUAACUUGGGGUACCUUGGGCAUCCCAACCUUAGGCUCUUGCCACUCCUUAUUCCAUAGUCCAUCAAAUCCUUACCUAAAACUUGAAAACUUCACAACACAAAACUCAAUAGAAAAUCUCAUUAGCUCCAUUAGUAUACGAAAAUAAAUCACCACUUUUAGGACUGUUGUGAACUCAUUCUUUAUUUAUAUCAGUGUAAUAUCUACUGUAUUCCAACUUUUCCAUGGUUCAUACCCCCCGAUACUAGCCGUAGAUUCAUCGAAAUAAGCAAGCAACACAUAGAAAAUAGAACCGGUCAAAAACAGAACAGUCUGUAGCAAUUUGGAGAUUUCGGAUACUUCUGUAACUCCAACAAUUCUGAAAAAUAGGAAAAUAUAAGAAAUUUGUUUAUUAAUCUAUUGCAAAAAUAAUCAGUAUUUUAUCGCGCUUCUGCUAAAAUUGAAAAUUAAUUUCCUGGGCGCAAAUGUUUCUGUUUUCAGCAAGAUCAAAUCAACUAUCACCGUAAGCUAUCCCAAAGGUCUUACUUGCACAAACACUAAUUAAAACACAAAAGCACAUCUAACUAGAGUCUAGAUGAAUUAUUUAAUGCAAAAUAGAACCUAAAAAAGAAAAAAGAAAAAUAAAAUUGGGUUGCCUCCCAACAAGCGCUAUUGUUUAAUGCCCUUAGCUAGGCAUAAAACACGAAUAGAUCUAGGUAUUCUCAUCUUCGGCAUGCAAUCCAUAAGUGUCUCUUAUAAUAGAUUCAUAAGGAAAUUUAUUUUUCUUUCUUGGAAAUUGUUCCAUGCCUUUCCUUAAUGGAAAUUGAAAUCUAAUGUUUCCUUCUUUCAUAUCAAUAAUUGCACCAAUCGUUCUAAGGAAAGGUCUACCAAGAAUAAUAGGACACGUAGGAUUGCAAUCUAUAUCAAGAACAAUGAAAUCUACGGGCACAUACUUACUAUUUGCAACAAUAAGAACAUCAUUAAUCCUUACCAUAGGUUUCUUAAUAGUGGAAUCCACAAUAUGCAAAUUUAAAGAACAAUCAUCAAAUUCACGAAAACCUAACACAUCACAUAAUGUUUUUGGAAUCAUGGAAAUGCUAGCACCCAGAUCACACAAAGCAUAACACUCAUAAUAUUUAAUCUUAAUCUUAAUAGUAGGUUCGCACUCAUCAUAAAGUUUUCUAGGGAUAGAAACUUCCAAUUCAAGCUUUUCUUCAAAAGAUUGCAUCAUAGCAUCAACGAUAUGUUUAGUAAAAGCCUUCUUUUGAUUAUAAGCAUGAGGAGAAUUUAACAUGGAUUGCAACAAGGAAAUACAAUCUAUUAAAGAACAAUUAUCAUAAUUAAAUUCCUUGAAAUCCAAAAGAGUGGGUUCAUUGCUACCUAAAGUUUUGACCUCUGAAAUCCCACUUUUAUCAAUUUUUGCAUCAAGAUCUAAAAACUCUGAAUCAUUGCGAAGCCUUUUAACUAAAGUUGACUCAUCUCUAGUCCCAUCUUUAUCAAGAUUUAUAUUGGAAAACAAAGAUUCAAUAGGAGUCACAUCAAUCACUUUAAGAUCUUCAUCAUUAUUUAAAUAUUCUGGUUUAGCGGGCAUCUUAUUCACCAAGGUAGCUUAUUUAUCGGAGAUUUGGCCUACUAAAGUUUCAAGAUGAGCAAACGGUGAUCUCAAACCAUAAAAUUCCUUAGACAUACCAUCGAGCUCUUUAUUCAUGUAUUCCAUAAAAAAUUUCUGCUCCUUAAGCUCGUUUGUAAAGAAAUUAUUAUGCUCAAAUUGCAAAGACAUGAAGCUUCUAACGUUAAUUUUCAAUUUCUUCCAACCUCCUGAAGUGAAGGUCAACAUUUUUUGGUUGAGCCAUCGUGACAAAGCAAGCAACCCACCCCCAAGCACACAAAAAGCAAGCAAAGAAGAUGAAUGGAAGAGGGGUGAAGAAAAGGCAAAUCUUUUCGAAAAUCAUUUUAGAAGUGGGGGAGAGGAAAACAAGAGGCGAACGACGAAUAAUGUAAUGCAAGAGAUGAGAGUUUAUGAUGGGUGCUUGGUAUGUCUUGACUUGUGAUGCGGCUUGAAGCUACGUCGGUAUUUCCCCCAAAGAGGAAGGGCUGAUGCAGUACAACGAUGGUAGGUAUUUCCCUCAGUGAUGAAACCAAGGUUAUCGAACCAGUAGGAGAACCAAGCAACAAUACGUAAACGGUACCUACACACAAAUAACAAAUACUCGCAACCCAACAUAUUAAAGGGGCUGUCAAUCCUUUUCGGGUAACGGCGCCAGAAAUUGGCAAACGGACAUGAAUAAAUUGUAGUAGAUUGAUAGAUCGAAUGCCAAAUAAAAUAAAUAAGAAUAAAUUACAGUAAGGUAUUUUUGUAUUUUUGGUUUAAUAGAUCUGAAAAUGAGAGAAAAGGAAAAUAGACCGCAAAGGCAAAUAAUAUGAGAAAGAGACCUAGGGGCCAUAGGUUUCACUAGUGGCUUCUCUCGAGAAAAAUAGCAAACAGUGGGUAAACAAAUUACUGUUGGGGAAUUGAUAGAACUUCAAAUAAUCAUGACGAUAUCCAGGAAAUGAUCAUUAUAUAGGCACCACGUCCAAGAUUAGUAGACCGACUCCUGCCUGCAUCUACUACUAUUACUCCACACAUCGACCGAUAUCCAGCAUGCAUCUAGUGUAUUCAGUUCAUGGAGAAAUGGAGUAAUGCAAUAAGAAUGAUGACAUGAUGUAGACAAGAUCUAUUUAUGUAGAAAUAGACCCCAUCAUUUUAUCCUUUGUAGCAAUGAUACAUACGUGUCGGUUCCCCUUCUAUCACUAGGAUCAAGCACCAUAAGAUCGAACCCACUACAAAGCACCUCUUCCCAUUGAAAGAUAAAUAGAUCAAGUUGGCCAAACAAAACCGAAAUAUCAGAUAAGAAAUACAAGGCUAUAAGCCACUACUAGGGAAAACCCUAGCAGUAGCGUGGGUAUUUUGCGUAUCAGUAGCGCGGGAGGACGCACUAUUGAUAAGGCGCUACAGCUAUUCCUUAGUAGUAGCGCGUGCUACGCGCGCUGCUACUAAGACAUAUAGCAGCAGCGUUUCUUCGCUGCAGCGCUACUGCUAAUACAGCUAGUUGUAGCAUGUUUACUAUCCAUCGCUACUAGUAUUCUUUUUCUCAUUUUUUUAAUUUUUAGUGUAUUUAUACGCCAUUAUACAAAUUUUGGUACAAUACCAAUUAUGAGGUUGUUAUAUCAAUAUGUCCAUAACAGUGUGUCAAAUGAAGGUGGAUUAGGUUUAAGUGGAGGGAACAUGUGGUGCAUGUCAAAAGUAUACUACUAAACCAAACUUGAUCUAGUUUGGACUAGUAGUACUUUCGAUGUGCACCACAUGUUGCCUCCACUUGAAUCUAAUCCGCCAACACAAGCUAUUUAAUCAUCAUCAUAGUCAUUACCACAAACAGUAGCUAUUUAAUCAUCAUAAUCAUAGUGUAGCACACAUCAUCAUCUUCAAACUCAUUCUAGCUAGCUAAUCACCACCAAGCGCUGGACAUGUUUGCUUGAACGGAAAUAAGCUGUCAAUAGAAAUUAGUUGUCAACUAUUUCUGAAUAAACAAUAUCGAAGACAUAAAUAUGGUUGAGAAACUCACAUAAUGGUAUAACUAGAGGUGUCUGCACAUCGACCCAGAUGUCGAUACUACCUUCAAUAUCAUCUUCGGACGAAUAUCAGAGGUGAUAACCAUAUCAGGCUCAAAUGCAUCUUGCCAAGUUUUGCAUUCAAAACUGGUGUAGGUGUCUGCGUUGUAUAAUUUUGCGUGGAAAGUAUAACCAUGCUCGGUCUUCAAGUAAACUCUCUUUACCUUCAUACUAUUUUUCAUAGAACUGAAACCUAUCUUAUCCAAGACAAAAACUCUUGCAUGGCAGGGGAUACGCUAGUAGAAUAGUAAAAAAAAUUAAAUUAUAAGUUGAAGCAAAUGAAGCAGAUGUCAUGCUUAAUUACGAAAAAAAGACUUGUCGUUGUGACUUACUAUAUACACUUCAAAGUUCUCGUCCAGCUUGAUGCUGAAGCGCCUAUCAUCAUCUAGGAAGAUUCUGUCGCACAUGCCGCGCUCGUCUUCGCAGUAUUCGCAAAUACCGAAAUCCUUUUCGUCGUCAGACAUUUCCUAUGUUCAUAGUUGAAACAUUAAUUGAAAAUCGAUCGAAGGCAACUACCAGGAUACUCAACACACAAAUCCGGGGCACUCGAUAUUUCCUACAUAUUCUGGCACAAGUCAUGCCAAAAUUCAUAGAAAAAUCUGGCAUGACCUUUGCUAAAAUAGGACACAUCGAGCGCCUGAAAUUUGCUGGAACGGAAAUGAAUCAACACUCCGGCAAAACAUAGGCCGCUCGGAGGUGUAACCUACAAACAUGACUGGCCACUUGGGCAAGCACAUAUCCUAUUUGAGCAAGACAAGAUAUAAAUUUCAAAAUAUCUUAUGGGACUCAUAUUGACAUGAGCAUUCAAUAAUCAAAACCAAAUCGUAAAAUAAAUAAGUAUUCAAAUUAGCAUGCAUUCAAUAAGAAAAAGUAAAUCAUCUCAAGUGUCCGUACACAGUCGAAUAUUAUCACUAAUACACCCUGAAUAGUAUCAUACAUAUAAAAUCACUAAUACAACUAAAACCCUAGCGCACGACAGGUAUCGGCGCGGGCCGUGGACACCCACAGAGAAGGAACCAUCACAGGAUCAUAGCUCCAUUGAGAUCCCUGGAGAACCUGUGCUCCAACACAAACAAGUAGCGACAGACGUGCGCGUCCUCCUCACUGACACGGUGACGCACCACCUCCGCGGGGUCCUCGAGCCUCUGGACCAUCACUGGCCCACGCGACCGCAACCAAAGAAGGUUCGGGUCAACAACGGGCUGACUCCUCACCAACCUGCGCCCCCCGGUAGGUAGCGCCUCCCAGUACCACCCCGGCGGAGCCCAGUCCCGGACAUGGCCCAUCUGGUGACGCAGGUGUCCUCCGCUGACUCGAUGACGAGGAUGCGGGAUAGGCAUCAUCAACGUCGAUGCGGGAAUAAUUGCUUUAACUAAAAAGUAAACUAGUUUUAUUAAUUUUCAUACUAAAAAUAAAAUAGUUGUAUUAACUCAACUAGUUCAAUUAAGCACUUACUAUAAAUAAAAAUAAACUAGUUUUUACUAAAAAUAAACUAGUUCAACUAGUUAUAUUAAUUUUCUUACUAAUUCUAUUAAACACUUAGUAAAAAAUAGUAAAAAACUAGUUAGAUGAAAUCUAGAAUUUAACCCUAACUAAUUUGAUGAACUCUAGAAUUUAACCCUAACUAAUUUGAUGAACUCUAAAACUAAUUCUAUUUAACAACUACUGCCAUAAUUAGCAUCUAAUUUGAUGAACCCUAACUAAUUAGAUGAACUCUGNNNNNNNNNNNNNNNNNNNNNNNNNNNNNNNNNNNNNNNNNNNNNNNNNNNNNNNNNNNNNNNNNNNNNNNNNNNNNNNNNNNNNNNNNNNNNNNNNNNNNNNNNNNNNNNNNNNNNNNNNNNNNNNNNNNNNNNNNNNNNNNNNNNNNNNNNNNNNNNNNNNNNNNNNNNNNNNNNNNNNNNNNNNNNNNNNNNNNNNNNNNNNNNNNNNNNNNNNNNNNNNNNNNNNNNCUAGGCAGAUGUAGGGGAGGAGGAGGAGGAUGAGGGCAUGCUCACUUCGGGUGCCAGCGGAGUUAGGCAGAGGGGCACACGGCGUCGAGGUUGGGGACGGGGUCGGGGCACCGGGCGCACAGUGGAGGGCGGCGAUGUAGGGGGCGUCGAGGUCGGGGUCGGGGCAACGUUGAGGUCGGGGUCGGGGGCGGCGUCGAGGUCGGGGUCGGGGGCAGCACGGACGGUGUGCGGAGGGCGACGGGAGAGCGCGCGACGGCCGGGCGAUGAUGGCGGCGACAGCAGUUGAGGCACGCGUGUUCGAUUUUGGGGGGCAUUGGGAAGAAGAAAAUGGUUUUGGUUAAGUGCAAAGUAGCAGCAGGGCGUUCCACGGAAAGUGCUACUACUACAUUAGCUAUAGCGCAUGUCCAUAAAGCCCACUGCUGCUACGCAUUUCUCCUUUAUUUUUAUUUUUCAUUUAUUUUCAUUCACAUUUUAUUUUUUUCCUUCCCCUUUUUCUAUUUCUUUCAUUUUCAUUUACUUUUCUAUAUGUUUUUCAUUUUAUUUUCAUUUCCUUAGCAGUAGCGCUUCCUACGCGAAACACGCUGCUACAACAAUCUUAGCAGCAACACGCUUUCCUUAGGCACACUACUACUAUAGGAACCCCGGCGAGAAUUGUAAGGAGAAUUGUAGUAGUAGCGCCUGUACAAUUAGACGUGCUACUGCUAUGAUCUUAGCUGCAGCGCGUUUGAAAAAAUGCGCUACUGGUAAAUUGUAGUAGCGCUUCUUUUUGUCCCGUGCUACUGGUAAGUUUCUGUGUAUAAGGUUUUCCCUAGUAGUGAGCAAUCAUGCAUAUAAGAGAUCAAAGAAACUCAAAUAACUUUCAUGGAUAAAAAUAGAUAGAUCUGAUCAUAAACGCAAAGUUCAUUGGAUCCCAACAAACACACCACAAAACAGUUACAUCAUAUGGAUCUCCAAGAGACCAUUGUAUUGAGAAUCAAAUGAGAGAGAUGAAGCAAUCUAGCUACUAACUACAGACCCGAAGGUCUACAAAGAACUACUCACGCAUCAUCGGAGAGGCCCAAUGGAAGUGGUGAACCCCUCUGUGAUGGUGUGUAGAUUGGAUCUGGUGGUUCUGGACUCUGCGGUGGCUGGAAUUGAUUUUCGUCGACUCCCCUAGGGUUUCUGGAAUAUUGGGGUAUUUAUAGAGCAAAGAGGCGGUCCGGGGGGCACCCGAGGUGGGCACAACCCACCAGGGUACGCCUGGGCCCCCAGGCGUGCCCUGGUGGGUUGUGCUCCCCUUGGAGCACCCCUAGGCGCUUCUCCAGGCCAUUGGGUGUCUUUUGGUCCAAAAAAAUCAAUAAAAAAUUUCACUGCAUUUGGACUCCGUUUGGUAUUGAUUACCUGCGAUGUAAAAAACAUGCAAAAAACAACAACUGACACUUGGCACUAUGUUAAUAGGUUAGUACCAAAAAUGAUAUAAAAUGACUAUAAAAUUAUUAUAAAACAUCCAAGAUUGAUAAUAUAAUAGCAUGUAACAAUCAAAAAUUAUAGAUACGUUGGAGACGUAUCAACUUGGCGUAGAUCUCCCCGGCAACAGCGCCAGAAAUUCUUCCUGCUACCUCUUGAGCUUGCGUUGGUUUUUCCCUUCAAGAGGAAAGGGUGAUGCAGCAAAGUAGAGUAAGUAUUUCCCUCAGUUUGAGAACCAAGGUAUCAAUCUAGUAGGAGACAAUGAACAAGUCACCGAAUACCUGCACAAUCAAUCAACAACUUGCACCCAACGUGAUAAAGGGGUUGUCAAUCCCUUCAUGGUUACUUGCAAAAGUGAGAUCUGAUAGAGAUAGAUAAAUGGUAAAGUAAAUAUUUUUGGUAUUUUGGUUUAUAGAUCGGAAAGUAAAAGAUUACAAAGGAAGUAAAUUGGAAACUUAUAUGAUGGAAAAUAGACCCGGGGGCCUGAUACGUCUCCAUCGUAUCUACUUUUCCUAACAUUUUCCCUCUUGUUUUGGACUCUAAUUUGCACGAUUUGAAUGAAACUAACCCGGAUUGACGUUGUUUUCACCAGAACUACCAUAGUGUUGUUUUUGUGCAAAAAUAAAAGUUCUCAGAAUGAAAAGAAACUUUUUGAGGAUUUUUAUGCAAUAAAUGGGAAUUUCUGGAGCCAAGAACCAACGAAGGGGGGCACCUGGGUGGGCACAAGCCACUAGGGCUCCUCCCCUCCAGGCGCGCCCAGGUGGGUUGUCCUCGCCUGGUGGCCCCGCAACCUUGAAACCGACGCUAUAAAAUCACAUAUUUCCAGAAAAAAAUCAGGGAGAAAGAAUUAUCAUGUUCCACGAGAUGGAUCCAUCAUCACCUCCUGUUCUUUAUCGGGAGGCUAGAUCUGGAGUUUGUUUGGGGCUCCGGAGAGGGGGAUCUUCGAUCUUCGUCAUUACCAACCCUUCUCCAUCGCCAAUUCCAUGAUGCUCCCCACCGGGAGUGAGUAAUUCCUUCGUAGGCUCGCUGGUCGGUGAGGAGUUGGAUGAGAUUCAUCAUGUAAUCUAGUUCAUUUUGUUAGCGCUUGAUCCCUAGUAUCCACUAUGUUCUGAGAUUGAUGUUACUAUGACUUUUCCAUGCUUAAUGCUUGUCACUUUGGGCUUGGGUGCCAUGAUUUUAGAUCUAAACCGUUUAUGUUAUCACCAUUAUAUCUAUGUUCUAGAUCCGAUCUUGCAAGUUAUAGUCACCUACUACGUGUUAUGAUCUGGCAACCCCGGAGUGACAAUAGUCGGGACCACUCCCGGUGAUGAUCGUAGUUUGAGGAGUUCAUGUAUUCAUCGUGUGUUAAUGCUUUGUUCUGGUUCUCUAUUAAAAGGAGGCCUUAAUAUCCCUUAGUUUCCAAUAGGACCCCGCUGCCACGAGAGGGUAGGACAAAAGAUGUCAUGCAAGUUCUUUCCAUAAGCACGUAUGACUAUUUAUGGAAUACAUGCCUACAUUAUAUUUAUGAACCGGAGCUAGUGCCGUAUCGCCCUAGGUUAUAACUGUCACAUGAUGAAUAUCAUCCAACAAAUCAUCAAUCCAAUUCCUACAAAUUUCUCUUAUAUUAUUCUUGCUAAGUUACUACUGCUAUCGUUACUAUUGCACUUGCUACAAAAUUACUGCUAUCAUUGUUAUCGUUACUAUUGCUGCUACUACUAUUAUCAAAAUUAUCAUACUACUUUGCUACUGAUCACUUUGCUGCAGAUAAUUAAUCUCCAGGUGUGGUUGAAUUGACAACUCAGCUGCUAAUACUUACAAAUGUUCUUUGGCUCCCCUUCACUACAAGAAAUAUGUCAAAUUGCGACCACCACUAUUGGUCGCUGAAAGGGCAUUGUUUUUCAUUUGUGACCUUUUUGUGACCAAAAGCAGAUGGUCAAAAGCUGACAGUCGUAAACUGAAAUUAACGACCUUCUCUGUGAGAAGGCCGUGGAAGGCAACGACCAAAACAAAAGGUCAUUGAUUCUAUGACCUUCUGUUUUGGUCGCUAGCUGUCUGCCCAGGCUACGCCAGAUCUGACAUGGCAGCUGAUGUGGCAAAAUUGCAACCAAUUGAAUUGGUCGUUGCUAAGAUUCAGCCCGGUCCAAUUCGGUGUCUAUAUAGGCCAAGCCCAUUAAUUCAGCCCAUUUAUAUAUAAAAAAAAUUCUGCCAAUUUUUGUUAGCUACCUGGGCCUGGACCAACAAUUCGACCUUUUAUUUAUUUCUGGGCCGUGGCCUUUUAACAUUGUUUGGGCCAUUAUAUUUUGGAGCUGGUCUCACUUGUCAUCAUCUCACACAUUGGGCCCACUUGACAGAAAUUUCAAAACUGGUCAGAUUAUUUUCAUAAGUGGGUCCCACGAGUCAAGUUUCCAUUUCACACAUUUUCAAAAUCACAUACAUAAUCAAUAUUUUAGACAAAACAGUACAAAUGUAGUUCCUCAAAUAACAUUAAGUCUACUACAAUCUGUACAUAGUCUAUUACAACCCCAAUAUGCCUACUGUCACAAUAUUACAAUAUUUACAGUCUAUUACAGUCAAACAUAAGAGGCAACUCUUUGCUAAGUAUACGGCUUCAAAGUUCAAAUUUUGUAGACUUGGAGCUCCUGUAAAAGAGUGAACACAUAGGCUACCAGCAUUAGAGUCGCUAUUAUUCUUGGACUGUCGAAAAAUUAUAUAUUGAAAGAGAUCUCAUAGAAAUGUAGAUUUAUGGACCAAAUAUAUGAUAAAGCAACAGAUUCAGCCAACUUCAAAGACCUAGAUGUUUGUGAUGCAUCUUCAUAGGACCACAAGAACACUAGAUAUAGUACAAUAUGAUUCCAGGAGACCACAAGAGUAUCAAUCAGUAGCAGGUAUAUAGCUAGCAAACUACUACUAGACAUCAUCGACACUUGAACCAUAACAUGUCCAGCAAGGAAAUAAAAAAUGGGACAAGUGCUAAUUCUGGAUAACAUGUCUAGGAAGUCCAUCCAAUGGUUUCAACUACAUCCUAAUAAACUAGCGGCACUAUAAUACUACUAAUUACCAACAGUAAAUCAAAUAGCCAGAUGAAGCACCAGCACUUGAUCAUCAACACAACAAUCGGCAAGGACUCAAUCAUGGCGCAAAAAACAUCAAAAUCCUAACUAACACAUGAAACAGAGCAUGGUUGUAGCAUAGCAAAGGGAGGAGCUCACAGUGGUGGUUUGUGCAGCCGAUGUCGAAUAGCCUCCGUUCGUCGCUUGCGAGCACCAUGCACCUUGGUUAGCCAUGAAGCCCUUGUCUUCUGCUGCACGGAUGAAAUCCAAAGCAUCAUUGUUGCACAUGGAUAGGAGGAGUCAGAAAUUUUGAGGUCAAACUCCAGCCGCAUUGCUGUGUAUAAACUAGUAUAGAAUGAAGCACAUGAAGUUAGUACAUGCUACUAGAACAAUAUUAUGCCCAUCAAGAACACCAGAAUAAACGCAUUUCAGGCAUUCUAAUGUCUGGAGAUCUGCUUCCAGAAACCCACUAUGUCAAUCCCAAAACUAGACUGUAAAGUACUGGAUGAGAUAUCAACUACUCCUACUACUAAAGCAGGUGCAAGAUGUUGGUUAACAGCAUCAUAACUAGUUGAACCUAGCACCCAAUCAUCGAUCAAUCACCAAACAGUAUGAAGCAAAAACAAACAAGAGGGGGAGGAGUUUAUACCUGAUCUUCUUGAGCCUCUCAAGGUCAUCCCUGAGCUUCAUGUCGACGACGUUGGAGACGAACUGGCGCGGAUUGUGCACCACUUCCAUCAGAUGGUCCAUCUCCUCCGCGGAAAGCUCUCUAGCCCUGCACACCCCCAUAGAAGACAACCCAAAUUAUUUUUUGUAGAAAGAAGCAACAACUCAGACUAUCUACACAAAAAGCUAGCCCAAAUUUCUAAGCAUACUAGCACAGGCACUGGCACAACACAUAGAAUGAAGCACAUGAUGCUAGUACUUGCUACCCGGACAUUUCAAGCAAUCUAGUGUUUAUAACAAGGGUGCAACGCGAGCAAAAACUAGACAUGUAUAAAUCAUCUACAUGGUAAGAGAUAACUAAAGUAGCAUUUUGCUAAACAAGCUACCCCCUCAGUUAUGCUAUAGAAAACCAUAUUCAGUUUUGGGACGCGAACAAUUAAGAUCCUACAUAGUAAGAGAGCAGCAAAACUAGCAUUCCGCUACUAUCCGAGCAAGAAUACCAGCGGGUACAAUACUUGCAGCUUCAUCAACAGAAUCUAACUAAGUUACUGCACCAGGUACAGGAAAUUAGAAUUGAACUUUUUCAAUUGAUGAAAUUGUUUAGCCCCUCAGACUAAUAACAUGAGAUUUGUUGGCUAGACUGGUGAGACAAGCAAGAUAGAACAUCACACAACAAUAUUUUUCUGUGCCCGCAGCGAAAUAGUUAGGCAAAGUUGGGCAAGACUCCAAAUCUUUCUACCAAAAUGAGCAUUAUUCCACAUCCAUGUGCACCAACAUAGAAGAAAAAGUUGUGUGUGUGUGUAUUUAGAUGUGAAGAUAAAAUGAGAACAUCUGACUUCAAACAACAAAUAUUAAAACAUCAUCAGAUUGAAACAACAGAUGCCACAUAAUUUAGCUACAAAACUGGAUGAGGCGAAUUGCCGAAUUAUACAGCCAUAACAUUACUGUCACCAAGAUUCCUAUUCCACCAAGUCAUUCAAUAACUGAUAUAAUAGUCAUGCCAUUGUGAUGUUAACACCAGGACAUGACAUAAAACAGAGCUUAUUACAAAGGGAAAUAACUGAACCUGGACAUGGACACAUGAGACAAAUCAAGCAACAAUACUAAUCUAAAUUUUACAAGCACAUAUGUUCUCAAGAAGAAUUCACAAAGACCAUCAUAAACAAGAACAUAUGGAAAGGCGCUUGUGUAGCAGCGCUAGAGGAAAGGCGGUUGUCAGUAUACUACAUGGCGUUAGGUGUAAGCUGCCCAUGUGUAUAGAAACAAGAACAUAUGGAUCAAUAGGCAUUAGCAGCAGCAGAAAUUGACCCUAGCUAAUUAUCUUUCACAUACCUAGUAACAAAAUAAUAUGUGCAUUUGACAACACUAACAGUCAGUCCAGAAUAUGAUUCACAAUAAAGAAAAGAACAAUCUGUCCAAAAAAUCAUGUGCUAGAUUAGGAAGAAAGUGAACAUAGUGGGGUUGUCGGGGUUGAAAACUUAACAUGUACAAAUCAUCAGUUUACAAAGUAGGCUACUGCAUUACUGCUUGAAAUAAAGAGCAGCAGCUGCUAAUAAGCUAUGCCAUAUGACAAACGAACUACAAUUCACUGUGUAGGUAAGACUAAGUACCUACAAAUUAAAUGGCUAAGUACCAAGCUUCGGUUCUACAUCUCUACAUCUUCUAUAUUUACCAACCCACUUGCCCACAGACCGAUUUAAAGUUUUUGUAGCUUAGGGGUUAAAUCUAGGGGAGCAAAAGAAAUAGACACAUUUAAAAAUGCUAAGUACUUGUGGGGUUAGCACUACAAUUUUUGGUAAUGCAGAAAACAUGAGAGCCUUUGUAAGCUUUGAUGAGUUGGAUUAGGAAGAAAAUUAUGAUCGAUAACAAGGUAUACGAUAUGAAAAAUCAACUAGACUUCACUUUGUAGGUACUACCAAGUAACAACAACCCAAAUUCCCAUCCCCACCCCUGCCCUCACAACCGUAAUAACUUCCUCCCCUACAAAAGCCUCCCAAGAAGCCAACCAAGGUCAGCUCAGCACAUAACGCGACACCAUAGAGCAAUAGCCAUAGCCAGCAGCAAUGGAGAUAGAGUCAGUCAAGUGUGAGUAUUGUGGCCUGAGGGAGGACUGCACCGAGGACUACAUUCCGGCGAUUAUGUAUCCCUCGACGGAUCUGCAUCCACAAGGCGAGGGGAGAGAAGGGGUUAGUUGCAGAGAGGGGGAAUUUAGAUAGGUAAAUCGAAACAGAGAUAUAGAGGAGGCCGACGAACCCUGGCCAGGAGCUGGAGUGAGAGCACCCCAUUGAUAUUGGUGGCUUCCAAGACACCUCUAUCGCCUGCUCCACCAUGCCACAACCGAGCCACAUCAGAACCCUAGCCGUCACCGGAGCAAGAAGCAAACCUAGACAUCGAGAUCUACAAGGGAGACAAUAAGAGGUGACGAAGAGAGUGAGGGAUGUGACGAAGAGGAGUGGAGACACUCACCUGAGUCACCGGAGCCACAACGGCGACGUGCUAGCCACAACCCUAGCCGCUGGGAAGGGUUGCGCUUGGCUGCUGGAGGAAGCACACACCGGAUCUGGCCCGAUGGGAGGAAGGAGAGGAUGGGGGAGGUCACAGUGGUGUGUUGGGCGCGCCGGAGGAUGCCGGCAUCGCGCGGGAUCUGGCCCACCGGUGGUGGGAUCGGGCACUGUUGGUGGUGGUGACGAGAAUUGGUGCGAGGGAGAGGGAGGCACGACGUGGGAUCAGGCGUUGUUGGUGGCUGUUGAUGAAAGCAACGUCGGAGAUGCCCCCGACGCCAGCGGCGGCUCCCGGGAGGGAGGCCGCGGAGGAGGUGGAGGAGGAGCGGUGGUGGGAGGGGCAGACGCCGCCGGGGAGGUAGAGCCCGUGCUCCUCCCGACGUGCUGCCUCCCAUAGACCAGGCUCCCUGCCCGCAGACGGUUCAUGGCGGGAUCGCCGAAGCUGGGAGGGGUCUGGGCAAAGGACGGCAGCGGAUUGGGUUGGGCUACAGCGGCGUAUUGAGAUAUGAGGGAGGGAGAGGGUUAGGGUUGGAGAGAAGGGGGCUAUGUGGGGUAGGCGAGCACGCGGCGGGAACCGCCCCGGAGCACGGCGGCGGCGUCAGGGAGCAAAGGGGGCAGUGGUCAUCGUUCAUCGGAGAGGAGUAGGGGGGCGGUGGAGUUGAUGGGGAGGCGAGAAAGAAAGAAAGGAGGCAGGGGGGAUGGAAAACGGGGGAGAACAGAGCUUCAGUUUCGCCUCACGUGGGGUUGGUGGGGGAGGCGAGGGAUGAGGGCUGCUGUUGGAUCCAGGAGGAUCCAACAGUGUUUCGUGCAUGAUCCGCGUGUCUUGUCCACGGACAAAUCAGAAAGCAAUACAACAUUAUGACCAACUAAAUUGGUCGUGAUAGAUUUAAAAAUAAGAUGUUAAAAUCAUGUAACCUAUUUUGUGAUCUCAGAAAUUAAAAAAAAAACAAAAAACAUUCUCAUUGUGUCACCAAUUGUGAACUAGCUUUCAGGAAAAUAACAAACAUGAAAUGGCAAACAAUGUUGCCUAAGGGAGUUUCAUUUUCUUUGGACGAAAAAAAAUCAUUUUCCAUUUUCCGAGUGCCCAAAAUGAGUUUAUUUGAAGGACCUACCAAAUAAUUGUUGCAAAAUUGGACCAAAUCAAUUUUCUAAAAUACUAGGCCAUAUUUAAUGCACAAUUGACCAAAUGGUUGGGUGUCAAAAGUUUUGAUCCACCUCUCGUGAAAAAACAAAUUUCUGCCGAUUCAGUUGGAAGCGGGUCAAAUUUGAACUGCAGCUGCCUCAUAGUUUGCUCUUUAUUUUUCCCAAAAAUCAUUUUUAGGUACAAAAGUCUAUUUAAUCACACCCGCUUUCCAGAUGUUAUGAAUACCUGGCAGAGCAAAGCUGAUGACAACUCGAUAGUUCAGUGUGCCAUGCUAUAUAGCUUAGAACUGGGACUUGAACAACGUUUUGAACGUCAUCGAGCAUAUGAGAUGUUUCAGGAGUUGAAGUUAAUAUUUCAAGCAAAUGCCAGGAUUGAGAGAUAUGAAGUCUCCAAUAAGUUCUAGAGCUGCAAAAUGGAGAAGAAUAGUUCUGUCAGUGAACACAUACUCAGAAUGUCUGGGUACCACAAUCACUUGACUCAGCUGGGGUUAAUCUUCCAGUUGAUAGUGUCAUUGACAGAGUUCUUCAAUCACUGCCACCGAGCUACAAAAGCUUCGCGAUGAACUAUAAUAUGCAAGGGAUGGAUAAGACAAUUCCCGGGCUCUUCGCGAUGCUAAAGGCUGUGGAGGUAGAAAUCAAGAAAGAGCAUCAAGUGUUGAUGGUCAAUAGGACCACCAGUUUCAAGAAGAAGGGCAAAGGGAAGAAUGGGAAAUUCAAGAAGAAUGGCAAGAAUGUUUCUGCUCAAGUGAAGAAGCCCAAGUCUGGGCCUAAGCCUAAGACUGAGUGCUUCUACUAUAAAGGGACUGGUCACUAGAAGCGGAACUGCCCCAAGUGUUUGGCGGAUAAGAAGGAUGGCAAAGUGAAAGGUAUAUUUGAUAUACAUGUUAUUGAUGUGUACCUUACCAAUUCUCGUAGUAGCGCCUGCGUAUUUGAUUCUAGUUCUGUUGCUAAUAUUUGCAACUCGAAACAGGGGCUAUGGAUUAAGCGAAGAUUUGCUAAGGACGAGGUGACGAUGCGUGUGGGAAAUGGUUCCAAAGUCGAUGUGAUCACCAUCGGCACGCUAUCUCUACAUAUACCUUCGGUAUUAGUUUUAGACCCGAAUAAUUGUUAUUUGGUGCCAGCGUUAAGCAUGAACAUUAUAUCUGGAUCUUGUUUGAUGCGAGACAGUUAUUCAUUUAAAUCAGAGAAUAAUGGUUGUUCUAUUUAUAUGAGUAAUACCUUUUAUGGUCAUGCACCCUUGAUGAGUGGUCUAUUUUUACUAAAUCUUGAUAGUAGUGAUACACAUAUUCAUAGUAGUGAAGCCAAAAGAUAUAAGUUUAAUAAUGAUAGUGCAACUUAUUUGUGGCACUGCCGUUUAGGUCAUAUUGGUGUAAAGCGCAGGAAGAAACUCGAUGCUGAUGGGCUUUUGGAAUCACUUGAUGCUUGCGAGCCAUGCCUCAUGGGCAAGAUGACUAAGGCUCUGUUCUCUAGAACAAUGGAACGAGCAACAUAUUUAUUGGAAAUAAUAGAUAUUGAUGUAUGCGGUCCGAUGAGUGUUGAUGCUCAUGGCGGGUAUCGUUAUUUUCUGACCUCUUCACAGAUGAUUUGAGCAGAUAUGGGUAUGUCUACUUGAUGAAACAUAAGUCUAAAACAUUUGAAAAGUUCAAAGAUUUUCAGAAUGAAGAGGAAAAUCAUCGUACCAAGAAAAUUAAGUUUCUACGAUCUGAUCAUGGAGGUGAAUAUUUGAGUUAUGAGUUUGGUCUUCAUUUGAAACAAUGCAGAAUAGUUUCACAACUCACGCCACCUGGAACACCACAGCGUAAUGGUGUGUCCGAACAUCAUAACCGCACUUUAUUAGAUAUGGUGCAAUCAAUGAUGUCUCUUACUGGUUUACCGCUAUCGUUUUGGGGUAAUGCUUUAGAGACAGCUGCAUUCACGUUAAAUAGGGCACCAUCGAAAUCCCUUGAGACGAUACCAUAUGAACUGUGGUUUAGCAAGAAACCCAAGUUGUCGUUUCUUAAAGUUUGGGGCUGCGAUGCUUAUGUGAAAAAGCAUCAACCUGAUAAGCUUGAACCCAAAUCGGAGAAAUGUGUCUUCAUAGGAUACCAAAAGGAGACUGUUGGGUACACCUUCUAUCACAGAUCCGAAGGCAAGAUAUUCUAAAAAUGGACCCUUUCUAGAGAAGGAGUUUCUCUCGAAAGAAUUGAGUGGGAGGAAAGUAGAACUUGAUGAGGUAAUUGUACCUUCUCCCUUAUUGGAAAGUAGUUCACCACAGAAAUCAGUUCCAAUGAUUCCUAUGCCAAUUAGUGAGGAAGCUAAUGAUGAUGAUCAUGAAACUUCUGAUCAAGUAACUACCGAACCUCGUAGGUCAACCAGAGUAAGAUCCGCACCAGAGUGGUACGGUAAUCCUAUUUUGGAGGUCAUGUUACUUGACCAUGACGAACCUACGAACUAUGAGGAAGCGAUGAUGAGCCCAGAUUCCGCGAAAUGGCUUGAGGCCAUGAAAUAUGAGAUGGGAUCCAUGUAUGAGAACAAAGUAUGGACUUUGGUUGACUUGCCCGAUGAUUGGCAAGCCAUAGAGAAUAAAUGUAUCUUCAAGAAGAAGACUGACGCUGACGGUAAUGUUACUAUCUACAAAGCUCGACUUGUCGUGAAAGGUUUUCAAUAAGUUCAAGGAGUUGACUACGAUGAGGCCUUAUCCCCCGUAGCAAUGCUUAAGUCCGUCUGAAUCAUGUUAGCAAUUGCCGCAUUUUAUGAUUAUGAAAUUUGGCAAAUGGAUGUCAAAACUUCAUUCCUUAAUGGAUAUCUUAAAGAAGAGUUGUAUAUGAUGCAAGCAUAAGGUUUUGUCGAUUUAAAAGGUGCUAACAAAGUGUGUAAGCUCCAGCGAUCCAUUUAUGGACUAGUGCAAGCAUCUCGGAGUUGGAAUAUACGCUUUGAUAGUGUGAUCAAAGCAUAUGGUUUUAUACAGACUUUUGGAGAAGCCUGUAUUUACAAGAAAGUGAGUGGGAGCUCUGUAGCAUUUUUGAUAUUAUAUGUGGAUGACAUAUUGUUGAUUGGAAAUGAUACUAAAUUUCUGAAUAGCAUAAAAGGAUACUUGAAUAAGAAUUUUUCAAUGAAAGACCUCGGUGAAGCUGCGUAUAUAUUGGGCAUCAAGAUCUAUUGAGAUAAAUCAAGACGCUUAAUUGGACUUUCACAAAGCACAUACCUUGAUAAAGUUUGGAAGAAGUUCAAAAUGGAUCAAACAAAGAGAGGGUUCUUUCCUAUGUUACAAGGUGCGAAAUUGAGUCAGAGUCAAUGCCCGACCACUUCAGAAGAUAGAGUGAAAAUGAAAGUCAUUCCCUAUGCUUCAGCCAUAGGUUCUAUCAUGUAUGCAAUGCUAUGUACCAGACCUGAUGUAUGCCUUGCUAUUAGUUUAGCAGGGAGGUACCAAAGUAAUCCAGGAGUGGAUCACUGGACAACGGUCAAGAACAUCCUGAAAUACCUGAAAAGGACUAAGGAUAUGUUUCUCGUUUAUGGAGGUGAAAAAGAGCUUGUCAUAAAUGGUUACGUCGAUGCAAGCUUUGACACUGAUCCGGAUGACUCUAAGUCACAAACCGGAUACGUAUUUUUAUUGAAUGGUGAAGCUGUCAGUUGAUGCAGUUCUAAACAGAGCGUCGUGGCAGGAUCUAUGUGUGAAGCUGAAUACAUAGCUUCUUCGAAAACAGCAAAUGAAGGAGUCUGGAUGAAGGAGUUCAUAUCCAAUCUAGGUGUAAUAACUAGUGCAUCGGCUCCAAUGAAAAUCUUUUGUGACAAUACUAGUGCAAUUGCCUUGGCAAAGGAAUCAGAUUUCACAAGAGAACCAAGCACAUCAAGAGACGCUUCAAUUCCAUCGGCGAUCAAGUCAAGGAAGGAGACAUAGAUAUUUGCAAGAUACAUACGGAUAUGAAUGUUGUAGACCCGUUGACUAAGCCUCUCUCACAAGCAAAACAUGAUCAGCACCAAGACUCCAUGGGUGUUAGAAUCAUUACAACAUAAUCUAGAUUACUGACUCUAGUGCAAGUGGGAGACUGAAGGAAAUAUGCCCUAGAGGCAAUAAUAAAGUUAUUAUUUAUAUUUAUUUAUAUCAUGAUAAAUGUUUAUUAUUCAUGCUAGAAUUAUAUUAACCAGAAACUUAGUACAUGUGUGAAUACAUAGACAAAACAGAGUGUCACUAGUAUGCCUCUACUUGACUAGCUCAUUAAUCAAAGAUGGUUAAGUUUCCUAGCCAUAGACAUGAGUUGUCAUUUGAUGAAUGAGAUCACAUCAUUAGAGAAUGAUGUGAUUGACAUGACCUAUCCGUUAUCUUAGCACUUUGAUCAUCUAGUUUAUUGCUAUUGCUUUCUCCAUAACUUAUACAUGUUCCUAUGACUAUGAGAUUAUGCAACUCCCGAAUACCGGAGGAACACUUAGUGUGCUAUCAAACAUCACAACGUAAUUGGGUGAUUAUAAAUAUGCUCUAUAGGUGUCUCCGAUGAUGUUUGUUGAGUUGGCAUAGAUCAAGAUUAGGAUUUGUCACUCCGAUUGUCGGAGAGGUAUCUCUGGGCCCUCUCAGUAAUGCACAUCACUAUAAGCCUUGCAAGCAAUGUGACUAAUGAGUUAGUUAUGGGAUGUUGCAUAAUGGAACAAGUAAAGAGACUUGCCGGUAACGAGAUUGAACUAGGUAUGUUGAUACCGACGAUCGAAUCUCGGGCAAGUAACAUACCGACGACAAAGAGAACAAGGUAUGUUGUUAUGCGGUUUGACCGAUAAAGACCUUCGUAAAUAUGUAGGAACCAAUAUGAGCAUCCAGGUUCCGCUAUUGGUUAUUGACCAGAGAUGAGUCUCGGUCAUGUCUACAUUGUUCUCGAACCCAUAGGGUCCGCACGCUUAAUGUUCAAUGACGAUAUGUAUUGUGAGUUAUGUGAUUUGAUGUACCGAAGGUUGUUCGGAGUCCCAGAUGUGAUCACGGACAUGACGAGGAGUUUCGAAAUGGUCGAUACAUGAAGAUUGAUAUAUUGGAAGGUUAUGUUGGACACCGGAAAGGUUUCGGAUAGGUUCGGGCAUUUUCCGGAGUACCAAGGGGUUACCGGAACACCCGGGGGAUUAAUGGGCCUUCAUGGGCUUUAAUGGAAGAGAGAGGAGGCGGCCAAGAGGAGGGGCGCGCCCCCCAAGCCCAAUCUGAAUUGGGGUGGGGGCGGCUGAUACGUCUCCGUCGUAUCUAUAAUUUUUGAUUGUUUCAUGCCAAUAUUCUACAAAUUCCAUAUACUUUUGGCAACUUUUUAUACUAUUUUUGGGACUAACAUAUUGAUCGAGUGCCCAGUGCCAGUUCCUAUUUAUUGCAUGUUUUUUGUUUCGCAGAAUAUCCAUAUCAAACGGAGUCCAAACGGGAUGAAAAUAGACACAAAUUAUUUUUGGAAUAUUCGGAGAAUAUGGGACGAAAAAUCCACGCGAGACAGUUCCCGAGGGGGCAUGAGGCAGGGGGGCGCGCCCCACCCCCUUGGGAGCGCCCCUGACCCUCAUGGGCCCCCCGUAAGGCGGUUAAUGCUAUUCUUUUUCCGCAAGAAAGCUAAUUUUCAGGAAAAAAAUCUCGGCAAAGAUUUCUGUCCAAUCGGAGUUAAGGAUCUCCAUANNNNNNNNNNNNNNNNNNNNNNNNNNNNNNNNNNNNNNNNNNNNNNNNNNNNNNNNNNNNNNNNNNNNNNNNNNNNNNNNNNNNNNNNNNNNNNNNNNNNNNNNNNNNNNNNNNNNNNNNNNNNNNNNNNNNNNNNNNNNNNNNNNNNNNNNNNNNNNNNNNNNNNNNNNNNNNNNNNNNNNNNNNNNNNNNNNNNNNNNNNNNNNNNNNNNNNNNNNNNNNNNNNNNNNNNNNNNNNNNNNNNNNNNNNNNNNNNNNNNNNNNNNNNNNNNNNNNNNNNNNNNNNNNNNNNNNNNNNNNNNNNNNNNNNNNNNNNNNNNNNNNNNNNNNNNNNNNNNNNNNNNNNNNNNNNNNNNNNNNNNNNNNNNNNNNNNNNNNNNNNNNNNNNNNNNNNNNNNNNNNNNNNNNNNNNNNNNNNNNNNNNNNNNNNNNNNNNNNNNNNNNNNNNNNNNNNNAGGGGCUCUCGCCCCUCCCACGCCAUGGAGACCAAGGACCAGAGGGGAAACCCUUCUCCCAUAUAGGGAGAAGGUCAAGUAAGAAGAAGAAGAAGAAGAAGGGGGGCUCUCUCCCCCUCUCUUCCGGUGGCGCCGGAACGCCGCCGGGGCCAUCAUCAUCACCGCAAUCUACACCAACAACUUCACCGCCAUCAUCACCAACUUUCCCCCCUCUAUGGAGCGGUGUAACCCCUCUUUUACCUGAUCUAAUCUCUACUUAAACAUGGUGCUCAACGCUAUAUAUUAUUUCCCAAUGAUGUAUGGCUAUCCUCUGAUGUUUGAGUAGAUCCGUUUUGUCCUAUGGGUUAAUUGAUGACCGUGAUUGGUUUGAGUUGCAUGUUUUAUUAUUGGUGUUGUCCUAUGGUGCUCUCCGUGUCGCGCAAGUGUGAGGGAUCCCCGCUGUAGGGUUUGCAAUAUGUUCAUGAUUUGCUUAUGGUGGGUGGCGUGAGUGACAGAAGCACAAACCCGAGUAAGUUGGUUGUUUGCAUAUGGGAAUAAAGAGGACUUGAUACUUUAAUGCUAUGGUUGGGUUUUACCUUAAUGAUCUUUAGUAGUUGCAGAUGCUUGCUAGAGUUCCAAUCAUAAGUGCAUAUGAUCCAAGAAGAGAAAGUAUGUUAGAUUAUGCCUCUCCCUCAAAUAAAAUUGCAAUAGUGAUUACCGGUCUAGUUAUCGCUUGCCUAGGGACAAAUAACUUUCUUGUGUGACAACAAGCUCUCUAUUAAACCUAACUUAGUUGUGUCUUUAUCUAAACAGCCCCUACUUUUUAUUUAUGCGCUCUUUAUUAUCUUGCAAACCUAUCCAACAACACCUACAAAGUACUUCUAGUUUCAUACUUGUUCUAGGUAAAGCGAAUGUUAAGCGUGUGUAGAGUUGUAUCGGUGGUCAAUAGAACUUGAGGGAAUAUUUGUUCUACCUUUAGCUCCUCGUUGGGUUCGACACUCUUACUUAUCGAAAGAGGCUACAAUUGACCCCCCUAUACUUGUGGGUUAUCAAGACCUUUUUCUGGCGCCGUUGCCGGGGAGUUAUAGCAUGGGGUGAAUAUUCUCGUGUGUGCUUGUUUGCUUUAUCACUAAGUAGUUUUUAUUUUGUGCUCUUGUUUUCUAUCUUUAGUUAUGGGUAGGAAACACAAAAUACCAAAAAAACAAUUGUACCUACUACACCAAUGGUUGAAGAAACACUCAAAAUCUAUCACACUCCUGAAGAUUUUUACUUGGAUCAUCUUCGAUCCCUAUGUGCUCAUGCUGAAACCCCAACUAGCUUGUUGAGGGCAAAUCUUUAGAUGAGCAUGCUUGUUAUGUGCGACACCGCUUAUCUCAAAAAGGAAAACUUUUACUGGAUCAAAUUCAUCGUUUGCAGUGCUAUGCUUGGAAUUUAUGUGAAAUAUAUGAUGUUACUUAUUGUUCUGAAAACCCUAAGAAACAUCUUCCCUACCAAUGUGAGUUUAGUGAUAAUGGAAUCGUAUCUUCAUAUGCUAAGGGUGUUUAUAAUUACUAUAAUGUUCAACAAAUUGAAGAAUUUGUUGCUUUUAAGGGUGCUUAUGAAAUUGCUUCUUUGAUUGAAACGUAUGAUGCUACUCUUUACAAAUCUGAAAAUUUUGCCAUACUUAAAUAUUGUUAUGAUAAUUAUGCUUCUAAUGCCUAUGUUAAACCAUAUAUUGAGGAUUCCUCCGUUGUCCAAGAAGAGACUAAUAUUUUGUAGGAGUCUGUGGAAGAAGGAAUUGAUGAAACUGUGGGCUCAUUGGAUGAAAAAGAUGAUGAGGAGAGCGAAGAACAAAAGUAGGAAGAGCAGAUUAGCUACCCGUGCCCACCUUAUAAUUAAUGAGAGUAACUCUUCAACUCAUACAUUGUUUAAUUUCCCUUCGUCCUUACCGAAGGAUAAUUGCUAUGAUGAUUGUUAUGAUCCCAUUGAUUCUUUUGAAAUAUCCCUUUUUGAUGAUGCUUGCUAUGCUUGUGGCCAAGAUGCCAAUAUGAAUUAUGCUUAUGGAGAUGAACUUGCUAUAGUUCCUUAUGUUAAACAUGAAAUUGUUGCUAUUUCACCCACACAUGAUAGUCCUAUUAUCUUUUUGAAUUCUCCCGACUACACUAUAUCGGAGAAGUUUACCCUUAUUAAGGAUUAUAUUGAUGGGUUGUGUUUUACUAUUACACAUGAUGAUUUUGAUGAAUAAAAUAUGCAUGUGCUUUCUGCUCCUACUUGCAAUUAUUAUGAGAUAGGAACUAUAUCUCCACCUCUCUAUGUUUCCAACACGAUAAAAUUGCAAGAAACUGUUCAUACUAUGCAUCGGCCUUUACUUUGUGUGCAUGAAUUGUUCUUUUAUGACAUGCCGAUGCAUAGGAAGAGAGUGAGACUUCGUCAUUACAUGAUAUAUGUUACCUUGUGCUCACUACUAAAUUACAAAUUAUUGUUAAUUAAAAUUGGCUUUGAUAUACCUUGGGAUCCGGGUGGAUCCAUUACUUGAGCACUAUAUGCCUAGCUUAAUGGCUUUAAAGAAAGCGCUGCCAGGGAGACAACCCGGAAGUUUUAGAGAGUAAUUUAUUUCUGUUUUGUUCUUUUAUAAAGUUAAAAAAAAUAAAAAUAAUGUGCCAAGUUUUGCCUUUAGGAUGUUUUAGAUGCUUGGUGGUUUGUACGGUGCAUGACAGAAACUUUGUCUGUAAUGCGCGAUUUUUUACAUUUUUUACUGGAAUGUCAAAUGGUUCUGAUUCUUUUUGAACUGUCUUUCUGUACAAAUUUUUUAUUUUUCCUAAUUUUGGUAGAAUUUUUGGAGUACCAUAGGUAUGGUGAAUGUUCAGAUUAUUACAGACCGUUCUGUUUUAGACAGAUUCUGUUUUUGAUGCAUAGUUUGCUUGUUUCGAUGAAACUAUCGAUUUAUAUCAGUGGCUUAAGCCAUGGAAAAGUUAUAUUAUAGUAGCUACAAUGCUAAAACAAAAUAUGAAUUGGUUUGCAACAGUACUGAGAGUAGUGAUUUGCUUUAUUAUACUAACGGAUCUUACCGAGUUUUCUGUUGAAGUUUUGUGUGGAUGAAGUGUUCGAUGAUCGAGAAGGUCUCAAUGUGAAAAGAAGGAAGAGAGGCAAGAGCUCAAGCUUGGGGAUGCCCGAGGCACCCCAAGUAAAUAUUCAAGCAGACUCAAGCGUCUAAGCUUGGGGAUGCCUCGGAAGGCAUCCCCUCUUUCUUCAACAAGUAUCAGUAUGUUUUCGGAUUCAUUUCAUUCAUGUGAUAUGUGCAGAUCUUGGAGCGUAUUUUGCAUUUAGUUUUCAUUUUUCUUUUAUGCACCAUGCUGGUAUGAGAUAGUCCCUGGUUGAUUUAUAGAAUGCUCUAUGCACUUCACUUAUAUCUUUUGAGUAUGGCUUUAUAGAAUGCUUCAUGUGCUUCACUUAUAUCAUUUGAAGUUUGGAUUGCCUGUUUCUCUUUAAAUAGAAAACCGCCAUUUGUAGAAUGCUCUUUUGCUUCGCUUAUAUUUGUUAGAGCAUGGGCAUAUCUUCUGUAGAAAGAUUUAAACUCUCUUGCUUCCCUUAUAUCUAUUUAGAGAGAUGACAGGAAUUGGUCAUUCACAUGGUUAGUCAUAAAAUCCUACAUAAAACUUGUAAAUCACUGAAUAUAAUAUGUUUGAUUCCUUGCAAUAGUUUUGCGAUAUAAAGAUGGUGAUAUUAGAGUCAUGCUAGUGGGUAGUUGUGGAUUGUAGAAAUACUUGUGUUGAAGUUUGUUAUUCCCGUAGCAUGCAAGUAUGGUGAAGCGUUAUGUGAUGAAGUCGGAGCAUGAUUUAUUUACUGAUUGUCUUCCUUAUGAGUGGCGGCCGGGGACGAGCGAUGGUCUUUUCCUACCAAUCUAUCCCCCUAGGAGCAUGCGUGUAGUACUUUGUUUCGAUAGCUAAUAGACUUUUGCAAUAAGUAUGUGAGUUCUUUAUGACUAAUGUUGAGUCCAUGGAUUAUACACACUCUCACCCUUCCAUCAUUGCUAGCCUCUCUAGUAUCGCGCGACUUUUGCUAGUUGUCGGGGGUUUGGUGCGACAUAUGCCAAAGGAUGGCUUAUCAUGGUGGGGGCGAGUAGAACGUCGUUGGUGCCUGGAAACGGGAUGAGGCGAAGACAUGCACGCCGGCGAAUCUUACCCAGCUUCAGGGCUCUCCGAGGAGAUAAUACCCCUACUGCUGCUCUGCGGGGUCUCCGCAUGAUCACUAUGGCAAGGUGUUUACACGGUUGCUCCUUGAGAUAUUUCUAGGAGGUAGGAGAGGGCAAGUCUAGCACUCUCCCUUCUAUAUGAUCUGGUCUAGAGCUAAUGGGUUCCAACCCUUUGCAUGGGUGCCCUGGGGGUUUAUAUAGGCCAACCCCCCAGGGGUACAAUGGUAAUCCGGCUGGACGUGGGCUCAGCCGUCAGCUCCUUCGGCCUCCGUCUUCUCUGCCGACCACUGGGGCCCGCCAGCUGGCGGGCCCCGCUAACUGGCCUGGUACAGAGCCGACAGGCCACGUCCUCCGUGGGCGGGUCUUACCGGCUGCUAGUUACUGUAGUCGUGCUUCUGAUGACGCGGGGUUGAUCAUGGGGUCGUGGCAACAGCCCCGCCGCCUGGUGGGCGAUCACUAUUGCCACUCUCCAUCACAUCUUGAUUAAUGGUGCGUGGGCCCUGGGGGAGGGCUCGGCCGACUCCCCCAGGCUAACUUCCGACGGGUCCGACUAGUGGUCCUCCUGCCGUCUCUUGGGGUCUCACCAUCUGGUGGGACCCGCCGCCUCUGAGCCGUACAGACAAGCUAUCGUGGGUGCAGGAUUCGGUCCUGCGAUGCUGAUGUCAGGGCCGGCACGGCAACAGUGCCACGCCGCACGGAGAUCUUCCGGGGUACGACGUGUUGUGGCCAUGCCCGCCCUUGGUAAGGGGCGGGAGUGGGCUUCACUGUAGCCACUCCCCUGCCCUAUCCCCCUUGACGAGGUCACGGGGUUUGUUGGAAUCGCAGGCCGACUCCCCAAAGCCAGCUUCUCCGGAAGUCGCCAGUCAGGAGUCGGCUUACCCUGCGGUCAUCCCUGGGACUCGGCCGCGAGUGGUCAGUCGGCCGUCUUGUCGUGGACUUCUUGAAGGCGGCUCUCCGUCCUGGGGUCUUGAGGGGCGCAGCCUACCCCGAUGUCUUGAAAGGUUCUGGGGCUCGGGUGGGCCUACCCGUGGCCCAUUACUCCGACUGUAGUCCCCGAAGCUGGUGAGGCGCCACGGACGAUUGGCCGAGAAGCCUUAGCAGUUUCUCUUUCCGGGUGCUCAACACAUGGUCUUUGAUUGACUUCUGCCGGGCCGACUAGAAGGAGUCGGAUUUUCUCAAUUCGGACUCACUUGAUUCCGACUCGCACAAUAUUUCGAACGUCGCGGCGGGAUCCAAGUAGCGUGCUGGCUAAGCCUCCAGGCCGCCGCCCGUUCUAGGCCUGUCAUGCGAUGACACGUGGCUGGGCCGUCCUGCCAGCCAAUGCACGCGACGGGACAGGACCAUAGGCGGGGCCCGCCACUACCACGCCCUCAGCGCCCGAACAGAUCCGCUGUGGCCCCGGCGGACGGUUGGGAUUCCCGUGGAGUUACUACGCGCGGUAACUGUAUCGUGGAACGUGGGGGGCGUGGGGCCGUGGGCGCAGUAAAUCCCCACGACGCCCCCUCGGCUUCGCAGCCCACGAGGCUAUAAGUAGGGGGAAGAGGGGGCACGCACGCCCCUCCUUCCCACUACUCCUCGCUCUCUUCCUUCUCACUGCUCCUCGUUCUCUUCCUUCUUCUUCUUCGCUCCGCCGUGCGCCCAAGCUCCGGCGAACGCCGCGGCGAUCAGCUCGCGAUGAGUUCUUCCGCCGGCGCUCCGGCACUUGGGACGGUUCCGAAGUCCACGACGACCACAUCGAGUUCCUCCGCAGGACUCGUCGGCUCCCCGGCGAAGAUCACGUGCGGGUGCGCCUUGCGUCGAAGGGGGAGAUUUCUCCCGCGCCGCAUGAGGGCGAGCGGGUCAUCUUCCGCUCUCACUGCUUGCGCGGGUCGGGGCUGCCGGCGAGCAGUUUCUUCCGAUCCUUUCUGGAGUUCUACGGCCUCCAGCUGCACCACCUCACCCCCAACACAGUGGUGCUGCUGUCCGCCUUCGUGGCCUUGUGCGAAGGCUUCCUCGGAGUCCUCCCCACCCUCGAGCUCUGGGGGGAAUUCUUCUUCUCCAAGCUCGGCACCCAGGCCGCACGCGUGCCGGCUCAGUGCGGCGCUUUCAUCGUCGUGCGAAGGUCGGGGGCCGACAAUCCCUUCCCCUCCAUCUUGCUGAUAAAGUUGGUGAAGAUGUGGCAUAGAUCCUACUUUUACGUCAGGAGCGUUUCCGCGAGGGGGGACUGGGUCAACCUGCCGGCUUUCGAAGCCGGCCCACCGGCUGGGCGACUGCCCAACUGGUCAUACCGGGCCAAGUCGCUGACGCCUGCGGUAGCCGGCGCCAUCGCGUGACUCCGAGUGCUGACGCAGUCGGAGGGUUUGACUGGUCCAGACCUGCUGGCCGCCUUCGUGGCGCGCCGAGUUCUCCCACUCCAAGGCCGCACCCACAUGAUAUGCCAGAUGAGCGAGCACCGCGACCCGAGUCGGAUGUGCACCAAGGACAUGCCUCACGAAGAGGUGGCCUUCAUGGUGAACUACCUCUCGGACAGCAAGCUCCUGGAGGAUUGGCGGUUCGGCAAGGAGCCGUACUCCCACGCCAACCCCCCGUCCGUGGUGAGUUGCCUUUCCUUUCUUUCUUUGGAUUGUCUUCUCUCUCGCCGAGUUUGUUUUGACCAGUCGGCUCUGGUUAGAAUCCCCUCCUCCACCCGCCAGCUGGCACCUCGGGGCCGGCCCGUGAGUUCCUCGCCGACCGGGCGGAGAGCAACGUCGACGACCCCGAUCUAGGGGCGGCGGCUCUAGAGGACGACGCCGAGGGAGGAGGAGGAACAACAGGCGACUUCAGGCCUUCGGCCACUUUCGCCGACUGGCCUGACAAUGACGCCGAGGGGGAACUCGCCCCCCGCCAUCGGCCAGGAGCCAGCCAGCCUGGCGCGGCAUCUUUUGCCGCGCUGGGUGCUCCAGGCGACGGGAAGAAACGCAGGGCCAUGCCGACCUUGUUCGGUAGUCGGCCGAAGAAACCAAAAGGUUCGGCUAUGGCGACCCGGCGGGACGAGGCGGCCUCGAAGGCCAUCCGCUUGCGUAAGGAAGUGAAGAAGCCGCCAUUGGUCUCCGCGUGAGUAUUCUGUCUCAAAGCUUUAUUCUUUCUUUGUGACCAUGUCUGAGUCUUUACUUGCUCCCCUUGCUUCAGGGCUCCCCUUACUCUCGAGAAGUUCACCGCCGCCUCCUUCAUGGGGUCAGCGGAGACGUCCGCCACCACUCGGCGGAUUGACCCCGCUGCUGACCUCCGGGAGGCGACGAAGCAGAAUGCGCAGGAGAAGCGCAACGAAGAAGAGGCCGUUCUCCUGGAGAAGGCGGAGGCCGACAGGGCGGAGGCCUCCGCCAAGAAAAAACUGGUGGAGGCCGAAGCCGUCGCCGCGAUGAAGCGGCAGGCUGAGGAAGCCGCACGCCGCCAAUCGGCGGUGUUCGUCACCCCAUUGAACUCUGCGCCGCCACCUCCGGAGUUCACGGGGCAGACUGGGGAAGCCGGCGGUGAGAACCCCGUCGUGGAGAGGGAAGGCGGCGACCCCUCUACACCGGACGUGAUUGUUCCGCCGCCGCCUCCGCCGCCGUCUGCGAGUGCGCAAGGGGAGCAGCCAGCGGACCAUCCGGUGCCAUCGACCGAAGACGAGGCCGUGGCGAGGCUGCUCCUCCAAGUCGGCUCGCCAACACGCCGCCGUCUGGAUAAGGCGACUUCGGCACCCCGCCUCCUGGAAGCCGGCACCGCCAGCUCGGUGAUCCCAGACGCCGAAGUGACAAGCGCCGCGCCCAUUGGGUGGGUGCGAGGAGGCGGCACAGGGCCGCUGAACCAGGCGCUCCUGGACAUCCAGGCGAAGCUUCACGCUGAGGGCGACGCUCUCCAGAGUUGCACCAAGGCGUUCCUGGCGUCGCGGGCAGCCGUCCGGGUAUGCUUUUUUCCUUUGGUCUUUGUUUUCUUGUUCCUCUCUGUGGGGGCGCGCCAGCGCACCCACUGGGUGUAGUCCCUGAGUUUCGGGCUGGCUGCUGAGCAGGCGGCCCAGAACUCCAAUUGAUGAACUCUGGGUAUUAACUUUUUGUCUGAAACGUUUGACGCAGGAUUACCACAACCUCCGCAUCACUGCCUUCAACCGUAACGUUGAAGAGCUAGGCAAGCGGACCGCCGAUUUGUCAGAGAGCCGGAGUAAGUCCUUUUCCUUCUUUGCUGGGGCGCGCUGGCGCACCCGCGGGCUGUAGUCCCCGAGAUUCAGGCCGACUGCUGAGCAGUCGGGCCGGAUCUCCUCAGCGACCUUCUUUACCUGAUGACUUAACGCCUUCUUUCUUCCUUCUUUUCAGGAGCCAACGCUGCCUUCAACAGCAGCUGAGCGACGCCAACUCUGCUUUGCGCACCAAAGAGGAGGAGUGCGACAAGCUCACCACGGAGCGCCACCUGCUGGCCACUCAAUUGGCAGAGCAGAAGGAGCUACUUGUGAAGACGCAGAGGAAGGCGGAGGAGACGGAAACCGCCCUCCUGGCCGAGUUCGCGAGCGAGCACUCCUCCUGGUCUUACAAAGAGGCGAUGCUGGCCUCCAGAUUCCAUGAGAUUGAAGACAUCAUUGAUGGUGGGUUUCUUUACUUUCUUUCUUCGAGCUGCCGAUUUAAGUCGUGCCGACUUCUGGUUUUUGACUUGCUUCUUUGUUUCUUCCUGUCUUUGCAGACUUCUUUCCUGGGCACUCGCAGGCCGCCAUCCAAGCCAUCGAGGCCGACCGAGAAGGUCGGAGGGCGGAGGGCGCAGAGAUUGCCGUCGACGCCCCCACAAACUCUUGACGAGCACAUCCUAAGCAUCGAGGCUCGCCUUCGGCCGGCUCACCGGAUGCUGCGUCGGCUUCAGCGUGCUGGUGCCCAGGUGAUUGCCGCCCUGUGGCCGGACAUGCAAGCUCCGCGCACCCCUAGCCUGACGGCCGACUGGCUAGAGGUCGCGGCUGGUCGUCUUGAGGCCUGGAAGGGCUCUUUGGCCCGAGCUGGAGUGCGCCGGGCCUUGGAGUUCGUCAAGGCAUGGUAUCCGGGGCUGGAUCUAGACCGGCUGGCCACGCUUCGGUCGGAGGCCCAGCCGGAGCUGACAGCUGCGGAAGACGCCCUUGUCAAGCAUGCUACGGCAAUCGCCGAGUACACCAACACCAGCAUCUUCGUCCCCGAGCGGUCUGAAGACGGCGAGGAGGUACCGCCGGAGUGGUUUGGGAUGAACCCAGACUACGGCGAGGACUCGGCGGAGGUGAUUGGCUCCAGCGUCGAGGAAGAAGGCGAGGCGGAGGACAGAGGCGAGAGGAGGCACCAGAAGAUGGAGCAGACGGCCAGCCUCAGCUCGACCGCGCCUCCAGCAACGAGCCGUGUGCGACCGACCCGACUGCCACCGGAGGCGAUCAAGCCGAGACUAGCCAGCCGGCCGCCCCGACGCCUGAUGCUGCCGCCUCCUCCGACCCUCCGAAUACGUCUGCUGCUUCCUAAGCUGCCGCUUAAUUUAAUCUGCUUCAGUAGUCUUUGAAGAACUUGUUAAUUCGCACAAUUCCACCCGCGGGGUGUAUUUUGAACCUCUGCUCGAAAAUUCGGCCAAGGGCCUAUGUUAUGUAAAUAUAUUUAUCUGAGUUCUAUCUUUUGUUGCUCAUUGCUCUUUUGGCUUUUUUCCUUUGCCGCUUUCUCUUAGUUGCCUGCCUUGCUAAUCAGACAGCCGCUCUGCGGACUGUCGCUGGAUCAAGUGCUUGGCUACUUUGGGAAAGCAAGUACUUAGCCAUUUUUAAGAGUUUUUGAGAAAGUUGAAUAGAAGGCGGCAAUCCGACUAUUCGAGAGUCGGCUUGCGAAAAAAGGCUGGAAGCCGUCUUGAGCUAUGUUUUAUGCUUUGAGUCCUUAACCAUUUUUCAUGUGAACGCCAAUUCUACCUUACCUCUGCCCACCGUACAGUCGCUCUGGGAGCUGCGGCUUCUGACAGAAGACGGUUUAGGUGUUACACACUACUUGUCCGGCUGCAGGAAGCAUUUCAUAGUGCAAGGCGGCAAGUCCCCGGGUCGACUUGUCGAGCCCGGUGCCAAGCGGCAUGACAAAGAGUAACUUACUUGUAGGCAUAAUUUUUAUCAUACAGACAAAAGAGGGCAGUCCCCCAGCUCGUCUCGGGGGGCCUGAAGUCUUGGUACUUUAAUACAAAAGGUAGCGUGGUACAUACUACAUCAACUGUAAAAUCUUCGGAGGAGAUUUGCAUUCCAUGGCCGCUCUGUCUCCUUGCCGGAGUCGUCCCUCUUGCGUGCUCGGGGCUUCUGAGCGUCAAUCAGGUAGUAGGAUUCGUUGCCCAGUACUUUGCUGAUGAUGAAAGGGCCUUCCCAAGGCGCCGACAGCUUGUGCUGGCCGGCUGUUCGCUGGAUCAGCCGGAGCACAAGGUCGCCUUCUUGGAAAGAUCUUGGCCUGACCUUCCUGUUGUGGUAUCGGUGCAGGCUCUGCUGGUAGAUGUUGGACCGGCUGAGUGCCAACAGCCGACCCUCUUCCAGCAGGUCGACGCCGUCUUGUCGUGCUUCUUCUGCUUCCUCCUCGGUGUACAUGGUGACUCGUGGGGAAUCGAACUCUAUGUCUGUUGGGAUGACGGCUUCGGCACCAUAGACGAGGAAGAAAGGCGUGAAGCCGGUUGACUUGUUUGGAGUCGUACGCAGACUCCAGAGGACGGCUGGUAGCUCAUCGAGCCAGCAGCCAGCCGAGCGCUCUAGAGGCUCGAUCAGCCGGGGCUUGAUGCCGGACAGGAUGAGGCCGUUUGCUCGCUCCACCUGGCCGUUUGACUGUGGAUGGGCGACGGACGCUACGUCCAGUCGGAUGCCCUGUGUUGCGCAGAAACUGUCACAGCCCUAGAAUUUGAUUGCAAUUAGUAUCAUAAGCAUCCAUGCAUCAUGUCUAUAUUUGUUUGAAAUUUGAAAUGGGGAUGACAAGCCCUAGCACUAAAUGAAAUGCAAUUAGGAUCAAAAUAAAAAUAUUUUCAAUGAACCCAGAAUGCCCUUUAGAAAAGUUCAUUAUUUUUGAUAAAGGUGAAAACCUCUGCCAAAAAUGAUGCACAUUUUUUAGACCAUUCUGGAUUUUUGAAUAACCCAUAUUGUAUUUGAAUUGGGGCAUUUAAAUACUAUUAAUAUUUUUAAAAUGCUCCAAUAAUUCUGAAAAUAGUUAAGGGCCUCUGUAAUAAUUCAUUUAAUGCCCACAAUUAUUUUCAGGAUUUAUUAAAAUGAUUUGGGUUAUAAACUAAAUCAAAACAAAAUAACAUAAAUAGAAAACAGAAUUAAAAAGAACAGAGAGAUCUACCUGAGCCAACCUACCUGGCCUUCCAGCCCACCUGGUGGCCCAGCUGGCGGCCCAGCCCACCAGGGGCACCCGUGUCUUCUCCUUCCUCUGCCAGAAGGACCGAGGUGCGUGGCCACCGCACGCCGGCACGCGCACGGCCACCGCACGCCACCUCAUGCUUGCCGCCGAGGGCCUGGACGCCUCCACGACGCCACGCAGCCACCUGGCCCCCCUCGCUCCUCUCCCUCACUCUCUGCUCUCCCCCUCGCCCUCUCCCUCUCCUCGGAUCGCCAUGGCCGACGCUGCCGAGCGCUCGCCACCGUGAAGCUCGCAGCCACCGUGCUCCCCUCGCCUCCCCGACGCGCCAAGGAGCUCCUCCGUCGACCUCUACAUCGUCUCUGUCAAGCCGCGCGAGCGGACAUGCCUCGUCUCACCGUCCCCAACCCCUCCUUCCUCCUCGGUCACCGGAGAUCCAUCUCGCCGCCCCGACCGCUCCUGGCCUCCUCUAAGCUUGCCGUCUGCACCGUUGCAACCGCUGUAAGCCUCUCCCUCGAACCCCCCUCUUCGUUAUCCUGUUUUCACGCCGUAGCUCCUACUUCACUGACGACCAAAGCCACCGUCCGCCAUGGCCGAUGAUGUCCUCGCUCCUGAGCAUCUCCGCUCGGUCCAGUGGCACCAGCAUGCUCCUGGAGCUCCCAGGAAUCCGCCCUGCCGCUUAGGUCGCUCGUCAGCCUAGCGCAGCGCCUCGCCCGUGCUAAGCCGCACUCCGGCCGCCGCCAGCUGUCGUUGUAGUCGUCGUUUCCGGCCUCCUCUCGCCUAGCCGCAUGCUCCAUUGGAUGCGGCGCACGUCCAGCAGCCCGUAGGGCCAAACCGUGAGUCGAACGGUCGCCGGACGGCGAAUCCCGAGCGCCUCUGCCGCCCCGUUUGGUCGCCGGCGGCUAGCCGCCGGUGCGCUGACGUGGCCACCUAGUUAGGGCUAAUCGCUCACUAAUUAACCCCCCUGACCCACUUACACACGGGCCCCACCGGUUUAGUUAGUCAGCUAACGAAAUUAGUUAGAACUAAUCCAACCCCGCGGGACACACGCGUCAGCUUUGACCUUGCUGGCGUGUCCUUUGACCGGCCCCACACGUUAGUGACUCAUGCCAGCGGUGUGUCACUGACCAGUGGGCCCCACUGGUCAGGCUUGACCUGGCCAGCCAUAGUUGACCUGAUGACGUCACUCUUAUGUCAUGCUAACGCAGUAAAACCUUUUCUGGAUUUUAAAUAAAUCUAAAUGAUUUAUUUAUUUUCAGAAAAUAUCCAAAACUUUGAAAAAUUAUUGAAAUUAAUCUAUAACUCCAAAUAAGAUAAAUUAUAUAUGAAAAGUUAUCAAAAAAAUUCAAGGAAUCUGUUUAUGGCAAUUGCAUGCAUGUUUGAACAACCUAGGGUUGCUGUACAGGGCAAUUUGCAUAAAUGACAUUUAAAUAAGCACAUAUGGAGUUUGAAUUUGAACCCUUGGUUCAAACCAACUUCAUUUAAUAUGGUUGCUAGUUGCAUUAGCUCAAUCAACAGCAUAUUGCCAUGACAUUAUCAUGCAUCAUAAUUGUUGCAUUGCAUUGAUUGUGUUCCUCUUUGUUUGCCGGUAUUUGUCCCCUCUCGAUAGACGUGGUUCCGACGAUGAGUUCUAUGACACCGAUGAAGAACUAUACUAUCUUCAGAAGUGCCAGGCAAGCAAAACCCCCUUGUUCAUUCCGAUACAAUCCCACUCUCUCGCUCCUGCUCUCUUUUACUGCAUUAGGACAACAAUGAUUCAACUGUUACAUGUUGCGGUAGUUGAACCCCUUCCCUCUGCAUGACCUGUCAUUGCCACAGUAAAUAGAUGAAACACACUAGCAUGAGUAGGAGUUGUUUGAGCCCUGAUGUGCCUACUCAUUCAUGCUUGUUUGUCAUGCCUGCUACUGCUUAGAGUUGAGUCAGGUCUGAUUUAUCGGGGAUGAAUCGGAGGUGUGUAAACAUGUCCUACUGUUGAGAGCUAAGUGUGUGAACACGAGUUGGUAAAGGUAGCGGUGAGAGGCCAUGUAGGAGUACAUGGUGGGUUGUCUCAUUGAAACUGUCCUCAGGAACUGAGUUCUGUGUUUGUGAUCCAUGAACAGCUACUACCACUCAUUGGGAUACUUAAUUGACUCUCUCGGCUUCUUAAUCACCCUAGUACUCUGUCCAGGAGUUGCAACUGGUUUCUGGUGUUUGUAGGUUAUGUGUUGGCGGCCGUGCGUAGCGCUGACCCUAGGGGUGGGCUAUGUUGCGGUAGAUACACUGUGGCAUGGUGUACCGGGCGCCCGCUUGGUGUCUCGGGAACCCUGUUCACAUCGUUUGGGGCCGUAUGUGGAAACCUCGGCCGGACUCCCUGCGGAUGGAACCUGAAUAGGUGAUAAACCUGGACUAGAGACUUAGGUGUUUAGGUAGGCCGUGGCCGACACCCUCAUUGUGCUUCCGCUUGAAGGUUGCCGAGUACAUGUCGUGUAAACGACGGUAAGUGGUGGGAGCAUGUGUGAAGAAGUACACCCCUGCAGGGUUAUCAUUAUCUAUUCGAAUAGCCGGAUUCCUCGAAUAUAGAAACUUGGACCCCUUGCAUAGUUCAUAGACAAGUGAAAGUGGUUACUCUAAAACUCGCAAGAUAAGAGUGAGUGCUAUGGAUGGCGUUCUCGCAGGGAGACGGGAGCGGAUUCAUAGUGGUGUAUUGAUAUGGUGAAUUUGUGGACUCGUGUGCGCUACCUCAAACGAGUUGCUUGUAGUCGUAGUUCAGGUUAGCCACUGAGUCAAAGCUGGCUUGCUGCAGUUAAACUCCACCACCCCCUUUGUUGAUACCGAUGCAUAUGUAGUUAGUUCUGAUGUAAGUCUUGCUGAGUACAAUUGUACUCACGUUUGCUUAAAUUAUGUUUUUGCAGAGAGGCUUCAGUCUCGCUAGUAGUUCCGCGUGGACUUCGACGUUUAUCUUGAUACCUCAGCUACAAUCUUGUGCCCUCGGCAGGAUCUGGUAGAUAGUCAGGCUUCUUAGCCUUUUUCAUUUGUACAUGUUUGUACUCGGACAUGUUAAGCUUCCGCUUGUGCCUUGAUUUGUAUGCUAUGUUUGUUGGGUCAUGAGACCCAUGUUUGUAAUAUCCCGCUCCCCGGAGCCUAAGGAUUAAAUACUUGAGUUGUAGAGUUAUGUUGUGAUGUCAUGUUGUAUUUACACAUAUCGAGCAUAUUAUGUGUAUGAUUGAAAUGCAUGGUAUGUGUGGGAUCCGACAACCUAGUUGUUUAUCCUUGGCAGCCUCUCUUAUGGGGAAAUGUAUUCUAGUGCUUCCAUGAGCCAUAGUAGUCCGCUUCAGCCAGGUUCACCGGAGUCCUGCUAGCCCAGCACUACUGCUCAGGACACUUGACUGGCCGGCAUGUGUUUCACUUCGUUCUUGUGUCUGUCCCUUCGGGGAAAUGUCACGCGGUGACAUCCGAAGUCCUGCCUAGCCUGCUACAGCCCGGGUUCCCGGAGUCCUGUUAGCCUAGUGCUAUAGCCCGGAUUCACACGCUGCUGACCGAUAUGCUCGAUGUGAUUCAUGUAUGCCUAUCCCCAUAGGUUAGUGCCGCUUUGGGUUGACGACUAGCCUUGUCGGCCCGGGUUCUCCGUCAUAUGGAUGCUAGCGACAAUAUCAUAUACGUGAGCCAAAAGGCACAAAUGAUCCCGGGCCAUGGUAAGGCGAUACCCGUGGGAAUACCGUGCGUGAGGCCGCAAAGUGAUAUGAGGUGUUACCGGCUAGAUCGAUGUGAUUUGGAAUCGGGGUCCUGACAGCGUUGGCAUCAGAGCCUGACUGCCUGUAGGAUUACCAAGCCAAACUGGUCGAAGUUGAGUCUAGAAAUGCUUUAGUUAUAUAAGGGAAUUGAUUGUGGAAGGGAACGUAAGGCUCUUUUUACUCCUUUACCUUAUGGCCUUUUGAUCUGAGUCAUCCUCUUCUCUUCUACGGGGUUUAAUAACUAGGCCUUCUAAUCUAUCUAUUAGGAUGAUGUGUUACUAAUCCAUAGACUCAUAGGAUUGAUGGAUUCAAUUCUUAGUUCAGUUCCUACUAUUUCUGUGUGUUGACAGUUGAUCCCAGAACCUUGAUAUGAUGAUGUUGAGUGGUCAUGCCACUAUCUUGCAGGAUGUCCCAAAUAUUUUGAGCAUUCACAGCCGUUACGCUGUCCGAGUCAUCCCAGGUUUCUAAAUAGUCUGAUUCAUUUGCAAAUCCUUUCUUUCCAUUCCCAAUGUCCUUUUGGUCAGAAUAAGCACACUAACCGGUCAGUUGAGGUACUCUAUUGCCUCGACAUAUAUGUUGGAGCUAUUAUUAUGACCCUAGGUAUUGUAGGGAGUCACCUAGUAAUCUAGCCAUGUUUUGUGUUCCCGGUGUGAUAAUUCUGGCCACCAUCCUCGAAAGCAUCUCGUGAUGCCAUGUAGUGGUAGGUAUUCUAUUCAUGGGUUCUUGAACCCGAGAUUCCCCCUAUUUAUCUCAUGUUGAUAGUGUUGCUAGUUUCUUUAGGAUAUUAGUAACCUUUAUGAUAGUCCUCGAGGUGCGUGGUAUUUCCUCCUUCCAAAUACUAUGAACCACUUAUGGCAGAAGUUUGUUGUAUCAAAAGAUCACAACCAGAGUGCUCUUAAUGAGUUCUGCAUUCUACGUUGUGAAUCUGCCAGUCCGACCUAUCCGCAUGGGUUGUCCGGAAGAAAUGUUGAGCUUUGCUCGACAUACUAAUCUAUGCAUCCACAACUCAGAAAAUUAUAUGUUCCUCGAGUUGUUCCUCUUCAGUUGUAUUCCGACCAUGUUCUAUCAGUUGAUAGUCAAGAGUAGUUGUGCAUUGGUGUUAUCGAUGCCUAUUAUUCAUGUGAUCCAUCAAGCCAUUCCAUUCCGGAAUGACUAGGAGAAACAAACUCCAGUACCUCAUCCAUAUCCAGGAUUGGGUCAAAGUAGUUGUGUUCUGGAGAUCAAAUGCCAUCCAAUUUUUGCUCUGUUCUACCCUGGAGUAUUACCCCUUUUAUGUCAGGACUGUCAUGAGAAUUGCACCACCUCUUAUGAAUUAUUGACGCAGUAAUACUUCUUGCCAUCAUUGUUCAUUCCUCAGUUCCGUGUUAUUAUAACCGGAAUGCCGACAAGUGAACCGUGAUGUGUGAAAUCAAUACUCCGAGCAACUCGUUGCUUUGUAGUAAAUGGACAAUAUUCUUAUUCUUAGCGUGUUGGUUUUUGAGCUACCAUUCUAAGAUUGAUCGUGCUACCUAGUCCAUAUCUCUGGGUGCACUCAUCGACCAAUGAGUUAGGAUUGUGACAAUCCCUCGCUCCUUGAUCAUAUCAUCUUGCCCUGAAAAGCAAGAUUGUUCUCGAGCUUAAUAACAUAUCGGUGGUUCGUGAUUUUCCGAAUAUCUUCUCGGAAGUAUUACCAGGUUGUUCCCUGAUCGCUAUGUUGAAUUCGUGAUCAUGUUGGCUUUUCUAUAAAGCACCCCUUCUCCAAGAAUCUGUGUUGGAUACCCCUGAGCUAGAUGGUUAAGCUAAACAGCAACUUGGAGAGUUGGAAGAUAAAAGGCUUUGCCGAAUUUGGUUCUUUAUGAAGGGAUAUCUUUGUGUUGUGUGUGUGUUGAAGAAAGAUGAUAUCUUCACCAAUUGGUCCUCGUGAUCAGUUGUUGGAUCUAUUGUCUUGUCAAAACUUUGACUUGAUUAUGGGCUAUCGUCAAGUCAAAUCAGAACCAACGAUGUUCGUAGUGUUGUCUUACUCGUGGUUGAUCCCUCGAGAAUACACCAUUACAUCUUUUGGUCUGACCAAUGCUAUCACCGUGUUCACAUGAUGGUGGAAGUCCAGUGAUAUGGAAAUUCCAAUGAGUUGUUGUUGAGCCCAUCAGCAGCAUUUUGUCUCCCCCAUGACUCAUGUUGAACAUCAACCUAGUGUUGAAAACCUUGUAAGCAAUGCCUUCGUGUUCCGUUCAUGAAGCUUAUGCUGGAUAAAAGAAGUGACUUUCUCUAAAUUCACGUGCACCAGGUGUAAGUUGCCACCAUGAAUUUGAGAAAGGUUUGUUUUGUUUCCCUUGGAAUCAUCCCAAAUCAGUCAUGCAUAUGUGCGAAGUAUUCUAUGGUUUGGUAGAUUAAUUACCUCCACUCCAUAUGUGUUCCUAGCACACCAAGCCACUGAUUGGUUUGUUCAAGGAGAAGAAGUUUCUUCUUAGGAGCUAGACUUAUGCAAGGACUUUGAUAUCCUCGUUGAUGGUUCCCUUCUGAACUCGGUAGUGUUUCAUUGUAAGACUGCCAGGUGGCCAUGCUUGUCUAGGACAACGUGUUCACACGCUUGUAGCAGAACCGGCUCAUGUUUUGGAGCUUACUAUCGUAGUUCAUUCCCCGAGAAUCUCGCAACGUCAUCUCGUCGAUUUGUGUUGCAAAACUUCAUUUUUCUUUCUAGACUUGGUGAGUCUGGAAUAUCCUGACACCAACUAGAUCUGAAUUUUAGGCAGAUAUGAUGGUUGGAACACACUCCAAGAACUAUAAUAUUGGUCUCCCUGUAACCGGUAAAGUGGAUGUGGUGGCCAACACACCCAGCCGAAAGACCUAUUAUUGUAGUAUCUUGAUUGAGGAAGUUGGCCACCGCCCCAUAAGGAUUUCGUAGGAUUUACUCCAGAAGUUGUUCCUUAUGGAUCUAUUGUUUUCCGAAGUCCGACCACUACUUGAUGGCUAUGUUGAUGCUUUAAAGCAUGACCGUGGUAACCAGUAAAUCAAGGAGAACAUUAGAAGUGGAGUGCUAAAUGUCUCUCGGUCGAUCAUCCAGAUUUGUGUUGCAACGUCAUCUCGUCGAUUUGUGUUGCAAAACUUCAUUUUUCUUUCUAGACUUGAUGAGUCUGGAAUAUCCUGACACCAACCAGAUCUGAAUUUUAGGCAGAUAUGAUGGUUGGAACACACUCCAAGAACUAUAAUAUUGGUCUCCCUGUAACCGGUAAAGUGUAUGUCUGUCACGACCGGUUUUCCAAUAAAAAUAUUUAUUGAGAAACCAAUCUUUUGAGUCCAGUAUGAGAGAAAUCCUCCUUACUGGUAGACAAAUUCUUGAUACAAUAAGCCAGUAGCAUAAAAUAUAUUACAGGGUCGAACUACGGUUGCUCAACCAAAUUAUUACAAGCACGCCAAUAAGUAUACCUAUUGGCGGACAUGACACAGUGGUGUGGAGGCAUACUACUGACUCGAGGAUAGGGCGGUGGUGGAAAAACACAGCGGGGAGAGAGAUACAAGCUAUAAAACUGUCAUCUCAUUGAGCGUCGAGGUGAGGCUCGAUGAAUUUAUUUGGUAGCGGAAGCGGAUAUAAUACAGUGACCAAAUCCAGGGUCGUACGAGACUGACUGGGACUCCUCUAGGCAUCGGACUCGCUAUCAAAUUCUUCAUCCAUGAGAUCGCCUUCGUCAGCAUCUGGCCAAAUCAACAAGCAAGUGAGUACUUUGAAAGUACUCGCAAGACAGUUCGGACGUAAGAUAUAACAAAUGCAUGCAUGAAUGCGUCAUGAUUAAUUCACCAAUGUAUAUUCAACAAUUAUCAUAAGAAGGUAAGUAAAACGGAAACGACGGUUGUCCUCCUGAAAUCGCACAAAACAUAAAUGAAGACCGAUCGGGUGUCUGAAGCGACGCCUCGAAAGGUGAACAAAUAAAUAUAAGGAAAUGAUGCCACAGUCGGGCGUCUUAGCGACACCACAUAAAGGGCUUUAAAAGAAAUGCCACAAUCGGACGUCGGGGCGACAUCACAGAAAGAGCUUUAAAAGAAAUGCCACAGUCGGACGUUGGGGUGACAUCACAGAAAGGGCUUUAAAAGAAAUGCCACAGCCGGGCGUCUUAGCGACACCACAUAAAGGGCUUUAAAAGAAAUGCCACAGUCNNNNNNNNNNNNNNNNNNNNNNNNNNNNNNNNNNNNNNNNNNNNNNNNNNNNNNNNNNNNNNNNNNNNNNNNNNNNNNNNNNNNNNNNNNNNNNNNNNNNNNNNNNNNNNNNNNNNNNNNNNNNNNNNNNNNNNNNNNNNNNNNNNNNNNNNNNNNNNNNNNNNNNNNNNNNNNNNNNNNNNNNNNNNNNNNNNNNNNNNNNNNNNNNNNNNNNNNNNNNNNNNNNNNNNNNNNNNNNNNNNNNNNNNNNNNNNNNNNNNNNNNNNNNNNNNNNAUCACAGAAAGGGCUUUAAAAGAAAUGCCACAGUCGGACGUCGGGGCGACAUCACAGAAAGGGCUUUAAAAGAAAUGCCACAGUCGGACGUUGGGGCGACAUCACAGAAAGGGCUUUAAAAGAAGUGCCACAGUCGGGCGUCUUAGCGACACCACAUAAAGGGCUUGAAAAGAAAGAAAAAUACAACAAUGCCACAGUCGGACGUCUGAGCGACAUUGCAGAAAGGGCUUUUAUUCACAAGUAAAUAAUACUCAUAAUAAACAUUCAAUUUAUGAGAUUAAAUGGGUUAGUCCAUUCACAGGAAUAAUUAUUUAACCGGACGUAGCACUCAUGCGAUUCCUCGGAGUCUCUGCCAUCAAAACUGACAUUUGAUCAGGAUAAGAUAAUAUCGAUCUUGGACAUGGAAUAGAUGAUUUGGAGGAAUAUAUGACUCUGCAGAGUUUGUACAAAAUUUUUCCCACAGCCAACGGAUUUCCGUAGUCCCGAAGGACUAGUUCCGUUUACGGUUUUUCGGGAGAAAACACAGCUAACCAGUACACACCCAUCCUACCUCUCUAUGCUAGGAAUCACCCUAGACACCGUCCAAGAAAAACUUUUGAGACGGGGAGAUCACAAUCUUGAAUAGCAUGGGAUCAAAUUUAUAUACGCGCGCUCUAAGGGGUGCCCCCCUCUUGGUCCCAACCGGAAACACCCAUGCCCCCUGACCGGAUGACUGGCUUUAAUCCAGGGCCAUGGAACCAUCAUCACGGCCUCUCCUUUUUGGUGUGUACCAGGAAAGCGGUUUACAACUUACUAAGCCAUAUUCCUUACGGAAAACCUGUGGUAGUACAAGGAAGGAAAAAUGGAAGGAACUGGAAUGAUACGAGUUGAUAUUGAAGUCACAUAGUCUGGCAUAAGCCUGGCAUGCUACAACACUGCCAUCUUACCCAUCCUCAUGCCAACACAUGGCCAUGCAUACUCACAUCCAUCCACUUAUGGAUCAUCGAACUCACUUACCUCAAGAUUGCAUAAAAUAACGUUCAUCGAUAUGCUCAUCAACAUACCAUGAAACUAACUAAAUGCAAAACAUGCCAAGACACUCAUCAUAUCAAAAGUUCAAACAUGCUUGCCUGGUUCAGAGUAGUCGGAGCCUAGCUCGGUGAAGUUCGCGGCUCCGUCACCUCCUUCGGUAUCUACGGUAUAAAGAAAAUAUAUGCGCUAUCGUAAAUACCAAGGGAUGCACAAAAAGUAUUCCAAAUAUUUUUCAAAUAAAUCUGAUAAAAACUAGACAAAAUUUUAAAGAGAACAGAAAAAGAAUCAAUCAAAAAUACCUUUCUGUUUAAAAGUUAUAAAGGUUUUUGCCCAGGGACUCAUCUGUAAUGAAACAGAAAGUUCCCAGGGGCUAGCUUAUAAAAACAGAAAACGUUCCAGUGUUGAAUACGCCAGCCCAGAGGGGAAAGUGCAUUUUGCCCGAAGGCGCUUCCAGAAAACGAUUCAAUAGAGAGGGCAGAGAGGCUGACGGUGGGGUCCCACCUGUCAGGUUUGAACUUUCAAAAAGGGGGGGAACGAAGCUCGUCGGCGCCCGAGAGCCGCGGUGGUCGCCGGCGGCGAUCCACGGCGAGGCAGGGGGAUCGGAGGGUACCUCCGUGUUCAGGGCACCAUUCCGCGUCGGUUGGUGGUGGUGGUGGUCGCCGGCGAGUACCACGUCGACGGCGAGCUUUGCUCCGGCGGGCGGCGGCUCGGGUGGUCGAGGGACUCGUCGGAGAGGGCUGCAGAGAUCAAAUUGAGGAGGGGGUUAGGCUCCUGGUAGCUAGAGGGAGUAAUUGACGGGGUUAGAGCGCCGGAGAUGGCCUCAUCGGAGCGAAUCAUGGUGGAGGCCGAGGCGGAUCGGGGCGGCCGGAGUUGGGGGAGGAGACCCCCUCGAGGUCCUCCUAGUGGCCUGGCGGGGCGUUGGUGAGGUGUGGUGAUGAUGCGUGCACGAGGGUGAGCUCGGGGGCCCUUUAUAUAGGCGGUCCGAGGCGGUGGUCAUGAACGGGGGUCUCCGGUGACGAUUACGGCGGCGCAGGGCUUGGUCGGGGUAAUUAGGACGUUGAGCGUCAUUGUGGAGGUCCACGGUUCCGUUUUGGUGCUAAUCGAGCUGGAGUUUGGUGCUUUGGGGGUGAGUUCGACAGAACGGGGCGGCGCGGGCCCGUCGGCGGCAGGGAGCGCGUCCCGUGCUUGCCGGCCACGGUGGUGGUGCCACGGGCGUGCGCUAGCACUCAUGAGGCCACGCGGAGGGCAGAGGGGCGAUGGGCGACGCGGAACGGCGUUGAGCCGCCGUUCUUGUCGCCUGUCGGUUGUAACAGGGUCUCGGCAGCCGCAAGACACGCCGGCGCGGGCGGCCAGGGGCGCCACCGACGCCGGGAAGACGCCAAGCGCGCGUGCGGGAUGCUCCAGACAGGAGGAAGAGGCGGCGAGGAACGUGCCAAGGGCACUGUGGGCAUGUGACUGAACCUCUGUCGAAGAUCGACACUGAACUCUGAAUCUUCUGAAUUUGCAAAGGAACAGUGCAGCUCAGGUGUUCGAUAGAAUGUUUUUGGCCUCUGGGGAUUUUUCCUUGAGCUGAUUUUUGGUGGAGUGGCUUCUCAUUGCUCCAGUAGGCUGCAUGAUUUUUGGUGGAAUUUUUGGAGGAGUGUAGAUAUGAAUUUCAUCAAAUUUGGCAAAUCUGGUCCAAACUUGCAGAGACUGAAUUUUGAAAAAUUUGAAAAGAGGAGGAGUGGAUCAAGAUGGUUCUAGGUUGUGGGUACAAAGGACUAUCCAGGAGAGUUGGUUUGGGAUAAAAACUCAAAGGCAAAGUGGUACUUGCUUUGAAAAUCACUAAGGCUCAAAAUAAUUUACAGAAUUGAUUUGAGAGGAAAAAUAAUUAGAAUAAAAUCCAAAACUUGCUUGGAUUAGUUGGGACAGAGAACUUAGGCUGAUUACAAGGAGUAGGGGAGGUUUUGGAGGGGUUUUACCACAUGGGCAAAAAUGCCAAGUCAUGGGUGGUUUCCAAGAUAUGAAAAUCCCAAGUUUUCAUAGAGUUUCAUUUUAAAAUAAAAACAAAUUAAACUCCCAAAAUAAUUUGAGAGGGAACCAACAGAGAAGAAGUUUCAAAAGAUCAAACACCACAGUUUGAAGAAAAAAAAUCCUUGCCAAAGAAAAGAAAGUUUUUAAGAGGAAGGAUUUCCUGAAAAAAAAAUGGCCUCUUUUCAAAAACCACAAAGUUUUUUUUGAUGAAAACCAAAUUAAAAUUUUGGAGUGUCACAAUGUCGUGGCCAACACACCCAGCCGGAAGACCUAUUAUUGUAGUAUCUUGAUUGAGGAAGUUGGCCACCGCCCCAUAAGGAUUUCGUAGGAUUUACUCCAGAAGUUGUUCCUUAUGGAUCUAUUGUAUUCCGAAGUCCGACCACUACUUGAUGGCUAUGUUGAUGCUUUAAAGCAUGACCGUGGUAACCAGUACAUCAAGGAGAACAUUAGAAGUGGAGUGCUAAAUGUCUCUCGGUCGAUCAUCCAGAUUUCAUUUCCUUGGCCUCGCUAAGGUGAAAUCUGAGAAAGGGUUGUCUUUCUAUGCAUCUGCAUUGUCCAACACUAUUCGUCAAGGUAGUAAGAUGUGUUGCCAGGAUCCUCGACUCGGAUGUUGGUAGAACCUUGAUGAAUAUGAAAAUGCUCAAGUUCUUGAGAGCACGCGCAAGCACUAGGUUUUACCGUUGGCGUUAACUGGGAUUUGCGUCCAGCUUCUUCGGUUAUGUUAUAACCUUUUCAAAUAGUGGACUCACUCUCGACUGUUGAGUUUUUUCCCCAGUUACCAGAAUCAUUCCCAACAUUUGCAUUUUGUUCCCAGUUUGCACCUCAGUAGUUGUUGUUCAGGAUCAUCUUCGAAAGUGCACUUACCAUGGGUCUCAUCCAUUUUCGAUGAAAAGCAAAAAUCAUCCAUUGCGUUGUCUUCAAUAAGAUAGUCCACAUCAUCCUUUCUAGUCCAAGUAUAUCAUUCCUUUGAACUCCUUCAAAUGAUCGAUUGUGAUUGCCUUAGGCUGGCAUAAAGAGUUUCAAUGAUCUCCUAAUCAAAAGUAAUUCUUUUUGCCACUUAAGGGAAUAAUUCUACGAGUCACCUUCCUCGAGGUAUCACGUUACGAAAUCAUGGCAAAUAUUUUCUUGCUACUUUGAAAUUCAUGCUCCAUCUUAUUCAAGUAUGGAAUUGUUGCCUACCUAGUGAACCUUCGCCAUCCGUUUCACUCCAUCCCUCUAGGUGUAUGCUUCGUGUCUCAGCUCAAGAGAUGUUACUAUGUCUCAUUCCAUGAGUUGAUCUUCUGAUCAUUAAGAUGAUCCUAAGUUGCUCGAACCUCAGGGAGGUUGAUUCUUCUUAAAUUCUCCCUUUCUACUCGUUGUCAUGUUGGAUGUAGUUCUCAAAGCAAGACGUCGAGAUCAAGGUGAUGCAAUGAAUCAACAUCCUCGAGAAAGACGUCUGGAUCAUGAAGGUCGUGUUAGCUGUGUAUCCCCUCUGUCUUCUUACUUCACGUCUUGAAUCUCGGGACGAGAUUCUUGUUUAGUGGGGGCGAGUUGUCACAGCCCUAGAAUUUGAUUGCAAUUAGUAUCAUAAGCAUCCAUGCAUCAUGUCUAUAUUUGUUUGAAAUUUGAAAUGGGGAUGACAAGCCCUAGCACUAAAUGAAAUGCAAUUAGGAUCAAAAUAAAAAUAUUUUGAAUGAACCCAGAAUGCCCUUUAGAAAAGUUCAUUAUUUUUGAUAAAGGUGAAAACCUCUGCCAAAAUGAUGCACAUUUUUUUAGGCCAUUCUGGAUUUUUGAAUAACCCAUAUUGUAUUUGAAUUGGGGCAUUUAAAUACUAUUAAUAUUUUUAAAAUGCUCCAAUAAUUCUGAAAAUAGUUAAGGGCCUCUGUAAUAAUUCAUUUAAUGCCCACAAUUAUUUCCAGGAUUUAUUAAAAUGAUUUGGGUUAUAAACUAAAUCAAAACAAAAUAACAUAAAUUGAAAACAGAAUUAAAAAGAACAGAGAGAUCUACCUGGGCCAACCUACCUGGCCUUCCAGCCCACCUGGUGGCCCAGCUGGCGACCCAGCCCACCAGGGGCACCCGUGUCUUCUCCUUCCUCUGCCAGAAGGACCGAGGCGCGUGGCCACUGCACGCCGGCACGCGCACGGCCACUGCACGCCACCUCCUGCUUGCCGCCGAGGGCCUGGACGCCUCCAUGAUGCCACGCAGCCCCCUGGUCCCCCUCGCUCCUCUCCCUCACUCUCUGCUCUCCCCCUCGCCCUCUCCCUCUCCUCUGAUCGCCAUGGCCGACGCUGCCGAGCGCUCGCCAUCGUGAAGCUCGCAGCCAUCGUGCUCCCCUCGCCUCCCCGACGCGCCAAGGAGCUCCUCCGUCGACCUCUACAUCGUCUCCGUCAAGCCGCGCGAGCGGACGUGCCUCGUCCCACCGUCCCCAACCCCUUCUUCCUCCUCGGUCACCGCAGAUCCAUCCCGCCGCCCCGACCGCUCCUGGCCUCCUCCGAGCUUGCCGUCUGCACCGUUGCAACCGCUGUAAGCCUCUCCCUCGAACCCCCCUCUCCGUUGUUCCGUUUUCACGCCGUAGCUCCUACUUCACUGACGACCGAAGCCGCCGUCCGCCAUGGCCGAUGAUGUCCUCGCUCCUGAGCAUCUCCGCUCGGUCCAGUGGCACCAGCGUGCUCCUGGAGCUCCCAGGAAUCCGCCCUACCGCUUAGCUCGCUCGUCAGCCUAGCGCAGCGCCUCACCCGUGCUAAGCCGAACUCCGGCCGCCGCCAGCCGUCGUUGCAGUCAUCGUUUCCGGCCUCCUCUCGCCUAGCCGCAUGUUCCGUUGGAUGCGGCGCACGUCCAGCAGCCCGUAGGGCCAAACCGCGAGUCGAACGGUCGCCGGACGGCGAAUCCCGAGCGCCUCUGCCGCCCCGUUUGGUCGCCGGCGGCUAGCCGCCGGUGCGCUGACGUGGCCACCUAGUUAGGGCUAAUCGCCCACUAAUUAACCCCCCUGACCCACUUACACACGGGCCCCACCGGUUUAGUUAGUCAGCUAAUGAAAUUAGUUAGAACUAAUCCAACCCCGCGGGACCCACGCGUCAGCUUUGACCUUGUUGACGUGGCCUUUGACCGGCCCCACACGUCAGUGACUCAUGCCAGCGGUGUUUCACUGACCAGUGGGCUCCACUGGUCAGGCUUGACAUGGCCAGCCACAGUUGACCUGAUAACGUCACUCUUAUGUGAUGCUAACGCAGUAAAACCUUUUCUGGAUUUUAAAUAAAUCUAAAUGAUUUAUUUAUUUUCAGAAAAUAUCCAAAACUUUGAAAAAUUAUUGAAAUUAAUCUAUAACUCCAAAUAAGAUAAAUUAUAUAUGAAAAAUUAUUAGAAAAUUCAAGGAAUCUGUUUAUGGCAAUUGCAUGCAUGUUUGAACAACCUAGGGUUGCUGUACAGGGCAAUUUGCAUAAAUGACAUUUAAAUAAGCACAUAUGGAGUUUGAAUUUGAACCCUUGGUUGAAACCAACUUCAUUUAAUAUGGUUGCUAGUUGCAUUAGCUCAAUCAACAGCAUAUUGCCAUGACAUUAUCAUGCAUCAUAAUUGUUGCAUUGCAUUGAUUGUGUUCCUCUUUGUUUGCCGGUAUUUGUCCCCUCUCGAUAGACGUGGUUCCGACGACGAGUUCGAUGACACCGAUGAAGAACUAUACUAUCUUCAGAAGUGCCAGGCAAGCAAAACCCCCUUGUUCAUUCCGAUACAAUCCCACUCUCUCGCUCCUGCUCUCUUUUACUGCAUUAGGACAACAACGAUUCAACUGUUACAUGUUGCGAUAGUUGAGCCCCUUCCCUCUGCAUGACCUGUCAUUGCCAUAGUAAAUAGAUGAAACCCACUAGCAUGAGUAGGAGUUGUUUGAGCCCUGAUGUGCCUACUCAUUCAUGCUUGUUUGUCAUGCCUGCUACUGCUUAGAGUUGAGUCAGGUCUGAUUUAUCGGGGAUGAAUCGGAGGUGUGUAAACAUGUCCUACUGUUGAGAGCUAAGUGUGUGAACACGAUUUGGUAAAGGUAGCGGUGAGAGGCCAUGUAGGAGUACAUGGUGGGUUGUCUCAUUGAAACUGUCCUCAGGAACUGAGUUUUGUGUUUGUGAUCCAUGAACAGCUACUACCACUCAUUGGGAUACUUAAUUGACCCUCUCGGCUUCUUAAUCACCCUAGUACUCUGUCCAGGAGUUGCAACUGGUUUCUGGUGUUUGUAGGUUAUGUGUUGGCGGCCGUGCGUAGCGCUGACCCUAGGGGUGGGCUAUGUUGCGGUACAUACACCGUGGCAUGGUGUACCGGGCGACGUUUGGUGUCUCGAGAACCCUGUUCACAUCAUUUGGGGCCGUAUGUGGAAACCUCGGCCGGACUCCCUGCGGAUGGAACCUGAAUAGGUGAUAAACCUGGACUAGAGACUUAGGUGUUUAGGUAGGCCGUGGCCGACACCCUCAUUGUGCUUCCGCUUGAAGGUUGCCGAGUACAUGUCGUGUAAACGAUGGUAAGUGGUGGGAGCGUGUGUGAAGAAGUACACCCCUGCAGGGUUAUCAUUAUCUAUUCGAAUAGCCGGAUUCCUCGAAUAUAGAAACUUGGACCCCUUGCAUAGUUCAUAGACAAGUGAAAGUGGUUACUCUAAAACUCGCAAGAUAAGAGUGAGUGCUAUGGAUGGCGUUCUCGCAGGGAGACGGGAGCGGAUUCAUAGUGGUGUAUUGAUAUGGUGAAUUUGUGGACUCGUGUGCGCCACCUCAAACGAGUUGCUUGCAGUCGUAGUUCAGGUUAGCCACUGAGUCAAAGCUGGCUUGCUGCAGUUAAACUCCACCACCCCCUUUGUUGAUACCGAUGCAUAUGUAGUUAGUUCUGAUGUAAGUCUUGCUGAGUACAAUUGUACUCACGUUUGCUUAAAUUAUGUUUUUGUAGAGAGGCUUCAGUCUCGCUAGUAGUUCCACGUGGACUUCGACGUUUAGCUUGAUACCUCAGCUACGAUCUUGUGCCCUCAGCAGGAUCUGGUAGAUAGUCAGGCUUCUUAGCCUUUUUCAUUUGUACAUGUCUGUACUAAGACAUGUUAAGCUUCCGCUUGUGCCUUGAUUUGUAUGUUAUGUUUGUUGGGUCAUGAGACCCAUGUUUGUAAUAUCCCGCUCCCCGGAGCCUAAGGAUUAAAUACUUCAGUUGUAGAGUUAUGUUGUGAUGUCAUGUUGUAUUUACACAUAUCGAGCAUAUUAUGUGUAUGAUUGAAAUGCAUGGUAUGUGUGGGAUCCGACAACCUAGUUGUUUAUCCUUGGCAGCCUCUCUUAUGGGGAAAUGUAGUCUAGUGCUUCCAUGAGCCAUAGUAGUCCGCUUCAGCCCGGUUCACCGGAGUCCUGCUAGCCCAGCACUAAUGCUCAGGACACUUGACUGGCCGGCUGUGUUUCACUUCGUUCCUGUGUCUGUCCCUUCGGGGAAAUGUCACGCGGUGACAUCCGGAGUCCUGCCUAGCCUACUACAGCCCGGGUUCCCGUAGUCCUGUUAGCCUAGUGCUAUAGCCCGGAUUCACAGGCUGCUGACCGACAUGCUCGAUGUGAUUCAUGUAUGCCUGUCCCCAUAGGUUAGUGCCGCUUUGGGUUGACGACUAGCCAUGUCGGCCCGGGUUCUCCGUCAUAUGGAUGCUAGCGACAAUAUCAUAUACGUGAGCCAAAAGGCGCAAAUGGUCCCGUGCCAUGGUAAGGCGACACCCGUGGGAAUACCGUGCGUGAGGCCGCAAAGUGAUAUGAGGUGUUACCGGCUAGAUCGAUGUGAUUUGGAAUCGGGGUCCUGAGAGCGUUGGCAUCAGAGCCUGACUGCCUGUAGGAUUACCAAGCCAAACUGGUCGAAGUUGAGUCUAGAAAUGCUUUAGUUAUAUAAGGGAAUUGAUUGUGGAAGGGAAUGUAAGGCUCUUUUUACUCCUUUACCUUAUGGCCUUUUGAUCUGAGUCAUCCUCUUCUCUUCUACGGGGUUUAAGAACUAGGCCUUCUAAUCUAUCUAUUAGGAUGACGUGUUACUAAUCCAUAGACUUAUAGGAUUGAUGGAUUCAAUUCUUAGUUCAGUUCCUACUAUUUCUGUGUGUUGACAGUUGAUCCCAGAACCUUGAUAUGAUGAUGUUGAGUGGUCAUGCCACUAUCUUGCAGGAUGUCUCAAAUAUUUUGAGCAUUCACAGCCGCUACGCUGUCUGAGUCAUCCCAGGUUUCUAAAUAGUCUGAUUCAUUUGCAAAUCCUUUCUUUCCAUUCCCAAUGUCCUUUUGGUCAGAAUAAGCACACUAACCGGUCAGUUGAGGUACUCUAUUGCCUCGACAUAUAUGUUGGAGCUAUUAUUAUGACCCUAGGUAUUGUAGGGAGUCACCUAGUAAUCUAGCCAUGUUUUGUGUUCCCGGUGUGAUAAUUCUGGCCACCAUCCUCGAAAGCAUCCCGUGAUGCCAUGUAGUGGUAGGUAUUCUAUUCAUGGGUUCUUGAACCCGAGAUUCCCCCUAUUUAUCUCAUGGUUAUAGUGUUGCUAGUUUCUUUAGGAUAUUAGUAACCUUUGUUAGUCCUCGAGGUCCGUGGUAUUUCCUCCUUCCAAAUACUAUGAGCCACUUAUGGCAGAAGAUUGUUGUAUCAAAAGAUCACAACCAGAGUGCUCUUAAUGAGUUCUGCAUUCUACGUUGUGAAUCUGCCAGUCCUACCUAUCUGCAUGGGUUGUCCGGAAGAAAUGUUGAUCUUUGCUCGACAUACUAAUCUAUGCAUCCACAACUCAGAAAAUUAUAUGUUCCUCGAGUUGUUCCUCUUCAGUUGUAUUCCAACCAUCUUCUAUCAGUUGAUAGUCAAGAGUAGUUGUGCAUUGGUGUUAUCGAUGCCUAUUAUUCAUGUGAUCCGUCAAGCCAUUCCAUUCCGGAAUGACUAGGAGAAACAAACUCCAGUACCUCAUCCAUAUCCAGGAUUGGGUCAAAGUUGUUGUGUUCUAGAGAUCAAAUGCCAUCCAGCUUUUGCUCUGUUCUACCCUGGAGUAUUACCCCUUUUAUGUCAGGACUGUCAUGAGAAUUGCACCACCUCUUAUGAAUUGUUGACGCAGUAAUACUUCUUGCCAUCAUUGUUCAUUCCUCAGUUCCGUGUUAUUAUAACCGGAAUGCCGACAAGUGAACCGUGAUGUGUGAAAUCAAUACUCCGAGCAACUCGUUGCUUUGUAGUAAAUGGACAAUAUUCUUAUUCUUAGCGUGUUGGUUUUUGAGCUACCAUUCUAAGAUUGAUCGUGCUACCUAGUCCAUAUCUCUGGGUGCACUCAUCGACCAAUGAGUUAGGAUUGUGGCAAUCCCUCGCUCCUUGAUCAUAUCGUCUUGCCCUGAAAAGCAAGAUUGUUCUUGAGCUUAAUAACAUAUCGGUGGUUCGUGAUUUUCCGAAUAUCUUCUCGGAAAUAUUACCAGGUUGUUCCCUGAUCGCUAUGUUGAAUUCGUGAUCAUGUUGGCUUUUCUAUAAACCACCCCUUCUGCAAGAAUCUAUGUUGGAUACCCCUGAGCUAGAUGGUUAAGCUAAACAGCAACUUGGAGAGUUGGAAGAUAAAAGGCUUUGCCGAAUUUGGUUCUUUCUGAAGGGAUAUCUUUGUGUUGUGUGUGUGUUGAAGAAAGAUGAUAUCUUCACCAAUUGGUCCUCGUGAUCAGUUGUCGGAUCUAUUGUCUUGUCAAAACUUUGACUUGAUUAUGGGCUAUCGUCAAGUCAAAUCAGAACCAACAAUGUUCGUAGUGUUGUCUUACUCGUGGUUGAUCCCUCGAGAAUACACCAUUACAUCUUUUGGUCUGACCAAUGCUAUCACCGUGUUCACAUGAUGGUGGAAGUCCAGUGAUAUGGAAAUUCCGAUGAGUUGUUGUUGAGCCCAUCAGCAGCAUUUUGUCUCCCCCAUGAUUCAUGUUGAACAUCAACCUAGUGUUGAAAACCUUGUAAGCAAUGCCUUCGUGUUCCGUUCAUGAAGCUUAUGCUGGAUAAAAGAAGUGACUUUCUCUAAAUUCACGUGCACCAGGUGUAAGUUGGCACCAUGAAUUUGAGAAAGGUUUGUUUUGUUUCCCUUGGAAUCAUCCCAAAUCAGUCAUGCAUAUGUGCGAAGUAUUCUAUGGUUUGGUAGAUUAAUUACCUCCACUCCAUAUGUUUUUCUAGCACACCAAGCCACUGAUUGGUUUGUUCAAGGAGAAGAAGUUUCUUCUUAGGAGCUAGAUUUAUGCAAGGACUUCGAUAUCCUCGUUGAUGGUUCCCUUCUGAACUCGGUAGUGUUUCAUUGUAAGACUUCCAGGUGGCCAUGCUUGUCUAGGACAACGUGUUCACACGCUUGUAGCAGAACCGGCUCAUGUUUUGGAGCUUACUAUCGUAGUUCAUUCCCCGAGAAUCUCGCAACGUCAUCUCGUCGAUUUGUGUUGCAAAACUUCAUUUUUCUUUCUAGACUUGGUGAGUCUGGAAUAUCCUGACACCAACCAGAUCUGAAUUUUAGGCAGAUAUGAUGGUUGGAACACACUCCAAGAACUAUAAUAUUGGUCUCCCUGUAACCGGUAAAGUGGAUGUGGUGGCCAACACACCCAGCCGAAAGACCUAUUAUUGUAGUAUCUUGAUUGAGGAAGUUGGCCACCGCCCCAUAAGGAUUUCGUAGGAUUUACUCCAGAAGUUGUUCCUUAUGGAUCUAUUGUUUUCCGAAGUCCGACCACUACUUGAUGGCUAUGUUGAUGCUUUAAAGCAUGACCGUGGUAACCAGUAAAUCAAGGAGAACAUUAGAAGUGGAGUGCUAAAUGUCUCUCGGUCGAUCAUCCAGAUUUCAUUUCCUUGGCCUCGCUAAGGUGAAAUCUGAGAAAGGGUUGUCUUUCUAUGCAUAUGCAUUGUCCAACACUAUUCGUCAAGGUAGUAAGAUGUGUUGCCAGGAUCCUCGACUCAGAUGUUGGUAGAACCUUGAUGAAUAUGAAAAUGCUCAAGUUCUUGAGAGCACGCGCAAGCACUAGGUUUUACAGUUGGCGUUAACUGGGAUUUGCAUCCAGCUUCUUCGGUUAUGUUAUAACCUUUUCAAACAGUGGACUCACUCUCGACUGUUGAGUUUUUUCCCCAGUUACCAGAAUCAUUCCCAACAUUUGCAUUUUGUUCCCAGUUUGCACCUCAGUAGUUGUUGUUCAGGAUCAUCUUCAAAAGUGCACUUACCAUGGGUCUCAUCCAUUUUCGAUGAUAAGCAAAAAUCAUCCAUUGCGUUGUCUUCAAACCACAUCAUCCUUUCUAGUCCAAGUAUAUCAUUCCUUUAAACUCCUUCAAAUGAUCGAUUGUGAUUGCCUUAGGCUGGCAUAAAGAGUUUCAAUGAUCUCCUAAUCAAAAGUAAUUCUUUUUGCCACUUAAGGGAAUAAUUCUACGAGUCACCUUCCCCGAGGUAUCACGUUACGAAAUCAUGGAAAAUAUUUUCUUGCUACUUUGAAAUUCAUGCUCCAUCUUAUUCGAGUAUGGAAUUGUUGCCUACCUAGUGAACCUUCGCCAUCCGUUUCACUCCAUCCCUCUAGGUGUAUGCUUCGUGUCUUAGCUCAAGAGAUGUUACUAUGUCUCAUUCCAUGAGUUGAUCUUGUGAUCAUUAAGAUGAUCCUAAGUUGCUCGAACCUCAGGGAGGUUGAUUCUUCUUAAAUUCUCCCUUUCUACUCAUUGUCAUGUUGGAUGUAGUUUUCAAAGCAAGACGUCGAGAUCAAGGUGAUGCAAUGAAUCAAAAUCCUCGAGAAAGACGUCUGGAUCAUGAAGGUCGUGUUAGCUGUGUAUCCCCUCUGUCUUCUUACUUCACGUCUUGAAUCUCGGGACGAGAUUCUUGUUUAGUGGGGGCGAGUUGUCACAGCCCUAGAAUUUGAUUGCAAUUAGUAUCAUAAGCAUCCAUGCAUCAUGGCUAUAUUUGUUUGAAAUUUGAAAUGGGGAUGACAAGCCCUAGCACUAAAUGAAAUGCAAUUAGGAUCAAAAUAAAAAUAUUUUCAAUGAACCCAGAAUGCCCUUUAGAAAAGUUCAUUAUUUUUGAUAAAGGUGAAAACCUCUGCUAAUAAUGAUGCACAUUUUUUAGGCCAUUCUGGAUUUUUGAAUAACCCAUAUUGUAUUUGAAUUGGGGCAUUUAAAUACUAUUAAUAUUUUUAAAAUGCUCCAAUAAUUCUGAAAAUAGUUAAGGGCCUCUGUAAUAAUUCAUUUAAUGCCCACAAUUAUUUUCAGGAUUUAUUAAAAUGAUUUGGGUUAUAAACUAAAUCAAAACAAAAUAACAUAAAUAGAAAACAGAAUUAAAAAGAACAGAGAGAUCUACCUGGGCCAACCUACCUGGCCUUCUAGCCCACCUGGUGGCCCAGCUGGCGGCCCAGCCCACCAGGGGCACCCGUGUCUUCUCCUUCCUCUGCCAGAAGGACCGAGGUGCGUGGCCACUGCACGCCGGCACGCGCACGGCCACCGCACACCACGUCCUGCUUGCCGCCGAGGGCCUGGACGCCUCCAUGACGCCACGCAGCCCCCUGGUCCCCCUCGCUCCUCUCCCUAACUCUCUGCUCUCCCCCUCGCCCUCUCCCUCUCCUCUGAUCGCCAUGGCCGACGCUGCCGAGCGCUAGCCACCGUGAAGCUUGUAGCCACCGUGCUCCCCUCGCCUCCCCGACGCGCCAAGGAGCUCCUCCGUUGACCUCUACAUCGUCUUCGUCAAGCCGCGCGAGCGGACGUGCCUCGUCUCACCGGCCCCGACCCCUUCCUCCUCCUCGGUCACCAGAGAUCCAUCUCGCCGCCCCGACUGCUCCUGGCCUCCUCCGAGCUUGUCGUCUGCACCGUUGCAACCGCCGUAAGCCUCUCCCUCGAACCCCCCUCUCCCUUGUCCCGUUUUCAUGUUGUAGCUCCUACUUCACUGACGACCAAAGCCGCCGUCCUCCAUGGCCGAUGAUGUCCUCGCUCCUGAGCAUCUCCGCUCGGUCCAGUGGCACCAGCGUGCUCCUGGAGCUCCCAGGAAUCCACCCCGCCGCUUAGCUCGCUCGUCAGCCUAGCACAGCGCCUUGCCCGUGCUAAGCCGAACUCCGGCCGCCGCCAGCCGUCGUUGCAGUCGUCGUUUCCGGCCUCCUCUCACCUAGCCGCAUGCUCCGUUGGAUGCGGCGCACGUCCAGCCGCGCUCAGGGCCAAACCGCGAGUCGAACGGUCGCCGGACGGCGAAUCUCGAGCGCCUCCGCUGCCCCGUUUGGUCGCCGGCGGCUAGCCGCCGGUGCGCUGACGUGGCCACCUAGUUAGGGCUAAUCGCCCACUAAUUAACCCCCCUGACCCACUUACACACAGGCCCCACCGGUUUAGUUAGUCAGCUAACGAAAUUAGUUAGAACUAAUCCAACCCCGCGGGACCCACGCGUCAGCUUUGACCUUGCUGAUGUGUCCUUUGACCGGCCCCACACGUCAGUGACUCAUGCCAGUAGUGUGUCACUGACCAGUGGGCCCCACUGGUCAGGCUUGACCUGGCCAGCCACAGUUGACCUGAUGACGUCAUUCUUAUGUCAUGCUAACACAGUAAAACCUUUUCUAAAUGAUUUAUUUAUUUUCAGAAAAUAUCCAAAACUUUGAAAAAUUAUUGAAAUUAAUCUAUAACUCCAAAUAAGAUAAAUUAUAUAUGAAAAAUUAUCAGAAAAAUUCAAGGAAUCUGUUUAUGGCAAUUGCAUGCAUGUUUGAACAACCUAGGGUUGCUGUACAGGGCAAUUUGCAUAAAUGACAUUUAAAUAAGCACAUAUGGAGUUUGAAUUUGAACCCUUGGUUGAAACCAACUUCAUUUAAUAUGGUUGCUAGUUGCAUUAGCUCAAUCAACAGCAUAUUGCCAUGACAUUAUCAUGCAUCAUAAUUGUUGCAUUGCAUUGAUUGUGUUCCUCUUUGUUUGCCGGUAUUUGUCCCCUCUCGAUAGACGUGGUUCCGACGAUGAGUUCGAUGACACCGAUGAAGAACUAUACUAUCUUCAGAAGUGCCAGGCAAGCAAAACCCCCUUGUUCAUUCCGAUACAAUCCCACUCUCUCGCUCCUGCUCUCUUUUACUGCAUUAGGACAACAACGAUUCAACUGUUACAUGUUGCGAUAGUUGAGCCCCUUCCCUCUGCAUGACCUGUCAUUGCCACAGUAAAUAGAUGAAACCCACUAGCAUGAGUAGGAGUUGUUUGAGCCCUGAUGUGCCUACUCAUUCAUGCUUGUUUGUCAUGCCUGCUACUGCUUAGAGUUGAGUCAGGUCUGAUUUAUCGGGGAUGAAUCGGAGGUGUGUAAACAUGUCCUACUGUUGAGAGCUAAGUGUGUGAACACGAUUUGGUAAAGGUAGCGGUGAGAGGCCAUGUAGGAGUACAUGGUGGGUUGUCUCAUUGAAACUGUCCUCAGGAACUGAGUUCUGUGUUUGUGAUCCAUGAACAGCUACUACCACUCAUUGGGAUACUUAAUUGACCCUAUCGGCUUCUUAAUCACCCUAGUACUCUGUCCAGGAGUUGCAACUGGUUUCUGGUGUUCGUAGGUUAUGUGUUGGCGGCCAUGCGUAGCGCUGACCCUAGGGGUGGGCUAUGUUGCGGUAGAUACACCGUGGCAUGGUGUACCGGGCGCCCGUUUGGUGUCUCGGGAACCCUGUUCACAUCGUUCCGGACCGUAUGUGGAAACCUCGGCCGGACUCCCUGCGGAUGGAACCUGAAUAGGCGAUAAACCUGGACUAGAGACUUAGGUGUUUAGGUAGGCCGUGGUCGACACCCUCAUUAGGCUUCCGCUUGAAGGUUGCCGAGUAGAUGUCGUGUAAACGACGGUAAGUGGUGGGAGCGUGUGUGAAGAAGUACACCCCUGCAGGGUUAUCAUUAUCUAUUCGAAUAGCCGGAUUCCUCGAAUAUAGAAACUUGGACCCCUUGCAUAGUUCAUAGACAAGUGAAAGUGGUUACUCUAAAACUCGCAAGAUAAGAGUGAGUGCUAUGGAUGGCGUUCUCGCAGGGAGACGGGAGCGGAUUCAUAGUGGUGUAUUGAUAUGGUGAAUUUGUGGACUCGUGUGCGCCACCUCAAAUGAGUUGCUUGCAGUCGUAGUUCAGGUUAGCCACUGAGUCAAAGCUGGCUUGCUGCAGUUAAACUCCACCACCCUCUUUGUUGAUACCGAUGCAUAUGUAGUUAGUUCUGAUGUAAGUCUUGCUGAGUACAAUUGUACUCACGUUUGCUUAAAUUAUGUUUUUGCAGAGAGGCUUCAGUCUCGCUAGUAGUUCUGCGUGGACUUUGACGUUUAGCUUGAUACCUCAGCUAUGAUCUUGUGCCCUCGGCAGGAUCUGGUAGAUAAGGCUUCUUAGCCUUUUUCAUUUGUACAUGUAUGUACUCAGACAUGUUAAGCUUCCUCUUGUGCCUUGAUUUGUAUGCUAUGUUUGUUGGGUCAUGAGACCCAUGUUUGUAGUAUCCCACUCCCCGGAGCCUAAGGAUUAAAUACUUGAGUUGUAGAGUUAUGUUGUGAUGUCAUGCUGUAUUUACACAUAUGGAGCAUAUUGUGUGUAUGAUUGAAAUGCUUGGUAUGUGUGGGAUCCGACAACCUAGUUAUUUAUCCUUGGCAGCCUCUCUUAUGGGGAAAUGUAGUCUAGUGCUUCCAUGAGCCAUAGUAGUCCGCUUCAGCCCGGUUCACCGGAGUCCUGCUAGCCCAGCACUACUGCUCAGGACACUUUACUGGCUGGCAUGUGUUUCACUUCGUUCUUGUGUCUGUCCCUUCGGGGAAAUGUCACGCGGUGACAUCCGGAGUCCUGCCUAGCCUGCUACAGCCCGGGUUUCCGGAGUCCUGUUAGCCUAGUGCUACAGCCCGGAUUCACACGCUGCUGACCGACAUGCUCGAUGUGAUUCAUGUAUGCAUGUCCCCAUAGGUUAGUGUCGUUUGGUUUCACGACUAGCCAUGUCGGCCCGGGUUCUCUGUCAUAUGGAUGCUAGCGACAAUAUCAUAUACGUGAGCCAAAAGGCGCAAAUGGUCCCGGGCCAUGGUAAGGCGACACCCGUGGGAAUACCGUGCGUGAGGCCGCAAAGUGAUAUGAGGUGUUACCAGCUAGAUCGAUGUGAUUUGGAAUCGGGGUCCUGACAGAAACGGGCCAAGGCGCCUUUGGCGAAAUUUGUGCCGUUGUCGGUGAUGAUGCUGUGUGGUAUGCCGUACCGAAUUGUGAUAUCGGUGAUGAAAGUCACAGCAGUUGGACCGUUUAGCUUCUUGAUUGGCUUCGCUUAUAUCCACUUGGUGAACUUGUCCACUGCGACAAGUAAGUGAGUUAAGCCACCUCGUGCUGUCUUGAAUGGUCCCACCAUUUCUAGACCCCAAACUGUGAAAGGCCAGGGAAUGGGGAUGGUCUUGAGUGCGGAAGCUGGCUGGUGCGGCUUGGAGCUGAACUUCUGGCACCCUUUGCAUUUUUGGACCAACUCCUUGGCCUCUUCCAAGGCAUUUGGCCAGAAGAAACCAUGUCGAAAGGCUUUGGCGACGAGUGCUCUUGAAGCCGCAUGGUGGCCGCACUCACCUUGAUGGAUGUCUUUGAGAAUCGCUUGGCCUUACUCUGGCUCUACGCAACGCUGGUAGACACCAAGGAUGCUGCGCCUGACCAGCUCUCUGUUGACUAUGGUGUAGGCUGCCACCCGGCGUUGUACUUGCCGAGCUGAGGUCUCAUCAAUCGGCAGCUCUUUGUUCACCAGGAACUUGAGGAUGGGCUGGGCCCAUGAGGUCCUGCUAUUUCUUUGACUGCCAGAACUGCGACUUGUAUGAGGGCGGUUGGGCUGGGAGGCGGCGGGUUGGAGUCAACAACCGCUUGCUGGGUUAAUGAAGUCCCCAGGCCGACUGGCGCGGCCCUUGGACCGAGUUCUGGAGUCUUCGAGUCCGCCAUCGCAGUCCCCGGGCCGGGUUCGACUGUGGCGGCUUUGGAGUCAUCCGCCAAAAUCCCCGUACCGACUGCCGGAGCUCUGGAGUCGGAUCCGACAUCUUCGGGAGGAGCCGGCACAAAAAUGGAGUCUGAUUCUGGUGAAGGCUUGACAGACGGCUUGAGGAGGCGUUGAAGGGCGACGCCAGAUGGUAUUGCUUGGCGGGUAGAGCCGAUUCGUGCCAAGGCAUCUGCUUGGUCGUUGUCGUUUCUUGGCACAUGGAGGAACUCGCACCCUUCGAAAUACCCGCUGAGCUGCUGCACGAGGAAACGGUAACUCGCCAUGUUUGCCUCUUUUGCGUCCCAGUCACCAGAUGAUUGCUGGACCACUAAGUCUGAGUCGCCAUAACACAAGAUCCGGUGGAUGCCAAGUUCUUUGGCAAGCCGGAGCCCAUGAAUGAGCGCCUCGUACUCGGCGAUGUUGUUGGAGGCGGCGAAAUGGAUUUGUAAUGCGUAUUUGAGCUUGUCGCCUUUAGGAGAGGUGAGGACGACACCGGCUCCCAAGCCGGUGCGCAUCUUGGAGCCGUCGAAAUGCAUCCGCCAAUGGGUGGAGUCAGGAGCUGGAGGUAGGUACUGGGUCUCGGCCCAGUCGAUGAGGAAGUCGGCCAAUGCUUGUGACUUGAUAGCAGUGCGGGGCUGGUAGUGGAUGGUGUAAGGAGCCAGCUCUAUGGCCCACUUGGCCACUCGGCUAGAAGCAUCUCGGCUACCAAUGAUCUUGGCAAGUGGGGCCGUGCAGACCACCGUGAUUGGAUGCUCUUGAAAGUAAGGCUUCAAUUUCUUGGCAGUAAAGUGUACACCAUAGCACAUCUUCUGGUAGUGGGGGUAGUUCUGCUUGGAGGUCGACAGUACUUCGCUCAGGUAAUAUACCGGUCUCUGGAUUGGUAGUGCCUUGCCUUCCUCCUUGCGUUCCACUACAAUGACCGUGCUGACCACCCGGCUGGUGGCGGCGAUGUACAGGAGCAUAGGUUCCUUUGGAGUCGGAGCCGCCAGGACGGGUGGAGUAGUCAGCAUCUUCUUCAACUAGAGAAAAGCUUCGUCCGCCUUAUGGUUCCACUCAAAAAAUAGUGGUCUUCUUCAUGAGUUGGUAUAAGGGGAGAGCUUUCUCGCCCAGCCGACUGAUGAGUCGGCUGAUGGACACCAAGUAGCCAGUGAACUUUUGUACAUCCAGCAGUCGGCUGGGUACCUCCAUUCUCUCAAUGGCCUUGAUUUUUACUGGGUUGCAUUCUAUGCCGCGUUCAGAGACCAGGAACCCAAGGAGCUGGCCGGCUGGUACUCUGAAGACACACUUCUCGGGACUGAGCUUGAUCUGGAAUCAGGACAGGUUCUCAAAAGUCUCCUUGAGGUCUUCCAGCAGUGUUCCACGCUUUUCCGUCUUCACCACCACGUCGUCCACGUAGACGUGGGUGUUCCUGCCGAGCUGCUUGAGGAGGCACUUCUGCAUGCAACGCUGAAAGGUGGCGCCGGCAUUCCUUAAGCCGAACGUCAUGGUGAGGUAGCAGAAGGCUCCAAAUAGCGUGAUGAAGGUGGUCUUCAGUCUGUCAGCCGGGUUCAGCUUGAUCUGGUGAUAUCCUGAGUAUGCAUCCAAAAAACUCAACAGCUCGCAUCCGGCUGUGGAGUCCAUCACCUGAUCGAUUCUUGGUAGAGCAAAUGGGUCCUUGGGGCAGGCCUUGUUGAGGCUCGUGUAGUCAAUACACAUUCACCACUUCUUGUUCUUCUUCAGUACCAGGACUGGAUUUGCUAGCCAUUCUGGAAAGAACACUUCCGUAAUGAAGUCGGCUGCUAGGAGUCGGGCUAUCUCUUCUCCGACAACUCUUCUCUUCUCUUCUGAUAAGCGGCGCUGGGGUUGCCUGACCGGCUUUGCAUCAGAUCGGACAUGUAACUUGUGCUCGGCGAAUUCCAUCGGUACACAUGGCAUGUCUUUGGGGGACCAUGCGAAGAUGUCCCGAUUCUCACGGAGGAAAUCGAUGAGCUCGCCUUCCUAUUUGCUGUCGAGGUUUGCACCUACGAUGGCGUACCUCUCUGGGUGCUCCGGAUCCAAGGGUAUCUUCUUUGGCUCUUUGGCCGGCUUGAACGAACCCUCAGCCUCCGACUCUUUUGGGUUGGGCGAUAUCUCAGGCUGCUUGUCGGCCAUCGCCACAACUCGCUCAAGGAGCCGCUUCUCGACCGCGAUUACCAGGGACUCAGCCAGCCGACUACUCUCAGCCGCGCAAGCAGACGACUUCCGAUAGUCGCCAGGCACAAUCAGAAUUCCCCUGGAACUGGGCAUCUUCAUCUUGAGGUAGGCAUAGUGGGGGACCGCCAUGAACUUGGCCAAGGUGGGUCGGCCAAGCAGCGCAUGGUAUGGGCUCUUAGGGUCCACCACCUCAAACCAAAUAGACUCUUUGCGGAAGUGAUCUUUGUCUCCAAAGAGGACGUCCAUCAGGAUCUUGCCGAUUGGCGAGCAGGAAAGCCCAGGAACAAUGCCGUGGAACAUAGUUCGGCUGUUCUGAAGCUGUCUUUGCUUGAUUCCUAACUUCUCCAUGGUGUCCUUGUACAGGAUAUUGAUGUUGCUGCCUCCGUCUAUCAGAACUCACGAGAAACGCACGGCUCGUCUGUCCGUAGCAAAGGAGGCGUCCAGGACCAAGGCAUAGGAGCCCGGACUCGGCAUUACUUCUGGGUGGUCAGCCCUGCUCCAGCUGAUGGGCUUCUCGGACCAGUGCAUGAACUCUGGCGUCUCCGACGCUACUGCAUUCACCUCUUGUCGCUGCAGCCGCCUGCUGCGUCGAUCAUCAGCCACACUGAUGAACACCACAUAGGCUCCGUGCUCUUCAGGGUAUUCAUCUUGUACCACGCCGACUGGCCUGAUAGCCGGCUGCUAGGGCGGCAGCGGAGGCGGCUGCCCAGCAGGCGGGGGAGGCAGGAGGCCAUCUCCCUUGGCGAUCCUGGUGAGCCAGUGGCACUUCCGGUUGGUGUGAUUUGACGGCUUUGUGCCGCUAUGGAACUUGCAAGGUCCAUCCAAGGUCUGCUCAUAGGAGAAGGCCGGCAACCAGUUUGGCUUGCCGCCUUUCUGUUGCUUGGGCGGAGGCUGCUCAUCUGGCUGUUGGGCUUCAACGGUCGUGACUUGCCGGCUGCUGGAAGCCGGCUGCACGGCCUUGCGCUUGUGGUCGCCCUGCUGUUGUCGCCGGUUGGCGUCUGCCGCCGGAGUUCUUGGAUCUUGAGGAGCCACUUUGCCAGUUGUGCUGAUUUGAAUCUCCGCCUUCAUGGAGGAGUCAGCCGUGGCGUACUUGUCCGCUAUGAUCAGCAGCUCGUCGAGGGUUUCUGGCUCGUCGUAGAGGAGCUUGUGCUUGAGGAGGGUGCCUUCUCUGCACCCGGCUGUGAAGUACUCGAUGGCCUGCACCUCGUGCACGCCCUCACAGGAGUUCCGAAGCUCGGCCCAACACGUGAGGUAAUCGCGAGUCGACUCAUCGGGGCCUUGCACGCACAAGGAGAGCUGACGGGGCUUGGGAGGACGCUUGUACGUGCUGGUGAAGUUGCGGACGAACGCUUUGGUGAAGUCGACCCAGCUGCGGGGCUUUAGGCUGUUCAGCCAUGUCCGGGCCGUGCCCUGGAGCAUGAGCAGAACGUACUUGACGGCGUCACGCUUGUUGCCGUUUUCUAUGCUGACAGCCGUGGAGUAGUCCACUAGCCAGUCUUCUGGCUUCACGGAGCCGGUAUACUUGGGCGUGUCUCUUGGGAGCGUGAACCCUCUGGGAAAGGGCUCGUCUCGAAUGCGGGGCCCAAAGCAAGGCGGACCCAGCUCGUCUUCUUCUUCCAGCGCCAGGGAUCGGUGAAGCCGGUCGAUCCGGUGGCGAGCGUCAUUCUCUACAACUCCCUCUCGGCGGCCAAGGCGGUCGCCGAGAGUUAGAUGAUCAACAGGCGGCGGGGAGACUCGCCUCUCCUUGCGAGGAGGGGGAGGCGGACAGUCGUCCCGUCGUUCCACUGCCCUCGGGCGGCCGUCUGUGUCGCGCUCUAUGGUAAUGCGAGUCCGACUGUGGCUGAUAGUCGGCUCCUUGUCUCUUCUUCCUCGGGCGCCGCCAGUCGGCUUCUGAGACAUCGCGCCUUAAUCUCGGUGAAGGUCGUCGUUUGGCCGCUGCGUGCCUCCGUGCGGCAGCCAUCCUCGUUCUGCGCGGCGGCCGCGUCGAGGAGCCGCUGGACUCGCUCCAUCAUGAGGCGGCAUUCUUCACCCUCGAAAUUGUCCAGCUCAUCCGCCGCUGCCUGGGCGGCUCCGAUGUUCUCCGCUGGUGUAGCGUACACGGGGUGGCUUGCCCCAAACAGGUUGGCGAUGGCUACGCCGUGCUGUUGGACCGUGCCAAGGCGGCUGGGCCCCGCCGGGGCCGGCGAGCCGCCGACGGCGCGAUCCAUCUCCCGCUGGUAGGCUUCUGACAGGCGCCUCAUGCUGGCCAGCUUCUUCGCGCCUUCAACGAGCUGAAGGUGGCGCGCCUCCAACGUCUCUGCAUCAGCGUCUUCCGGAAUGGGCGCAGUUAGGUCCUGUAGCACCGCGCCGAGUGAGUCGUGCGCUCCUCCGCCGGGGAGCUCAUCAUGACUGAUGACUAGCACCUCGGUGAUGGUGCUUCUGUCACUCUCCGUGCAAGGGAGGGGUUCGUCGUAGACCACCACAUUGGUGGGGAAGGCGUCGAGCGACGCGGUGUCGGAGUCGACCAGCAUCGGGUCGGUGGAGCCCACAGACUCCAAGUCUACGACAGGCUCGCCAAAAACGUGGAGUUGAUCGAGGAGGCCCGCGAGGAGGCUCUCAGGGCCGCCCGUGCCUGCGUUGGAUGCAGGUUCGUCGAAGAGGCGGACCUCGCCAACAAGUUCGGCCAGGCAGCUGGUUGCGCAGGCGAUCUCAACACCGCUUAGCGCGUUGGUGCAAACUCCGUCUGGCGUGCCUGGGUGGUUGCGCUCGCCAGGGAGAAAAAGGGUUCCCGUCCAGAACAGAUCUCCGAACGGCAGUGCACCAGGCCCCACGGUGGGCGCCAAAUGUCGGGGGUUUGGUGCGACAUAUGCCAAAGGAUGGCUUAUCAUGGUGGGGGCGAGUAGAAUGUCGCCGGUGCCUGGAAACGGGAUGAGGCGAAGACAUGCACGCCGGCGAAUCUUACCCAGCUUCAGGGCUCUCCGAGGAGAUAAUACCCCUACUGCUGCUCUGCGGGGUCUCCGCAUGAUCACUAUGGCAAGGUGUUUACACGGUUGCUCCUUGAGCUGUUUCUAGGAGGUAGGAGAGGGCAAGGCUAGCUCUCUCCCUUCUAUAUGAUCUGGUCUAGAGCUAAUGGGUUCCAACCUUUUGCAUGGGUGCCCUGGGGGAUUUAUAUAGGCCUACCCCCCAGGGGUACAAUGGUAAUCCGGCUGGACACGGGCCCAGCCGUCAGCGCCUCCGGCCUCCGUCUUCUCUGCCGACCGCUGGGGCCCGCCGGCUGGCGGGCCCCGCUGACUGGCCUGGUACGGAGCCGACAUGCCGCGUCCGCCGCGGACGGGUCUUGCCGGCUGCUGGUUACUGUAGCCGUGCUUCUGAUGACGCGGGCUUGAUCAUGGGGUCGUGGCAACAGCCCCGCCGCCUGGCGGGCGAUCACUAUUGCCACUCUCCAUCACAUCUUGAUUAAUGGUGCGUGGGCCCCGGGGGAGGGCUCGACCGACUCCCCCAGGCCGACUUUCGACGGGUCCGACUAGUGGUCCUCCUGCCGUCUCUUGGAGUCUCACCAUCUGGUGGGACCCACCGCCUCUGAGCCGUACAGACAAGCCAUCGUGGGUGCAGGAUUCGGUCCUGCGGUGCUGAUGUAAGGGCCGGCACGGCAACAGUGCCACGCCGCACGGAGAUCUUCCGGGGUACAGCGUGCUGUGGCCAUGCCCGCCCUUGGUAAGGGGGGAGUGGGCUUCACUAUAGCCACUCCCCUACCCCGUCCCCCUUGACGAGGUAACGGGGUUUGUUGGAAUCGCAGGCCGACUCCCCAAAGCCGGCUUCUCCGGAAGUCGCCAGUCAGGAGUCGGCUUACCCUGCGGUCGUCCCUGGGACUCGGCCGCGAGUGGUCAGUCGGCCAUCUUGUCGUGGACUUCUUGAAGGCGGCUCUCCGUCCUGGGGUCUUGAGGGGCGCAUCCUGCUCCGAUGUCUUGAAAGGUUCUGGGGCUCGGGUGGGCCUACCUGUGGCCCAUUACUCCGACACCAGUACCAUAAACCCACCAUAUACCUUCCUCAAAACAGCCACCAUACCUACCUAGCAUGGCAUUUCCAUAGCCAAUCCGAGAUAUAUUGCCAUGCAACUUCCAUCAUCAUCAUAUACAUGACUUGAGCAUUCACUGUCAUAUUGCUUUGCAUGAUCGUAAGAUAGCUAGCAUGAUGUUUUCAUGACUUGUCCAUUUUUUGAUGUCAUUGCUACGCUACAUCAUUGCACAUCCCGGUACACCACCGGAGGCAUUCAUAUAGAGUCAUAUCUUUGUUCUAGUAUCGAGUUGUAAUAUUGAUUUGUAAGUAAAUAAAAGUGUGAUGAUCAUCAUUAUUAGAGCAUUGCCCCACUGAGGAAAGGAUGAUGGAGACUAUGAUUCCCCCACAAGUCGGGAUGAGACUCUGGACUUUAAAAAUGAAUAAAAGAGGCCAAAGAAGCCCAAGUAAAAAAAGAGAGGCCAAAGAAGCCCACCAAAAAAACAAAAAAAAUGAGAGAAAAAGAGAGAAGGGGCAAUGUUACUAUCCUUUUACCACACUUGUGCUUCAGGGUAGCACCAUGUUCUUCAUAUAGAGAGACUCUUGAGUUAUCACUUUCAUAUACUAGUGGGAAUUUUCAUUAUAGAACUUGGCUUGUAUAUUCCGAUGAUGGGCUUCCUCAAACGCCCAAGGUCUUCAUGAGCAAGCAAGUUGGAUGCACACCCACUUAGUUUUCAGUCUGAGCUUUCAUACACUUAUAGCUCUUAGUGCAUCCGUUGCAUGGCAAUCCCUACUCACUCACAUUGAUAUCUAUUGAUGGGCAUCUCCAUAGCCUGUUGAUACACCUAGUUGAUGUGAGACUAUCUUCUCCUUUUUGUCUUCUCCACAAUCACCAUUCUAUUCCACCUAUAGUGCUAUGUCCAUGGCUCACGCUCAUGUAUUGCGUGAAAGUUGAAAAGGUUUGAGAACGUCAAAAGUAUGAAACAAUUGCUUGGCUUGUCAUCGGGGUUGUGCAUGAUGUGAAUAUUUUGUGUGGUGAAGAUGGAGCAUAGCCAGACUAUAUGAUUUUGUAGGGAUAACUUUCUUUGGCCAUGAUAUUUUGAAAAGACGUGAUUGCUUUAUUAGUAGGCUUGAAGUAUUAUUGUUUUUAUGUCAAAUGAUAGACUAUUGCUUUGAAUCACUCGUGUCUUAAUAUUCAUGCCAUGAUUAGAUUAUGUGAUCAAGCUUAUGCUAGGUAGCAUUCCACAUCAAAAAUUAUCUUUUUAUCAUUUACCUACUCGAGGACGAGCAGGAAUUAAGGCUGGGGGUGCUGAUACGUCUCCGUCGUAUCUAUAAUUUUUGAUUAUUCCAUGCCAAUAUUCUACAACUUUCAUAUACUUUUGGAAACUUUUUAUACUAUUUUUGGGACUAACAUAUUGAUCCAGUGCCCAGUGCCAGUUCUUGUUUGUUGCAUGUUUGUUGUUUCACAGAAUAUCCAUAUCAAACAGGGUCCAAACGGGCGUAGAUUAUCUUUGGAAUAUUCGGGGAAUAUGGGAAGAAAAAUCCAGGCGAGACGGUUCCUGAGGGGGCAUGAGGCAGGGGGGCACUCCCCACCCCCUGGGCGCGCCCUUGACCCUCGUGGGCGCCCUGUAAGGCGGUUAAUGCUAUUCUUUUGCCGCAAGAAAGCUAAUUUUCAGGAAAAAAUCUCGAUGAAGAUUUCAGUCCAAUCAGAGUUAUGGAUCUCCAUAUAUAUACGAAACGGUGAAAGGGCGGCCGGGGGGAACGCGGAAAAAGAGAGAGACAGAGAGACAGAUCCAAUCUCAGAGGGGCUCUCGCCCCUCCCACGCCAUGGAGACCAAGGACCAGAUGGGAAACCCUUCUCCCAUCUAGGGAGAAGGUCAAGUAAUAAGAAGAAGGAGGAGGGCUCUCUCCCCCUCUCUUCCGGUGGUGCCGGAACGCCGCCGGGGCCAUCAUCAUCACCGCAAUCUACACCAACAACUUCACUGCCAUCAUCACCAACUCUUCCCCCCUCUAUACAGCGGUGUAACCCCUCUUUUCCCGUUGUAAUCUCUACUUAAACAUGGUGCUCAACGCUAUAUAUUAUUUCCCAAUGAUGUAUGGCUAUCCCAUGAUGUUUGAGUAGAUCCAUUUUGUCCUAUGGGUUAAUUGAUGAUCGUGAUUAGUUUGAGUUGCAUGUUUUAUUAUUGGUUUUGUCCUAUGGUUCUCUCCGUGUCACACAAGCGUGAGGGAUCCCCGCUGUAGGGUUUGCAAUAUGUUCAUGAUUUUCUUAUGGUGGGUGGCGUGAGUGACAGAAGCACAGACCCGAGUAAAUAGGUUGUUUGUGUAUGGGAAUAAAGAGGACUUGAUACUUUAAUGCUAUGGUUGGGUUUUACCUUAAUGAUUUUUAAUAGUUGCGGAUGCUUGCUAGAGUUCCAAUCAUAAGUGCAUAUGAUCCAAGAAGAGAAAGUAUGUUAGCUUAUGCCUCUCCCUCAAAUAAAAUUGCAAUAGUGAUUACCGGUCUAGCUAUCGAUUGCCUAGGGACAAAUACCUUUCUUGUGUGACAACAAGCUCUCUACUAAACCCAACUUAGUUGUGUCUUUAUCUAAACAGCCCCUACUUUUUAUUUACGUGCUCUUUAUUAUCUUGCAAACCUAUCCAACAACACCUACAAAGUACUUCUAGUUUCAUACUUGUUCUAGGUAAAGCGAACGUUAAGCGUGCGUAGAGUUGUAUCGGUGGUCGAUAGAACUUGAGGGAAUAUUUGUUCUAACUUUAGCUCCUCGUUGGGUUCGACACUCUUACUUAUCGAAAGAGGCUACAAUUGAUCCCCUAUACUUGUGGGUUAUCACCAGCUCCCCUUUCCUUCUUCCCCUCUUCCCUUGCCUCCCCCCUCCUAGUUGGACUAGGAAAGGGGGUAACCUACUCCUAGUAGGAGUAGGAUUCCCCCCUUGGGGCGCGCCCUAUGAGGCCGACCAGCCCCCUCCUCCACUCCUUUAUAUACGGGGGAGGGGGCACCCCAUAUACACACAAGUUGAUUUGUUUGCCGUGUGCGGUGCCCCCCUCCAUAGAUUUCCACCUCGGUUAUAUUGUCGUAGUGCUUAGGCAAAGCCCUGCGUUGGUAACUUCAUCAUCACCAUCAACACGCUGUCAUGCUGAUGAAACUCUCCCUCGGCCUCAGCUGGAUCUAGAGUUCAAGGGACUUCACCGAGUUAAAUGUGUGCAGACCACGGAGGUGCCGUGCAUUUGGUAGUUCAUUUGUUGGAUCGCGAAGACGUUCGACUACAUCAACCACAUUACUCAACGCUUCCUCUUUUGGUCUAGGAGGGUACGUAGACACACUCUCCCCUCUCGUUGCUAUGCAUCUCCUAGAUAGAUCUUGCGUGAUCGUAGGAUUUUUUUUGAAAUACUGCAUUCCCCAACAGUGGCAUCCGAGCCAGGUCUUUGCGUAGAUGUUAUAUGCACGAGUAGAACACAAAGGAGUUGUGGGUGUGGGUAUAUACAUAUUGCUUUCCGUCACUAGUUGUUUCUUGAUUCGGCGGUAUUGUUGGAUGAAGCGGCCCGGACCGACAUUACAUGAUCGCGUUCAUGAGACUGGUUCUACCGAUGUGCUUUACACACAGGUGGCUGGUGGGUGUCAGUUUCUCCAACUUUAGUUGAAUUGGAUUCAAUGAACAAGGCUCUUUCUGAAGAUCAAAAGGCAAUCACUAUACCAUUUUGUGGUUUUGAUGCGUAGGUAAGAACAGUUCUUGCUAGAAGCCCGUAGCAGCCACGUAAAACUUGAAACAACAAAGUGGAGGAUGUCUAACUUAUUUUUGCAGGGCAUGUUGUGAUGUGAUAUGGUCAAGACGUGAUUAUAUAAAUUGUUGUAUGAGAUGGUCAUGUUUUGUAACACAGUUACCGGCAACUGGCAGGAGCCAUAUGGUUGUCGCUUUAUUGUAUGAAAUGCAAUCGCCAUGUAAUUGCUUUACUUUAUCACUAAGCGAUAGCGAUAGCCGUGGAAGCAAUAGUUGGCGAGACGACAACGAUGCUGCGAUGGAGAUCAAGGUGUCAGUCUAGUGACGAUGGUGAUCAUGACGGAGCUUUGGAGAUGGAUAUCAAAGGAACAAGAUGAUGAUGGCCAUAUCAUAUCACUUAUAUUGAUUGCAUGUGAUGUUUAUCCUUUAUGCAUCUUAUUUUGCUUAGUACGGCGGUAGCAUUAUAAGAUGAUCUCUCACUAAAUUUCAAGGUAUAAGUGUUCUCCCUGAGUAUGCACCGUUGCUACAGUUCGUCAUGCCGAGACACCACGUGAUCAUCGGGUGUGAUAAGCUCUAUGUUCACAUACAACGGGUGCAAUCCAGUUUUGCACAAGAAGAAUACUCGGGUUAAACUUGACGAGCCUAGCAUAUGCAGAUAUGGCCUCGAAACACUGAGACCAAAAGGUCGAGCGUGAAUCAUAUAGUAGAUAUGAUCAACAUAGUGAUGUUCACCAUUGAAAACUACUCCAUCUCAUGUGAUGAUCGGACAUGGUUUAGUUGAUAUGGAUCACGUGAUCACUUAGAUGAUUAAAGGGAUGUCUAUCUAAGUGGGAGUUCUUAAGUAAUAUGAUUAAUUGAACUUUAAAUUAUCAUGAACUUAGUAGAUGAUAGUAUUUUGCAUGUCUAUGUUGUUGUAGAUAAAUGGCCCGUGAUGUUGUUCCGUUGAAUUAUAUUGCAUUCCUAGAGAAAGCUAAGUUGAAAGAUGAUGGUAGCAACUACACGGACUGGAUCUGUAACAUGAGGAUUAUCCUCAUUGUUGCACAGAAGAAUUACGUCCUGGAAGCACCGCUAGGUGCCAAACCCGCCGCAGGAGCAACUCCAGAUGUUAUGAACACCUGGCAAAGCAAAGCUGAUGACAACUCGAUAGUUCAGUGUGCCAUUCUGUACAGCUUAGAACCGGGACUUGAACGACGUUUCGAACAUCAUCGAGCAUAUGAGAUGUUUCAGGAGUUGAAGUUAAUAUUUCAAGCAAAUGCCCGGAUUGAGAUAUAUGAAGUCUCCAAUAAGUUCUACAGCUGCAAAAUGGAGGAGAAUAAUUCUGUCAGUGAACACAUACUCAGAAUGUCUGGGUACCACAAUCACUUGACUUAGCUGGGAGUUAAUCUUCCGGUUGAUAGUGUCAUUGACAGAGUUCUUCAAUCACUGCCACCAAGCUACAAAAGCUUCAUGAUGAACUAUAAUAUGCAAGGGAUGGAUAAGACAAUUCCCGAGCUCUUCGCGAUGCUAAAGGCCGCGGAGGUAGAAAUCAAGAAAGAGCAUCAAGUGCUGAUGGUCAACAAGACCACCAGUUUCAAGAAGAAGGGCAAAGGGAAGAAGGGGAACUUCAAGAAGAACGGCAAGCAAGUUGCUGCUCAAGUGAAGAAGCCCAAGUCUAGACCUAAUCCUAAGACUGAGUGCUUCAGCUACAGAGGGACUGGUCACUGGAAGCGGAGCUGCCCCAAAUAUUUGGCGGAUAAGAACGAUGGCAAAGUGAAAGGUAUAUUUGAUAUACAUGUUGUUGAUGUGUACUUUACUAAUGCUCGCAGUAGCGCAUGUGUAUUUGAUACCGGUUCUAUUGCUAAUAUUUGCAACUCAAAACAGGGGCUAUGGAUUAAGCGAAGAUUUGCUAAGGAUGAGGUGACGAUGCGUGUGGGAAAUGGUUCCAAAGUCGAUGUGAUCACCGUCGGCAUGCUACCUCUACAUAUACCUUCGGGAUUAGUUUUAGACCUGAAUAAUUGUUAUUUGGUGCCAGUGUUAAGAAUGAACAUUAUACCUAGAUCUUGUUUGAUGCAAGACUAUUAUUCAUUUAAAUCAGAGAAUAAUGGUUGUUCUAUUUAUAUGAGUAAUACCUUUUAUGGUCAUGCACCCUUGAUGAGUGGUAUAUUUUUACUAAAUCUUGAUAGUAGUGAUACACAUAUUCAUAGUAUUGAAGAAAAAAGAUAUAAGUUUAAUAAUGAUAGUGCAACUUAUUUAUGGCACUGCCAUUUAGGUCAUAUUGGUGUAAAGCACAUGAAGAAACUCAAUGCUAAUGGGCUUUUGGAAUCACUUGAUGCUUGCGAACCAUGCCUCAUGGGCAAGAUGACUAAGGCUCCGUUUUCUAGAACAAUGGAAUGAGCAACAGACUUAUUGGAAAUAAUACAUAUUGAUGUAUGCGGUCCGAUGAGUGUUGAUGCUCAUGGCGGGUAUCGUUAUUUUCUGACCUUCAAGAAUGAUUUGAGUAGAUAUGGGUCUGUCUACUUGAUGAAACAUAAGUCUGAAACAUUUGAAAAGUUCAAAGAAUUUCAGAGUGAAGUGGAAAAUCAUCGUACCAAGAAAAUUAAGUUUCUACAAUCUGAUCGUGGAGGUGAAUAUUUGAGUUAUGAGUUUGGUCUUCAUUUGAAACAAUGCGAAAUAGUUUCACAACUCACGCCACCUGGAACACCACAGCGUAAUGGUGUGUCCGAAUGUCGUAACCGCACUUUAUUAGAUAUGGUGCGAUCAAUGAUGUCUCUUACUGAUUUACCGCUAUCAUUUUGAGGUUAUGCUUUAGAGACGGCUGCAUUCACGUUAAAUAGGGCACCAUCGAAAUCCAUUGAGAUGGCACCAUAUGAACUGUGGUUUAGCAAGAAACCCAAGUUGUCGUUUCUUAAAGUUUGGGGCUGCGAUGCUUAUGUGAAAAAGAUUCAACCUGAUAAGCUCGAACCCACAUCGGAGAAAUGUGUCUUCAUAGGAUACCUAAAGGAGACUGUUGGGUACACCUUCUAUCACAGAUCCGAAGGCAAGAUAUUCGUUGCUAAAAAUAGAUCCUUUCUAGAGAAGGAGUUUCUCUUGAAAGAAGUGAGUGGGACGAAAGUAGAACUUGAUGAGGUAAUUGUACCUGCUCCCUUAUUGGAAAGUAGUUCACCAUAGAAAUCAGUUCCAGUGAUUCCUACACCAAUUAGUGAGGAAGCUAAUGAUGAUGAUCAUGAAACUUCUGAUCAAGUUACUACCGAACCUCGUAGGUCAAACAGAGUAAGAUCCGCAUCAGAGUGAUACGGUAACCCUGUUCUGGAGGUCAUGUUACUUGACCAUGAAGAACCUACGAACUAUGAGGAAGCAAUGAUGAGCCCAGAUUCCGCGAAAUGGCUUGAGGCCAUGAAAUAUGAGAUGGGAUCCAUGUAUGAGAACAAAGUAUGGACUCUGGUUGACUUGCCCGAUGAUCGGCAAGCCAUAGAGAAUAAAUGUAUCUUCAAGAAGAAGAAUGACGCUGACGGUAAUGUUACUGUCUACAAAGCUCAACUUGUCGCGAAAGAUUUUUGAUAAGUUCAAGGAGUUGACUACAAUGAGACCUUCUCCCCCGUAGCAAUUCUUAAGUAUGUCCGAAUCAUGUUAGCAAUUGCCGUAUUUUAUGAUUAUGAAAUUUGGCAAAUGGAUGUCAAAACUGCAUUCCUUAAUGGAUAUCUUAAAGAAGAGUUGUAUAUGAUGCAACCAGAAGGUUUUGUCGAUCCAAAAGGUGCUAACAAAGUGUGUAGGCUCCAGCGAUCCAUUUAUGGACUGGUGCAAGCAUCUCGGAGUUGGAAUAUAUGCUUUGAUAGUGUGAUCAAAGCAUAUGGUUUUAUACAGUCUAUUGGAGAAGCCUGUAUUUACAAGAAAGUGAGUGGGAGCUUUGUAGCAUUUCUGAUAUUAUAUGUGGAUGACAUAUUGUUGAUUGGAAAUGAUACUGAAUUUCUGAAUAGCAUAAAAGGAUACUUGAAUAAGAAUUUUUCAAUGAAAGACCUCGGUGAAGCUGCAUAUAUAUUGGGCAUCAAGAUCUAUAGAGAUAUAUCAAGAUGCUUAAUUGGACUUUCACAAAGCACAUACCUUGAUAAAGUUUUGAAGAAGUUCAAAAUGGAUCAAGCAAAGAAAGGGUUCUUGCCUAUGUUACAAGGUGUGAAAUUGAGUCAGAAUCAAUGCUCGACCACUGUAGAAGAUAGAGAGAAAAUGAAAGUCAUUCCCUAUGCUUCAGCCAUAGGUUCUAUCAUGUAUGCAAUGUUGUGUACCAGACCUGAUCUGUGCCUUGAUAUUAGUUUAGCAGGGAGGUACCAAAGUAAUCUAGGAGUGCAUCACUGGACAGCGGUUAAGAACAUUCUGAAAUACCUGAAAAGGACUAAGGAUAUGUUUCUCGUUUAUGGAGGUGACAAAGAGCUCGUCAUAAAUGGUUAUGUCGAUGCAAGCUUUGACACUGAUCCGGAUGACUCUAAGUCACAAAUCGGAUACAUAUUUUUAUUGAAUGGUGAAACUGUUAGUUGGUGCAGUUCUAAAUAGAGCGUCGUGGCGGGAUCUACGUGUGAAGUGGAAUACAUAGCUGCUUCAGAAGCAGCAAAUGAAGGAGUCUGGAUGAAGGAGUUCAUAUCCGAUCUAGGUGUAAUACCUAGUGCAUCGGGUCCAAUGAAAAUCUUUUCUGAAAAUACUGGUGCAAUUGCCUUGGCAAAGGAAUCAGAUUUCACAAGAGAACCAAGCACAUCAAGAGACGCUUCAAUUCCAUCGGCGAUCAAGUCAAGGAAAGAGACAUAGAGAUUUGCAAGAUACAUACGGAUCUGAAUGUUGUAGACCCGUUGACUAAGCCUCUCUCACGAGCAAACCAUGAUCAGCACCAAGACUCCAUGGGUGUUAGAAUCAUUACAACGUAAUCUAGAUUAUUGACUCUAGUGCAAGUGGGAGACUGAAGAAAAUAUGCCCUAGAGGCAAUAAUAAAGUUGUUCUUUAUAUUUAUUUAUAUCAUGAUAAAUGUUUAUUAUUCAUGCUAGAAUUGUAUUAACCGGAAACUUAGUACAUGUGUGAAUACAUAGACAAAAUAGAGUGUCACUAGUAUGCCGCUACUUGACUAGCUCAUUAAUCAAAGAUGGUUAAGUUUCCUAGCCAUAGACAUGAGUUGUCAUUUGAUGAACGGGAUCACAUCAUUAGAGAAUGAUGUGAUUGACAUGACCCAUCCAUUAGAUUAGCACUUUGAUCAUUUAGUUUAUUGCUAUUGCUUUCUCCAUAACUUAUACAUGUUCCUAUGACUAAGAAUUAUGCAACUCCUGAAUACCGGAGGAACACUUAGUGUGCUAUCAAACGUCACAAUGUAACUGGGUGAUUAUAAAGAUGCUCUACAGGUGUCUCUGAUGGUGUUUGUUGAGUUGGCAUAGAUCAAGAUUAGGAUUUGUCACUCCGAUUGUCUGAGAGGUAUCUCCGAGCCCUCUCGGUAAUGCACAUCACUAUAAGCCUUGCAAGCAAUGUUACUAAUUAGUUAGUUAUGGGAUGUUGCAUUACGGAACGAGUAAAGAGACUUGCCGGUAACGAGAUUGAACUAGGUAUGAUGAUACCGACGAUCGAAUCUCGGGCAAAUAACAUACCGAUGACAAAAAGAACAAUGAAUGUUGUUAUGCGGUUUGACCGAUAAAGACAUUCAUAGGAUAUGUAGGAACCAAUAUGAGCAUCCAGGUUCUGCUAUUGGUUAUUGACCGGAGAUGAGUCUCGGUCAUGUCUACAUUGUUCUCGGCCCCGUAGGGUCCGCACGCUUAACAUUCAAUGAUGAUAUGUAUUGUGAGUUAUGUGAUAUGAUGUACCGAAGGUUGUUCGGAGUCUCGGAUGUGAUCACGGACAUGACGAGGAGUCUCGAAAUGGUCGAGACAUGAAUAUUGAUAUAUUGGAAGGUUAUGUUUGGACAACGGAAAGGUUUCAGAUAGGUUCGGGCACUUUUCGGAGUACCAGGGGGUUACCGGAACCCCCCGGGGGGGGGGGGUUAAUGGGCCUUCAUGGGCUUUAGUGGAAGAGAUAGGAGGCGGCCAAGAGGAGGGGCGCGCCUCCCCAAGCGCAAUCUGAAUUGGGGUGGGGGCCGACCCCCCCUUUCCUUCUUCCCCUCUUCCCUUUCCUUCCCCCUCCUAGUUGAACUAGGAAAGGGUGUAACCUACUCAUAGUAGGAGUAGGAUUCCCCCCUUGGGGCGCGCCCUAUGAGGCCGGUCGGCCCCCUCCUCCACUCCUUUAUAUACAGGGGAGGGGGCACCCCAUAUACACACAAGUUGAUUUCUUAGCCGUGUGCGGUGCCCCCCUCCACAGAUUUCCACCUCGGUCAUAUUGUCAUAGUGCUUAGGCGAAGCCCUGCGUCGGUAACUUCAUCAUCACCGUCAACACGCCGUCGUGCUGACAAAACUCUCCCUCGGCCUCAGCUGGAUCUAGAGUUCGAGGACGUCACCGAGCUGAACAUGUGCAGAUCGCAGAGGUGUCGUGCGUUCGGUACUUGAUUGGUUGGAUCGCGAAGACGUUCGACUGCAUCAACCGCGUUACUCAACUCUUCCGCUUUCGGUCUAUGAGGAUAUGUAGAAACAUUCUCCCCUCUCACUGCUAUGCAUCUCCUAGAUAGAUCUUGCGUGAUCGUAGGAUUUUUUUUUGAAAUACAGCGUUCCCCAACAGAUCCUAUCUCGGAUUUCAUGGCCUCAAGCCAUCUGUCGGAAUCUGGGCUCAUCAUUGCUUCUUCAUAGUUCGUAGGUUCGUCAUGGUCUAGUAACAUGACUUCCAGGAUAGGAUUACUAUACCACUCUGGUGCGGAACGUGCUCUGUUUGACCUAUGAGGUCCACUAGUAACUUGAUCCUAAGUUUCAUGAUCAUCAUCAUUAGCUUCCUCUCUAGUUGGUGUAGGCGUCACGGGAACGGAUUUCUCUGAUGUGCUACUUUCCAAAUGGAGAGAAGGUACGAUUACCUCAUCAAGCUCUACUUUCCUCCCACUCACUUUUUCGAGAGAAACUCCUUCUCUAGAAAGGUUCCAUUCUUAGCAAUAAAGAUCUUGCCUUUGGAUCUGUGGUAGAAGGUGUACCCAAUUUUUUCCUUUGGGUAUCCUAUGAAGACACACUUCUCCGAUUUGGGUUCGAGCUUAUCAGGUUGAAUCCUUUUGACAUAAGUGUCGCAACCCCAAACUUUAAGAAACGACAGCUUAGGUUUCUUUCCAAACCACAGUUCAUACGCUGUCAUCUCUACAGAUUUAGAUAGUGCCCUAUUUAACGUGAAUGCAGAUGUCUCUAAUGCAUAACCCCAAAAUGAUACUGGUAAAACGGUAAGAGACAUCAUAGAUUGCACCAUAUCUAAUAAAGUAUGGUUACGACAUUCGGACACACCAUUACGCUGUGGUGUUCCAGGUGGCGUGAGUUGUGAAACUAUUUCACAUUGUUUUAAAUGAAGGCCAAACUCGUAACUCAAAUAUUCGCCUCCGCGAUCAGGUCGUAGAAACUUUAUUUUAUUAUUACGAUGAUUCUCUACUUCAAUCUGAAAUUCUUUGAACUUUUCAAAUGUUUCAGACUUGUGUUUCAUUAAGUAGAUAUACCCAUAUCUGGUCUAAUCAUCUGUGAAGGUUAGAAAAUACCGAUACUCGGUGCGUGCCUGAACACUCAUUGGACCGCAUACAUCGGUAUGCAUUAUGUCUAAUAAGUCAUUGGCUCGCUCGAUUGUUCCGGAAAACAGAGUUUUAGUCAUCUUGCCCAUGAGGCAUGGUUCGCAAGUAUCAAAUGAUUCAUAAUCAAGUGAUUCCAAAAGUCCAUCUACAUGGAGUUUCUCCAUGCGCUUUACACCAAUAUGACCUAAAAUGCAGUCCCACAAAUAUGUUGCACUAUCAUUAUCAGCUUUGCAUCUUUUGGCAUCAAUAUUAUGAAUAUGUAUAUCACUACAAUCGAGAUUCAACAAAAAUAGACCACUCUUCAAGGGUGCACGACCAUAAAAAAUAUUACUCAUAUAAAUAGAACAACCAUUAUUCUCUGAUUUAAAUGAAUAACCGCCUCGCACUAAACAAGAUCCAGAUAUAAUGUUCAUGCUCAAUGCUGGCACCAAAUAACAAUUAUUCAGGUCUAAAAUUAAUCCCAAAGGUAGACCUAGAGGUAGCAUGCCGACGGCGAUCACAUCGACCUUGGAACCAUUCCCGAUGCGCAUCUUCACCUCGUCCUUAGCCAAUUUUCGUUUAAUUCGUAGCUCCUGUUUUGAGUUAUAAAUAUGAGCAACCGAACUAGUAUCAAAUACCCAGGCGCUACUGCGAGCAUUAGUAAGGUACACAUCAAUAAUAUGUAUAUCAAAUAUACCUUUGUUCACUUUGCCAUCCUUCUUAUCCGCCAAAUACUUGGGGCAGUUCCGCUUUCUAUGACCAGUUCCUUUGUAGUAGAAGCGCUCAGUUUUAGGCUUGGGUCCAGCUUUGGGCUUCUUCCCGAGAGUGGCAACUUGCUUGCCAUUCUUCUUGAAGUUCCUCUUCUUUCCCUUGACCUUUUUCUUGAAACUAGUGGUCUUGUUAACCAUCAACACUUGAUGCUCCUUCUUGAUUCCUACCUCCGCAACUUUGAGCAUUGUGAAGAGCUCAGUAAUUGUCUUGUCCAUCCCUUGCAUAUUAUAGUUCACCAUGAAGCCUUUCUAGCUUGGUGGCAGUGAUUGAAGAACUCUGUCAAUAACACUAUCAACUGGAAGAUUAACUCCCAGCUGAGUUAAGUGAUUAUGAUACUCAGACAUUUUGAGUAUGUGUUCGAUGACAAAACUACUCUCCUCCAUCUUGCAGCUAUAGAACUUGUUGGAGACUUCAUAUCUCUCAACCCAGGCAUUUGCUUCAAAUAUUAACUUCAACUCUUGGAACAUCUCAUAUGCUCCAUGACGUUCAAAACGUCUUUGAAGUCCUGGUUCUAAGUCGUAAAGCAUGGCACACUGAACUAUCAAGUAGUCAUCAGAUCGAGCUUGCCAGACAUUCAACCAGCAUCUGCUCUUGUAGCAGGCCUUUCACCUAGCGGUGCAUCAAUGACAUAAUUCUUCUAUGUAGCAAUGAGGAUAAUCCUCAAGUAAUGGACCCAGCCCGUGUAGUUGCUACCAUCAUCUUUCAACUUAGCUUUCUCUAGGAACGCAUUAAAAUUCAGGGGAUCGGUAGCACGGGCCAUUGAUCUACAACAUAGAUAUGCAAAUACUAUUAGGACUAAGUUCAUGAUGAAUUAAGUUCAAUUAAUCAAAUUACUAAAGAACUCCCACUGAAAUAGACAUCCCUCAAGUCAUCUAAUUGAUAAUUGAUCCAAAUCAACUAACCCAUGUCCGAUCAUCAUGUGAGAUGGGGUAGUCAUCAAUGGUGAACAUCUCUAUGUUGAUCAUAUCUACUAUAUGAUUCACGUUCGACCUUUGGGUCUCCAAUGUUCCGAGGCCAUGUUUGUACAUUCUAGGCUUGUCAAGUUUAACCCAAAUAUUCCGCAUGUGCAAAACUGUCUUGCACCUGUUGUAUGUGAACGUAGAGUCUAUCACAGCCGAUCAUCACCCAGUGCAUACUCAGGGAGAACACUUUUCCCUUGAAAUUUAGUGAAGGGAUCAUCUUAUAAUGCUAUCGCCGUACUAAGCAAACUAAGAUGCAUAAAGAUAAACAUCACAUGCAAUCAAAAUAUGUGACAUGAUAUGGCCACCAUCAUCUUGUGCUUUUGAUCACCAUCUCCAAAGCAUCGUCAUGAUCUCAAUCGUCACCGGCUCGACACCUUGAUCUGCAUCGUUGUGUCAUGGUCAUCUCGCCAACUAUUGCUUCCACAACUAUCGCUAACGCAUAGUGAUAAAGUAAAGCAAUUACAUGGCGUUUGCAUUUCAUACAAUAAAGAGACAACCAUAAGGCUCCUGCUAGUUGCCGAUAACUUACAAAACAUGAUCAUUUCAUACAAUAACGUAUAUCACAUCAUGUCUUGACCAUAUCACAUCACAACAUACCCUGCAAAAACAUGUUAGACGUCCUCUACUUUGUUGUUGCAAGUUUUUACGUGGCUGCUACGGGCUUCUAGCAAGAAUCAUUCUUAUCUACGGCAAAAACCACAACGGUGAUUCAUCAAGUUUGUUAUUUUAACCUUCUUCAAGGACUGGACAUAGUCAAAUUUGAUUCAACUAAAGUAGGAGAAACAGACACCCGCCAGCCACCUUUAUGCAAAACUAGUUGCAUGCCUGCCGGUGGAACCGGUCUCAUGUGCAUGGACAUGCAAGGUUGGUCCGGGACGCUUCAUCCCACAAUACCAUCGAAUCAAAAUAAGACAUUGGUGGUAAGCAGCAUUGCUACCUCUUGAGCACUGCGUUGGUUUUCCCCGAAGAGGAAGGGAUGAUUUAGCAAAGUAGCGUAAGUAUUUCCUUCAGUUUUUGAGAACCAAGGUAUCAAUCUAGUAGGAGGCUACGCGCCAGUCCCUCGUACAUGCACAAAACAAAUAAAUCCUCGCAACCAACGCGAUAAGGGGUUGUCAAUCCCUACACGGCCACUUACGAGAGUGAGAUCUGAUAGAUAUGAUAAGAUAAUAUUUUUGGUAUUUUUGUGAUAAAUAUGCAAAGUAAAGUAAAAAAGCAAAGUAAAAAAGCAAAGGAAAUAACUAAGCAGUAGGAGAUUAAUAUGAUGAAGAUAGACCCGGGGGCCAUAGGUUUCACUGGUGGCUUCUCUAAGAGCAUAAGUAUUCUACGAUGGGUGAACAAAUUAUUGUGGAGCAAUUGACAGAAUUGAGCAUAAUUAUGAGAAUAUCUAGGCAUGAUCAUGUAUAUAGGCAUCACGUCCGAGACAAGUACACCGACUCCUGCCUGCAUCUACUACUAUUACUCCACUCAUCGACCGCUAUCCAGCAUGCAUCUAGAGUAUUAAGUUAAUGAAAACAGAGUAACGCCUUAAGCAAGAUGACAUGAUGUAGAGGGAUAAACUCAUGCAAUAUGAUGAAAACCCCAUCUUGUUAUCCUCGAUGGCAACAAUACAAUACGUGCCUUGCUGCCCCUACUGUCACUGGGAAAGGACACCGCAAGAUUGAACCCAAAACUAAGCACUUCUCCCAUUACAAGAAAGAUCAAUCUAGUAGGCCAAACCAAACUGAUAAUUCUAAGAGGCUUGCAAAGAUAUCAAAUCAUACAUAAAAGAAUUUAGAGAAGAUUCAAAUAUUGUUCAUAGAUAGACUUGAUCAUAAACCCACAAUUCAUCGGCAACAAACACACCGCAAAAAGAAGAUUACAUCAAAUAGAUCUCCACAAGAGAGGGGGAGAACAUUGUAUUGAGAUCCAAAAAGAGAGAAGAAGCCAUCUAGAUACUAACUAUGGACCCGUAGGUCUGAGGUGAACUACUCACACUUCAUCGGAGGGGCUAUGGUGUUGAUGUAGAAGCCCUCCGUGAUCGAUGCCCCCUUCGGCGGAGCUCCAGAACAGGCCCCAAGAUGGGAUCUCGUGGAUACAGAAAGUUGCGGCGGUGGAAUUAGGCUUUUGGAUCCGUAUCUGAUUGUUUUGGGGUACGUAGGUAUAUAUAGGAGGAAGGAGUACGUCGGUGGAGAAACAGGGGGCCACGAUGGUGGAGGGCGCGCCUGGGGUGGGUAGGCGCGCCCCCUACCUCGUGGCCUCCUCUUUUGUGUCUUGACGUAGGGUCCAAGUCUCCUGGGUCUUGUUCGUUGAGAAAAUCACGUUCCCGAAGGUUUCAUUCCGUUUGGACUCCGUUUGAUAUUCCUUUUCUCCGAAACCCUAAAAUAGGCAAAAAAACAACAAUUCUGGGUUGGGCCUCCGAUUAAUAGGUUAGUCCCAAAAAUAAUAUAAAAGUGGAUAAUAAAGCCCAAUAAUGUCCAAAACAGUAGAUAAUAUAGCAUGGAGCAAUCAAAAAUUAUAGAUAUGUUGGAGACGUAUCAAGCAUCCCCAAGCUUAAUUCCUGCUCAUCCUCGAGUAGGUAAAUGAUAAAAACAGAAUUUUUGAUGCGGAGUGCUACUUGGCAUAAUUUUAAUGUAAUUCUUCUUAAUUGUGGUAUGAAUAUUCAGUUCCGAAAGAUUCAAGACAAAAGUUCAUAUUGACAUAAAAAUAAUAAUACUUCAAGCAUACUAACAAAGCAAUUAUGUCUUCUGAAGAUAACAUGGCCAAAGAAAGUUCAUCCCUACAAAAUCAUAUAGUUUAGUCAUGCUCCAUUUUUGUCACACAAGAAUGCUCUCAUCAUGCACAACCCUGAUGACAAGCCAAGCAAUUGUUUUAUACUUUAGUAAUCUCAAACCUAUAAACUUUCAUGCAAUAUAUGAGCGCGAACAAUGGACAUAGCACUAUGGGUGGAAUAGAAUAUAAUGAGGGGGGUUAUGUGGAGAAAACAAAAAGGAGAAAGUCUCACAUCAACGAGGCUAAUCAAUGGGCUAUGGAGAUGCCCACCGAUUGAUGUCAAUGCAAGGAGUAGGGAUUGCCAUGCAACGGAUGCACUAGAGCUAUAAAUGUAUGAAAAUUCAACAAAAGAAACUAAGUGGGUGUGCAUCCAACUUGCUUGCUCACGAGGACCUGGGGCACUUGAGGAGGCCCAUUGUUGGAAUAUACAAGCCAAGUUCUAUAAUGAAAAUUCCCACUAGUAUAUGAAAGUGACAAAACAAGAGACUCUCUAUCAUGAAGAUUAUGGUGCUACUUUGAAGCACAAGUGUGGCAAAGGAUAGUAACAUUGUCCCUUCUCUCUUUUUCUCUCAUUUUUUGGGGCCUUCUCUUUUUUUAUGGCCUUUCUCUUUUUUUGGGCCUUCUAUUUUUUAUGGCCUUUUCUUUUUUUCUUUUUUUCCUCACUUGGGACAAUGCUCUAGAAAAUGAUGAUCAUCACACUUCUAUUUAUUUACAACUCAAUGAUUACAACUCGAUGCUAGAACAAAAGAUGACUCUAUAUGAAUGCCUCCGGCGGUGUACCAGGAUAUGCAAUGAACCAAGAGUGACAUGUAUGAAAGAAUUAUGAACGGUGGCUUUGCCACAAAUACUAUGUCAACUACAUGAUCAUGCUAAGCAAUAUGACAAUAAUGAAUGUGUCAUGAUAAACGGAAUGGUGGAAAGUUGCAUGGCAAUAUAUCUCGGCAUGGCUAUGGAAAUGCCAUAAUAGGUAGGUAUGGUGGCUGUUUUGAGGAGGAUAUAAGGAAGUUUAUGUGUGAAAGAGCGUAUCAUAUCACGGGGUUUGGAUGCACCAGCAAAGUUUGCGCCAACUCUCAAUGUGAGAAAGGGCAAUGCACGGUACCGAAGAGGCUAGCAAGGAUGGAAGGGUGAGAGUGCGUAUAAUCCAUGGACUCAACGUUAGUCAUAAAGAACUCACAUACUUAUUGCAAAAAUCUACAAGUCAUCAAAAACCUCGGCACUACGUGCAUGCUCCUAGGGGGAUAGAUUGGUAGGAAAAGACCAUCGCUCAUCCCUGACCGCCACUCAUAAGGAGGACAAUCAAAUAACACCUCAUGUUUCAAAUUUGUUACAUAACGUUUACCAUACGUGCAUGCUAUGGGACUUGCAAACCUCAACACAAGCAUUUCUCAAUUUCACAACUACUCAACUAGCACGACUUUGAUAUUAUUACCUCCAUAUCUCAAAACAAUCAUCAAGCAUCAAACUUUUCUUAGUACUCAAAACACUCAUAAGAAAUUUUACUAAUCUUGAAUACCUAGCAUAUUAGGAUUUUAAGCAAAUUACCAUGCUAUUUAAGACUCUCAAAAUAAUCUAAGUGAAGCAUGAGAGAUCAAUAGUUUCUAUAAAACAAAUCCACCACCGUUCUCUAAAAGAUAUAAGUGAAGUACUAGAGCAAAACUAUAUAACUCAAAAGAUAUAAGCAAAGCACAUAGAGUAUUCUAACAAAUUCCAAAUCAUGUAUGGCUCUCUCAAAAGGUGUGUACAUCAAGGAUGAUUGUGGUAAACUAAAAAGUAAAGACUCAAAUCAUACAAGACGCUCCAAGAAAAACACAUAUCAUGUGGCGAAUAAAAAUAUAGCUCCAAGUAAAGUUACUGAUAAAGUACACGAAAGAGGGGAUGCCUUCCGGGGCAUCCCCAAGCUUUGGCUUGUAGGUGUCCUUAGAUUAUCUUGGGGGUGCCAUGGGCAUCCCCAAGCUUAGGCUCUUUCCACUCCUUGUUCCAUAAUCCAUCAAAUCUUUACCCAAAACUUGAAAACUUCACAACACAAAACUCAAAGUAGAAAAUCUCGUGAGCUCCGUUAGCGAAAGAAAACAAAAGACCACUUCAAGGUACUGUAAUGAACUCAUUCUUUAUUUAUAUUGGUGUUAAACCUACUUUAUUCCAACUUCUCUAUGGUUUAUAAACUAUUUUACUAGCCAUAGAUUCAUCAAAAUAAGCAAACGACACACGAAAAACAGAAUCUGUCAAAAACAGAACAGUCUGUAGUAAUCUGUAGCUAGCGCAAGAUCUGGAACCCCAAAAAUUCUAAAAUAAAUUGCAGGACGUGAGGAAUUUAUCUAUUAAUCAUCUGAAAAAAUAAUUAACUAAAUAUCACUUUCCAAAUAAAAAUGGCAGCAGUUCUCGUGAGCGCUAAAGUUUCUGUUUUUUACAGCAAGUGUAACAAGACUUUCCCCAAGUCUUCCCAACGGUUCUACUUGGCACAAACACUAAUUAAACACAAAAAAAUACAACCAAAACAGAGGAUAUAUAAAUUAUUUAUUGAUAAACUGGAUAAAAAAUCAAGGAAUAAAAAUAAAAUUGGGUUGCCUCCCAACAAGCGCUAUUGUUUAACGCCCCUAGCUAGGCAUAACAAGCAAGGAUAGAUCUAGGUAUUGCCAUAUUUGGUAGGCAAUACAUAAGUGGCUCUCAUGAUUGAUUCAUAAGGUAAUUUAAUUUUCUUUCUAGGAAAGUGUUCCAUGCCUUUCCUUAAUGGAAAUUGGAAUCUAAUAUUUCCUUCCUUCAUAUCAAUAAUUGCACCAAUCGUUCUAAGGAAAGGUCUACCAAGAAUAAUAGGACAUGAAGGAUUGCAAUCUAUGUCAAGAGCAAUAAAAUAUACGGGCACAUAAUUCCUAUUUGCAACAAUAAGAACAUCAUUAAUUCUUCCCAUAGGUUUCUUAAUAGUGGAAUCCUCAAGGUGCAAGUUUAGAGAGCAAUCAUCAAAAUCACGGAAACCUAACAAAUCACACAAAGUCUUUGGAAUCGUGGAAACACUAGCACCCAAAUCACAUAAAGAAUAGCAUUCAUGAUAUUUAAUUUUAAUUUUAAUAGUUAGUUCCCACUCAUCAUAAAUUUUUCUAGGGAUAAAAACUUCCAAUUCAAGUUUUUCUUCAUAAGAUUGCAUCAAGGCAUCAACGAUAUGUUUAGUAAACGCUUUAUUUUGACGAUAAGCGUGAGGAUAAUUUAGCACGGAUUGCAACAAGGAAAUACAAUAAAUCAAAGAGCAAUUUUCAUAGUUAAAUUCCUUGAAAUCCAUAAUAGUGGGUUUAGCAAUAUCUAGGGUUUUAAUUUCUUCAAUCCCACUUUUAUCAAUUUUAGCAUCAAGAUCAAAAAAUUCUGAAUUCUUGGAAUGCCUUCUAGGUAAAGGUGGAUCAUAUUCAGUCCCAUCAUUAUCAAGAUUCAUAUUGCAAAACAAAGAUUUAAUAGGGGACACAUCAAUAACUUUUAGAUCUUCAUCUUUAUUUUCAUAGGAACUAGGAGAACACGCUCUUAUAAAGGCAUCUUUCUUAGCACGCAUCCUAGCGGUUCUUUCUUUGCACUCAGCAAUGGAAAUUCUCAUGGCUUUGAGAGACUCAUUGAUAUCAUGCUUAGGUGGAAUAGAUCUGAGUUUCAAAGAAUCAACAUCAAGAGAAAUUUUAUCAACGUUCCUAGCCAGCUCAUCAAUCUUAAGCAAUUUUUCUUCAAUCAAAGCAUUAAAAUUCUUUUGCAAAGUAAUAAAAUUUUUAAUAUUAGAUUCAAAAUCAGAGGUCAUAUUAUUAUAAUUUCCAUAAGAAUUGUUGUAGGAAUUACCAUAAUUAUUCGAGGGAUUACUAGGAAAAAGCCUAGGAUUGAAAUUUCCUCUAUAUGCGUUGUUACAAAAAUUGUUCCUACCAACAAAAUUCACAUCCAUAGAUUCAUUAUUAUUCUCAAUCAAAGUAGACAAGGGCAUAUCAUUAGGAUCAGAAGAAACACUCUUAAUUACUAGCAAAUAAUUUCAUAAGUUCAUCCAUCUUUCCACUCAAAACAUUAAUUUCUUCUAACGCAUGCACCUUUUUAUUAGUAGAUCUUUCAGUAUGCCAUUGAGAAUAAUUAACCAUGAUAUUAUCUAGGAUUUAGUAGCUUCUCCUAAAGUGAUUUCCAUAAAAGUGCCUCCCGCGGCCGAAUCUAAAAGAUUUCUAGAAGCAAAAUUCAAUCCGGCAUAAAUUUUUUGUAUAAUCAUCCACAAAUUUAAACCAUGAGUAGGGCAAUUACGUAUCAUUAGUUUCAUUCUCUCCCAAGCUUGUGCAACAUGUUCAUGAUCAAGUUGCAUAAAAUUCAUAAUAUCAUUUCUAAGAGAGAUGAUCUUAGCGGGAGGAAAAUACUUAGAGAUAAAAGCAUCUUUGCACUUGUUCCAUGAAUCAAUAAUAUUUUUAGGCAAAGACGAAAACCAAGCUUUAGUACGAUUUCUAAGCGAAAAAGGAAAUAGCUUCAAUUUAACAAUAUCAUUAUCCACAUCUUUCUUCUUUUGCAUAUCACACAAAUCAACGAAGCUAUUUAGAUGGGUAGCGGCAUCUUCACUAGGAAGGCCGGAAAAUGGAUCUUUCAUGACAAGAUUCAGCAAAGCAGUAUUAAUUUCACAAGAUUCAGCAUCGGUAAGAGGAGCAAUUGUAGUGCUAAUAAAAUCACUGUUGUUGGUAUUGGUGAAGUCACACAAUUUAGUGUUAUCUUGAGCCAUCGUGACAAACAAGCAAACUAACACACAAGCAAACAAAAAGCAAGUGGGCAAAAAGAGGCAAAAAGAGAUAGAGAGUGAGGAUAGAGAGAGAGGGCGAAUAAAACGGCAAGGGUGAAGUGGGGGAGAGGAAAACGAGAGGCAAAUGGCAAAUAAAUGUAAUGCGGGAGAUAAGGGUAUGUGAUGGGUACUUGGUAUAUUGACUUUUGCGUAGACCUCCCCGGCAACGGUGCCAGAAAUCCUUCUUGCUACCUCUUGAGCACUGCGUUGGUUUUCCCCGAAGAGGAAGGGAUGAUGCAGCAAAGUAGCGUAAGUAUUUCCCUCAGUUUUUGAGAACCAAGGUAUCAAUCCAGUAGGAGGCUACGCGCCAGUCCCUCGUACCUACACAAAACAAAUAAAUCCUCGCAACCAACGCGAUAAGGGGUUGUCAAUCCCUACACAGCCACUUACGAUAGUGAGAUCUGAUAGAUAUGAUAAGAUAAAUUUUUUGGCAUUUUUGUGAUAAAGAUGCAAAGUAAAGUAAAAGCAAAGUAAAAAAGCAAAGGAAAUAACUAAGCAGUAGGAGAUUAAUAUGAUGAAGAUAGACCCGGGGGCCAUAGGUUUCACUAGUGGCUUCUCUCGAGAGCAUAAGUAUUCUACGGUGGGUGAACAAAUUACUGUUGAGCAAUUGACAGAAUUGAGCAUAAUUAUGAGAAUAUCUAGGCAUGAUCAUGUAUAUAGGCAUCACGUCCGAGACAAGUAGACCGACUCCUGCCUGCAUCUACUACUAUUACUCCACUCAUCGACCGCUAUCCAGCAUGCAUCUAGAGUAUUAAGUUAAUGAAAACAGAGUAAUGCCUUAAGCAAGAUGACAUGAUGUAGAGGGAUAAACUCAUGCAAUAUGGUGAAAACCCCAUCUUUUUAUCCUCGAUGGCAACAAUACAAUAUGUGCCUUGCUGCCCCUACUGUCACUGGGAAAGGACACCGCAAGAUUGAACCCAAAGCUAAGCACUUCUCCCAUUGCAAGAAAGAUCAAUCUAGUAGGCCAAACCAAACAGAUAAUUCAAAGAGACUUGCAAAGAUAACCAAUCAUACAUAAAAGAAUUCAGAGAAGAUUCAAAUAUUGUUCAUAGAUAGACUUGAUCAUAAACCCACAAUUCAUCGGUCUCAACAAACACACCGCAAAAAGAAUAUUACAUCUAAUAGAUCUCCACAAGAGAGGGGGGAACAUUGUAUUGAGAUCCAAAAAGAGAGAAGAAGCCAUCUAGUUACUAACUAUGGACCCGUAGGUCUGAGGUGAACUACUCACACUUCAUCGGAGGGGCUAUGGUGUUGAUGUAGAAGCCCUCCGUGAUUGAUGCCCCCUCCGGUGGAGCUCCGGAAUAGGCCCCAAGAUGGGAUCUCGUGGAUAAAGAAAGUUGCGGAAGUGGAAUUAGGGUUUUGGCUCUGUAUCUGAUCGUUUGGGGGUACGUAGGUAUAUAUAGGAGGAAGGAGUACGUCGGUGGAGCAACAGGGGGCCCGCGAGGGUGGAGGGCGUGCCUGGGGUGGGGGGGUAGGCGCGCCCCCUACCUCGUGGCCUCCUCUUUUGUGUCUUGACGUAGGGUCCAAGUCUCCUGGGUCUUGUUCGUUGAGAAAAUCACGUUCCUGAACGUUUCAUUCCGUUUGAUAUUCCUUUUCUUCGAAACCCUAAAACAAACAAAAAACAACAAUUCUGGGCUGGGCCUCCGGUUAAUAGGUUAGUCCCAAAAAUAAUAUAAAAGUGGAUAAUAAAGCCCAAUAAUGUCCAAAACAGUAGAUAAUAUAGCAUGGAGCAAUCAAAAAUUAUAGAUACAUUGGAGACGUAUCAAGUAUGACUAUCACCGCCCACAACUCUUUGUGUUCUACUCGUACAUAUCAUCUACGCAUAGACCUGGCUCAUGAUGCCACUGUUGGGAAUCGAUGCAUGUAAAACAAAAAAAAUCUAUGCACACGCAAUGAUCUAUCCAUGGAGAUGCAUAGCAACGAGGGGGAUAGUGUGUCUAUGUACCCUCGUAGACCAUAAGAGGAAGAGUUUCUUAACGCGGUUGAUGUAGUCGAACUUCUUCGCGCUUCAACCGAUCAAGUACCGAAUGCACAACACCUCCACAUUCUAAACAUGUUCAGCUCGGUGACGUCCCUCGCCUUCUUGAUCCAGCAAGAUGUCAAGAUAGUAGAUGAGUUCCAUCAGCACGACGGCAUGGUGACGGUGAUGGUGAAGUGAUCCUCACAAGGCUUCGCCUAGGCACUACGAAGAUAUGACGGGGGGUGUAAACGGCGGAGGGGGGCGCCACACACUUCUAAACAAUUGUCUGGUAUGUGCUAGGCUCCCCCCUCCCCACAUAUAUAUAGGUGGGAGGGGGAUGGGAGAUGCUAGGAGGCGCCCCAAGUAGGACCGAAUCCUACUUGGGCUCAUCCCAAGCCGCGCGCCCGUGCCAUAUAUGUCAGAGGGGGAAGCAAAUAGGGGGAGGGUAGGAAGGGGGAAUCCUAUUCUACUCUUUCCUUUCUCUUCCCCUCUUUCCUUCUCCUCCUAGGCCGGCCCAUAUGGGGGGAGCACCAGCCCCAUGUGGCUGGUGCAUUUCCCUCUUGGCCCAUAAGGCCCAUAUCUUUUGCCGGGGAUGCCCGGAACCCCUUCUGGUGACCCGAUAAGUACCCAGUACCCCCCGAAACACUUCCGGUGUCCGAAUACCAUCGUCCUAUAUAUAAAUCUUUAGCUCUCGACCAUUUCGAGACUCCUCGUCAUGUCCAUGAUCUCAUCCGGGACUCCGAACAACAUUUGGUCACCAAAUCACAUAACUCAUAUAAUACUAUAUCAUCAUCGAACAUUAAGCGUGCGGACCCUACGGGUUCGAGAACUAUGUAGACAUGACCAAGUCACCUCUUCGGUCAAUAACCAGUAGCGGAACCUGGCUGUCCGUAUUGGCUCCUACAUAUUCUACGAAGAUCUUUAUCAGUCGAACCGUUAUGACAACAUACGUAAUUCCCUUUGUCCAUCGGUAUGUUACUUGCCUGAGAUUCAAUCGUCGGUAUCUUCAUACCUAGUUCAAUCUUGUUAUCGACAAGUCUCUUUACUUAUUCCGUAAUACAUCACCUUGUGACCCACUCCUUAGUCGUUUGCUUGCAAGCUUAUGAUGUGUAUUAUCGAGAGGGCCCAGAGAUACAUCUCCGAUAUUCGGAGUGACAAAUAAUCUGAAUCUCGAUCUAUGCCAACUCGACAAACACCUUCGGAGAUACCUGUAGAGCAUCUUUAUAAUCACCUAGUUACGUUGUAAUGUUUGAUAGCACAUAAAGCAUUCCUCCGGUAUCCGGGAGUUGCAUAAUCUCAUAGUCGAAGGAAUAUGUAUUUGACAUGAAGAAAGCAAUAGCAAUAAAACUGAACGAUGAUAAUGCUAAGCUAAUGGAUGGGUCUUGUCCAUCACAUCAUUCUCCUAAUGAUGUGAUCCCGUUAUCAAAUGACAACUCAUGUCAAUGGUUAGGAAACCUUAACUGUUGCAAUGCAAUUUUUUGCUUAGCUAAUGUAUCACUCUCCUUUGUAUGUAUCCAUGUAUAUAGUUUUGUACUUUCACUUGGAAAUAAAUUUGGAUAUCAGUCAAUGAAUCAUGUGUCAUAAAUAGCCACAACCCAACGAUUGUCGGUGUAUUUAUUUGUGAUAAGAAAAUAGGCAGUUUUCCGAUUAAAUUAAUCCAUGAAUAAAUCAUAAGCAUGACAUUGACAGUAUUGAUAACACACUGGUUACGAUCUAACAGAGCAUGUACUAUGCAUAUAGUAGAAACAUCUACGCAUAUUGCUAGUACUACUACAACAGAAAGAAACAUGAGAGGGAUAAACGAUGUAUACCCUCCAAUCGGCCAUGUGGCAGCGGCAGUAGCCGCGGCAUCCUCGGCGGCCUUCUUGUCGGCCUCGGCCUUCUCAGCGGCGACACGGUCGGCGUCGGUCGACAUGGUGAUGACGAAGGUGAUGUGGACGUAGAUGAACAGAAGCGAGCAGUCGCGUAGUCGCUACCCAAAAACCUAAUCGCCCCUCUCCCGUACAGGAUCCGAAGAGGCGGGGUUUCGGAGGCCUGCUCUCCCGUCAACCGUGUACGCGGUGAACGGGACGGAGUCGCCGACGGCGGCAGCAGCAGAGGAAUGACGCGGGCGUGGAGGCGGAGAUGCGUUAUGUUUCGUGGCGGCUAGGGUUGGCAGCGCCCCACAUAUAUAUGUGCGGCUGCGCGUGGAGAGACGUGGGCUGAAUCCACGUCCAAGUCGGUAGCGCAUAGGAGUGAGCUCGGCUCGGCUCAAUCCCGCAACCCGCGGCGCGUCGUGACGAGGCGUGGCGUGGUGAGGCGAGCGGAGGAGGAGGAGUGCGCGAGGGCCUCAUCUCUUCUCAAGCUCCAAUGGCAUGAGGAAGAGAACCCCUUAUAAACCACUCCAACUCUCCUUCCACUUCCGGGGUGGGACUAAACUUCCCACCACCUUGUCAUGCCACCUACAUGGGCCCUUAGAGAUCAAAUCUGAAAUUGUCAUAUGGGCUCUAGGCCCAUCUCAUAUUUCAACAAUCCCCCACCAGAUCUCAGGGGCCCGGUUUGUCCUUUGUUCCAAACGCUGUUUUGAUAUACCAGCAUCUCAGUGGAGACCGAUUAAGGUUGAGCUCCACCUAGACCAAGUAGUUACACUCCUUCACAACUGAACAAUGGACUAUGCCUUGAAUUGUCAGUUUGGCAUCAAGAAGUUUCACCACAAGUCUCACUGAUACGAGGCUGCCGAAGGCCGACCCCUCGGGUGGAGCAUAUUAGUCACACUCCUGGCCUGUUCAUGAGCUUGCUAGAGAUCACCCCAAUCUCAUAGACUGUGACCAGCAGUCGGGCUCAUAUAGGUGUGUUCCUUCAAAGAUUGCUCUGUAGGAUAGCAUCUUGCUUAUGCAUAUAAGCCUUGGAACACAUUAAGACAGUAGUCAUCCUUCCAUACAGUUUCCGAGAGUAUUGCAUCUCCAACGGAGUGGGUUAGUAAAGUUACUCUCCUCAGUUCACCACUGGCUUGUUUUCCCAGGUCCUACUUCACGGGAUCUCCGAUCACAUAGGUUGGGUUACUACCAAGGCAACUCAUGUGGGUCUCAUACCCAUCUCCCUUGAUGCAUUAUCUAUCACAACACGUGAUAGCCCUUUAGUAAAGGGAUCUGCCAGAUUCUUAGCCGUUUGAAUAUAAUCCAACGCUAUCACUCCGGAGUUUCUCAAUUUUCUGACAGCUUUCAAUCUCAUUCUUAUGUGUUUGUUGGACUUCAUGUUGUCCUUUGAACUCUUCACCUUGACAAUAACUGUUUGAUUGUCACAGUUCAUAAGGAUGGCCGGAACCGGCUUCUCAACCACUGGCAAGUCCAUCAACAGAUCUCGAAGCCAUUCUGCUUCGCCACCCGAUGUGUCUAAUGCUGUUAAUUCUGCUUCCAUUGUCGAUCUUGUUAAGAUCUUUGCUUGCAAGACUUCCAGGAAACAACACCACCUCCAAGAGUAAAUAUAUACCCAGUUGUGGCCUUCAUCUCAUCAGCAUCAGAGAUCCAAUUCGCAUCACUAUACCCUUCAAGUACCGACGGGUAUCCGGUAUAGUGAAGUCCAUAGUUCAUAGUACCUUUCAGAUAGCGCAUAACUCUCUCAAGAGCACGCCAAUGUACAUCACCCGGUUUGGAAACAAAUCGGCUCAGUUUGCUAAUAGCAAAUGUGAUGUCAGGCCUCGUUGCGCUCGCUAGAUACUGUAGUGAACCAACAAUCUGAGAUUGUCUCAAUUGAUCUAUAGUUGUGCCUUUAGACUUUCGAAUCAGUACACUAGGAUCAUAUGGUGUUUGAGAUGGUUUGCAGUCCGAAUAUCCAAAACGACUCAACACCUUCUCAACAUAAUGGGAUUGCAGAAGUGUAAUCCCACCUUCAUCAUAUCUCAAUAGCUUGAUGUUCAAGAUAACAUCAGCCACUCCAAGGUCCUUCAUCUCAAAGUUCUGAGAUAGGAAAGACUUAACUUCCUCGAUCAACUUGAGAUUAGUCCCAAAUAUCAGUAUGUCAUCAACAUACAAACACAGUAUAACUCCUUCGCCCCCACCAUAGCGAUAGUAUACACAUUUGUCGGCCUCAUUAACAACAAAGCCAACAAAUGUCAAUUUUUCAUUAAACUUGUCAUGCCAUUGCUUAGGCGCUUGUCUCAGGCUAUACAAAGAUUUCACCAACUUACACACCUUUCCUUCCUGACCAUCCAUCACAAAGCCAUUAGGCUGUUGCAUAUAGAUUUCCUCCUUUAGCUCUCCAUUCAGGAAAGCCGUCUUAACAUCCAUCUGAUGAAUGAGAAGACCAUGCGAGGCCGCCAACGAGAGUAAUACUCGAAUGGUGGUCAGUCUGGCCACAGGUGAAUAAGUGUCGAAGAAAUCUUCUUCUUCUUUCUAGGCGUAGCCCUUGGCCACAAGCCUAGCCUUGUACUUUUCUAUCGUACCAUCGGGCCUAAGCUUCUUCUUGAACACCCACUUGCAUUCCAAUGGUUUGCAACCAUAAGGACGUUCAGUAAGCUCCCAAGUCCCGUUAUCCAUGAUGGAAUCCAUCUCACUACAGACCGCAUCCUUCCAGUAGUCAGCUUCCGGAGAUGCAUACGCUUCUGGAAUAAAAGUGGGAUUAUCCUCCAUGAGGUAUAUGAAGAAAUCAUCACCAAAGGUCUUUACAGUCCUUUGUCUCUUGCCCCUACCAAGGGAUUCCUCAUUAUCCUCCUCAGGAUUUUCAUCAUGUGUUUGAUUAUAAUAUUCCAUCGGAAUGGCAGGUUCAGGAGUCUCCUCAGAUUCCUGUCUAGAAGUGCUUUGUACAUCUCUCAUGGGAAAAAUGUCCUCAAAGAAUGUAGCAUCUUUAGACUCCAUAAUUGUACCAACUUUCAUGUCAGGUACCUUAGAUUUCACUACUAGAAAUCUAUAGCCAACACUAUUCAUAGCGUAGCCCAAAUUAACACAGUCCACAGUCUUUGGUCCAAGCUUACGCUUUUUGGGGAUCGGCACAUUAACUUUCGCCAAGCAGCCCCAGGUACGUAAGUACGAGAGUGUUGUCCUUCUCUUGGUCCACUUCUCGUAAGGAGUGAUCUCGUUAUCCUUUGUCGGAACUUUAUUCAGGACAUGACAGGAUGUCAUUAUAGCCUCCCCCCACCAUGCCUUGGAUAAACCCGACGUAUCUAACAUGGCGUUAACCAAAUCAGUUAGAGUACGGUUUUUCCGCUCGGCAACCCCGUUUGACUGGGGUGAGUAGGGAGGUGUCCUCUCGUGAAUAAUGCCAUGUUCCAUACAAAAGGCAUCAAACUCUUUCGAGAAGUACUCUCCACCACGAUCUGACCGGACUCAUUUAAUUUUCUUUUCAAGUUGAUUCUCAACUUCUGCCUUAUAGAAUUUGAAGUAGUGUAGAGCCUCAUCUUUAGUAUUUAACAGAUACACAUAGCAAUAUCUAGUGGAAUCAUCUAUCAAAGUCAUGAAAUAUUUCUUUCCACCUUUAGUCAACACACCAUUCAUCUCACAAAGAUCAGAAUGUAUGAGUUACAGUGGCGCCAAGUGUCUCUCCUCUGUUGCCUUGUGAGGCUUGCGAGGUUGCUUAGAUUGCACACACGAAUGGCACUUAGAACCUUUGGCUAAAGUGAAACUCGGGAUUAAAUUCGAUUUUGCUAGCCGCGUCAUAACACCGAAACUAAUGUGACAAAGACGUGAAUGCCAUACUUCAGAUUCAUUAACACUCAAAUAAAUAUUGUUCACGACUUUAUUACAUAGAUCUGCAAGAGAAAGGUGGAACAUGCCUCCGCAUUCAUAAUCCUUUCCAACAAAUAGUCCAUAUUUCAUAACAACUAAUUUAUUAGACUCGAAUACCAACUUAAACCCUUCUCUUCAUAGAAGGGAGCCACUAACGAGGUUCUUCUUGAUGGCGGGGACAUGCUGCACGUUCUUCAGCUGCACGAUCCUUCCCGAAGUAAACUUCAGAUCGACCGUGCCAACACCAAGAACAGAAGCACUCGCGCCAUUCCCCAUCAGUAUGGACCCGUGACCUGUGGCCCGGUAAGAAGAAAACAAUGAAAUGUCAGCACACACAUGAACACCUGCACCUGUGUCGACCCACCAAUCGGUGGACGGCCAAACUAAAAAUACAACAAAUAAAUUACCGUACCCAGAUGCACCACUCUCAUUGUUGCUCACAAUCAUAUUGACAGACUUGGAGUCCUGCCCUUGCUUCUUAUACUUGUUUGGGCACUUGUUGGCCCAAUGUUCAAGCGAACCACAAGUAAAGCAGCCUUCAUCCUUCUUGUUCUUCUUGAAGGUCUUCUUACCCUUCUUCUUAAAGUCGGCACUCUGUUGGACACCGUUCUUUCCCUUGGGCUUGUGGGAAUUGGAGUUCUUCUGAUGCACCAUGUUGGCCACAGAAGUUCCUUCGACCCCUUUUUCGUGCGAGUCCUUUGCCCUUGAAUUCUGCUCAACACUCAGAUGGCCAAUGACAUCCUCCACAGAGAAUUCACGCCUCUAAUGUUUCAGAGUGGUGGCAAAGUUCCUCCAGGAAUUGGGAAGCUUAGCGAUUAUGCAGCCCGCGACAAACUUGCCCGGUAACUCGCACUUAAGAAGCUCAAGCUCCUUAACAAUGCAUAUUAUCUCAUGAGCCUGCUCCAAUACAGGACGGUUUUCAACCAUCUUGUAAUCAUGGAACUGCUCUAUAAUAUACAUCUCGCUCCCUGCAUCGGCAGCCCCGAACUUAGAUUCGAGUGCCUCCCACAAGUCCUUGGCAAACCGCACAUGCAAAUAUGCGUCAACCAGCUUAUCUCCAAUCACGCUCAGAACUGCCCUGAGGAACACGACAGUGGCCUCCUUGAACGCCUUCUCCUGAUCAGGAGCGAUCGUUCCUGUGGGAGUCACACCGGCGACCCAGAACACGUUCAUGGCAGUGAUCCAUAAGGUGGUUUUAGUCUGCCAACGCUUAAAGUAUGUCCCCGUAAACGGCGACGGUUUCAGUGCAGCAGCAAAACUAGAAUUCGAAAAACCCCUACACACAUUAGGUUUUUGGAUUGAUAAGAAAAUAGGCAGUUUUCCGAUUAAAUUAAUCCAUGAAUAAAUCAUAAGCAUGACAUUGACAGUAUUGAUAACACACUGGUUACGAUCUAACAGAGCAUGUAGUACGCAUAGGGAUAAACGAUGUAGAGCUUGGCUUGGCUCGGCUCAAUCCCGCAACCCGCGGCGUGGCGUGGCGAGCGGAGGAGGAGGAGUGCGCGAGGGCCUCAUCUCUUCUCAAGCUCCAAUGGCAUGAGGAAGAGAACCCCUUAUAAACCACUCCAACUCUCCUUCCACUUCCGGGGUGGGACUAAACUUCUCACCACCUUGUCAUGCCACCUACAUGGGCCCUUAGAGAUCAAAUCUGAAAUUGUCAUAUGGGGUCUAGGCCCAUCUCAUAUUUCAACAAUUUGUACCCAUAAGAUAGCCGCAGAGGUUUGCUCACCAAGAUCACAGCUACAAAGAGACAGCUAACAGACAUGCGAAUGGUAGCAUUGUGGGAAACGCCUUACCAGAAAAAACAACAAGAAAAACAGACUCGAGAGCCAAGAAUGAAGGGCAUUCAUCCAUCAUAGCAGAGACUGCGCCACAACAAUCAUAAUUAGACCAAGAACAAAAAUACCAAACUCAGAGCAUUUUACUUGUAUCUUACAUCCCAAGAAAGUAGUUGCCACAAAGGCAAUCCAUAUGCUCACAGGGCACACAGGGUUAUAACAAGAAAAAUUAAGGUAAUACAUUCUUUUAGUAGCACGUUCCGGCACAACAUUAUAAACAUAACGACGAUAUCAUUAGCUUAGAAGAGAAGGUUCCCUUGCCCUUCUUGUCUCCACAAAUUUCGAAGUGCUUGCACCUCUGUAGUAAGAAAGAAAUUACGGUGUCAGAUACUUAAACAUAACAUAAUAUAGUAUGGAAAUGGGAUGGCGGAUAAGAGGGAUGGGCGGGCCUUGAUAGCACAUUGUGAGUAAUGCUUGUAGCUCUGGCACUGCAACUUCAGCAUAAUCUUCUUUGUUGUCUUGGCCCGAAACAGAAUAAUAAACAUCUAGAUGCAAGGAAGCAACAGAAGAGGAGCGUCCAACAUUUUUUGUCCAAAUGACCCCAGAAAUUCACCGCAAGUCUCGACUCAUGCUACAAGAUUUAGUCGUGCCCAACAUAAGAUGAGUUUCUCUGAAGAAUUGAAGCAAAGCACGUGCAUAAUGCGCUAGGAAGUUUUGCCAACAACUGAAUAAUGAAAUUAACUCGAGCAUACAACAACAUUGGUGUUCAGAAACAUCUUGAUGCACUAAAUAGGAAAAGGCAAUAAGGAUACACACAGCAACAACGGCGAUGACUUGUUCCAUGUCUGCAGGUGAUCUACAAUUCUCCAUGCAUCAUGCAACAUGGCUUAGAGCAUUUCUAGCAGAUCCCGCAAACUGGGCCGUCCGGUACAAUAACCGCCAAUUUACGGAAUUCAUCCCGUAUCCCCGUCCCGAAUAGAUCCUCUAAAUCCGACCGUCCCGAUUUUUUUUGCGGGACCCCGGAUCCACGAGGGCAUUUCCUACAUAUUUCCGGGACGAAGGGCCAAUUCUACAUGUUGCCGCAAACAAGCCAACCGCUUGGCGGGAGGGAACUUUCACCGCGUCCACCUCCCGCCCCCCGUGCCUUUGCAGACCCCGACCUCGUUGCUCCUUCACCGACGCGCCUCCUCCGACUGCCACACCACACCAUGGAGUGGCCACCCUCCUGCCAUCCAUCCCAAGCUUGCGCAAGCCGAAUCGGCCUAGGCCCGCGUCCGCCUGCUGCGAUUGUCGCACCUCGCCGUGGCCGAUGGCCGUGGCCGGGGAACUCCACAACGCCUCGCCGUGGCUGCCGUGUCGUGGGGGCGCCGUGUGUGUCGUUGAAGCCGUUCAGCAAGAAGGAGUGGACGGCGCACCCGACGACGCGUCCACCGACUACUCGACCUCACGCAUCUGGAGCAGGCCAUGAGCAGCAGCUAGUCAAGGCGGCCGGCGUGGAAAGCCAAGAGCAGCAGCCAGUCAAGGUGGCCGACGCUGCAGGCCAGGGAGCCGCAGGUCCAGCCGAUGGCGUGGGGUGGGCCACACGCCUCGGUGAGCUCCGGCUCCGCCAGGCAACACACAGCAGGCUCUAUUGCCAUGGCCGCUCCAGGACCCAAUUGUAAUCUAAAUUUCAUUUUGAGGGUGUUUUGUGCUACUUUGUAAGGACCCUAUUGUAAAUGUAACUACUGACACGUGGGCUCCACAUCUGACGUGAUUUUUUUACUGGAUCUAUUAUGUGUGGACACAUGCCAUACCGUAAAAACGUGUUAAAACCGUUUUGCGAUAUCCUCUAAAUCUAUUUUGCGGUACGAGGUUAUAAGGGAUCUGCUAGAGAUAAUCUUAGAGCAGCCAACAGAGGUGAAAGAUUCCCUACGACAUUAUCUUCUUGUGAUCGCGUAGAAUGCCAACUAUGCAUAUGCACACGUCGCCAUAAUUUCCAAAUCUACAACUCAAAACAAACCCUACUUAUUUCAGAUAUGGCUAACAAAUACCGAGCAAAUUUCUAAUUCAAGGGGAUAUCACACCGUGCCUACUUGCACAUUGCAAUGCAAGGUUUUGCUGUUUUGAUAGCUGAGAUAUGCCAAUGAGCAGUUGUUUGGUUCACAGUUACUUGAUUUGAUUGGUCUGUAAAUACAUGUCUAUAAAAUUGCAUAGCGUAACAACAUAACAAAACAAUUUGCAAAAGCCAAAAAAACAGAGAGGAGACCCAAGAACAACGGGCAUUCAGCACAACAUCAUAAACAUACACUGCGACAGCAAUUUAAUUAGACCAAGAACAAAAAUACCAAACUCAGAGAAUAAAUAACAUUUUACUUGUCGAUUGGAUCUGGAGAAAGUAGUUGACACAAUAGCAAAACAUAUGCUCCAUUGCCAAUAGGGUUAUAGCCAGAAAAUUAAAGAUAAUACAGUCUUCUUGUGGGAAGUUCUGGCACAACAUUCUAAACAUAACGACAAUAUCAUCAGCUUAGAAGAGAGAUGUUCCCUUG